UGACAUGAGAAGCAACUUUGUAAGAUGGUGGAAAGGGAUAUUUAGGAGCUAGGAUGAGAGACAAAAGGACAGGAUCACGUAACACUGUAAAUAUUUUGUGGCAAAUCUGGAAAGCAAGGAACAGGAAAGUUUUUGCUGAAGAAAAAGCAGAUCCAGGGAAAACAGUGCAAAAGCUCAAGUAGAGUGGAAUGAGUAUAUAGAAGCUCAGAACAGCACAGGGCCAGAGUUCAUUGAACAAACAACCAACUCAAGCAGACUGGAAAACUGGAAACCACCAAUAGGAGAGAUGAUAAAGAUCAACUCUGAUGCUGCCUUCUCAAAGAAUAUGAACAAAAGUGGAAUAGGAGCCAUUGCUAGAAAUGGAGAAGGACAGCUGAUGAAAGCUUGGGCCAGAGCUGAGAUAAAAACAAGUGAGCCACCGGUGGAGGAAGUGGCAGCAAUUAGAAUGGGAAUGGUGGUGGCUCGAGAAGCUCAAUGGAAGGAACUGGAAUUCCAGUCUGAUUGAAAGGAGGUGCUGGACCUGAUCAACAAGGAAAAUGGGAAGGAAUCUAGAGUUGAUAUCAUUCUAGAGGGCAACGCCAACAUGAGAUGCUUGUUUGACAAAUGUACUUUCUCUGUUGUCCAUAUAGUAGGGAACAAGUGUGCAUAUGCUAGCAAAGUUUGCUGUCAAGUUAGUUAGGAAUAUUGAAUGGGAAGGAAAUUGUGAUGUAGCUCCAUGAGAGUGCACAAAAUGAUUACAAAGGAAGUAAUUGUGAUGUAUCAAAUCUUGUGAUAUCAAGUUAAUGAAAACCAAUAUGAUUUUGACAAAAAAAAAAAAAAAUCACUAAGACAAUCAGUUAGUCAAAUUGGAAGAGUCACAUACAAAUGUUAAAAGUAUCAACCAAUUAACAGGCAUUUAACCAUACAAUAUAAAACUACAUAAUUCAAACACUGGUAAAGAACAAAAUAAAAUUUGAUAGUAUCACUCAAGUUAUAGGUGGCUAGCUGCCUAGCAGUAGCAACUGCAGUAAUCAAACACAAAAAUUCUGAAUAUUGGAAAAAAAUGCUGCCCUUCUAUAAAGUUUUCUAUGCAAAGCCUCAAUUUUCAAUAACUCAGAAUAAGCAACAUAAUAAUGAUUACUGGAUUUCAACAGAUUAUAAGUAACUUCAAUGGGAUGGUAUCCUUGGAAAAGGACAAAAUUAAAGUGAGCCACACCAGUAAUUUCCAAGAGACUCUUCACCUAUGGAGUGGGACAAAUUUGCAAGAACUCAUCAUAUACGAGUGUAGUGCAUUUAGACAGAUAUCCUUUUGAUCACAUUGAGUUACUUGGAAGCUUGCUUAUGACAAGAAACUCUGGUUUCUUUAUCAUGAUUAGAAGCAAUGUGCAGACGUUGAAUCUCAUUCUCUACAUUAAAAUCACAACUAAAGGAAUUUACUAAGUGAGAAUUUGUUAAAGUAAAUCCCACAAAAGAGUUCAAUCUGCUAUCUGCUGCCGCAACACCAUUUACCUCCAUACAAUUUCUUCUUGCUUAUUGAGGAUUACUACCAACACAGUUACUUGUUAUUUGUGGUUCCAUAAACGAGUAACUAACAUGUUUCUUUUCCAUUUUAGAGCUCAAUAUUCCUAUGCAUGGUUUAGAGACAUUAAAGAGUGAAGAUUCAUCUCCAUAAACUAUAUAGGCAUAGCAAUGCAUGCUCUUUUGCUUUGAAUAAAUUGACUUUUAGUACAUGCCUCAUUAAACAUGCCAUCAAACAUAUCAGCCCUUGUAGUUGAUUUUCUUUCUAUUUUCAUUCUCACAAAGAAAGCAGAUAACUAAAAAGAUGAUUAUACAUUACCAACUACACACAGUGAAGAAAACACAACAAUAUACUCAGGAAAGUAGCCCUUUAUUAUAUUCCACAAUCCAAACUAAGCAUUAUCUAGCAAAAAGCUAUAUCACAUAGCAGCAAAGCAUCAUAGCAUCGUCCAAAAGAAAACCAGGCAAAACCAACCAUAAGAUCACUGUCAGAAACCAAUAAUCGAACCAUUAAAAAGCAAGUAUUAGAUCAGUCUGUAACAUACCCGAAUGGAGUAAUUGUUAACUUCGCUUAUAAUUCUUGAUUAUAAAUUUUGUACAUAAUAGCUAAGAACAAUACAGAACAUCAGCAUUAAAAUACCUAUGACUUCAAGACUAAAAAGGAAAAAAACCAAAGGAAAAGUAGAAAAAAGAUUCAUACCACUCGUAGAAAUUAAUAGAAACAAUUCCUUGUUGUCUGCUUCUUGGCAACUCGGUAGAGAAAAAUAGAAACAAUUCCUUGUUGUCUGCAUCUUGGCCUCUCUGUGUCUCCUUUUUCUUGUGUAUAUACGUGAGAAAUAAAGAGGGAGAAUGAAAGGAAAUGGGCUAUUUCUCGUCUUUUUUUUUUUCACUAAAAUGGUCAAUAUAUUCACUGAAUUUCAGCACCAAAAUCCUAACAACUCCCGUCUGAAAAUUUGGAAAACUUUUGCUUCAAUCAGAUGGUGAUAAAAUUCGGAGGGUACAAUUAAAAUACAUCUAAAGGCAGAAAAAUAAGUCAAAGACUUUUUAGGGACAAAAGCAAACAUCUCAUCUAAACAGGAUUUUGUGACUGAAGGAAAUAGUACAACCCAAUGAGUGAGGUGAAUCAAAGAAUGGAGCACUUUUUUGGGCAAAAAUCCCUGAUUUUUAGGGUAACAAGGACUGCCUAAUCAACAGUAAAUUCACUUGUUUGCAUCCUUUCCAAGUACAAUAAGCAGACAAGAAAGGCAAUCAUGGAGUGGAAAUUCGGAUACCUUUAUGAUAGGAAAUUCCUAUCAUAGGCAGCUCCCAGAGAAUGACACGUGUAUUUAUAAAAUGAAGAAUUCACGAACCAUUAUGUUGCAGUGGUAACACGUGUGGAGAUAAACCAAACAAGACAUGUCCGGAUGCAGCUUUUUUUCCCCUCCAAUUCUUCCGUUCACUGUGCAUUGUUUCCCCACCGCUUUAUUACAUUUAAAAAAUUGUGAAAUUAUAAUUUUCUGCACCUAAUAUACCAAACAAUUUAAUAAAAUUAAUAACAAUAUAACAAUAAUAUAUACCCAUGACAUAAAUAUACUAAGCAAUUAUAAAAAUUAUUAGGAUUAUAUAGUUACUUUAGAAGUUGCUCCCAAAUACCAUACAACUAAAUUUUUCAUUCAAACUACCGAUAGUACGAAAAAAAAGACUAAUUAAUGAAAAUACGAUCUCGAAAAAUUUUUAUUUCACAGUCACAAUAUGUGAAUUUGUGAUAGAUAUAAAAAAGUAUGGUACUUUGAUCAUAUAAUGAAGGAAAGCCAUAAAGAGCAGACCAUUUAUGGGAAAAAUUUUCAUUAAUAAAAAUACCAACUCUUCACGGCUUUCUUACCAGUCCACCAUGGAAAGCCAUAAAUUUAAGAGUGUAGCUCUGUGAGGGUUGUCCUGAGGGAUAGUAAAAUGUCCUGGCUUGACCGAGUGGAGUUCGGGGCAAAGAGGAGGUGAACCUUCCUUUGUACACAAGAGUGAUUGUAAUUUAUCAACUUGAAGUAACUUGGUAUCAUAAAACACAACUCUUUAUGACUUUCCUCUAUUAUAAGAACAGAAUACCUAUUUCCCAUAAACAAUUUAUUUGUCGGAUAAAAAAAAAUAAAUCCGUUUUUCAAUAAAAUACCAGCUAUUUAUUGAAAAUAGCUAUUUAUUGAAAAACGGAUAUAUUUUUAUUUUAUCCGAUAAAUAAAUUUGUUUAUGAAAAAAUGAGUGUUAAAGAACUGGUAUUUGAUGAAAAAAUGAUACUUUAUGAUACCAAUGGAUAACAAUUAAAACACAUUCACAGAUUUGAUAUUUUAAAUGAGGGAAAAUCGUUCAAAACAUCUCUCACAUUUUGCAAAAUAUUUUUUUUGUCCCUCGCUUUUAAAAAUGUAAGUUUACGUCCCUUACAAAUUCACAUUGGUUAAAUUUGGUUUCUAUUUAAAUUUUCGACUAGUUUUUUAUCGGAAUUCACCACGUACCUUGCACGUAAUCAUAUUUUAAGGGCAAAUUUGUCAAAUCAAAUUUUAUAUAAUUCGAUUCAUAAUCCCUCACAUUUCAUAAAAUAAAUUUUUUCGUCUUUCACAUUUUUCAAAUGAAUUUUUUCAUCUAUUAUUAAUCAUAUGCAUGAAUAAUUUUUUUUAAAUCCAUGUAUAUAUUUAUUUGAUUUCACCUAAAUAGUACGAAUAGCAUGUGAAAUCAAAUAGAGAUAUAUUACACACUAUUCGUAUUGCUCAAGUGAAAUCAAAUAGAUAUAUACAUUGGUUUAAAAAAAUUGUUAGUUUUUCACUUGUAUUCAUUUUCUUUUAUUCGAAAUUUAAAAAUAAAGAAGACAUUUAAUUCUAAAUAUUAUCGAGUUUUUAUAUCGAAUUAAAUUUGGAUAGAAAAAGUAAAUAAAAGAAAAGUAUGACAAAAAGAAAUAAGUGAUUGGCACUUUCAAAUUUUAACACAAUCACAAGGUAAGUAAUUCAACUAUUGGUCUUGAAAGUGUCGAAUAGAAAUUUCACAUUUAAACUAAAAUUUGUUAGCACAAUUAUAGAAUUCGAGUUAGGAUCUAUUAAUUAGAUAACCUUAUUAUACAACUCAAUAAAUAAAUUAUUAUCAAAAGAGAAAUGUCACAAAUAUUGAAUAGGUUCAAAUGGUGAAAUCAUGUAAAUAUAUAUAUGAGUUUCAAACAAAAUUAUUAGUUUAAAACCCCUAUAUAUAUCUAUUGAAUAACAUGUGUAUAACUAUGUUGAUCUUGAUCCCUAUCUUUUGAUGUUUAUAAAACAAAUGGAUAAUAUUAAUAUUUUUUCAAGAUAUGCUUUCAGUUUUGAAAUUAUUUGAUUCCAUGAACAAGUGCAAUUGAAAGGGGACAAAGUAUGCUGAAGCUGUCGGACGCUCAAGAAGUCAGGAUCGGACGUCCGAUAAUUAUUGCGUCACUUCGGACGCAGAAAACCAGCCUACCGGACGUCCGAAAGAAUUGAAGAAAAUUUUCCAGUUUUACAUCAUACCUUCGGACGCAGAAAACCAACCUACCGAACGUCCGAAAGAAUUGAAGAAAAUUUCUCAAACUCACUGCCUGCUGUCGGACGCAUAAAACAGGGCUAUCGGACGUCCGACACUACCAACGGCUAGUUGACUAUUCAGCUAUUUUCUAUCCGUUGGAAGCAUUAAUGAGGCACUUUAUUGGUCCUAUAUAAAUAGUGGUUGGUCAGACACUUCAAACAAUUUUGGCACACUGAAGAUACAAAAGAUCUAGAGAGAUUUUAGUGAGAAAAUACCCUUCAAAGAAUAUUUGUAGUCUUAGUGGUGUGAGGUUCUUUGUAAGCUUUUCAUUUGUGAGUGAAUACUUCAUGAGUGUAGCUCUGUGAGGGUUGUCCUGAGGGAUAGUAAAAAUUCCUGGCUUGACCGAAUGGAGUUCGGGGCAAAGAGGAGGUGAACCUUCCUUUGUACACAAGAGUGAUUGUAAUUUAUCAACUUGAAGUAGCUUGUUUCAAUUAAUCUACAAGCUCAAGAGGAGUUGGGUAGUUAAUUGGUUUGCAAUCCUUUCCUUUUUAUUUAUUUACUAUUACAUUUGUAAUCUUUGCAUUGUUUAUGUAUUUCACUUGGUUGUUUUCGAUUCUUACAAUUGGUAUCAGAGCUUGGUCUCCUAGAGAUUAAGCUCAAUCGGCUUGGGAGUAAAAAUGACAACCAAUAAUGCUAUGAUUUUUAAGGACAUUCUGUGAUUAGACCACCUAUGUUUAAUGGGUCAAAUUAUGUGAGUUGGAAAGAAAGAAUGAUUAUCUUUUUGCAAUCUAUUGAUAUUGAAUUGUGGUUUAUUAUUAGUGAAGGUCCAUAUGAUGUCUCUCUUAUAGAUGAAAAUACUCAUAGAUCUAGACCAAAAAUAAGAAGUGAACUGACUGUUAUAGAUAGAACUCAUCUCACCUUAAAUGCAAAAGCCACGAAUGUGUUAUUUUGUGCUUUAGACUCAAAUGAAUCUAUUAGAGUCAAGGGUUGCAAGUCAGCUAAAGAAAUUUGGGACAAAUUGAAAGAAAUUCAUGAAUGUAGUGAGAAUGUGAGAGAACAAAAGAAGUCUAUUCUGGUUACCAAGUAUGAAUCGUUCAAGAUGCAAUCUCAUGAAAACAUUGAUGAGAUGUACUGUAGAUUCAACGACCUCAUUAAAGAUUUAGAGGUGUUGGAAAAAAAAUAUUCUCUAGGUGAGAAAAAUAGAAAAAUCCUGAAUGCCUUAUCCAAUGAUUGGGAAAAUAAAGUGAUUGCUAUUGAGGAGGCUAAAGAUUUGAAUACUAUGCCUAUUGAAUCUCUUAUUAAUUCUCUAACAUCUUAUGAGCUGAAACUUAAGUCCAAAAUGCAAGAGGAUGAGGAUGCCAAAGUAAGAAGGAGCAUUGCUCUAAAGGCAUCUCAAGAUGAAGAUGAUUCUGCCUCCCCAAAUGAAGAAGAUGCAGAAGGUGAUGACAAUGAUAUCGCACUCAUCACAAGAAACUUCAAACGAAUACUCAACAAAAGGAGAUUCAGAAAAGGUGAACCUAACAAUUCAUUCCCAAAUCAGUUCAACAACUCGAGAAACAAAGGAAGCUAGAGUUCAACAAAAAGCAAAUUGAUCAGUGCUUUGAAUGCGGCCAACCUGGACAUUACGCAAGCGAGUGUCCAAUGAUGAAGAAGAAUAAAGGAAGAAAUCAAGAUUCAACAAAUUUCAAUUCACAUGAAAUGAGUGCAACUUCGAUGGUGAAAUUGAAGGGGAAGAAGAAUCUGCUCAAUUGGCUUUCAUGGCCAUUGGAGAUGAUGAGGUAACAUCUUCUAACUCUCAAUUUGAAAGUGAUGAUGAAAGUGAUGAUGAUCUUGAAUAUUUCAUUAUAAAAUUGGAUGAUAGUUUGAAAGAAUCCUAUGCUAGAAACAAGGAGUUAAAACAGAAAAUUAGUUUUUUGUUUCGAGAAAAUGCAAAUCUUUUUCAACAAAACAAAAAGUUGAAGCUGAAAAUGAUUACUUCAAAAAGAGUGAGACUGCUUUACAUUUUAAACUUGAUAGAAAAACAAAACUUUGUGAAUUGUUCAAAAAGGAACAAGGUGAUUUGAAAAGAAAAAUGAAUGGUCUAAAUGAGUUGCUUAAACACAAAAAAUAAGUCUGUUUUCAAAAGAAUAUGUUGAAUUCUAAUUCCAACGAAUUUGCUAUCCAUAGAAAAAUGCAAGUCAGAUUUAUUAAACCCAUUCAUGUGAAUAACGUUUUGAUUAUGUGUAAUUUCUGUUGUCAAAAAGGUCACAUGAAAAGUGAUUGCUAUGUGAGAAAGAAUAUAAAAAAAAGGCAUGAAAUGCAUGUGGAUAGUUAGACAUGAUAUUAACUCUAACAAGUAGGAGAUUUUGUUAAUCAUUGCAGUGAUUCUUGUUCAAAAUAUUUUUUUUUGAUAUUUCUGAUAUUUUGAUCUGAGUUUUUGAAUUUUACUGAAUCUGUAUGAUAUCAAAAGGGAAAGAAAAGAACAAUUUUGAUCUAAAGAUGGUUUGCUUUGUCAAAACUCUCUGUCAUAUGUUGAUACUUUUUUGAUAUCAAAUUCUCUGUGAUAUGUUGGUGAUUGCUGUCAUUUUUCUAAUUUUAUACUCUGUUAUUAUUGUUGGAUUAUGAUAUUUGAUUUUUUACUCUCAUCUUAUGAUGACAAAAAGGGGGAGAGAUGGAUGCUAUGUGUAAGAGGGAGUUUUUCUGAAAUUAUAAGUUUUAGAUGCGAUGAUUGAGGGGGAGUUUAUACUUAUUUUUGUUUCUUUCCAUCAAUUGUUUUGUCAUCAUCAAAAAGGGGGAGAAUGUUGAUCUUGGUUCCUAUUUUUUGAUAUUUACAAAACAAAUGGAUGAUACUAAUAUUUCUUCAUGAUAUACUUUCAGUUUUGAAAUUGUUUGAUUCAAUGAACAAGUGCAAUUGAAAGGGGACAAAGUAUGCGGAAGCUGUCUGACGCUCAAGAAGUCAGGAUUGGACGUCCAAUAAUCGUUGCGUCACUUCGGACGAAGAAAACCAGCCUACCGGACGUCCGAAAGAAUUGAAGAAAAUUUUCCAGUUUUACAUCAUACCUUCGGAAGCAGAAAAUCAACCUACCAGAUAUCCAAAAGAAUUGAAGAAAAUUUCUCAAACUCACUGCCUGCUGUCGGACGCAUAAAAUAGGGCUAUCGGACGUCCGACACUACCAACGGCUAGUUGACUGUUCAGCUACUUUCUAUCCGUUGGAAGCAUUAAUGGGGCACUUUCUUGGUCCUAUAUAAAUAGUGGUUGGUCAGACACUUCAAACAACUUUGGCACACUGAAAAUACAAAAGAUCUAGAGAGAUUUUAGUGAGAAAAUACUCUUCAAAGAAGAUUUGUAGUCUUAGUAGUGUGAGAUUCUUUGUAAACUUUUCAUUUGUGAGUGAAUAUUUCAUGAGUGUAGCUCUAUGAGGGUUGUCCUGAGGGAUAGUAAAACGUCCUGGGUUGAUCGAGUGGAGUUCGGGGCAAGGAGUAGGUGAACCUUCCUUUGUACACAAGAGUGAUUGUAAUUCAUCAACUUGAAGUAACUUGUUUCAAUUAAUCUACACGCUCAAGAGGAGUUGGGUAGUUAAUUGGUUUGCAAUCCUUUCCUUUUUAUUUAUUUGCUGUUACAUUUGUAAUUUUUACAUUGUUUAUGUAUUUCACUUGGUUGUUUUCGAUCCUUAUAAACUACAAUUAGCAUGUUUAGAUGAAAUUCAAUAGAGAUAAAUUACAUGUUAUUCAUACUAUUUAGGUAAAAUCAAAUGGACGUAUACGUGGGUUUAUAGGAAAAAAGCUAUUCGUAUAUAUGAUUAAUGAGGGAUGAAAAAAUUCAUUUUAAAAAAUAUGGGAGAUGAAAAAAUUCAUUUUUUGAAAUGUGAUAAACGAAGCAACUCAUUUUGUAAAAUGUUAGGGACGAAAAAAUUCAUUUUGUGAAAUGUGAGGGAUUAUGAAUCAAAUUAUGUAAAAAUUUGAUUUGACAAUUUAUCCCUUAAAAAUUGAUCACAUACAAGUCACGUGGUGGAUUCCAACAAAACCUAGUUAGAAACUUAGGUAGGGACAAAAUUUGGUUAAUAUAAAUUUGUAAGGGAUGUAAAAUUACACUUUUAAAAGUGAGGGACAAAAAAAGUCAUCUUGUAAAAUGUGAGAGACGUUUUGAACGAUUUUCCCUUUAAAUAACGAAGAUUGGUUCCGAUUGGAUUAGAUGUUUUUUGGGUGUUUCUCAAAAACAGCACGUAACAUUUCGAACGUGAAAUACAAGUACUGUACAUAUCUACUAUUUCUUUCCAUUUUAGACUAAUCAUUUUGACUUUUGUGGUUUCUAAUAAAAAAUUUCUAUUUGUUUUCUGGGGAAAUGCAAAAAAAAAAAAUGUAUAAAUCGAAAAAAUUACUUAUUUAAUUAUUGUCACUUUGCUUAUACGUUGGAGGACUGGUAAGAAAUCUGUGAAGAGUUGGUAUUUUUAUUAAUGAAAACUUUUCCCGUAAAUAGCCUGCUCUUUAUGAUUUUCCUUCAUUAUAUGAUCAAAGUACCAUACUUUUUGUAUUUAUCACGAAUUCAAAUAUUGUGACUGUGAAUUAAAAUUUUUUCGAGAUCGUAUUUUCAUUAAUUAGUCUUUUUUUUCGUACUAUCGUUGUUUGAAUGAAAAAUUUAGUUGCACGGUGUUUGUAAACAACUUCUAAAGUAACUAUAUAAUCCUAAUAAUUUUUAUAAUUGCUUAGUAUAUUUAUAUCAUAGGUAUAUAUUGUUGAUAUGUUGUUAUUAAUUUUGUUAAAUUGUUUGGUAUAUUAGCUGCAGAAAAUUAUAGUUUCACAAUUUUUUAAAUGUAAUAAAGUAGUGGGGAAACAAUGCACAGUGAACGAAGGAAUUGGAGGGGAAAAAAGACUGCAUCCGGACAUGUCUUGUUUGGUUUAUCUCCACGCGUGUUACCACUGCAACAUAAUGGUCCAUGAGCACCUCAUUUUAUAACUACACGUGUCAUGCUUUGAGGAACUGCCUAUGGUAGGAAGUUCCUACCAUAAAGGUAUCAGUGGAAAUUCAAGGAAUUGGGCGGACUUGUCAGCCGAAGAAGAGGAGAGGACGUUUGCCACUUUGUUUCUUCUCUCCUGACUACAAGCGAACGAAGGGAAGACCACUAACCGUGGACUAAAAAAUAUAAUUGUUAAUUACAAAAACAGGCCUCAAUAGUUACGCAUUGUUAAAACAUGAGGACAAAUUGGUAAUUAAAGGUCAUAGGACACAAAUAACCCUAAAUAGUGAGCAAUUGUUCGGGCCGUGAGAAAAAAAUCUUCAAUAACAGAAGCUGCAUUCCCAUUUCCCAGCAUGAAAUUUCACCCUGGUCUGCCACGUGGCUCAAAGUGAAGCUACAACGCUUGUGUUGUAUAGUAAUUUUUUGGUUUUUUUUUCCCAAACGAUAAGAGGAAAUAGUAGUUAGAAGAAACCACAAUCAGCUUACAUGAUACAAAUUAAGGGUGCAUUGAUAAAACAGAAAUCUGAAUUCAUUAAAUUAUUGAAUUAUUAAGUACUAAAUUUAAUAUAUUUGACUACAUAUCAUAUUAAGGGUUAAGUGAAUAUCUUAUCACUUAUUUUUUGAAACAAAUUUUGUCUAAAAAAUUUAAUAUUACUUAAUUAAUUCAAAUAUUUAAUUAAUUAUUAAACAUAUUUGAACAUAUUAAAAUUUAAAUUCGUUAAGUUUAAAUGUUGAAUAAAUUUAUUAAACAGGGCCUAAAUCUUAACAUCUAAAAAGGGGAAUUCCUCAAGAAACAGUAGUUCUAUUGUCCCCUAUACACACUAUUACCAGGUGGACAAUUUUGUAAAUUUAGGGCCACUUAUGGAUGGUAUUUUUGUCCUUUAAAAGUAAAUGGUUUUACAAAUAUGUUAACAUUGGUAUUUCACACAAAUGCUAGCAGUUGCCAUUCGGUGUUGUGACGCCCUCACUUCUACCUAAGGCGAACCAGAGGGUAUCCACAGGACGCAUGUCUAACUCUCGCCAGGACUGUAAGGAUCGAAAACAACCAAGUGGAAGAGAUAAACAAUAUAAAGAUCACAAACGUAACAAUAAGCAAAUAAAAAGGAAAGAAUUGCAAAUCAAUUAACUACCCAACUCCUCUUGAGUUUGUAGAUUAAUUUAAACGAACUUCUUCAAAUUGAUGAAUUACAAUCACUCUUGUGUACAAAGGAAGGUUCACCUCCUCCUUGCCCCGAACUCUACUCAGUUUUAUUAUCCCUCAAGACAACCCUCACAGAACUACACUCAAGAAGUAUUCAUUCACAAAUGAAAAACUUACAAUUGAAUCUCAUUCCACUAAAACUACAAAUCUUCCUUGGAGAGUAUUUUCUCAUUAAAAUCACUCUAGAUCUUUUGUAUCUUCAGUGUGUAAAAGUUAUUUGAAAAUUUUGACCAUGUUCUAUUUAUAGGAGACUAAGAAAGUACUUCAUUAAUGCUUUCAACGGAUAGAAAGUAGCUGAACAGUCAACUAGCCGUUGGAAUAUCGGACGUCCUGAUGCGGAUACCGGUGUGUAAUAAAUAACUUCAGCCUUGGGUCAAGGAUUCUUUGAUCAACAUUGUGGUCCGAUGACAAGAUCAAGAUCCAAGAAGGUGAAAGAAGCUUUACGAGCCUUGAUCAUUCACCAUACAAGCAAGGAGCAAGCUAAGUUUGAAGAUUUGAUGGACCAUGAAGUUACCUUGUUCACUUGUACGUUUGAAGUGAAAGAAUGAUCUCAUACUUGUUAGCUUAGUUGAUAGUUGUUUUAAGACUGCCUAGUUUAGUAGUUGUUAGUCGUUGAGUAUUUUUUUACUUAUUGGGCCUUAUCGGGAAGCCUUAAAGAGUUGGCUCUUUAUGCGGACCGAAAUCCUAUUCCAGGUUUAUUUGGGCCGGAAUUUGCCCUAGUUUUUAGCCUAUAAAAGGCACCUAUUGUAUGAGUGAAAGGGAGAUUAUUACAACCAGAAAUCAUGAGAAAUUUUUCUUCAAGUUCUUAAUCGAACUUACUCUUGAAUUCUUGAGUUCAUAGCUUAGCAUUCAAUCAGACUUUAUCGAUUAGUUUGUUCCCUAAUCGUGGUGUCUCUUCAUCCAUCUUUAUUUGCUUAAGGUUGUUGACUACCUUUGUGUAUCAGAGGUCUUGAGUUCAUGAGAACAAUCGAGUUCAAUUUCCAUUGGAGAAAAGAUCCAACUCUGAUAAUUACAAGGUUGGGAGAGUCUAGGAGGGUCUUCCCCUAGGGUUGCUCAUUAGUUGGUAGUCAGAGCAUCAGGUUCUUGACACCACAACAUAAUUUGGGGAAGUUCUUGAGCUCCUUGAACAAAAUUCUUGAAGUUCUUGAACCACCAAGUCUUGUUUUGAAAGUUCUUGAACAAUAAAUCAAGAACUAGGGCCUUCUUGAAAUUUGCAUAACCUUUCAUCCGUUUUCUUGAACUUGUUGGUGUGACCUGAAUUUGUGUUCCUUGAAGAGCCGAAGCAAAAAAAAAAAAAAAAAAGGAGAAAAAAAAAGGAAGAAGAGAAGGAAUCGGCUCUCACACAAAGGAAAUCAAGUUUUCCAAAUCUUGAGUUUCCAAUUCUUGAUUGGUCUCCAAUUCUUGAUUAGUCUCCAAAUUUUGAUUGGUUCCCAAAAAAAACUUGAGUCUCCAAAUCUUGAUUAGUUUCCAAUUCUUGAGUUUUCAAUCUUAAUUGAAUUUCAACGACCCCAAACUACCUAACCAGACCUCAAGCACCCCAAAUCAGUUUUCAAAGCCAAACCUAAACUACCACAAACACCUUAGCCAAAUCGCCUUUGAAUUCUUGAAUUUCUAAAAUCGGUUAAAUUAGUUUUUGCUAACUGAUUUGACUGAAAUUUGAGGACUGGUUCUUGCGUUAUUUGAACAUCCCAAAAGCACCACUUACCCUCCAAAAUACUAACUAGAAACUCAGCAAAACAGCUGCAAAAAAAAAAAGAAAAGAAAAGUUCCAGCUUUGGGUAGAGUUUUUCUAGGGUUUACAAAAUUCUGCUUUGUGUCUUAUUACUUGCUUAUAGGGUAAUUAAUUCUGAAAUUUUUUUAGAGUUUGAGUUGUUUUAAGAACUUCGAGGAGGAAAAUUGAGAGUGAGUGUGUUUCCUUGAGUGAUACACGAGUGCUUGCAAGGUAGACUAGAAUACACUUGUUUUGCAGGUUGGACAAUAUGUCUCAAGAGGGGAACAUGCCUAAGCCAUCUGAGACCGACGUGUCACUCAAAUUGGUGCUCCAAACUCUUCAAAAACAAGCGUAGAGACAUGAAGUUGUAAUGACACAAUUAUUAGACAGAUUAGCUGCCAUUGAGAUGCGAGUACCGGAGAUACACACAAUAGGAUUUCGAGUGUUCAAAGUGCUGAUCAUGAUGCGGAUGAUGAGGAUAUCAUUCUAACACCUCCUUUCGAUCAAGGAAAAGCCAAAGAGAAGCGAGGAAGGUUGAGACCGACCUAGGAGAACCGAUGACAAUCUUGGUUCCAUCAAGACCAAGAUGCCUACCUUUCAUGGGAAAAAUGAUCCUGAAACUUACUUGGAUUGGGUUAGGCGAGUCGAGCAAGUGUUUGAAGUCCACAAUUACUCUGAAGAGAAAAAGGUGAAACUUGCAGCUAUUGAGUUUCAAGAUUAUGCAUCUAUUUGGUGGAGCAAGUAUGUGCCAUAAGGAGGAGAAAUAGGGAACAACCGAUUGACACUUGGACUGAAAUGAAGCAAGUGAUGAGGAAACGAUUUGUACCCUUCCAUUAUACUACGGACUUGUACAAUCGGCUCCAACGAGAGAACGAAUCUUUCAAGAGGAGGGGUUCCAUGCAAUCUAUCUCUUUAAAGUUGGUUUAUGCAAGAGGUGAUAAGAAAGUUCAUUCAACAUUUUCUAGGCCUAAACCUAGAAUUGAAUCACCUCAUGAGGAGUCAUUUUGGGAGACAUAUCAACGUCUUCUACAUAAAAAACAAAUGGAGUCAAAUGGAUGCUAUUAAAGUGAGUUUUCUAAGAAUGAGGUAGCUGACCCUAUUCCCAACAAAGUAGUAUCUCAUCCUAUUGAACCAUUUGUUGAGGAGGUUGAUAAUGAGAAAACAAUCGAAAGCGUUAAGCUAGAUAAAGAGAUGAAAAAAUCUGAUGAGAUGAGUGGUAAAAAGGAAGAAAAAGAGAAAGUGAGCUGAUUUUGAGCAAAAAUGUGAGGGCUUAUUGUUUUUCUAACGAACUUACCUUUGCUUUAUUUAGUGUUUCUUCAUUUGUGCAGAUUAAGCAAAGUCAAGUGAAGUUAGUCAUGCCAUGCUCCAUUCCAAAGUCACUUGUACAAUUCACUAGUUUCCAUGGAAUUUGUCUUUUAGGAUUUAAAUCUAUUUGGGAUCACCUCAUGGAACAAUUUCAAUUCAAAUCUGUCCAUACCAAAGGGGAAUCAAUUCAAACCAAUCAUGAAGGGAGAAUUCCAAACUUUGACUCUCAUUUACUACCUAUGGUUCAUUCAUCAUCGUUACCUUCUUUUGAGUAUAAUUUCCAUCCUAACACUUGUAUUUCUUAUGCAGAUUUUGAAGGAAAGUGUAAAAGGCUAGCAAUGCCUUCUCAAGUUGAAUCAAUUGGUGGAAGGAAUAAUGAAGUGGCAAAGGGAGUAUUCACACUUAAAACUUGCUCUAUACCUUCUUACCAUUUAAUUGAUGAUGUACCAUUACUUCUUUACCCAAUUUCUAAUUUGUUUCAAGUUAAAAGUUAUUUUGUUUUUGUAGGUUGUAAAGCUGUCCAAAAUUUUCCUGUUUUGAUUAAGGACUUACAACCUGAUUUCGUGCUUAUUCCAACUAAAGGUGGUGAUCCUUCAUGCUUAUUCACACAGCCAAAAGCUGGUGGCCAAGUACUCUAUUUGUCAACUUCAACUUGUGCUAGUUUGAGUAACCCUCAUGAAGUGGACUUCAAUUGUUUGCUACCUUAUAUGUUGGAAGAUGAGAAAUUGUGUGUCACGCAAGAUCCCAAAGCUGUCCUCCAUGAGUUGUUUAGUGGCUCAUCCAUGCAACAAGUUGCUCCCAAUUUAUCCAUGCAAGAUGAUUCAAAUCAAUGUCAACUAGUGCUGGAUUUUACACCUUUGCACAAUCAAGAUGUCAAUGUAAAGAUUCAUGACCAAAGGCUAAUUAGAGAGUUUUGGAUUGCCAUUUGAGAUUUUCACACGCCUUACACAAUCUCUUUCCUACCUUGGCGCAUGUCCUUGUUUGAGAGCUUCCCGAAGCUGACCAAACGACAUGCAACAUGGCUCGUAGUCAUUCAUCUAUUUCCAACAUUGCUACCCUUUAAGCGCACCAUCGAUUUGUGGACAAAUCACUUUCAAGAGGAGAUUUUGAAGAUUCGAGAACGAAUCUUUUCAAGGAAAGAGGGAAUGAUGCGGAUACAGGUGUGCAAUAAAUAAUUCCAGCCUUGGGUUAAGGAUCCUUUGAUCAACAUUGAUGGUCCGAUGACAAGAUCAAGAUCCAAGAAGGUGAAGGAAUCUUUACGAGCCUUGAUCAUUCACCAUACAAGCAAGGAGCAAGCUAAGUUUGAAGAUUUGAUGGACCAUGAAGUUACCUUGUUCACUUGUACGUUUGAAGAAUCUAGUGAAUCUCUACUGGUGAUCUUUCAUAGUGAGACGAUGGGAGUAGAACUUAAGAGUUUGCGCGUUGGAGAUGAAUGUACUUGUGAUAAUCACUUGUUUAUUUUUGUUAUUGACUUUGACUUGGUAUGAACUUUACCUGGCCAUAAUUUGUGUUAUGAUUUAAUGAACUCUAGUUUGUGUUUACUUGCAUAGUGAUAAUGUUAUUUGUGAAAGUAUCUUCAUCCUCUUUAAAUGUUGCUACUGGUAUAUGAGUGUAGUUCAAUUUUAACUAAGUGUAAGGGUUAUGCAUGUGCGUAUAGAUUAGUUGUGGACAUGGAAACUAGAGGACAACGAAAGGGAUGUCAACCUAGACAACCCCGAAAUGAAAGAGUAGCUAAUGGGUCCGAUAUCGAUCAAAACAUUGAGCUAAGUGCUGGGAGAGGAAAUGACCAGAUAGGACAAGUUUUAACUCGCAUGACGGAUAUCCUAGAGCUCUUGGUAGCUCAACAAGGUCAAGGUGUUGGACAAGGAAACCAACGUGGAAACCAAGAGAUAGGGGAGGAUCGAGCUUUAGAGCGGUUUCAGAAAUUUUUCCCGCCCAAGUUUGCUGGAGGACCUGAUCCAGAGGUGGCUGAGAAUUGGUUAGAGAAUAUAAGAAAUAUAUUCGAUGCCUUGGAUUACACAGAGGAGAGACAAGUCACAUUUACUGUAUUUCAACUUGAAGGAGCAGCCCGAGCAUGGUGGAAUGUUAUAAGAAACAAGUGGGAAAGAGAUCAAACUCCGAGAAUUUGGAUAAACUUCGUGCGUGAAUUUAAUGAGAAAUUUCUUCCUCCACUUGUCCAAGAAAAGAGAGAAGAUGAUUUUAUAAAGCUUCGUCAAGGAACUUUAAGCGUAGCUGAGUAUGAAACACGCUUUACGAAGUUAUCUACAUAUGCCCCAGAAUUGGUGGCUACUGAACGGAAGAGAAUAAGACGGUUUAUCCAAGGAUUAGAUUUGGAAAUCCAAGAUGCCCUUGCUGCAGCACAGGUUGAAACAUUUAGUGACGCUCUUGAAAAAGCGCAAAGGGUAGAAAGCACAAAAUCUCAACUGAGAGCUUUUCAAAAAAGGAAAAGAGAUACAUCUGACAGUACACUAGGAAAAAAUGGACCACCGCCCAAAGUUAGAAAAGAAGUGGAUGAAGUAGGACUGUCACUUCCUGCACCACUCAUGAUAAAGGAACCAAAAGGAACUAUGUCACGAGGGACUUCAGAAGGACAAACACGAUCAAAGAAAACCUCGCAAGCAAGUCAGGUCACAACACCUCGUCCGACUUGUGGAUAUUGUGGAAGGACGAAUCACACUGAAGAAAACUGUUGGCUAAAGGGACGAAAGUGUAUGGGAUGUGGGAGUACCAAUCAUAAAGUUCAUGACUGUCCAAGGAGGUAUCCACGAGAAACUACUGCUCAACAAGGAAAUGGAACUGUUCCUCGACAAGUCAAUGGAAGGAGAAACCGACUAGUGACAUCUGAAAGAACGCAUGACAUGAACACCCCACACGGUUCAGAGUUGUCUGAGAUUACAGAAGGUAUGAAUUUCGAGGACGAAAUUCUUUUAAGGAGGGGAGGUUGUGAGGACUCGCAAAAUUUACUUAUUUAAUCUCCUAUUUCUAGCUUAUUUAAUUAUUUAUUUGGUCUUUUACUCUGAAUAUUAUUUUCUAAGCUCUUGAGACCUAAUUAUAUGAAAAUAUAGUUUCAUUAUAUUUUUAAAAUGACUUGUUUCAAAAAUUAAUUUCCGAAAGCCCGAUAAGUGAAAUAGUGCACAUGCAUUUGGAACGAUAGCCGAUUUGAGGAUACACUGAGCUCAGAAAAAUUGGAGAUACGUGCCUUAGUCUUAAAAUAGGAAUUUUAAUGUUUAAAUACUCAAGUGAUGGUUAGUAGUACGGACGUUAUAAGAAUUUCUCGGAGGUUUCGCGUUAUAGCGAUAAAAUUGACGGUACACGUUUCCACACGCGUGACUUUAUUUGAGGGACCUUAGACCCUUAUUUCGGGAUAAUUAAGAGUGAAUAUUAUCUACAUAAAUAUAAGUGCAUUAGAGGUUUAGUGCACUAGUGAACCAAACGCGCGAGAAAUCGAGCCGAAACGCGCCCAAACGCACCCUAGUGAGAGUUGACUUUGGGGAUGAUUUUUGCACCACACAUUGUGUCUUCCUUAAGAAGCUAAAUUUAGACCAAACACUCUCUCUCUUAGUCUCUCUCUUGGCCGAAUUCUCUGCAGCAAAAACACAACACAAAGUUGCCAUUUUCAUCUUCAAUUCUUGCACAAAAACUUCAUGGAUUCACACCAAAUUUGAACUACACUUAGCUUGUCACGUGGAGAGAUCAUCUAGCUAGAAAAAGGAGGAGUUUCUCACGGUUUCUUGGAGCAUCUUGAGGACCGAAAUUUCUGGUUUAAAGCAACAAGGAGGUAUAACCUCAUCCUACACCUUAAGUUUGGUUUAUGAUGGUAGAAAUGCAUCCUUAAGCUAUUGCAUGUGUAUGGGUAUCUUGAUAUUGUUGGAAAAAUGUGAAAGUGGGCUCUAUGGAUUUCCACACUUGGGUUGUUGCUGAUUUGAUGAUUGAUGGUGGAUAUAUUGUUGGUUUAGUGGUUAAAAUGAUGGAUUAAUGGUGUGUAAUUGAUAGAAAUUUCAUUGGGUGCAAGAGGCAAAAGUUUCCGAUUUUACCCCUGCCUUAUCCGACCACUUUUGUGCAAAAUUUUGAGGUUCUAAUGACUUGAUUAUGUUGUUUACAUGUUAUUGUGAGUGUGUACAAAAUUUCAUUGAAAAAUAACAUGAUUUGGUUGGUCAAAUGAAUUGAUUUCGAAAGUUAGCAAAUCUGGAAAAUGAUUCCCGUAUUGCCCAGGCAGUCAUUUUGUAUCGGCUAUAACUCUUUACUCCGAUGUCGAAAUCAAGUGCCGUUUGCGGCAUUGGAAACUAGACAUUCUCAGCUUUCCAUUGGUACCAAAUUCACGUUCUGGUUCCACUUGAGUGAGCCACACCAUUCGUUUGAAAAUCACUGCCCUGUUUCGUUGCUCUCCAGGAGACAGGACAGAAAUUGCUUCUUGAUGCUCAAAAACGAGCUGUUUGUAGAUAGAAUUUGAAAAUGGUUUCUUCUGAGAAAAUUCAGCUUUAUAAGAGAGCUUUCUAACGCCAUCAACCACGCUCAAUUCCAAGUUGAAUUGAGUGAGUUGUGGCCAUAUUUCGAAACUGAUGCAGUGAGUAAAAAUCCUCUUUUGACUAGUUAAAUGGCCUAGCUUGAUUUGGGACUUGUUGUUUUGGAAAAUUUGAUGUCCAACACCUACCAAACUUUAGAUUAGAUGUUCCUUGGACUUUGUUUCACAAAUAAACCAGAUUUGGGUUGGUUGCUUUGGACAAAAUGUUUAAAAAGGAAAGAAGAGCUAGAAGACAGUUUUACCUUGGGAAAUUUCCUGAACUUUGAUGGUUUAGUUAACUACCUUCCCGUGUGAAUUUUCAAAUGAAAUUUGAUAGAAGAGUAAUCCUCAUAUGGAGGUUUAAUUGUACAAAAUUUGCUAAUAUUCUAAGACCAUUUUGAUAUGCAAAUGAUGUCACAAAAUUCGCUCAUCGAAUCUGGAAAACUUUUCGUUUUCUCUUAGCCAAAUGGUCAAAUCUGAUUUGGAGAGUUUUAUUUCUAGAAUUUGGAUGUCAAUGGUCUUUAAAUUGCUCAGUGGAUGUUUAUGAACUCUUGGUUUCAAUAAUGGAGAGAUUUAAAACUGAUUUCAUGGUACAAAAAGUUUGUAAACGAAAGAAAAGUGAGAAGGUAGUUUAGCCUUGAAACUCUUCAUAAACUUUGGUUGUUUUAAUGACUACCUUACCGUGUGAGUUUUUGUACGAAACUUAGUGGAAAUGUUGUUCACACAUGGAAGAUUUAGUGUACCAAGUUUUAUGUAUUUCCACUGCCAACUCGGUGACCAAAUGAUGCUUCGAAUUUAGUUUUUAAACCUGGAAAAUAGCCCAACCGUCUUAACUUUUUCAGCAACUUGGAGCUACUAUAUCUUGGUGCUCGAAACUCCGUUUCUCAUUCCGCUAGUUUUGUUAUACUCAUGGAUUGCAACACUAAUUGAUUUCCAAAUUUCAAAGGUUAGUUCAAAACAAGUGAAUUUUGCCGAAUUUCCAAAAUUGGCCAAAAACCAACCUUGAAACUGUCUUAGUAUUCUACAGCAGUAACUUUGAUCCAACUUUUGAAUACCUUCCAUUUGGGAUCAUGGAAAAGUGUCUUCUAGAAACUUGUAGUACUCGGAAUGUAGUUUCUAAUGGUAUCAAGCGUUCCAAUUUUGGACCUACGUAGUGCAAGAUACGAUUUUUCUAAAAUUGACACCCAAAGCUGAAAUUUGGCAAUUUCUUAGAAAAUGAGAUUUUGGAAACUUGCCUUCUUUUCUCGAUACCGAUUGAACAUUUUGAACUCGAUUUCAUGAAAAAUGUUAGUCUCUCUCUUUAGACUUUCAAACUUUACUCUUGAGCCUCGAUUAUUAAUAAUUAAGGCCCAAUUUAUGAAUUCCCCUUAGAUUGUACAACCUUCUUUGAUAAGUAGGAGUUCUAAGUGAUAGUGCAUAAUAGUUAAUGGUUAUUUGCUCAGGCGCUCAAGGGGACCUUCAAGAGGAACUCGAAGUGGACGCCUAGACACUUGUUUGAGUAUUUACUCUCUUGUUGCAAUAGGUGAGUGUUCCAUAUAGGAAUACGUAAUUGGAAUAAGUCUAUGACAUGCUUAACUCCUGGUCAUUAGGUGUUAAGUGCUAUAUGUUAAGUAUUUACCACACUCAUGCAUAUUUGAAUAAUGUAUACUUGAAUUACUCGACAUGAAACACCUGAAGUAUGUAUAUUUGAACUAUUCGAUAUGAAACACUUGAAGAGUAUAUUUACGUGACUACUUGAACUAUUCGAUAUGAAAUGCUUAAAGAGCAUACUUAUGUGAUUACUUGAAAUACUAGAUAUGAAAUGUUUGGAGAGCAUAUUUACAUGAUGUGUUUAAAUGAUUAAUUAUGCUAUGGAAGCAUAAGUCGGUUGGAGUGAAUCUCCUCGACUCUUACGUGGUGAAAGUGAAAAACGGCCAAUGGCGGCCUACUGAAAUGACAUAUGUCUACCAAUUAACCGUAAUUACUACCGUUAACCGUUUACCGUUUACCGUUAACCGUGUUUACUUACCGUUUUCUAAUCUAUUUGGUUACUUGCUUACUUGGUUAUCUGCUUACGUGAUCACCAACUUACUUGGUUACUUGACCACCUGAUUACUUGAUUAUCAUGAAUCACAUGUUAUAUGAAGCUGUCCAUCAUUAUUAGGCGAGGGUGUACUUUACCUCACUCGACCUACUCAAAUGAUGAAUUUUACCUUUUGUCGAAUUACUUGGUUACUUGUGCAUGUUGUAAGCUCUAAGCUGAACUUGGGCCCCGCCUCGGUUACUGACCUACUCGAGCCAGGACUGGGCUCGGUCGGGUAGGUUGGAACCCUGGACAACCGUUUCGGUAUACUCGAGUAUUACCACUGGAGGGAUAAGGCGAUGGCCAGACCGUACCGUGGGGAUCGGAAGUCAUAAGGUGCAGAUGACCGACAGAGUUCCACUGGAACACCGUAUCCUACCGUAUAUGUUUACCUUGUAUCAUGAUAAUUGUUUCAUGCUAAAAUGUCAACAUGAAAUCCUGAACUAUGCCUGUGAUAUGCUCCAUACCUGUUACCUGACCAAUGUACUUAUAUCAUGAUACUUGUCUCAUGAUAAAUGUCUCAUACCAUGAUAAAUAUCUCAAAUUACUCGUACAAUGAUUAUCACCUCAUGAUAACAUGCCAGUGUGUGACCUUGAAUCAUGCAUAUGAUAUGCCCAACUUAUUUGAUUUAUUUGAACUGUUAGAGUGUCUUGGAACCUCACUGGGCUGUGUAGCUCAUCCCACGUUGUGGAUUUCUUUUACAGGGUUCGAGACCAAGGGUGCUCGUGAGUAGUACUAGAUUGUUUUCUUUUGAAAACUUUAAGUUAUAUUAUAACGGAUGGCUAUUGUACCCUUUUCCGUUGGGUUGUAUUUAAGCUUGGAAGCUGCAUAAUUGUAAGUGUGAGAUAUUUGGAGUACUUUAAUUAUGUAUUGAAGUUACUUAAAGUAUUUCGAGCUUUUGAAUGAUGGAUUGUAGUGAGUCCUGGCGAGAGCUGGGCAGGCGUCCCGCGGAUACCCUUUGGUUCGCCUUAGGGAGAAGUGGGGGCGCCACAUAUCGGACACAACCGAAGCUAUGCUUAUCAAAUUGGGGUGAAAUAUAUACCGUUUUGAAGUUAAGAUAAAGGGCUACAACUUUGUUGAAGACCACUUAGUCCAGUUCGUAGUGUAUCCAGGUCACAAUUUCCAAUUACAGAACCAGAAUCUCACAAUCAGGCUAGUUAACCGCACUAUGCGUAAACGACAAUAACUCAUGUUACAAAAGUCCGAUCAAGACAUUUUCAGAUGCAUUGGAAACCUACAACAUAGCACUACAAUUUUUUUUUUUGGCCAAAUACUAAUUCAGUACGGAUCAGGGUGAAAAAACGUGGUCAUAUUGGUGAAAUGUCAACAUUGUCCACAAAGCUCUACCUAUGGCAGUCAGGGGUAUUUUUGUCUUUUCAUAUGCUACAGUGUUCAAAUUGAGCUCAGCUUUUACAGGCAGCUAUAAAACAUCAUUUCCUAUAACUUUUAUUUUUUGGGCUAAGCAUAAUUCAGCCCCUAUCAUGGUCAAAUAGAACCGGUUAGAACAGGGCAGUGAAGAGCUUCAAAUCUGGAAUUCAAUGAAUUUAAGGUGCAACUUCACAUUUCUAACUUAAAACCACUACUACUACCUCCUGUACAAGCCUACAUACACCAGAUACCAUCCAAACAACAAGAAUUACAAGUGAACCAUUCAAAACCGUAACUCAAAAUUCAUCACUGCAAUAAUCAAAAUCACUUAGAUUAGGUAUCCCCAAGCAUGAAUUCAAGUUACUACAUAACUUCAAACAAGAGUAAGGGAAAAGGAAAGGAUGGUCAGCCAUAAUACCUCAAUAAAAGGGCUUGCAAGAGUUAUCCUUCACCUCUCCUUGUGAAAUUUAGCUCCCUAAGCUUCCCAAGCUCUCAAUUUGCAAGUUAAUCGGUUUAGUUUUCUUGUUUUCUCACUAAAUCAAACAAAACCCAAGAUGGAGUUAGUGCUUUUUUUCUCUUGUUUUUCUCUCAAGACUCACAGCUAGGAGGCUGGAAAAAUGGAGAAGAAUGAAGGCCAAGAAAGGUUAUAAGGCUUGGUCUUAGUUUGAGUCAAAGGUGCAUGGAUGGAUGCCAUUUGUCACCACUAAUUUCCAUCUCAAAUUUUUUCUUUUCCUUUGGUUUAAAUGGUCAAAACUUUCGGCCACCUUGAUCAGCUUUAGAGCUAAUAUUUAGGCUCCAAUAACAAUGAGAUUAGCUUGAUAAAAUGGUGGUCAAACGGUGUGUUCAAUCGGUAGCGAACGAGACUCGUCGGUUCAAGUCGAUUUUCCUUAAAUCGCGUAUACUAGGGUUUUAUCUUAUAAUUCACUAACUUAUUAUUAUCACUUAUAAUCACACUCUUAAUAUUCUAUAAACUACCCUUAAUCACCGAAUUUAGUGCAUCCAUCUCGCCAAGUGAUCACAUGGUCAAAAUACGCAAAAAAGCCCUAAUUUACCCGAACUAAGAACCUAAAGGGUAAACCCUUGAUUCUAUUGUUGUUUGCACUUAUUGUGGGGUGAAUGAGUAGUAAGGCUUUUUAAAAGUAAUAAAUGCCAAAUAAAAGGGAAUUUUAAGAAAAAAAUAAGGGAUUUUACAACUCCAUAGAUUAAAAUUAGGGUUUCGACUAAAAUAUGAAAGAUUUAAGAAAAUCAGUUAGUCACAAGUAAACUAGGGUUUUUUAUUAGAAUUUAGGGUUUCUAGUCCCUUUAAAACAAAUUAAGGUUUUAAAUCAACCCCAAAGAAAUAAACUUCAGUAUCUCCUUUUAAAAACAAUCUCCUAACAUUCGGUGUAUCACAUACACUACCAGAUGCACCCCUUUUCCGUGUUUGGAAGGCCUUUACCUGUGCCUUUGCAUCCUCAAUCCUUUGGGCUUUCUCAAGAGCUCCCGUAAUGGUAUUAACCUGAACCACAGCUAAAGCUUCCUGAAUUUCCAGGUUUAAUCCUUGUAUGAAUUGUCUCACUCUUCUCCACUCCGUGGCCACCAAUUCAGAAGCAAACUUAGACAGUUUAGUAAAUUUAGCUUCAUAUUCGGCCACACUCUAGGUUCCAUGCUGUAACCCAAUAAUGUGACAGCCCCACCUCACCCUAAGGUGAAUCAAAGGGUUCGGCGGACCGCCUGUCCAACUUUCGUUGGGACUACGGAUCCGGAACAAGCGUAACUCUUACCAAAUGCUCAAAAGAACUUCGAGAAGAUAAACAUUCAUAACCCAAUUGAGCCAAACUAAAAGAUAAAAUAAAUCUGUGGUACAAUGUUCCCACGAAAAACCAAAACGAAAUGGAAGUGUCGCUACCACGUCACCAUCCAACCAAGUACAAGUAACAUUUGUUUAACAUGAGAGAAUGUACAUUCCCAAAUAUAUGUCACAUAAACAUGAUGAAACACUUUAAAAUAUACAUAUUAGUAAGUUUACAAGCCAAAAGGAAACAUUGUAGUAAGAUACAUUUAGGGUUUCCAAAUUGUCAAGGAGCUAUACCAAAAGAACAAAAGAAUUUCUAACUAGCUCCACUCAUUCAUCAAAACAUCGAAGUUUCAAAAGAUGGUUCCCUGUAAGGAAAACAAGGAUAACGGGAUGGGGUGAGCUAAAAACUCAAUGACGUACCAAAAGUAUAAAUAGUAUAAAUAGUGGAACUCAUGAGAAAUCACUUUUAAGGCACAUAAUCAUAUCAAAUACGAGAAAUGAAUGAACACCACAAUGUAAAGGAUAUAGGUGGCUCUCAGGAGCCAAAUCCCCGUUGCAAUAUUUGAUCCAGCCUCGUUGACCCUCCGUCAACUUUCAAAUAAAGGAACCAGUCCAGUAGAACACCACUUUAAUGCCAAAAUCUCAUUCACCAAACAUACCCCUUACCGGGUCCGAACGCCAAACAGGAAUAGAAAUGGUAAUACUCGAGUAUACCGGAAAUCCAGAGUCUCCAAUAUCCAUAGAUUCCCUAGGAACAGGCACCCAUGGAUUGUCAAUUUCUUCGAUCAAGCCCUUGCUGGCUCGAUUCAAUUAACUCACCAUGAGGUUGAGCUUAGAUUUAACAAGAAGGUCGUUGCAUGCACUUCCAAACGACAUUAUAACAGGCGCAGGUAACAGAUUCAAGUAUAUACAGGAAACAAGCCACACAGGCCAGAGAACAAGUGUGAUAAAGUACACACUCGUCUCGUACAAAAUAAACAGUCGAUAAAGACAUUCAAAUAGCAAUUUGCAACUACAGAUAACCAUUUCAGCAAUAAUUCAGGGGAGUGGUGCACUCACCGGUUCAAGUACAGAUACUUCAAAAAUUUUCACGCUAGAGUGACUUUAAUCUCCAAGAAACCCUAAAAUAACCAAAAUAAAACAAUUGAAGGUUCCAUAUCCAGAAUCGAGUAAACGGAAUGCACAAGUGAGGCUCGACUACUAGUCAUAUGCCUCGCCAACUAAUUACUAAUGCAAGGGUGCAAAACAUGUUUUUUGGGAAUGAAAAGGUAACAUGAUGACCUAGGGCUCAAACAACCCCAAAAGUCUUUCUUAUAUAUAUACCAAACCCAACCAAACUCGAAGAAAUCCAACACUUCCAAAAUUUGAACAGCAUAUCCCCUACAUUUCCUUACUUUUCCAUCCUACAAGCAAUACCAAUUCAUCUCAAAUCAACCACAUACAAAUCAUAGACGAUAAAACACACCUUUUAGCACAGUAACCAUAACUGAAACUACACUUAUCGGAUUGAAACGAAUCUUAUGGAAUUUCAAAGCCAAAACAUAUACCUACAUUUCUUAUGAAGACCUCCAAAGCCAAAUCAUGCAUUUUCAGGGUCAAAAAUGAAAAUUUCCAUGAAACAGAAAUUUGGCCGCGAAACAGGGCUCAUGGGCAGUCAAGGGUAUUUCGGUCAUUUCAUAUAUGCUACAGUACUCUGAUUGGGCUGAAAGUUUACAGGUAGCUAGUUAACUCAAUUACCAACAACUUUCAUGUUUUGGAGAAAGGCUGAUUCGGCCUUCUUCAAGGACGAACAUGCAGUGCAAAAUUAGGACAGAUUACUAACCCUAAGCUGGAAUUUCCGCACAAAGUCUGAAAUUUUCCGCAAACAACUACAACUAACACACAAAUGCUUAAUUUCUCACCAUACCAAGCUAUCAUUCAUGGCCAACCACUAAUUAUCAUAUGAAAACAGAAAAAUCCCCAAAAAAUUAGAAAUUUAGCAAUCUCCACUUUAAUCCAUAAAUCUUCUAUAAAAUAACCUAGUUAGCUACCAUAAGUCACCAAUUUACCAUGAUUAGGACCAAAGAUUGAGUUUCCAAGCAAAAUACUUUAACUCCUCAAGAAAGGUAGUAGCUUAAGGGUUUCUCCUCCAAAACAACUCCACCAAGACUUUCAAACUCCCUUAGCAAGUCAAUUUUGUGGACUAAUUCAAGAGUUAAUCGGUUGGAUUUCAAGAUUUAAGCAAGAAUGGAAGAUGAAAGGUUGAAGCUUUCUUUUCUUUUCUCUCAAGAGAGGUUCAGCCAAGAUGGUAUGAAAAUGAAGAUGAUUUGAGUCACAAUUGAGCUUUUAGUAAAGGUAAAAAAAAAGUUAGGCAAGUCAACCCGAAUAAGAAAGCGACACUUGUCACUUUGUUUUUGCUUAAGAUUAUCUUCUUGUCUCCUCAUGGUUAAUCCAUCUAGGUAACCCCUAAUUAUUUCCUAACACCUAGUAAUUAAAUCCCUUUGUGCAAAAUUUAACCUAAUUGGCCGAAUUUCUCUCACUUAACGCACUAGCGGGCCCCACGUCCAAUAUACACUCCAAAUUUCUCAAGAACUAACUUAUACUAGAAAAAUGAUUGAAAAACCAUAUUUAUUCAUAAAAAUUAUCUAGAAAAUUUUUCUAAUAAAUAAAAUAUAGAAAAGGCGUGCAAUUAAAUAAAAUAAAGCCUAGAAAAUAAGAAAAUUUUUGGGUUCUCAUAAAUAAACUCGUCCUCUCUCCUUUCUUGGACUAAAGGUGGGAGAUACUUCUAGUUAAAUUCCCUUACAAAGUUCAUCCAUGUCCAUGCAGUCUGUUCUCUGUCCCAUUUUGCCUUAAUAAGAUUCAACCAUGUUCGGGCCGGUCCUUCGAAUUGAAAUACAGCAAAGUUCACUUGUCUUUGCUCCGUACAGUUUAAAGCCGCGAAGAUGUUAAUCAUUGCUUCCAACUACUGUUGAUCCGGAUCAGGCCCUCCAUGAAAUUUCGGAGGUAGAAAUUUUUGGAACCUCUCAAGAGCCCUACCCUCUCCUAUCUCAGGAUUCCGGGGUCGAUUCACUGGCAUUUGGUCUUGUUGACCUACCAGUCGUGCUAGGAUAUUUGUCAUUUGUUGUAUUGCCGUCGCCAUUUGAUCUCCGGCCUCAAUCCUCGGUCCAUGUUCUUGCUCGGCCACUGUUUCUCUUUCUUCUCUCGGUUCUUGAGCUCGCUUAGUCCCACGGCCAUGACCACGUCCGCGACCACGUCUCCCUUCCAUACCCUUUUCUCUCUCUCUUUUUUUUUCAAAAGGUGAUUUAGUAUAUAACGAAAUAAAUUGACUAAAACAAUAAAAUAUCUCACAACAAAUACACAAGGAGACACACAAUAUACACAAAGAGGCAUCUCAAGGUAGACAAAUAGCCAAAGGCAGCAAGUAUGAUACAUGUAGGUAUUAACAUACCAUAGGCAAAAGACAUGUAGGAACAAUGCAAGGGUAAAACGAAAGAAAAUGUGACUUGUCAUCACACACUCAGUUAAAAUCACCCCCGUUCGGUCUCUUACUUCACUUUCUAUCCGAACUAGGCGUCCAUUGAUCUCUUGUACUCACUCUAGCCAAACACGAACCUGUUCAUAUUCCCCGGAAAGAAAUUCUCAAGUACUUAGUAUCGCCCUCAACUCUGGAGUACUUGGGUACAAGAAUUCGAAAUAAGAUAAUUCACAUCUCGAGCUGGCCAGUCCCAAGAGUUAAUUGUCUACAAUCGAGAUUCCUAUCUGACGUCCUUAUCUAUUGUUCUCAAAUACCAUGAUAACGAUUUAAGACCUAUAACAAUUCAUAAUUCAUAGCUUAUGCUCAAAAGAGCACUUAGUCCUUCACACUUAUUCACAACUUGGUCCAAGUUCACUCCUCGCAGAGACCACGCGAAACAGGCUCUGAUACCACCUGUGAGAGACCCACCUCCCCCUAAGGCUAACGAAAGGGUUCGGCGGACUGCCUGUCCAAUUCUCGCCGGGGCUCACUACAGUUCUCAAAUAAAUUACAUCAAUCACUUCCUAACAUAGGGUACAAUCCUCAAUAAUAAACGAAAUAAUAUUCCCAAGUUCAGAAUGUAUACUUACAUACAUUUCCAUCUCAAAAGUAGUACAAAUCCAAAUGUUCAAAGGUUCUCAAUUCUUCAUACAUCCAACCCUUGCCAAGCGCUAGGGCAAGAACCAUUACAAAAAUUCAAAAGUGCUAUACUAGGAGAGUCUAUACAAAUCUCUCGUCCUUGCGUGCAUCCCCUGUUAAGGAAAACAAAACUAAAGGAAUGAGUUAAAAGCUCAGUGAGGUUCCAGACACAUAAUCAACUUAAACAAGGACAUUAAUCAUAUCAUAACAAGUAAGUCAGGAAACAUUUACAAUAUGAAACAAUGAUAACACAUUCAUUAAAAGGAUACAUGCUCAUGUAGAGCCUUUCGUUCUUUCAUUCUCCUUUCAUUCAUUCCACCAAUCAUUUCCUUAUUCCUUCAACAUUAAAAUAAUUUCAUUUGUAAUUGAAAACCUCCUUUCGUUCAUUCACUUCAUUUCUCCCCCUUCUGGACAUUGGCCAGACUCCACCCGACAACGCGGUAAUACUUGAUUAUACCAAACUUUCACUCAGGGUCACCAAAUUGCCCGACCGAGUCCGCUUCUGACUCGAAUCGACCGGCAACGAAGGGCAAGGGCCCAGUUCAGCCAAAAGACUUACAUUCAUGCACAACUAACAUUUAAUCACUUAAACAUUGAAAAUUUCACAUUUCAUUUAGGUCGAAUGCGAUAAAGUACACACUCACCUAACAAAAUUCAUUUUUAACAAACAUUUAUCAUUUAAUCAAAUAUCUACAACAAAUCAUAUAGUUAAUGAAAACAUAACAAACAAAGAACACUCACCUCUUUAAACAAAAGAACGUCCAAAGUAUUCUUCCGGGUGAUACCCUCAAUCACCAAGGAACCCUAAUAUAAUCAAAAGAACACAUUAUGCUUCAACCAUCAAAGAUUUAAGUAAUUCAAAGAAAAUUCGAAUACGUACUAGUACAAUAUAUAGAUAUGAGUUUUAAAGUGAAAAGAGUACAUUUAAAUCAAAGAACAUGAGGAACUAAGAGUUUCCCCAAACCAACCACAAAACUAUACUAAAACAUUUUUUUAGAAAAUUCCCGUGGAAAACAAAUGAACAGUGCCACGUCACAAUUCGGCCAGAACUUAGCCGGAUAUCCGGCCGGAUUCUCGACCGGAUUCAAGGCAGUGAGCAAUCCCAAUUUUUUUUCUUCUUCCCCUGUCAAUCCAGCCAAGAGUUGGGCGGAUAUAUGGCUGGAUAUGAAAAGGCAGUUGUUUUCAAAUUUUCGUAAAGUUCUUUGUUUGGUCCGAAACUAACCCAUAUGCAAAGAAAUAACGUAUAACAAGUGUUUUGAGUAAAAUCAUAUGAAAAGGAAGAUAAUCAAACCCUAAAUUCACACCUAAAUUCUCGCUUGAUAAAAUAGGUUUUGCGGCCGAAAAACCCUAUGUAACUCUUCUUUGUUUCGGAAAGAAAAUGAGUAAAUAUUUGAAGUUCAAAACUUGACAUUUGUAACUAAGUAUCAUGUUUAAAACGGUUGUCACAUUCACCAUGCGAAAAAGUAAAAGUUCAAAUGGAAUCUAGCUCAAAUAACACCACUAAAGUGGACCUAAGAAAGUCUAAGAAAAGUAAGUCCAACGCAUCCCCAAAUCUCACUUUUACUUAUUCAAACUUCAAGAAAAUAAGCGGACAGCAUUUUCCCUUAAUUUAUUCACUUUCCAACCUACAAUCAAACACCAAAUCACACUCCAAAACAACCACAAUUUCACAUACAAAUUAUAGGCGAUAAAAUAUCUUUUGGCUUAACAACCACAACUGAAGUUAUACUUAUCGGAUUGAAAUGAAUCUUAUGGAGUUUUGAAGCCAAGAUAUAUACCUACAUUCCUUAUGAAGACUCCAAAGCCAAAUCAUGUAUUUUCAGAGUCAAAAAUUGAAAUCUCCACGAAAACAGAAAACUAUCUGCGAAACAGGGCUUAUGGGCAGUCAAUGGUAUUUCAGUCAUUUCACAUGCUAUAGUGUUCUGAUUGUGGUGAUAUGUUACAGGUAGAUAGCUAACUCAAUUAUCUACAACUUUUAUGUUUUGAGCAAGGGCUGAUUCAGUCUCUCUCAUGGACGAAUACACAGUGUAAAAAUAGGGCAGAUUUGAAACCCUAAAACUGAAAUUUAACAUCACUCUAGCUCAACCCAUGAAAUCUUCCACAAAACAACAUCUAUAACAACUAUAAGCUACUAAUAAGCAAUUAAUUGAAAUAAAUAGGAUGUUCUUGGCAAAAUACCUUGGAAACUCAAGAAAAAUGGUAGCUUAGUAUCUUUCUUCCCACAAUCACUCCACCAACUCCUUUAUGCUUCUUAGUUGAGCACUUGUAUGGUGUAGUUUCCAAUUUAGUUGGCUAGAACUCAAGAUUUGAGUAAGUUUGGAAGCAAAAAUUGAAGAACUAUUUCUUGUUUCUCUCCUCAAGUGAUUUGGCCAAGAAGCAAGAAAAAUGAAGGAAUUUUGGUCAAAAUUGAUUUUAGGAAAGUUAAACAAGCUUGGUCAAAAGUCUAACAUCCAAUGAGGUAGUGACACUUGACCUUUCUAGUGUUUAAAACUUAUCUUUUUUCUUUCAAUGGUUAAUCCAUCUAACUAACCUCUACUCAUCUCCUAACACCUUGUAAAAUAUAACACUUAGUACAAAAAUCACUUAAUCACCAAAAUUUUAUCACACUGGCGGGUCCCACGUCUAUAAUGCAUUUCAAAUUUAACGUACACUAAUUUAUAUUAGGAAAAUGAUUUAAAACUAUACUUGCUUAUAAAAAUGCAUAGAAACUUUAAUAUUUUAAAGGCAAGUAUAAAAAUGUAGGCAAAAAAAAAUAAUGCCUAAAAAAUGUGAAAAUUUUCAGGUUCUCACAAAGUCAAUUACAACAAAUAAACAAGUAUAUAUCACAUUAGGGCAAGUGCAAUAAAGUACAUCCUUGCCCGACCAAACCAAGCAAAUCUUAUUCAAUCACAUUGGUAAAAAAUUUAAAUCAAGUAUCAAGUUUAAUCAUGUAUUUGGAAGCACUCACCAAAGAUUUAGUGCUUCUCAAAAUCACGCUCAGGUACAACUCCUUAGUUAGAGUCCAAAUCUGCGAUAAAAUAUCAUCUAAGAGUUUAAAAUCCGUUAGGGUUCGAAACAUGGGAGUUUCGCUUCAAGAAAAGCAAAUAAAUGCAACUUGUUUAAGUAGUAGUCAUAUGGCUUCUCCAACUCUCAAAAAUUCAUGCUCGCUCUUUUAGUUUCGAUAAAGAAGUGAUUUAUACUUUGGAAGUCACACUUGGUAUGAAAAAUCGAGAAAAUCGUAUUUUUAAGGGUCGCUACUUUUACUUUUUCAAGGGCAUGAGUUUCGGCAAAAUUUCAGCUUAUAUACCUCUACUAAAGAAAACUCGAAUACCAUAGAUGUCCAAGUUUGCUUCAACCUCUCAAUUUCACUCGCCUAACCCUCGAGCGAAAAUUUGGACAGCAUGCCAUUUGUAUUUUCCAUUUUCCCAUCCAAGUACAACUUGGAUUCACAUGCCAACAAACUUCCAAUCCAACCACAAGUGAUAACCAACAACAUAUAUCUAUUCAAGGCCUCAAAACCAACCAAACAAAUCAAAUAAUAAACUUAGCACCAUGGACAUAAAAGCUAGAAACCAGGUUAAAGAAGAAAUUAUAAGUGACAGAUUUGUCAUCCCUCGGUGUUUUGGUCAUAACUAUAGCUAGGUAUAUCGAAUUAAGGUAAAUUUUAUGGUGUUUUGAAACUAAGACAUAGACCUACACUUCCUAUGAAGACAUUGAUACCCAGUUAUUGAAUUUUCAGGGUCAAAAAUGGACGGUCAUAAGCACAUGAAAGACAGGUCAGGAAAAUUAGUGUUUGCGUAGUCAAGAGUGCUCUGGCCAAAUCAUAAGCUAAAGUGAUCCAACUGAUCUGAAAUUUUUCAGGUAGAAAGUUAACUCAAAUCCCUAUUACUUUCAUGUUUAGUUCAAAUGCUGAUUCAGUCUAAAACAUGGAGAAAUUGCAGCCCAAGUUGAGUCCAAAAACAGGGCAAAACUGAAAUUCACCACCAAAUGUUGGAAUUUUGCAUAUCAACCCUAAAACUACUCAUUAAAGCUGGAAAUUGCUUGACAAAGCUGAAAUCUCAUCUUUUAAGGCUAAAUAUCACAAUCACGCCACUAAUCAUCUCACAAUUCCAUUUCCAAGCUCAAUACCAACAUAUUAGAGAUAAACAUCAUAAAUCAAAGCUGAAAAAUCACAAACCCUAGCUGAAAUUCGCUAAUCUGCACCAAAACUAGAGUAUCAUCCAACAUAAUUCAAGAUUCAAGGCAUCUAUCCCGUAUUUUGCUAAAACAAGAAAGAAAAAGGAAAUUUUAGACUUAUACCUUCCAAAACACUUGAAGAAAGUGAAGAACCAAGCUACUGCUCUCCAAACAACUCCACAACAAGCUUCCUUAGCUCCUUGGUGCUAGUUUAAUCGGUUUAGUUUUGUGGUUUCAACUCAAACAAGGCAAGAUUUAGGAUUGGAGUUGGAGGUUUUCUCUCUUGUUUUUCUCUCCAAAAUUUCAGCCAACACAAGAGGAAAAUGAAGGAAACUUGGCCAAAAGGAAAGAUAAGAAGAAAGGAAAAUGUCUUGGUCAAACUUCCAUGGAUUUCCAACACUUGUUACUUUAAGAUCUUUUCUUUGUUUAGUUUUCUUUUCUUCCUUUUCCUUAGUCAAUAAUGGUGGCUGACUUAAGGGUUAAUUUAGGGAGGUUUAGGUGAAAUAAAACCAAUAAUAUUAGGGUAAGAAAGUAGUGGUCAAGUGGUAUACUCAAUCGGUAACAAACGGUGCAUGUCGGUUCAAGCCUAUUUUCCAUAACUCUCUCGUACUUGUGUUUUAACUUAUAGUUCACUAAUUUAUUAUUAGCACUUCUAAUCAUACACUUCCUCUUAUCUAAAACUCACUCUUAACCACCAAAUUUAGUACACACAUCUCCACACUUAAUCACACUUCCAAAAUACGCUAAAAUCCUAAUUUAUCCUAACUAUAAAACUAAGGGCAAAACUCUUAAUUCUAUUAUUUAUUACAACUAUUGAGGGAGUAAAUGUGAGGACCCGAAAAAUUUACUUACCUUUAUCUUAUUUUACUGGCUUAUUUAAUUAUUUAUUCAACCGUUUAUUUCGAAUAAUUUAUUUCAACCAUUUUAAAUCCAUUUACAUGGAACAAUGCCUUACUUAUAUUUUUAAAAUGUCCCGUUAGCAAAUUUAAUUUUUCUGCGGCUCGACUAGUAAGGAAUAGUGAAUAUACAUUUUUCGAGACGAUAUUCGGUCCGAGAGUACAACAAUCUUGAAAAAUUAAGAAUAAUUAAUAGUAGAUUAAGAAAAGUUAAUUGAGAAAUUUGAGGUGAGUGAGUUCAAAUUAAACUUUCACAACGAGCGCAUCGAAAAUUUCUCGGAAGUCGCACCGCGUGACUAAUUAGAGAUUUGAGAAUUUAAUAUUAGACUAGUAAGUGUGAAUAAUUAUAGUGUUAAAGGAAAUACCUUGGAGGAUUAGUGCAUGAGUGUAUCAAACCCGAGAGAGAUUAGUGAUACGAAACCCUAUUCCGACAACUAUUCAAAGUUGACUUUUUGGCAAAUCUUCCUAGCUACUUUUCCCUCCAAUCUUUCAAGACAAGUCACAACACACAACUUUCUCAUUUCUCUCUCUCCAUUCUCAGCCAACACAAGAAAAGAAAAGGGAAGGAAGAAACUUCAUCUUCUAGCUUCCAUUUGACUCACAAAUCCUCCACCAAAUCACUCACAACUUGGAGUACCACUCUAGCAAGGAGCAAGGAGCAAUCUUGUGGAUUUUCCUGGAGAAUUUUCAGUGAAAAAAUCUGAUAUUCAUCUAGGGUUCCAAGGGUAAUCACUUCCUCUCUUUAAUUUUUCCAUUUCUCUGAAGUUUAGCGGUUAAUCUUCAUGGGUUUGAAACUCUAACCGCGUUGUAGGCUAGCGGACUUGGGGAAACCAUUUAUUUCGCUUUAAAUCAUAGGCUAGCUGUCUUGAUGAGGCAUUUAGGUAGCUGACUUGAUGCUUUAAUGUUUGAUUAUGGUUGUUUAUGUGAUGAAUGAGAUGAUUUCGGUUAGAAAGUGGAGAGAAAUCGAAGGAAAGUUGUGAAGGCAAGCUGGCCUAAAAUUCUGUCCAUGUUAUCCUAUUUUAUUUCGAAAUUUUGAUUCUUGGUUGACUGUGAAAUUGAUGGAUAUAUGUCGUAUAUUGUGUGUACAUCGUGCCUUUCAAAAAUCGUAUUGAAUGGUUGUGUAAAACUUCAGUUUUGGUGAAGAUUCAAAUCUGGAAAACACAUAGCAGGGUACUCGGACAGUGCUUCUUUGUCCGAAUGUAACAUUUUAUACAAAAGUCAAAAUUGAGUGCUAUUUGUAACAUUCAAAACUAGACAUUCAUAGCUUUCCAAAGGUAUAAAAAUCCCUGCUAGUUCAUUUUGAGUGAUCCGUAGCGAAACGGCAAAGUUGGCUAUUCUGCUUUGCCUAUGUGUUAGAAUGAAACUGGGAAGCUGCAUCUUGUGGCUCGAUUUUGUCCCACUUGUGAAAAGAUUUUCAAAACGAAGUCUUCUGAUAAAUUGUAGCAUUUUCCAUUCCCUUCAUUGCUGACCGAAUGGUCAAAUCUGUUUUGGGAUGUUAUAUUUCAAAAUUUUAGUGUCAUUUAACCAUCAAUUGCUUAUUAAAUAUCUUUGAAAUCUUGGUUCCAAAAAUGGAGUGAAUUGAGGCUAAUUUCAUUGGACAAAACGUUUGAAAAAGAAAGAGAAGUAGGAUGGCAGAUUAACUUUGAAAUAUUUCACAAAUUUUGGUCAUUUUGUUAACUACCUUUCCGUACGAUUUUUUAUCUAAAUUUUGAUAGAGAGGUAGUCCAUAUAUGGAGGUUUAAGUGUACCAAAUUUGGCUUAAUUUCAAUACCAUGUCGAUACCCAAAUGAUGCCCCAGAAAUUGCUCUUCAAAUCUGGAAAUUCAUUGAUUAGGUCAUGAAAAUCAACCGACUUUAAACUGUUAUAUCCUGUUGCUCAACACUCCGAAUUUUGUUCCAUUUUUUGUGUUUAAAACUUUGUUUGAGACUCUUAUUGUGUUAUAAAUUUCAGAGACUGAUUCAUUUUUUGUGAAUUUUACCGAAUUUCUAAACAUUGCUGAAAACCAAGACUGGUUCUGUCUUGCUUUCUUGAAUCAGCAAAUUAAAGCUGAAAAAUGAAUGCUUUCUCUUUAGAAUCUUGGAAAAGUGUCUUCUAGGAACUUUUAGUACUUUGAAUCUAGUUUCCAACGGUAUAAAGUUUUCCAUUUUUAAACAUACCAAACUCAAGAUCUGAUUUUACCAAAUUUAUCGUGCAAAACUGAAAAUUCAGAUUUCUUGGGAAAUGAGUUUUUGAGAACUUUUCAUUGUCUUUCGAUAUCGAUCAUCCGCUUUAAACUCAUUUUCAUGGAGGAUGCAAGUUUCUAUUGUGACUUUAAAUCCUCACUUUUGAAUCUCGAUUUUCGAGAUAUUAAAUUUCUUUUAAGACAUUGUCUUAGUAUUACGCAAUUCUUGCUUGUUUGGCAAGGGGUUUGUAAGUAUUUGUGAGUGAUAGUUAAUUGUUAUUUCUUCAGGCGCUCAAGAGGAUCUUGAAGAGAAUCUCGGAACCGACCACUAAAGAUCUCAUUUGCACUUACUCACUUAUUUUGAAUUGGUGAGUAUCAAGUGCAUGAAUAAUUGCCAAUUAUGUGAAUUGUUUCUUAUUGAUUAAGUGGUUUACGACUGUCAAGUCGAGUGUGUAUUUUAUCGUACUCAUUCUCUUUUAAUUGAUUAUAUAAUUGAAUUGCUCAUAGUUGAAUUUAUAAUUAUGGUUGAAUAUGCCGAUUGGAGUGAAUCUCAUUGAUUUAUAAUUAUAUUUGUCGAUUCGAGUGAACCUCAUCGAUUUAUAAUUGAAAUCGAGGGACGCCCAAAUUUCAAUUGGCCAACCUUACGACUCGAGCCAGCAUGGGCUUGGUCGAGAAGCUCAGUGAACCAUGAGAUAAUCAAAAGUUUGAUCUAUUAAGAUAUCUUACUUGGCAUACUCAUGGAGCAGUGCCUUUUAUAAAAGAAGUGCGGGCCCGGGACAGGGGUGUAAUGGUAAACGGGAAUUGUAGAGUAAGUGGAGUUCUACGGACUUAAUACCUACUCGAUUUUGAUGGAGUGUCAUCCCAUGGAGGUAUUUGAUCGAGCCUUGACGAAACAAGUGGAAUCUAUCUCCUGAGAGCUCCUGUAUUCUUAUUAAAUGUGUUAAUAUUAUUUAUGGGUCACUUGAACUUCCUUGUUUUAUUUCUCGUACAAAUGCCAUUGAGUUUGUUUGGAUAACAGUUUAUUUGGGUGAUUCAUUUGAGAUAAUUACUGCAGCAUUUUUUGUGAUGUGAUGUAUGUGAGAUAAAAAGGUGAUUGGGGAGAUAAAAAGGUGGUUGCAAUUUAUGAAGUAUGUGAGGACUCGUAAAAACUAUUAUUUUAUGCCUAAUUUAUGGCUUAAUAAAUUAUUUAAUUGGAUUUUAUUUCCAAGGAAUAUUUUCUAGUCUUAUUAGACCUAAAUACAUGGUAAUAUAACUUCGUUAUAUUUUUAAAAUGAUUCGUUUCGAAAAUUAAUUUCCUAGAGCGCGUUUAGUAAAAAUGGUGAAUAGUACUUGGAGAUUUUAUCCGCGUAGUAGCACAAUAAGCUUGGAAUAUUGGAGACUUGUACUAUGGUCCUAAAAUAGGUAAUCGUAUGAAUAAAAACUCAAGUGAUAGUUAGUAGUGCAAUCGUUAUAAGAAUUUCUCGGAAGUUUCGCGUUAUAACGUUAAAUUUGACGGUACGCGUUUUCGCACGCGCGACUUCAAUUGAGGGACUUUAGACCCUUAUUUCGGGACAAUUAAGAGUGAAUAAUAUUUACAUGAAUAUAUAUGCAUUAGAGGUUUAGUGCACUAGUGAACCAAACGCGCAAGAAAAUCGAGCUGUAAUCGCACCAAACGGCCCCUAAUGAGAGUUGACUUUUGGGUGAAUUACCACCACUUAUUUCACCUUCUCUUGGAAGCUAAAGGAAAUUAGAUUUCUCACCAUCUUCUCUCUCCUCAUUGCCGACCAGCUCCCUCCUCUCUCUAACUCAUUUGCUUCAAAAUUUCUGCUCACUAAUCUCACUCAAAACCACCCCAAAUCAUCUCCAAAUUCAACCAAACUUGCACCACACCUAGCUUGACACUUGAGGAUCAUUUUGAGCUGCAAACAAGCGCUGGAAAUCACGGUUUUUCUAGGGUAAUAGAGGGCCGAAAAUUCUGCUGAACAUCAACCCAAAGUAAGUGAUGAUCCACUCUUGAAAACUUGAAGUUUGGAAGCUAUCUUACCUUGUUAAGUUCAUGCAUGCAUUUGGUUAGCUUGUGUAUGGUGUAAAAAUGUGAUUGUGGGCUCUUGGAAUUCCCACACUUGGGUUGUUGUUGCUGAUUUGAUGAUUGAUGGUGAUUAUAUUGUUGGUUUAGUGGUUAUAAUGAUGCAUUAGUGGUGGGUAAUUAGUAGAAACUUCAUUGGGUGUAAGAAGCAAAAACUUCCGAUUUUGCCCCUGCCAUGUUCGGCCAUUUUGAGGCCAAAUUUUAAUGGUCUAACAGCUUGAAUUGCAUGUUUAUAGGAUGUAUUUGAUGUGUGAAAAAUUUCAUUGGAAAAUAUUGAGGUUUGAUUGAGCAAAUGAAUUUUUCUUGAGAAACUAGCAAUCUGGAAAACUGUUCGCGUAUGAUUCUGACCAGUGGUAGUAUUUUGGCUAUAACUCUGUCCUCGGAUGUCAAAAUCAUGUACCGUUGGUGGCGUUGGAAACUAGACAUUCCUGGCUUUAAUUUGGUAUAUAAUGGACGUUCUGAUUCUUUGUGAGCAAGCCGAACCAAAUGUUUUAAGUUCGCUGUCCUGUUGCUCUGUUCAUCUGGAAUGAAGUGAUCAGGCAGCAACUUGAUGCCCGAUUUUGAACCAGAUGGGUGCCGAAUUUGGGAACGAUUUCUUCUGUGAUAUUUUAACCCUAUGAAUUUAUUUUCCAACGGCUUAAGCCAUGCUCGAUUUCGAGUUAUAUUGACUGAGUUGUGACUGAAACAAGUGGACUGCUCUGUUUUGGAAAAACCCUAAUGUUGGACUGGUUUGGGACAAGAUCUUGGAGUGAACUUGUUAAUUGAUGUUCUUGAUACUAAACACUUACCAAAGGCAUUAUGGAUGUUUCUUAGGCCUUUAUUUCACAAAUGAACCAUGAUUGGAUAGUUUGCUUGAUUAAACGUUUUGAAAUGGGUAAUGAAAGUCUCAAGGCAGAUUGCCUUAUAAUUUUUCCUGAACUUUGGUUGACUAAUUAGCUAUCUUUCCGAAAGUAUUUUUCCCUGAAAUUUGAUAGAACGGUACCUUUCAUAUGGGAGUAAAAUACUGCCAAUUUUGGUACCAAUCCAAGUUCGUUUCAAUACCCAAUUAAAUUGCUAGAGUUGGAGGUUCAAAUCUGGAAAUUCUUCUCCAGUCUUGAAUUUCCCCAACUUUGAGCUACCGUAUCUCGGUACUCGAAACUCCGAUUCUUGAUCCGCUUGUUUUGUUAUAAACCUCACUUGCAACACUAUUUGAGUGACAAAUUUCAGUGGCCGGUUUGCAACGUGUGAAUCGUGUCGAAUUUCCAAAGUUGGCCGAAAUCCAACUUAAUUCUGCCAUGAAAACCGACCCUGCGUCUUCAAGCUCAUUUUUGACCAUUUUUCACUUCGAUUCAUGGAAAAGUAUCUUCUAGGAACUUAUAGUACUUUCUAAGAGGUUUCCAAUGGUAUAAAGUUUUCCAAUUCUCGACUUAUACCGGGCGAGUUACGAUUUUUCAAAGAUUCAUAAAAAACUGAAAAAUUUUCCAAUUUCAAAGAAAUAGAGUUUUCAAGAACUCUUUAUUCUUUUAAUAUUCUUAAACGUUUUGCUCACGAUUUUCAUGAUAAAAAAACUCAAAUAAUAUGGUACAUAAUAAAAGACAAGUUGAACCUCGAUUUACGCGUAAUUGAGGUUCCCUUUUUGCGAAAUAAUCCUUAGAUUGUACUAGUGUACAAUCUUCUUGAUAAGUGGGUUAAUUGUGUGAUUAUCCACUGUUAAUUGCCAGGCGCACAAGGAGACCUUCAAGAGGAUCUCACAGUGGACACUUGAACUCCCAGAAAAUAAUUCUUAUUGAAUUGCUCGGUGAGUGUCAAGUGUGUGAAUUUGAUACUUGCUUAUUUGUGGUAAUUGUUGGAAGUUUUAAAAAUAAGGGCGGGUGCGUACUUUAUCGCACUCGUUCUAAUUUUAAAUGAAUGAAUGAAAUGUAUUGAAUGAAUGAAUGAAAUGCAAUGUUAUGUCAUGAAUGCUUGUGUCGUUGGAGUGAACCUCCUCGACUUUCAAAUGAAUGGGGGACACCCAAACUCAUAGGCCAACCCUAGACUCGAGCCGGCAAUGGGCUUGGUCGGGGACUUGGGCGAGCCAUGAGAUACAUAUAAGCUCGACCUAAUAAGAGGUCUUGCUUGGCAUACUCGUAGAGUAUCGCCCAAUAAUAGACUUGUGGGCCCUUGGGGUGUACGGUGGACGGAGGGAAGUAAGUGGUGAUCUACGGAAAUGGAAAUACCGACCCGGUUGACAGGAGGGUCAAUGCGGGAAGGUAUACGAAUGACAACGGCAGAUCGAGUGGAACUUAGCUCCUGAGAGCUACUAUAUCCUCGAAUUGUUUCUGAUUACUUUUCAUGUUUGAAUGAUGGAUUAUUGAAAAGACAUGGAUUUAUUUAUUAAAUUUGGGAUUGUUAUUUGACUAAGUGCUUGCAUGUGUGUUCUUGGCCUCACGAGCGUUUAGCUCACCCUAUAGUUUUGUUUUCCUUAACAGGACCGAAUCUUGGAGAAAUAUGGAGAAACCAUCCGUUGUAAUUUUGUUAAGACUCCUGUUAUAUAUUUUGACUAGGCCCUGGUUUGGGUUGUACUUUUGGAAAUUGUAAACUUGAAAAGUUUGGGCCCUGAUGUGUACUUUGAAUUUAAGUCGUUUCAUGAUUACCCGAUGUACUAGUUAUACAUUAAGUGACUUGUUAAGCUUGAACGCUUCCGCAUUAUUGUAUUCAUGUUGCUCUCAUCAAAGUGUUUAGUUCGGUUGAAAUUGAAUGGAAUUGCUUGAGUCCUGGCGUGAGCUGGGCAGGCGUCCGCGGAUACCCUUUGGUCCGCCUUAGGGAGAUGUGGGGCGUCACAAAGUAAAUUUUUGUAUUUGAAAUCAAGCCUAUCCAAACAAAUCCAUUGUUACUUGAACUAUGUGUUUGCAUAUUUUCUUGGCCUUACUGGGCGUCAGCUUACCCCAUUAGUUUGUUUUCCUUAACAGGAGCUCGGAAUGGAAAGAAUUUUGAAGAAGUCGACUUAAUUACUUUUGAUUAGAAUCUUGGAAUGUAAUUGAAUAGUCGACUUCUAGUAGUUGUAUUUUGGGAAAAGUUGAUGUACUUUUGGUGACUUAUGAUGUAAGAUCUGAAUGUUCCAUUAAGAAAGCGACUUUUCUUCAUUUCAACUUUUAUUAUUGGUUGUGUACCUUUAAAUUUAAAUUUGACUUGUAUCGAGCCCUGCCGAGAGUUGGGCGGUGUUCCGCGGAUACCCUUGGGUUCGGCCUUGGGAGAAGUAGGGACGUCACAGUAAAUGAGUAGUAAAAAUAUUAUAAGGUAAUUUAAUCAAAAUACGAGGGAAUUUUAAGAAAAUAUGGGUGAAUUUUUCAAUCGUCACAUAAUAACUACCAAAACUAAACAAGAAAAAUCAAACAAAACAAAAGAAACUAAAAACAUGAAGAUCAAAUAGCUUGUGAGAACCAGUAUUUUUCAUUUUCUAGGUUAUAUAUUUUUCAUGGCUUGUUUUCUGCAUUUUCGUGAUUUGAAAAAAUUUCUAGAUGAAUUUAAGGAGCAAAUAUAAUUUUUAGAUGUUUUUUUCUAGUAUCGAAUGGAUUUUGAGAAAUUAAGAGCGUAUACCGGACGUGGGACCCACUAGUGCGAAAAGUUCGAAAAAAUUCGACCAACUAGGUUAAGUUUUGGAUACUGGAAUUAAUUUACCGGGUGUUAAGAGAUAAGUAAAAGUUGCAAUUUGGAUUGGUGUGAGAGGAAACAAAGUGAUAGACUUGCAUUAAAUGAAGUAACACAUGUCACCAUUUGAGUGGUUGAACCUUAAGACUACUAUUCAUGGUCUUACCAUUUGACUUAAAUAAACCAAAAAUGACCCAAAAAUCAUCAAAAAAUCGUCCAUGGUAGCCGGCCCUCUCUCUCUCUUACUCUAAGCACAAGGAAGAAAACUCUUCAAGCUUGUUCCAAAUCAUCAAAACCAACCAUCCAACCUUGAUUUUGCUCCAUAAAACCACUUAAGGAGGUGUUGGUGAGUUGUUGUGUGAAGUUAUUUGGAAAGUUAAGGUGUCCAAUAGCUCUCUCUCUUUUGUUUUAAGGUAAGUUGUGAAGAACCACCCUCCUCCCUUAAUUGAUGCUUAAAUCAUGCUUAGUGGUAGUAUGAGAUGCAAGUUUAUGGGUUAUUUCUUGAUUUAUGGGUGAAGUGAUGAAGUUUUAUUAUUUUUGGGGAUUUUUUUCUGUUUUAAUAUAAGCAUGAUUGUGUGGCUAUCUAUGAUGAUUAGAAAUGGUAUAUAAUGACUCUAGGAGGUGGAAAAAGUGAUUAAUUGCAACCAAUUUCUGGUUUGGAAGAAAUUUCAGAAAAUUAGGGUUCUUGUGGGAGCAUUCUGGCCGAAUUUUUAGCUCCUAGUUAGAGGCCGAAUUGGCCUUCACUUAAAACAUGAAAGUUGUAGGGAAUGACAUUUUAGAGGUGUCUACAAAAUUUCAGGUCAAUCGGAGUGGUGUAGAAUGAGAAAAGUCGAAAUUACUAUUGCUGUUCUGGUUUUACCCGAAUGUAAGAAUUGGGCCUGUAAUUGGUUGUUUUGGCUGGAAUUGCUUCCGAAUUGGUUGUUGAGGCCUUAUGAUGAAAUUUAUCCCUGUUUCUUAGCUUUCAGUUGGUUUUGGAAUUUCUGGAUUUGGACUUGGAGAGCCUGAGUUAUGAGGUUUCCGCUAGAAUGCAUUUUGGUGAAUCUGUUUUACGUUUUUGAUGUAGUAUCUUGCAUUUUUGACCUGCUUGCACUCAAAAUUGGGUUGAGUGACCUUCUGUGAUGUUGUAGCCCUGUCAUUUAGCUUCGAAAUGGUGGGUCUUGUACCCUCAUCCGAUAAUCGUAGUGAAAUUGGUGCCAUUACCGUAAAAUGAGGACAAAAAUUAUUUUUUUUUCAGGGCCAAAGCUAGUUACAUUUCCGAAAUUUCUGGUUUCCUUUAAUGUUUGUGUAUGCUUGUGGAACCCUAUUGGGGUCAUGUUUGGCCUUGGUUUAUGACUCGUUAUCGAGUCUCAUUGUAUUUGUUUGCAUGUUUUAGGACGUGACCUAAAACCACAUUUGCGAGCUUGGUGAGUGUACUACUCACUUGUGUGUUAUUAUAUGACUUUAAUACUUGAACUUGAGAUGUUGAAUGUUAAUUGAUUGAAGUGAGAGUGUACUUUAUCACUCUCACUUAUUGUUUCGUAUGCUAUUGGAAAGUUAUUGGAAUGUUAUAUGAAAUGUUAUAUGAAAUGAAAUACAUGACUUGGUGUCGUUUGGACGAGUCUCCAACGACUACAAUUGUUAUUCUUGAGCUUAACCCCAUUGGUAAUUGAUUGAAUCGAGCCGGCGAGGGCUUGGUCGUGCCAAUUAAUGUGCCUUGGGGCAAUGUUAUAUGGAAUCUUGUAGUAUGAGAGACUCUCGAUUCCGGUUUACUCGAGUAAUACCACAAUGCAAGUGUUUGGAUUUCGGGCCCGGUUUGGGAAUGUUAGGUGGAAGGAAUGGAAAUAAAGUGGAGUCUACAGUUGGUUAUUGUUGAACAUUGACGGAGAGUCAAUGACGUUCGAUCAAGAAAUACAAACGAGGAAAAGGGCUCUUGAGAGCCAUCUGUAUCCUUUUAUCACCAUAUUUGACGUGUGUCUUUGCUUAUUUUACUAUAUUGAAUGAAAGCUUGAUGCUUAUAUGCAAUUGGUUGCUUAAGUGAUAGUAUCUCACUGGGCAAUUAGCUCACACCGUUCCUUUUGUUUUCCUUACAGGCAUAUGACUACUUUUGGAAUGAUUCUUGCUAGUUGGUUGCUGAAUGAACUAGAUGAAUAUCUCUUUUGUGUUGUAUAUGAAGUGGGACCCUAAAUGCAUCUUUAGGGCCGUUUUCACUUUAAUUUGGCAAACCAAACAUGUAGUAACUUUUGGAUUACUUUUGUAUACCAUUGUGGCUUGUAAUUGCAAAAUGUCAAGUGUAUAUGUAUUUUAAUGUUUGGUUGGGUUCUAACGGGUCGGUUACUAUUCAUGGCCGACUCCGGAUUUUAAUUUUUGUAUUUUGGGUUAUUUUGCCAUUUUGAUUUGUUUACGCACGUUAUAAGUUCCGGAACGCAAUAGAUCGCUCUAAACUGCACCGUUAGUCCUGGCAAGAGCUGGGCAGGCAGUCCGCUAACCCCUUUGGUUCGCCUUUGGGGAAGGUGAGGCUGUCACAGGUGGUAUCAGAGCCUAGGUUUGAAUUAGCCUGGGUGUUAUAGGAAUGCUUGAUUUGAGGGUUUAUUGUUUAUGGCCUUUAAGAUUAUUUAUGGUUAAUUGCUCUUUUGGUGUAGGAUGGACGGAUCUAGUGGACCGAGUGGUGACUCUGUAGGCGAGCGACCUCGCAGAGCACUCCCAGUGAUUCCGUACCAGAUACGGCCAGGAGGGGUCGUCGUGCGCUGGAGCCCGUCUAACCGUCUCCGACGGUGUGAGUGUAAACAUAAGUAUGCCUAUCCGAACGCUCUCGUGUUUGCAGUGGACAAGGAGCGUAAGGAGUUGGCCAGAGAGAAUGCUCGACUUGAGGCCAAGGUGACCCAGUUUAGGGCGGCCAAUAAGAGACAGACUGAGCGCAUUGAGGGUCUGAAGUACGAUGUACUUGAGACAGAGGAUAGGGUUGAUGACCUCUGCACUCAACUGAGGGAAGUCCAUGAGCGCGAGUCCAAGCGAGCUCGAAAGGUGAAGAAUCGAGCCGCUUCGAUCCUGAACCUUUGCGCCGAGGUGGUCGAGGGCGUGAGCGACGAGGACUCCUGUGGGGGGUCUGAGGCUGGGGUUGGAUCCACUCCGUCGGGUGGGUCUCGUAGCUCGUCGUCGGUCUAGGACAGGACUUCUAGGGUUUGUUUUGGAUAGUUUUGAGUUUGUAUAUAGGGUGGAUAGGGAGUAGGGCCUUAGCUAAUCAUUUUGUACGUCUAGAUUAGCUACGUGUAUAUUUCUUUUGUUGAGGCCAUUCCCUUGGGGAUUGUCCAUGUUUUGUACUCGACUUGACUGAACUUGACUUAACUGCUUGUAUAUAUGUGUGUUGUUUGCCUUGCUUGGAAUGUAUAUAUUUGUUUGGAAAAGUUUUGGGUUACUUACAUGCAUUGUUUUAUAUUGGUUUAGUACCAUUGCCUAAAUCAUAUAAAGUAUGGAAGGAACACGUAGUGGACGGGGACGUGGGCGCGGAAAUAGACAACCCACACCGGAUAGGGGUACUGGGGAAACCUCUACUGGACUUAACCCUGACCCCAAUGUGCAAAUCGCUGCCGCUAUGUAGCAAAUGACUAACUUGCUAGCACAAGUAGUGCAGCAACAAGGCCAGAACCCAAACCCUAACCCCGAAAACCUUGGCAACCAUGUCGAGAGCGAAGACCGAGCUCUUGAACGAUUUCAAAAGUUUGCUCCGCCCAAGUUCAUUGGGGGACCAGAUCCGGAUAUUGCCGAGAGAUGGCUCGAGAAGAUGAUCGAUAUUUUUGCGGCCUUGCACUAUACCGAUGAACGGCAGGUGACUUUUGCCGUUUUCCAAUGUGAAGGGGCGGCCCGUUCCUGGUGGAACGUCAUACGACAAAAAUGGGAACGGGAGCAAACGCCCAGGACUUGGGUGAAUUUCAUCAGGGAAUUCAACGCGAAAUUCUUCCCUCCUCUGGUGCAGGAGAGGAAGGAAGAUGAGUUUAUUCGACUCCGCCAAGGAGCUCAAUCGGUGGCGGAAUACGAGAGUCAAUUCACCCGCCUGUCCAAAUUUACGCCUGAGUUGAUCAUGACCGAGCAACGGCGGAUCAGGCGCUUCAUCCAGGGCCUGAACGUCGAAAUCCAGAAGGACCUCGCAGUGGCUCAAAUCAAUGCUUUUAGCGAGGUCGUAGAAAAGACUCAAAGGGUAGAGAGUGCUCGAUUGCAAGUCCGGAACUUCCAGGCGAAGAAGCGGGGCUUUCCUGGAAGCAACUCUGGACAAGGGGAUAAAGGUACUCCCUCCAAGUUUGGACGUGGAGCUGGCGGUGGACGACAGUCAGGUUCCGGCAGGGGGGCUCAGUCUAGGGGCGGCCCAGCCGGGAGAGGCCAAAGUGGAAACUUCCAAAAGGGUUCAGGUUCGGCGCCCCGCGGGCGUUGCGGGUACUGCGGAAAGCCGAAUCAUUCUGAAGAUAAUUGCUGGAAUAAGGGAGGCAAAUGUCUGCGUUGCGGAAGUGUAGACCACCAGCUUGCUACUUGCCCACUUUUAAAGCCAGACGGAAAGGGGGCUCAAACCGCACCAAAGACCAAUGCUGGACCAGUUAGGGGAGAUGGGUCCAAACCUAAGGUGCCAGCUCGAGUGUAUUCCUUAGAGCCCCAACAGGUCCCGGAUUUCUCAAAGGUCCUAGAAGGUACGAUCCUUAUUUUCCACCAUUUUGCCAAAGUUUUAAUUGAUCCUGGUGCCACUCAUUCUUUUGUUAACCCUGAUUUCAUGUGUGGCAUCGAUAUAAAACCUGCUAGUUUACCAUACGACCUAGAAGUUAGCACACCUACGGGGAAUCAACGUUUGGUUACUAGUAUGGUUUAUAGGGAUUGUGAAGUAUGGGUAGGAGAGAAAAGAUUGUUAGGGGAUUUGAUAAGUCUGGUCAUUAAGGGGUAUGAUGUGAUUUUGGGUAUGGAUUGGCUAGCCAAGUAUAAUGCCCAACUGGAUUGUAAAACGAAAGUGGUGGAAUUCCGCAUUCCUGGUGAGACGACCUUAAGGUUGGAUAUAAGGGGUAGGUUAGCCUCAUCUGCUUUGAUUUCGGGCAUUCGAGCUAGGAAAUUGCUAAGCAGAGGAGCGAAAGGAUUUUUGGCCCUUUUGAUUAACACCCCACGGAUAAGUUGAAAGUGGAGGAUGUGGCCGUAGUGAAGGAAUUUCCGGAUGUGUUUCCUGAUGAAUUAGUAGCCUUACCUCCGGAAAGAGAAAUUGAAUUCAAAAUAGACCUGCUACCGGGAGCCUCACCCAUCUCAAAAACACCAUACUGAAUGGUUCCUGCCGAGCUCAAGGAGCUAAAGUUGCAAUUACAGUACCUUCUGGAGCGGGGAUUCAUUCAAGAGAGUGGGUCUCCUUGGGGAGCUCCUGUACUGUAGGUUGAAGACUUUUACUCUAACGGUAGGUUGCAACGGUGUAGUUAUCUUGUCAUUAGUUUAGUGAAAUAGCAUAAAAGCUCUUGAAGGUGAUUGUUGAUGGCUAUCAGAGUCAUUACACGGGUGACAUGAUUCAUGUCCACGUGUGCGGAGAUUGAUUGCAUAAGCUUUCUACUUUUCAAACGUGGCAUCACGUGGUAGUAAGCACCUGAGAUUGCUUCCCAUUUGGUGCGCCUCACCCAAAUGUGUUAUUUCGGAUUCGGGGUGGGAACGGUCACCGUUCCCGAGCUGUCAUCUCACAAGCAGAAAAAAAGGCGGCAAAUGAAUCACAUCAGAAGCCUUCAGCAAAGCCCAAAACGACGUCAUUUUAUUAAGUGAGAAGGGGAAAAAAUUGAUAGACGUAUUUGGGGAAACGACAAGUUACGGAAUGUCAGCACCAUUAGUAAGCAUCCUCCCGCCCAAAAUGAAAGGUUGAAAAUGAAGAGCCCCACUUAGACUCUCUCCCAAACGAACGAAGCAGUUGCUGAAAUUCACAACUAUCAAAAAAUAGGACAAGAUAUGAGAGGAGAAAUAACAGAGAAAAAGAGGAGAUUGGCAACAUACGUGUGACAUUGGAGUCAAGCUGUGGAACUGCGGCAUUGUUGAAGGAAAAGCAGAGCAAGGAAAAGCAAGAAGUGGUGGCAGAAGUCCAAUUUUUUUGUGAUUCGGGUUUAGUAAAAGACGAAGAAAGGUGAAGCCAAGUAACAAAGUGGAAGAUCGUGGGAUCCGGAGUAGUGAACGACCACAAAUGAGCCAGGUAAAACAUGAGGAAGCCUAGGAUGAUAUAGUAAUGUGUGUAAUUUGACAAAAAAGUGGAAGGACCUUACUUGUGGAUGUUUUUGGUGUACACUAUGACAGCCCCACCUCCCUCUAAGGCGAACCAAAGGGUUCGGCGGACCGCCUGCCCAACUCUCGCCGGGACUCAGUCGUUCACUCAAACAAAUCCGAAAUAACACCACAAGAAAGAACAAAACAAUGAUCCAAAACUUACAGAAAAACUUAUACACAUUGAUAUCUUAAAAGGGAAGUACAACCAUCGAAUAUAUAGAGGUUCUCACUUCACCAUACAACCAUCCCGUGCCAAGCACUAGGGCGAGAACCAUUACAAAAAACCAAGAGCUAGACCAAGCCAGUCUAUACGGGCUCUCGUCCUUGCUCGCCUUCCCCUGUUAAGGAAAACAAAACUAAAGGAAUGAGUUAAAAGCUCAGUGAGGUUCCGAACACAUAAGCAACAAGAAGUUCAAUGCAUUUACAACGGAAAGCGAUAAUAACACAUAUAUUAAAAGGAUACGGGCUCACAGGGAGCCAUUUAUUCGUUCGUUCGUUCGUUCUCCUGUCAUUCCCCUUAUUCCUCCAAUCAUAUGAAAAAUGCAUUUUUCUUUUUAAAUAAAACCCUCGUUCGUUCUUUCGUUUAAUUCACCCCCUCUUGGACGUUGGCCAGGCUCCACCAGAAUACAAGGUAAUACUCAAGUAUACCAAAUUCACCCAAGGUCACCAUAUCGUCCGACCGAGUCCGCUUCUAGCUUGAGUCGAUCGGUAACGAAGGGCAGGGGCCCAGUUCAGCCAAAAGGCUUACAUCAUGCGCAACUAAUGUUUCAAUCAUUAAAUCAUUGAAAAUUUUACAUUUAUUUAGGUCGAGUGCGAUAAAGUACACACUCGCCUAGAAAACUCAUUUUGGAAAUCCUUGAAAGCACUUAACACAUUAUCAAAUAAUAACACAAGCCAUGAAGUCAAGUAAAACAUAGCAAACAAGGAACACUCACCUAGUUAUGCAAAAUAAUGUCCAAAAUAUCCUACCGGAUAUUACCCUCGGUCACCGAGAAAACCUAAGAUUCAACGAGAAAGCAUAUUACAGUUCAUCUAGCAAAACAAGUAAGUGAAUCGAAGAAAAUCCGACAAAUAACAAGUAAAACGUAUAAAGAUGACUUUCUAGAGAAAAGAGAGCAUUUGGUUCGGAGGACGGAAAUAACUACGGUUUCAUAGACCAAACGGAAAACCAAACUCAAAAGGGUAUAAAAUUUCCAACAGAAAACACUUGACUAAAACAAAUCAAAAUCCAAAUCGAUAGGCUAAGGAAAUAUUCUUUCUGAAUUGUUUAUGUGGCUAAAAGUCAAUAUAUAUCCAAAUAGAUGUUAUACAAUAAAGGUCUUGAUGAAAAUCAUGUGGGAAAAGGAGGGCACUUAAAACUUUACUUGAAAGUAGUUCACUUGUGGCCGAGAAAACCCUAAUUCAUACCUCGAUAUUUUGGUAAAGAGUAAGCAAUCAUUUGGAAUUUGAAACUAAAGAGGUAGCAUGUUUUAAAAUGGUAGAACGGUCAUGGUAUUUGCCAAGCAUCUAUAUAUGUUCAAAUAGAAACUUAGCCCUCGAACCCCUUUUGAAAGAAUCGAUGAAAUUUUCAACGAAAUACAUCCAACUCGACACAAAACACAUUUUCAAAACCACUUUAACUUACACACAUUGCAAGAAAAUAAACGGACGGCAUUUUCCCUAAAACUUUACAUUUUUACCCUACAAUACAAAAACCUAUUCUCAUGGCAACCCAACCACAAUCAUACCUACAACUCAUAAACAAUAAAAUACAUUCAAUUAGGCCACAAAACCCUUCAAUCAAAGCCAAUUAGAAGCUUAAGAGCCAACUAUUAGAAAACCCUCAAAUUGAAACCCUAAAAUCGGAAAUUAUCCCCACAAGCGUAAAUUUUCUGCAAACAAACAAAAUUAACGCACAAAGGUUCCAUUUAACCCCAUUUCAAUCCAUCAAUCCAAGACCAAUCCAUGACUUUCAUAUAAAAUCAGAAAAAUACCCAAUAAAUCAGAAAUUGAACCAACUUGACUUAAAACUAUGAAAUCAUCCACAAUAUAGCACCUCUAGCCUUUACAAGUCACUAAUUAACCAAUAUUAGAACCAAAAAGGGAAUUUCUCAACAACUCACCUUAUGAGCUCAACAAAGGUAGAAACUUAGGGCCUCUCUUCCAAAAAUAACUCUACCAAGACCUCUAGUCCACCCUAACUAGCACUUGUACUGAGCGGUUUGAAAAUCCAACGGUGAAAUCUCAAGAUUCAAGUGAAAAUGGAAACUUGAAAAUGAAGAGCUUUUCUUUCUUUUCUCUCAAACACUCGGCUGGCCAAGGAGCAAAAAUGCAGAUAUUUUGGGCCAAAACAGUUUAAAAAGAGAAGGAAACAGUUGGUGGCUGCCUGUGCCACGUCACAAUCCGGCCAGAAUCUGGUCGGAUUUCCGGCCGGAUUCUUGGCCGAAUUCCAGGUAGUGGCUAAAAUCAAAAUUUUUUUUCAAAAAGUUCCAACAAUCUGGCCGGCAAUCCGGCCAAUAACUGGCCGGAUUUGCGGCCUGAUUCGAGGCAGUGGCGAAAUCAAUUUUGUUCCAAAACCCUUCAACAAUCCGGCCAGCAAUCCAGCCAAGAACUGGCCGGAUUUUUGGCCGGAUUUGACCCUUGUCAUUUUUUCCAAAAUUUGUCUUCUUUUCCGAGUUCAAUUGCCACGCUCAACCAUACUUCCAACACAUACACAUAUAUAUACAAUCUCACACACAAACGCUUAAUGCAAACAAUCACACGUUCAUAUAUAUGAAAUGAAACCCUCCUAAGAAAUGGAUAGUGAAUGGUUUUCUUUUCAAUUUAAAAUGGACAAUAAGAAUAACUAAAAUGCGGAAACAAAUGUGAAAAUUUUUGGGUUCUCACAUACACUAUGAUGAUUUUGUGUAUAGUAAUUGAUAAGUGCAGCGUGAUAAGAGUAUUAUGUAAAAUUGUCUUUGAUCGUCGAAACAGGAAAGUGGGAAAGGAGGAGAAAAUCUUGCGGCACAACUGCGUGAUAAAAUGUGUGCAUGGAUUUGGGAGUUCGUAGGUGUAAAAAAUGGGUGUAGAUUAUAAUUACUAUAUGCUAAGUAGAUAGUACAAUGUGUUUAGUCUAUCAUACACUGCAAAACCAAAUAGUGACAAGAUAAUUAAGUGCAAGGAAGGGUCAUACAGCAUGUUGGCUAAAAAUUAUGUUAUGUGGGAAAAAAGUGACAUGUGUAUGGUACAUCUAUGUCCUUAUGUAGUUUUUUCUGUGGUUCGUUCUCUGUGCUUGUUGUGGUUAUUCAUCUUGCUCGACUUAUAUGGUUGGAAUUAGUUUGUUCUUUUCUGACAUAGAUUAGUAUGUUAAUAGAUAUGCCUUCACUUUUUGUUUGUGUUGCCUCUAUCUAGUCACCAGUUCACUGCUUCUCUCGAUUAUGUUCUGUGCUAAUGCACUAUUCCUUUAUUUUCUUGUUUUAAUUUUCAAUGGAACAGAUCUUCAAACUAAAAUAAGUGAGUGCCCGCCAAUUUUGCAUAUUGGUGCAGGUUGUAAAGAUAAUACACGUAAAUCUAGUGCAACUAAUGCAUCAUCUAUUAAUAACAAAUAUCUGCAUAUUCAUGUUGCUUCUCAUAGGCAUGCUAUACGUGUUCGAAGUUUGAUAUUGUUUGUAUCCUCUGCAUAACAUGAUUCCUAAUUGGUGAUUUUUGGUUUUGGUAGUAUCAAAGGCAGUGAAUAAGUUACAGGCCAGUAAGCAUUGUGUUGCAUCCGGCAAGGUUGAGCUUUCAGAUGCAGUUGCAGUAAGAGUUUGUGCUCUUUGGAUAUGUUGAUUUGUUGGUUCUUAACAAGAAUGCUGAAAAAAGGAAAAUAAUGUGUAUUGAACCUAUCAACUUGCAAAAUUAUCUAUCUUGUGGAGAUGACUUUGAAAGAAACUUUGAAAAAAAAAAUUGCGAGUCAAAAGAAAAGGUGAUUUAGCAACAUUGCCAAAAUAACAAAGGCUAGAGGCGAAGGACAUAUUCUAUGGUAUUGUAAAAGUGUUACCUCCCUAUAUGUGACCUGAGAACCAUAAAUGAUGAAAUGGAUUGCAUGGAAAUUGAUGAUAGGAGAGUUGGCAGUAAUAUAAAUAUGUUAGGUAGAAUAACAGAUUGUUGUGUAUGUCAUACUCAGUGUGUAAUAAAUGUUAUAAGGUUUGUUAGUUUAUGGGCCACAAAAUAAUGUUGGAUAGGUCUUACAUGCAGUGGAUGAAUAAGUACAGAACAGAAAUAUAAUAGAUAAGUUAGUCUGAGAUUGGUAUGUUGUAUUUGGGAUUUGAUUGGUGUAUGUCUAGUGUAUCGGUUGACGGGCACGAACACAAUGUUGGAUAAGUCUUACAUGUUGUGGACUAACAGGCACAGAGAAGAAACAAGUAGAAAUGUUAGUGUAAAAUUGGUAUGUCCUAUUUGGAUCUUCAUUAGUGCAUGUCUAUUAUAUGAGUUCAUGUGCACGAACACAAUGUUGGAUAAAUCUUACAUGUUGUUGGAUAACUAUUACAUGCUAUGGAUUAACAGGUACACCACAGAAAGAGAACAGAAAUGUUAGAUUGAAAUUGAAAUGUCGUAUUUGGGACUGCGUUGAUGUAUGUUUAUUGUAUUAGUUCUUGCGCAUGAACACAAUGUUGGAUAAGUGUUACAUGGUGUAGAUUAACAAGCAUAGAGAAGAACAGAGUAGAUGUGACAGCCCCACCUUCGCCUAAGGCAAACCAAAGGGAUUGGCGGACCGCCUGCCCAACUCUCGUCGGGACUCAGUCAUACCUCAAUCAAAACCGGAAUAAAACCACAAGAAUAAGUAUAACAACAAUCCAAAACUUAAAACGAAACUUAUAUACACUUCUAUCUUAAAGAAAGGAGUACAAACUCAAUUAUACAAAGGUUCUCAAUUCUUCAUACAUCCAGCCCAUGCCAAACGCUAGGCCGAGAACCAUUACAAAAAUAUUCAAAGAACUAGACCAAGCUAGUCUAUACAGAGCUCUCGUCCUUGCUCGCUUUCCCCUGUUAAGGAAAACAAAACUAAAGGAAUGAGCUAAAAACUCAGUGAGGUUCCAACCAUAUAAUCAAACAAUAAGUCCAAUGCAUUAACCAUAGAUAACCAAUAAUUCAAGAAACAUUUACAAUAUGAAGCGAUAAUAACACAUUCAUUAAAUGGAUACGUGCUCAAAUGGAGCCAUUCAUUCAUUCAUUCACUCAUUCAUUCAUUCUCCUUUCAUUUCCUUAUUCCUCCAAUCAUUUGAAAAUACAUUUUUGUAAGGUAAAAACCUCUCAUUUACAAUACCAAUCGUUCAUUCAUUUCAUUCACCCCCUUUCGAACGUUGGCCGGACUCUACCAGACUUCAAGGUAAUACUCGAGUAUACCAAACAUUCACCCAGGAUCACCAAAUCGCCUGACCGAGUCCGCUUCUAACUCGAGUCGAUUGGUAACGAAGGGCAGGGCCCAGUUCUGUGACGACCCCACUUCUCCCUAGGGCGAACCCAAGGGUAUCGGCGAGCCGCCUGCCUAGCUCACGCCAGGACUCAAAACUUAAAGCUAAUAAAACCAUAUUAAACCACAAGAGAACUAUUCAUAAUAUAUACAACCGUCAAAAGUUCUAUAGCUCAACUUUUAACAAAUACAAAUUCAAGUAUUCUAUAGCUCAAAAUCUAACCACCUUCCCGAGCGAUCCCCGCGUUGGCCCCUGCUAAGGAAAACAAAUAGAACGGGGUAAGCUAUAUGCUUAGUAAAUAAACAGGGGCAAAAGCGUAAAUUUCACGUAACCACAUUUCCAUAGUAGGAGUAAAGCAAAAGCAGAAAAAUAACAUCACAUGAUAAGGAUACAUAUGGCUCCAAAGCCAAGUCAUUUGCCAUGCGUGAUCUCCUGUCGACACUCCGUCGACCAUAAAUAAGGUCCGUAGAACUUCACUUGUACACCCACCGGACACCUUAUCACCCUCACUGGCCAGUCACCUCACAAACUUGUCCGGGCGAACGAAAUCACAAACUUGAGCUUGAGUCACAAGCUCGGGUCACAAACUUGGUUCACCGAACUUUUAAGGAGGGGAGAUUGUGACACCCCCAACUUUUAAGAUGCUAUUGUUUUACGGUUUCUUUAGUUCAUUUUAUUUUAAAACAUUAUUUUGUUUCAAGGAAGAUGCUAAAGUUAUUUCUUUGGGUUUGAUUUAAAACCUUGUCGCGCCCCAUUUUUUUGAUAAAUAAAUAAAUCGUUUGAGAAAGAUGUAUUGUUUCAAUUUUGAUUGGAAAAUGAUUUUUGUGAGUUGAAAAGACAUGGGUCUCAAUGAGACUUUGGAAAGCGACGAUUUGACCCAAAAAAUAGUUUUAAAAAGGGUUUUGAAAUGAAAAGUUUGGAGUCGCCACUUGGUAAUGAUUUAAGGUGUACCAAGUCACCUAAAAAUGAAUUAAGUAAUAAUAAACCCUUUUUAAAACGACUCCUAGUCUACGUAAAACAAAGAAAAAGGUUCGGGAGUCACGUUUGACAAAGGGGAAGGCAAGGAUAGACUCCAAGGCACCCCUUUGACCUAGCCAAGGCCAGUUGCGUAACUUAACCCUAACUUUCCUGACUUUCUACCCAGGGUAUGUAUUGCAUGUUGGAUUAUGCCUAUAUGAAUGCGAAAACGAAAAAAUGCAAUCCUAAAUUCUACGAUGUCUCUCGUGAGGUUUUUGGUCCCAAACCACAUGAAUUGUGGCGGCCAAUAAAGGGAAACCUCAUAGAGGUCGAUUGAUGCAAAUGGUGACUCAAGUGCAAGUGUGCAAGUGUAUGAAAAGAUUCAUGUAUGAAAUGGUGUAAAAAAAACAAAGUGUUUCUGUGCGCAUGUGUAAAGAAAGUGCACGUGUGAAUUUGGAUGAAAAAUCAAAGUAUUAGUGUGUGCAAAUGAAUGAAGAUAGGAUUGUAAAUAUAUAUGAAACUUGAAUUCUACUUGUGGAGUAAGAUGAGUAAAACAUAGUGAAAAAUAUGGAUUGAGAAAUGUGGAAAGAAAAAGUGAUUAAAAGAGCAUGGAAGUGAGAAAAAAUGAAAGUAUGUCCCUAAGGGAAUGCAACAAAUUGGGUACGGGGAUGACGCCUAAUUUUCGACUUUGAUUUUCCCUCGGAUUAGAAGGUAAAACUAGCGUGCUAAGGCUAUCGAGUAGCCACACUCGCUCGUUUCCCUUAUCAAGAGGGGAUUUUCACGCAAAUGAACCCUAACUAGCAUGAGAUGCAAGUCCUAAAGUGAAGGGGAAGGGGUUUGAGGAACAUACCAAGUGAUAAACUAAGGAAAAAUGCGUGAUAUGUGGUGAUCAUGCACUUAAUGAAAAAGGGAAAAAAGAACCUAUUGGGUCUAGCAUUGGACUAGCCCAUUCUAUGAAUUCCGACUAGCGUUGGACUAGUGGAAACGAUAAAAGAAGCCACAACUAGCGUUGGACUAGUGUGGUGACGUACAUUCAUCCAUUCCAUUCAUCUAUACUACAAAAAGCGAGUAGACAUGCGAAUCACUUAUAAACACGUAGCACAUAACACUUAGCAUGCUUGACUAGAUGCAAAAUCCUAAUAAAGCAUUUAACAUAUAACACAUAGGCAUGCAACCAUUACAUUUGCUAACUAAAACAAAAGGGAAAGGGAAAAUGGACCAAAUUACUUGCUAUGCCCUAUCUAUUACAAGCCAAGAGGUGUACACAUACCCCAUAAUGAAUAACUUAAAUAAAAAUAAAAGUAAAUGAAAUAAAUGCAAGGAAUUAAGAAAGCAAAGUAGACAUGCAUAUUCACGUAACACGUAGGAGCACGUAAGAGAGAAGUAAAGAGGAUAAAAGAAAGUUAUACCUUCCCCCGCUUGUGAAGCUAAUGAAUGGAAACGGUUCUAAAUUGGGCUAAAACCAUUAAACAAAUGAUCAAUGCACCAAUUUAGUGAUAAGAUAUAAACUAAACAAUUUGAAUCCACCAAAACAUCAAACUUUCCCUCAAUUGCAACUCAAUGAAGUCAAAACUACUUAAAGACCAAGGCAAAAGGCAUGAUCAUCCAAUCCCCAAGCAUAACAUCUACUAAGACCCAAAUGCAAGCACUACUCAAAUCAAUUGAACCUAAUAAAUCGUUUAAGCACUUCAAAGAUUCCAAAAAUAAAGAAAGAGUCAAACAAUGAUUGAAGUUGCAAAUGAUUUUAGGACUUAAUUACAAGAUACUAAAACAUGCUUGGGCUAUUGUGGCACAAAGAGAAACUUAGAGGGAUCAAAUUGAUUAAAUGUUCCAAUUACUUGGGCCAUAGUGGCAUAAGGGGAAACUUGAGGGGUUGGACUGUAAUUUUUCUGAAAAAGAUUCAUGCAAUCUUCAUGCAAGCUACGUAGACAAAGAGCUUCUGCAACCAUCACUUCACCAAAAUCAGCUUUCAAAUAACAUUAGAUCCCAGCAAACAAACACACAAUCCUUUCAUUUUGCAUCAAGAAACGCAUGGCUUCAAAACAGAUUUUCAGCAGCUAGCCAAAGUUUGAAAACUUCAACAACUAAACAUAGAGAAUGAAGCUUGCGGCCCUUUUGUUUUCAAAACUUCAGUAAUUUCCAGGUGCAACUACCUCCAUUUCAUCAAACAAACAAGAUCAUCAACCCAUAAAUUAUUGACCCAAAUCAAAACAUAAAACUUGUUUGCAAGAUUAAGACAGCAAAUCUGUUUUUUGAUCAGUAACAAAAGAAGGAAAGGAAACCGCAACAAGAUUGUUUUAUUUUGACAACCACAGGCCAAGCAACCUGCUGGCUCCUAUUGCUAAGCUUCCCAACACUUUCACAACGGACAAAGCAAACAUUUCAAACAACACCAAAAGAACUUCGGCAGUCAAAUGUACAAGCCUGCUGCAUUUCAUCUUCGAACAUGAACUUCAGAAUCUAAUACAACUUUGAUCAAAACUUGAUCCACCAAACAUCAAAACUUUAAACUAAGCAACCAAAUCAAGACCUUGAGCAUCUAAACAGGCUAAGAAACUUAAAAAAUCUGGAAAAACAUGCAAACAUUUGACUUUUGAAAGCUGCUGCAAUUUUCCUACAGAUUCAAAUUUUUAUCCCAACUUUGAUUAGAUGUUUUUAAACCCAACAUCCCAAUCCUAAACCAAGCCACUAACUGCACCACCACCAUGAUCCAAACAAGCAGGCAACUCAGAAAAAUAUCACAGAAGGAUUCUAGAAAGCAUGCGUGCAACACAGGGAUCUAGCAAAACCAACAAGCAGAUUUCAUUCAUUACCCAGCAAGCAUUGGAUCUCAAUUCAAGUGUUUCAGCCCCCAAACACACAAACCCAACACCCUUUGCCCAAUUUAUAUCAUCAAGUAGGUAAUGAAAGCCUCUUGGUGGACUGGGUUGUUACAGGCAAGGAAAACAGCAAGAGGAAACACACGGAUGAACUACGACCUGCUAAAGUUUAUUCAAAACUCUUCAUGGAUGUCAAAUCCAUUGCUCACAUGCCAAUAUAUUAUAUCCGUUCUCAUCCCAACAAAAACAUGCAACUCACAUGUAUUACUACCAAAAGAAACAGCACAAAAGAAAGACAUACCAAUCCAUAAGACAACAGGGCAAUUUUAUUGACACUAGAUAGCAAAAUUUUGGUAAAACUCGAAACUAAGCAUGCGAGUGAGAGCAAAAACUGGAUUCACAUGGUCUCAAAGUCACGGUUUUAUCAAGCUCAGGUGAGCUUCAAACUUUCCAACUCAAACCAGAAACUGAUAAUCACUUCAACAUGGAGAACAAAGACUGAAACGAUAAAGUAAAGCCCACAUAUUUAUCAAGACUUCAUUUUCUUCUCCUAAUUCAUAUCGACACAAAAAUCUGAGUCGACAGGAACAUGGAAUCGACAGGAACAGGGACAGGAACAGGGAAUGAAAGUGCCGACCAGAAACAGGAAAUGAAGACAGAAACCAAAUAUAAUUCUGUGUAUGUAUAGAGGAGAAAGAUGAAAAGAAGAGGGGUUACCUGACAGAUCUUGUCUUGAGGAAAAUGGAGACCGGAAUUCAGAAGGGACCUGCAACUGGCUUUGAUGAAGGCAGUGCAAAAUCUGGAAUUUUUCUGGCCCUUGCCGUAGCUCCCUUUGCCGUUUUUCUAUUGACGCUUUCAAACCUAACCCCCUCUCUUUUCACUUUGUUCUCAGUCGGUCACUCCCUAAUCUCUCCUCUCAAUUUUCUUAGCCGCCAUCCUCCCUGGAAUCCUCUGCAUUUCUAGUUUCACUUAGCUUUUUUUUCAUGCGCCAUUGCUCUCUUUUUUUUCUCUCUUGCGGCUACUCCCUCCUUUUCUAUUUAUAUGAAGCCCCCCUCCCCUAACCUACAGUCUUUUCUUACCUAUUUGCAGCCAAGGCUCCCCAGUCCUUCCUUGCAAAUCCUUCCCUGCAAGCUGCGUUUUGACGCAGCUUGCAUGCCGCUACUUACUUUUUUUUUUUUUCCAACUUCCAACUUAAUAAAUACAGAAAUGAUAAAAUAUAAAUAAUAACAAAUUGACAAAAACCAGGUAAUAAUAAUAAUAACAAAACAAAAAUAAUUUUAAACAAAAAACUAAACAAAAAUGGCCAUUUUUAAUUUUUAAAUUUUUCAUUUUUUAUCAUUUUCUUUUUCUCAAAAUAACUUGAUAGAAAUAACUAAAGUGCCCAAAAAUUGAAUUUGAACGUGUUUUUGUGAACAAUUUUCUUCUUUUUUUCCUUUUUUAUGAUUUUCCUUUUUUCUCUUUUUUUCCAAGAAAGCAUUGAAUAAAAAUGACUAAAACAUAUUUUUGAUGUUUUCCUUUUCUUUUUCUAAAAAACUCGAUACUAAUCUUAAACUUAAAAGCUAAAAACUAAAACCUAAAACUAAAAGUAAAUAAGAAUGAAUAGCAAAUGAAAUAGGUCAACUAAAAGGGCGAAAAUGAAUAAAACUAAAACAUCAUAACAACUAAUAGUGCAAAACACACAAUAACGAACUAAAAUGCAAGCAAUCUAAAAAUGAAAAUCAUGAAAUAGAUGCUACAUAAAAUUAUUCAAAAUUUGGUGUCUACAGUUUGCCCCUCUUUGUCUGAGUUUUGAAAAAACUUGAGACAAAGAAGUAGACACCAAAUGCUUACCUGUGUUAUUGGGCUGCAAAAGAUUCCCACGAACAGGAAUUAUAACACGGGACUGACCCGAACAUGAAAAAUAAAACGGGACUGACCCGAUCCAGAAUUGAAAACGGGACUGACCCGAACAUGAAAAAUAAAACGGGACUGACCCGAACAGGAAUUUAAAACGGGACUGACCCGAACAGGAAUUUAAACGGGACUGACCCGAACAGGAAUUUAAACGGGGGAACAGAAAUUAAACGGGACUGACCCGAACAGAAAUUAAACGGGACUGACCCGAACAGAAUUUAAACGGGACUGACCCGAACAGAAAUUAAACGGGACUGACCUGAACAGAAAUUAAACGGGACUGACCCGAACAGAAUUUAAACGGGACUUCACUGGGGAUGUUUAAACAAUAAAUUGAGUUUUUACCUGAAAGUAGUUCACACUUUUGCAGCAAAAGGGAGUUUUGAUUUUUGUGACUGAAACGAUAACUGACGUCGUUCUUUAUGCUCAAACUUCGUUAACAACUUUAUCACUUCACCGUUGCUUACUGGGGAGCCAGUUCUGACGUUGAUUUAAGUGCGAGAAAUAGAAUGUUUGCAAUGUUCCUGCAAGAAAAGAAAAAGUGGUAAUGGACUCGCCACCAUCAUUUGAUCCGAUUAGCCUUGAGAAUCGUGUAAACAUGAGUCUUGUGAUUCUUUUGCCUCUAGUUUGCGGCGUACACCUUAGUCGAGCUUGCAACUUUGAAACCUUUCAGAUUCUGAGACUGAUAAGCACGUGUUUACUACUUCACCCAAAUCCGUGUAGCAGUCGUGUUACUUUUUAACCACUGCGAUAAAUGACCGAAUUCCCCAUCUUUGAACAAACCUUAGGGUUUAUCAUUCGUCCGAAUUCAAUGGUGAAAGAAUGAUGCAUGAAAAUGUCAUAUAAAACAAUGAUAUAUGCAGAAUGAAUUUCCUAUGUCAGGCAAAAAUGAGAAUGCAAAAGAAUACAAACAAUCACAAACAGUCGAACACAAAUAAUUGAGAGGAACCAAGAGAUUUAUAAGAGUACAUUUUGUAAAAGAAUGUUUGUACAAGUUUGGCCAAACAAUAUUAUAUUCGAAACUUGGGGUAUAUCUGUUUCGGAAUUCGAUACUGGCAAAAAUAUCACAAACAUGAGGAAAAGUUUGAAUGAACCAGGUCACCAGCUGUCCCUUCUCGUGCUCAUUCGUUGCGAAAAACCGACCUUGGCGCCCUUUCGGGUUUUCACCAAGGUUGCCCCAUCACUUUUUGAUUGAUUUUUUCCCUUUUUUCCUCUUUCUUUUGUUUUUUUUUGUUUUUUUUUUUGAGGCGCCCUUUCGGGUUUUCACCUAAAGAACAACGAAAUCUCUUGACCACAGUCGACUCAGAAUAUAUGCAUUAAAGAUUCUAGCAUCAGUAAAAUGCACUUCCCUUGAGAAAUUGGGCGAAGGCAUUAUGGACAUCACCUGCCAGUUGAUUAACAAAUUUUCUAGUAGAAAUGCAGCAAGUGACGAAAGCCAGGACUUUGGGCUUUUAUAAUGAGGUCAGGUAGGGUGUUUUCAAGAAAAAUUCAGGCUUAAAAGCAGAUUUUGAUAAGAGGUGUGAAAUGAACUGAGAUUGCACCAUUUUGAAAUGAAACCGAGGAAAAUUUGCCCCAGUUUAAUUGGAUUUUCUCUUUUGCAUUCUUUCAUUGCAUUUUUCCUCACUUUUGCAUUUUUCUUUAAAACUAAAUUUGCCCCAGUGUAGGGUUUUUUUUUUCUUUUUUUUUCGUUUUUUUUUCGUUUUCGAAAUAAAUUUGCCCCAGUGUGGGGUUUGCAAUUCUCAAGGGUGAUCAAAUGAAAUUUGUCAAUUCUGAUGGCUCAAAGGGGACAAGUAGAGAUAAAAUGUUUUUAGUGUAAAAGAAGAUGGCCUGACUUGCAUUUCGCCAUUUGCAUGAAUUUCUUAAAAAAAAUUUGCUUGAUCAAAUGAAAAACUUUUUGCACAUAUCUGAGUUGAUGGGUUGAGGGAAUGCCCGUCCAUCCAUUUCCGCUAAAAUAAGAGCUCCGCCAGGUAAUACCUUUUGGAUAAUGAAUGGCCCUUGCCAAUUUGGAGCGAAUUUGCCUUUAGCUUCAUCUUGCAUUGAUAGAAUCCGCUUUAGUACUUUGUCACCUUCUUCAAAUGUCCGCUGAUGGACCUUUUUGUUAUAAGCCCGGGCCACACGUUUCUGAUAGCACUGACCAUGACAGAUAGCAUUGAAUCGCUUUUCAUCUAUCAAAGUCAAUUGCUCAUGACGCUGCUUGAUCCAAUUAGCUUCUUCCAGUUUAGCUUCCAUAAGGAUUCGUAGCGACGGAAUUUCAACCUCAGCUGGUAAUACAGCUUCCAUUCCAUACAUGAGUGAGUACGGCGUUGCCCCGGUUGACGUCCGGAUAGAAGUCCGAUACGCCAUUAAUGCAUAGGGCAACUUUUCAUGCCAAUCGCGGUACCUUUCUGUCAUUUUGCGGAUAAUCUUCUUCAAAUUCUUAUUUGCGGCUUCUACAGCUCCAUUCAUUUGUGGCCUAUAAAUGGCAGAAUUGCGGUGUCUGAUUUUGAAUUGCUCGCAUAGUCCAUCUACCAUGUCAUUGUUCAGAUUCUUGGCAUUGUCUGUGAUAAGCGUUUCGGGUAUUCCAAAGCGACAAAUGAUAUGAUCUCUCAAGAAACUGGCAACUACUUUCUUCGUUACAUGUUUAAAUGAUUCAGCUUCAACCCAUUUGGUAAAGUACUCGAUCGCCACCAAUAUAAAUCGAUGUCCAUUUGAAGCAGGAGGAUCUAUUGUCCCAAUCACGUCCAUACCCCACAUUGAACAGGGCCACGGGGCGGUCAUGCUAUGCAAUUCAGUGGGUGGAGCGCGUAUAAUGUCACCGUGCAUUUGGCAUUUUAUACAUCUCCGGACAAAGUCUAUACAAUCAUGCUCCAUAGUAAGCCAGAAGUAUCCGGUUCUCAUGAUUUUCUUCGCUAGCAAAUGGCCAUUCAUGUGAGAUCCACAAACGCCACUAUGCACUUCUUUCAUCAUAUAUUGAGCUUCAUCUUCAUCAAUGCACCUUAAAAGGUUCAAAUCUGAGGUUCUUUUGUAUAACACUUCUCCAUUUAAGAAAAAUUUUGAAGCCAUUCUACGUAGAAAAUUCUUGUCUUUUGUACCAGCAUGCUGAGGGUAGGACCCAGUUUUGAGAAACUCCUUAAUAUCCUUAUACCAAGGCAUAUUAUCAGAGGACUCGUCUGCAACCCAACAGUGGGCAGGCUUGUCUUGAAGUUGAAUCUGGAUUGGUUCGAUUUUCAAUUCAUCUGGAUACUGGAUCAUAGAGGCUAGAGUGGCCAAAGCGUCGGCAAAUGCAUUUCGGGCUCUCGGGAGAUGUCUGAAUUCCAAAUUUUGAAAUUGCUUGGCCAGAGUGAGCAGACUACAAUGGUAGGGGAGAAUUUUAGAAUCUUUGGUUAUCCACUGCUUCAAGGUUUGGUGCACGAGCAAAUCUGAAUCACUGAAAGCUAUCAACUCUUUGAUUUCCAUUUCUAAAGCCAUUUUGAGACCAAAAAUGCAGGCUUCAUAUUCAGCCAUAUUAUUCGUGCAAGCGAAUUGCAAUUUGGCAGCGGCAGGGUAGUGCUUCCCUUCGGGUGACACCAAAACAGCUCCAAUUCCAGCUCCGAGAGAAUUCGAAGCUCCAUCGAAGAAAAGCCUCCAUUCAGGACUUUGUUCACUUAUAUCAUCUGCAGCGCCUACAAAUAAGACCCUCUCGUCAGGGAAAUAAGUACGGAGUGGUUGAUAAUCAUCAUCUCUUGGAUUUUCCGCCAAAUGAUCAGCUAUAGCUUGUCCCUUGACCGCCUUUUGCGAGGUGAACACAAUGUCGAACUCUGAUAGAAUUAUCUGCCAUUUCGCCAGACGCCCAGUCAACAUCGGCUUCUCCAAAAGAUACUUCAAAGGAUCAGACCGGGAAAUAAGAUACGUGGUAUGGCUCAACAGAUAGUGUCUAAGCUUUUGGGCUGCCCAGGCCAAUGCACAGCAGCUUUUCUCAAUGAAUGAAUAAUUAGCCUCGUACUGCGUGAACUUCUUGCUUAGGUAGUAAAUGGCUUGUUCUUUCCUUCCAGAGUCAUCAUGUUGACCUAGAACACACCCAACUGCUCCUUCAAGCACGGAUAGGUACAUGAUUAAUGGUCGACCGGGCUUCGGUGGUACCAAGACUGGCGGAUGUAACAAAUAAUCUUUAAUCUUGUCGAAAGCCCGUUGACACUCCUCAUUCCAAUACAACGGUACAUUCUUUCUCAACAAUUUGAACAAUGGCUCACAGGUGGCAGUUAAUUGGCCGAUAAACCUCCCGAUAAAAUUGAUCUUCCCUAAAAAGCUUUUCACGUCCUUCUGAGUUUUUGGCACUGGCAUAUCUCGAAUUACUUUGAUUUUUGCUGGAUCUAUCUCUAUGCCUCUCUUACUGACAAUAAAUCCCAACAGCUUACCCGCAGGUGCUCCGAAGGCGCAUUUUGCAGGAUUUAACUUCAAAUUGUACUUCCGUAGUCUCUCGAACAAUUUUUUCAGAUCAACCAAGUGGUCCUCUGCCCUUUUAGACUUGAUUAUAAUGUCAUCCACGUAGACCUCCAUUUCUCGGUGGAUCAUAUCAUGAAAUAGGGUUGUCAUGGUCCUCUGAUAUGUUGCUCCGGCAUUCUUUAAAUCGAAAGGCAUCACUCGGUAGCAAAAUGUGCCCCAAGGGGUAAUGAAAGCAGUCUUCUCCCUAUCCUCUUCUGCCAUCAAAAUUUGGUGGUAGCCAGCAAAACAAUCGCAAAAGGUUUCAAUCUCAUGUCCGGCAGUAUUGUCUAAGAGAAUGUGAAUAUUUGGUAGAGGGAAAUUAUCUUUAGGACUGGCUUUAUUAAGGUCUCUAUAGUCAACACAAACUCUCACCUCUCCACUCUUUUUUGGAACAGGGACUGGAUUUGAAAGCCAAAUUGGGUAAUGGGAAACAAUGAUAAUGUUGGUUUUGAGUUGUUUUUCAAUUUGCUCUUUUAUUUUGAGGCUCAUAUCUGGUUUGAAUUUUCGGGGUUUUUGUUUUACGGGUGGAAAAGAAGGGUCUGUGGGUAACCUAUGCACCACCACAUCAGUUGAAAUGCCAGUCAUAUCAUCAUAGGACCACGCAAAUACAUCCUGGAACAUGGUCAAGAAUUCAAGCAUCUCCUUUCUCUGCCUUUCAUUCAAAUGAAUACUUAUCUGCACCUCCUUAACUUCAUCCUCAAUGCCAAUGUUAACCUUUUCUGUUUCUUCCAGGUUCGGUUUUGGUUUUUCCUCAUAUUGUUCAAGGUCCUUUGCAAAAGAAUCGAAUACCUCCUCAUUAUCACUCUCGCUUUGGAGUUCGGAUUCACAGACCUCCAAGUCGUGAUUGGAAAAUGAAUCGUGAUUUAAAAGAAAAAUGGGUCUAAAUGGGGUUUUGAGAAUGCGACGAUUUGACCCAAAAUUAUAGUUUAAAAAGGGUUUUUAAAACUAAAUACGGAGUCGCCACUUGGUAAUGAGUUAAGGUGUACCAAGUCACCUAAAAAGUGUAUUUUUAAAGAAAAAUAGGGAAAAGUAGUGAGAAACCCUUUUUAAACGACUCCUAAUCUACGUAAACCAAUGAAAAAGGUUCGGGAGUCACAUUUGACAAAGGGGAAGGCAAGGAUAAAAUCCAAGGCACCCCUUUGACCUAGCCAAGGCUAGUUGCAUGAUUUAAUCAAAGAUUUUCUUGUUUUAACCAAAGAAUUUAUUACAUUUGGAUGCACUACAUGAAUGCAAAAAGAAGGAAAAAAUGCAAACCUAAAUUCUAAAAUGUCUCUUGUAAGGUUUUUGGUCCCAACCACAUGAAUUGUGGCGGCCAAUAAAGGAAAACCUUAUAGAGGUCGAUUAAUGCAAAUGAUGGCUAAAGUGCAAGUGUGCAAGUGUAUAAAAAGGUGAACGUGUGAAAUUGUAUGAAAAAUCCAAGUGUUUGUGUGCAAGUGUAUGAAAAGGUGCAUGUGUGAAAUUGUAUGAAAAAUCCAAGUGUUUGUGUGCAAGUGUAUGAAAUAUAGUGAUAAGUGCAUAUAGGUGUAAUUAAGUGCAAUUUUAUGAAGUAGAAAUCAAAUUGAACAAUAAGGAAAGGAAAAGUGAUGAGGAAAUGUGAAUUGGAAAAAAAAAAUGAGUAAGUGAUAAAUGAGAAUGAAUGAACCUAAAGGAAUGCAUCAGGUCGGGUGUGAGAAUGACUCCUAACUUUUUCGACUUCGAUUUUCCCUUUGAUUAGAAGGCAAAACUAGCGUGCUAAGGCUAUUGAGUAGCCACACUCGCUCGUUUUCCUUAUCGGAAGGGGACACUCAAGCAAAAUGAACCCUAUAGCUAGCAUGAGAUGCAAAACCUAAAGUGAGGGGAAAGGGAUUCGAGGAACAUGCCCAAUGAUAAAACUACAGAAAGUUGUAUGAUAUGUGGUGAACAAGCAAAUGAUGCACUAAUGAAAAGAAAGGAAAAAGCCUAUUGGGUCUAGCGUUGGACUAGCCCUUUCUAUGGAUUUCUACUAGCAUUGGACUAGUGGAAACGGAACAAUGAACCACAACUAGCGUUGGACUAAUGUGGUGACGAGAAAGGGGGCCACAACUAGCAUUGGACUAGUGUGGUGACGGGAAAGGGGGCCACAACUAGCAUUGGACUAGUGUGGUGACGUCCAUUCAUCCAUCACAUUCAUUCAUGACUAUAAAAAGCGAGUAGACAUGCGAAUCACUUAUAAACACGUAGCACAUAACACUUAGCAUGCUUGACUAGAUGCAAGGACCUAAUAAAGCGAUUAAACACGUAGCAACGAAAGCAAGCAAUGAACUUAUUACAUUUGCUAACUAAAACAAAGGGGGGAAAGGGAAAAUGGACAAGAAAGCUCACCCUAUCUAUUACAAGCCAAGAGGUGUACACAUACCCCAUUUAAAAGAAUAAUUUAAUAAAAGCAAGAAUGAAUGAAAUAAUGGAACUAAAGAAUGGUAAUGAAAGCAAAUUAGGCAUGCGAUUCACACUUAGCACAUUGGAUCACAUAGGAGAGACAAAAGGGAUAAAAGAAAUUAUACCUCCCUUGAAAUGAAGCUCUAAUGGAGUGAAGUCAACUUAUUUACCCUCCAAAAUAAUAAAGGAGUCAAGGUGCCAAUUUAUUUGACAAAUAAUCACAAAGGAUAAAAAUAAACAUGAAUUUGAAUCAAUUAAAUCAUGUCAACAACCCACAUUUAAGAAGUCAAGAGAAGAAAGGAUUUGAUUGCAAAGAUUGGCAAAAUUUUGGGGCCAAAAUUAAAGAAAAAUAAAGUUCAGGGACUCAUUUGCAAUUAAACCAGGGACUAAAUUGAAAGUAGUUGAAAAUAUCCAGGGGCACAGUACAGUUAAGGAGAACUUCAAGGACCGAUUUGCAAAAUCAUUUUCUGGUUUCUUAAUGGUCCAAACCAUUGGGCCAUUUUCUUAUUUGCUUGGGCCAAAACCUUCAAAGCCCAACCGAAAGCCCAACAAAAUCGGUGGGCUUCUAUCCCUUGGCCCAAACCAAAAUCCACUUUCUUAAACCCAAACAAAAAAAACUCUUAGCCCACACCACUUGUUUUAUUGAACCCAAUCAUGAUAAAAUCCAAAUAAAAUUAUUAAACCUCAAUUAUAACCUACAAACAAGAAUUAAUCUAUCCAAACAAAUCACAUAAAAAUAUGCAAACAAAGGAUUAAACUUAAAAGGGUAAAAUUAGUUCAAUUUUCCAGAUUUCGGGCCAUAUCAGAAUAAAGGGAGACUUGAGGGGUUUCCAUGCAAUGCAAAUAAGGACCCAAUUGAAGGAAUUACAACAAUUUUGGGGUCGAAAUUAAAGAAAAGUAAAGUGCAAGGGUCAAUUGCAAUUUUUCAAAGAUCUAGCUUCAUAUUUCCCAGAAGCGUUCUUCUUCAAAUCGAAUGAGAUGGGAACGUUUUUACAACUUCUGAUGCUUCAAAAAUCCGCCAAACUUACACAGCAACAACAUCACAUCAUUAUUGAAUACAAAAACAGCAAAAUUGAACAAAAUCAAUAUCAAAAGUUCAUGGCAUCUCUUUCUCUUCCCGAAUAGCAAAUUUAUGUAUUCUGGCCAGCUUUGGACUGGCCAGAGUCCCAUUUGAACAGAAAAAACACGAAAAUCUUCCCUUUUGAUUCCAAUUUCUGGUUCAGGCAUUUCAUCAGACAGGUAAGGGGCGUUAAGAAUUUCUACGAUUCUUUGUUUAAUCAAUGCUGUAACCGGCCCAAAAUUUUGUCAGAAACAAAGAAAGUCAGCCCAACCAACGCGUGCAUCAUGUUUGGAAUUGCAGAUAAUCGACCAAAAUUGCCACAACGAAUCCACAAGAAACACUCUUUGAGUUGAAAUUUUCAGCAUUUAUGUUUGAACGGUCAACUGAAAUUCGAAGGAAAGGUGACUUACCGUGCUUUCACUUGGUGAAAUUCACAGGCUACGAUGAUGGGUUGGUGGUGAGGUCCUGGUAGCAGCAGCGAAUUGCGACUCCUCCGCUCGGUUUUCUUUUCCUUGCCCAGAAGCUUUUCCCCUCUGUCUUCUUUUCCUCAGCUCCUUUUUACCAUAGCCGCCCACUGCUUUUGCCUUUGCUCUGCUUUUGGUUUCCGUUGCAUAAACCCGCCGCCUCCUACUGCCUUUCUUUUCCUUCAGCUCACUCUCUCACUCCUUUUGUUUUACCCAACUUUCAUGCCCGAAACCCCAACCGCCUCAAGCCUUUCCUUGUCGGCCAAGCUCCUCUGUUUUUUCUCCUUCUGCCCAGAUUUUUAGCCGCCGCCCCCGUAGCCUCUUCUUUUAGCCUCUCUGUUUUUCUUCCUUAGCCGAGCUUCCCCAAGUUUUGCAGAUUCCUUUUGCCGUUUUUCCCUUCCCAAUUCCUCUCAGUUUUUUCUUUUGCUCUGCUUUUUGUUCUUCGCCCAAACCUCUCUUGGCCUCUGUUCUUUUCCUUCCGUCCCCCUUGCUUCCGUAACCUCCCCCCAAUUCCUUGUCCGCCGCCCCUGCUCUCGUUUCUUCUAUUUUUCCAGACCCAAAAACCCCCUGUCGGCCAUCUUUUUUUUUUUUUUUCUUUCUCCCUUUUUUAGCCGUCCCCUUUUUUCCUUUGUUGCUCUGUUCUUUUUCUUUUUUUUUUUUUGCCUGUCCGAAGCCUUCACUCUUUUCCCUCCUUUGUGUUUCUGCAUUCUUUUUCGUUCCACCCCGUAGCUUGUUUUUUCUUUGUUUCUUUUUUUUCCAAAAUUCCCUAAGCCCAACAAGUGUCCUUGACACCUACCCCUCUAUACACUUGUCCUACAAUUCCUUAGACACUUGUCUAAUGAUUAUUUUGUACACUUGUCCAACAUGCACACUUCCACCUAUCCACACAUUUUUCUUUCUUUUUCAUUUUCAUUUUUCUUCAAAAAUCAAUUAAAAAUAAAUUAACAAUUUUCAAACCAAAUUUAAGAGAAUUAAAGCCACUUUUGGUGUCUAACCCAAUUAAUAAAUAAAUAAAAAAAAUGAAAUUAAAAAUAAUAAAAAUUUGGUGUCUACAGUAUUCCAGAACUGUGAUAUCCAAAGGGUCAAAUAAUUUUAUUUUUGGCCAUCUGAAAGAAUUAACGAAUGUGGGAUAAUAAGCAAAUAAGCAUACAACAAACAAAUGAACAAACAAUAUGAAUAUAAACAAGCGAAUAAACAACAAUGACAAGAACAACUUGUGCAUUUUCAUAAAACCUUUGAUUGAAAGCAAAUGGAAAUGAAAACUUAACAAUAUUUACAUGCACAAACGUUAGUCAAAAAGGAAAAUUAUUUUCAUUGGCUAUUUACAGAUGCAAAAGUAUUUUCAUGAAUUCACAUGAAUGAUAAACCCCUUUCAGUUUACCGAAACUCCUUCCGAACGGGCAGGGACUCGGCUGUCCAAUUAGAAAUUGACCCUUCAGGGAUGUCAGGAAAGUCAGCCUCAUCUGGAAAACUAUCUUCAAAUGUUGCCCCUACGAACAAUUGGGCCAAACUAGCUUCAAUUUCUUCAACUGGAUUAACCUCUGAUGUGACAACCUCUGUUGGUCGUGGAAAAGUAUACCACAGUGGUGGAAUGUCAAAAACCCUGUGCCUGCCCUCUUUCUCUGCUCUUUUGCGCUCUUUCAUCUCUUUGAUGUCCUUGGCGGUUGGUUGGAAACCCAAACCGAAUGUAUCCCUUUUUUCUACUAUUUUCACUGGCUUCAGGAUCCCUUGCAGUUCACGCCCCAACCCCUUGUCGAAUUUGUAUCCUCCACGAAUCAUUUCUCUGGCCAUCAUUACACUGGCCUUUGAGAGAGUUUGUUCCUCCGUGGUUAUCCAACUUACGGAGACUAUAUCGGAUGUGCUGUGAGGGGACAUGGUAACACUUUGACUACCCUCCUCUUUGACUCCAGAAUCGGUGAUCACCAGGCAGUCCUCUUCAGCAAAGAUAGUGAUUAGUUUGUCAUUUACCACAAAUUUCAGCAAUUGAUGCAACGAAGAUGGCACAGCCCCAGACUUGUGAAUCCAUGGCCUGCCAAGUAAAAUAUUGUAAAUGCUCGGGAAGUGCAUUACUUGGCAAGUUAUUUGAAAUUGGGCGGGCCCCAUCUCGAUUACUAAAUCUGCCUCUCCUAUUGGCUCCCUCUGCGCUCCAUCAAACCCUCUAACGAUAGUCCCUGAAGGCCUCAGCUUGAUGUCUUGCAACCCUAGUUUCUCUAAGGUACUCCAAGGACAGAUAUUCAGUGCGGACCCGUUGUCAAUUAGCACCUUCGGCAGCAUUUUUCCGUUGCACCUCACUGUUAUGUACAACGCCUUAUUAUGUCCAAUGUCCUCCGUCGGCAAUUCAUCAUCAGAAAAGGCAAUUUGUUUGUUGAAUAAUACGCUCCCAACCACGUUUGAAAAAUUAUCAACAGAAAUGUCCCUCGGAAUUUGAGCUCUUGUUAAUACGUCGAUCAAUGCAUCCCUAUGCACGUCCGAAGAGAAAAGUAGGUCCAACAUGGUUAUCUGGGCAGGUGAUUUGCUUAGCUUUUCCACUAUGUUGUAUUCACUUCUCUGGAGUCGUUUAAGGAAAUCCACAGCUUCUUUCUCGGUGAUUGUUGGUUUGAUGGGUGGCUCAGAACUAUUGGCUUGAAUUGGAGUAGUAGUCUCAAAUGGAUUUACAGUCUUCCCCGAUCUGGUAACUACUGACACUUCCUUCUUUGCAGUUGAAUUUUCCCCGAUCUGUAUGCUAGGCUCAUCGUAAUUCCACGGCACUUGUUGCAGACUUAAUACGGGCUCCUGCUUCGGGAAUUCGAUGACUACUGGUUUCAAAGCUUCACUCUCCGCUGGCGUGAGAUCUAAGACAAAAGGCUUGUUAUCUUCUUCGAAUGGCAACUCUAUGACAAAUGGUUGGUCCGUGACCCCAAACACUUCAGCUCCUAUUGCCAAUUUCUUGAUUUGUUCCUCGUACUCCGCAUCGUCCAUAAUGACCCCGACGUGCUCUGGCAAGGGGUUUUGAUUUACGUUCGGCCCUUGUGCCUCCCUUUUUCUGAUCACGAUUUCUCCAGACUCAACCAUAUCCUGAACUUUAUGCUUAAGCGCCUUGCAAUCCAAAGUUGCAUGCCCAGGUGCCCCCGAAUGAUACGCGCAAACAGCUUGCGGGUUAUACCAAACGGGCAUGCCAUACGGGUAGGUAGGAGGUGGUACUGUACCAAUUUUUCCAGAGGCCCUUAACUGGUCAUACAGUUGGUCUAAAGGCCUACCUAAAUUGGUAAAAGUACGGCUUGGGGGUCGGUUGUAAGGUUCAUGAGGUUGAGGAUGAUUGUAAACAGGUCUAUUUGGAGGAGGAAAUCUUGGGUUAUAUGGUGGACGAGGUCGGUUUUGGGGUGGAUUUGGUUGGGAAAUUUGGAAAGGGGCUGAAGGUGGGUUAGUAUAGUUUGGGCGAGGUCGAGGGUGGUGGAUAUUGGUAGUAUAUACAGGGUGUGGGUUUGAGUAGUAAGGGUAAGGUUGUUGGUAGGUUGGGUUGUGUUGGUAUCGGGGUCGGGGUGAAGGGUUGUGGUUCCAAACAAAGGUUGUAUCUCCUUCUUUCUUUUUGAAUUGUGGUUUCUUUUCACUGCUUCCUCGCCCUUGCAAAGCUUCUACUUGCGAUUUCAGGGCAGAUACAUUAACAAUUUUCCCGGCUCGUACAAAGUCGUCGAAUUCUUCAAGUUUAUUUACAAUUGCCGCGAAUGAACAUCCAGUCAUACGGAAAAUUUCUUCAAAAUAUGGAGGAUCAUGGGCCUUGAUGAAAGUACGGAUGAUUUCUUCCUCGGUCAUCGGAGGCUCCACCUUGGCAGCUAUUUUCCUCCACCUCUUGGCAUAAGUCUUGUGAUCUUCGGAGGGUUUUCUUUUGGUUCCUUCCAAGGUGGUUCUAGUCGGUGCCAACUCACAAUUAUACUCAUAUUGCCUUACGAAAGCCUUGGACAAGUCAAUCCAGGUUCUUACGUCUUCAGGUUUCAGAUUUGAAUACCAGUCAAGUGCGUCCCCUUCCAGACUUUCGGGGAACAACCUUAGAGGCAAGUUUUCAUCGUCCACAGGCUUUCCCAAUUUGUUUGCAAAUAGUCGGAGGUGCGUCUUGGGAUUACCCGUCCCAUCGUACUUGUUAAACUUAGGAGUUUUGAACCCCUCAGGCAGUUGCACAUUCGGAAAGAGACACAGCUCAUCGUAAUCCAAAACUCCUUGCUUGUUCAGCACCUGACUCUUCCUCAUGAAUUCAUCGAAACGGUCCAGGCGCUUUAAUAACUUCACAUCAAUGGGAGCAGAGGAUCCUCCCACCUCUGGUUUGGUUUGAAUAAAAUGGUCCGGCAGAUAAGGCUCAGUGGUGGGGUAAUAAAAAGCUUGUGUCUCAGGUGGUAUAUUUGCAGUGACUUGAGGUUGUGGGCCUUGCAUAUGAGUAGGGAAAAAUGAAGGAUUAGGAGGGUAAGUGUAUGGCAGAUGAACGGUGGGGUAGGUGAAAGUCCCUUCGGGUGGACCUUGCAUGGGAACAGUAGUUUGAACUGUAGGAAUAACAAAGGGUUCAGAUUGCAGUUGUAUUACGUGCGGAAGCUCCGGCUGUACCCCGCUACUGACAAGCUCGUCUAUUAUCUUCUUUUGGGCAACCAUCUCAGAGGCCAUCUCCCCAAACUUAGCAAGUAACUCGGCCAACUGAACUCCAGGACUCGGGACUUCUGGUUGAGAAGCAGCAGCGGUCUUGUCGGACGAUUCAGGUUGAUUACUCAUGUUUACACGAUUCCUUUGGGCUCUACUUCGGGAUCGCGUAAUAAUGGGGCUUUUCCGAAAAGCUAUUUUGAAAAAUUUUACCUGAGAACGCAAAAGACUGCUUUAGAUAAACCAAUCGUUAUUGAAUUUCUGCAAUUUAUUCAAAAGAGAAAAAGAAAAAGAAAAAGACAUGAGUUAGUAACUAUUUGAACAAUUCGGAUGCAUGUCCUAUUUGGGGGGCCCUUUUGUGCCAAGGGUAGGCCUAGCAUGAUGCAAGCCUUCGGGGUAAAAUCCCAUUUUCAAACCUGUAAGUGAAUAUAAAAGCAGGAAUUCUCAUUAAAAUAUGGAUAAGCUCAGUCCUUCUUUACAACUUCAUUGAUGGUUCGACUGACCAUUCUUACAAAAUCUUCAUGCCUGGCUAGUCUAGUGUGUUGGGAUUCCCUAGAACUCCCAAUACUAAGCUUUCGAAUUUCAUCUUGGAUUUUAUCAAAUGCACUCAAUGCCUUUUCCAACUUCUCGGUCUUCCUUGCCUCUUUCCUCAAUUGCGCACGGGCUGCUUCCAAUGUUUGGUCAGCCACCAUGAUCUGCAGCUGAUGGUCUUCCAAUUCUCUCCUCAAUUUCUCAUUCUGCUCUUCUAAAGUAAUAGCGACUGACGGUACCAUUUCUCUUCCUUGUUCUAUUAUUGAUUUGAUCCAGUCGUUGUACUCCAAGACGACCCUAGGCUCUUCUUUAUUCACUUGGUCCAAAUGCAGGUUGUCCAAACUACACAGAUUCCCCCAAGCUUCCAACACCAUACUUCGGCAUUCAGCAACUGUAUUGAUUUCGAUACGUCCCAUUCCUUGUAUGGUUGGCACUCUCUGCGGGUACCCGAACUGUCUCAUAACUCGUUGUGGAAUGUACAUAACCAACCCACUAGUGCUUGCUAACGGAAUGAAGUCAAAUUGUGUAGUCUUGAAGGCUGGAUCCCUUACUUUCGUCCAAUCGAGAACCCACUGUAUCUUAUCUGAAGUUAAUGCAUUGAAUUCCUGAAUAAACACACUAGGAGAUGCGACUCGAUAGUAUCUUAUAACUCUUUCUCGGUGCGAUUCAACCCAGUUUGCUGUUGGAAGGCAUGAUCCCAAUGGAUUCAGUGUUCUCUUUGACAGAUGUUCCAUCGCCCACAUUUGAAGCACUAAGUUGGAUGCAUAGAAAAACCCCCUCUUCUUUUGGCAUUCGGUAACAGCGGUGAAGAUAUCAGCAAUAAUGAUAGGCACCAAAGUAGGGGUCUUUUCCUUGAUUCCUAGAAACACACUUUGAAUCAUGUUAACUGUUGAGAAGGUAACCUUUCCAUGUUUCUGCGGGAAUAGUAGUAAACUGAUCAAGGCUAGUCCUAAGGCUUGUACUCGUUUUCCUUCCCAUUGUUCUCUGCUAAUGAAAAAGUCGUCGUGGUGUCGGUCGUAAGAAUCCCUUUCCCCAAAUCGUUUGUACAAGAAUUCGAGUGGACAUGAUUUUGCAUCCGGGUGUUGAUCCAUGCUAUCUUGCUUCAAACCUAGAAACUUGCAAAAUUGCUCUCUAGUUCCAUUAGUUGGGUACACCAUAGGGCUACCUUUCCCAGUCAUUUACAAUAACUCUUCUAUCUCCUCUAGAGUGGGUGUUAACUCACAUUCCCUAAAUCGAAAAAUGGAGCCAUUGGGAUCCCAGUACUCGAGCAGUGCUUGAAUGAUUGCUGUGUUCGGGGUUAUAUUCAAAAGAUUUGGUAGAUGACCUAUGUACAGGAACAGUCGGUUCAUUUCAUGCCCCAUGUUGUUCUUCCAAUCAAUCAGCUCACGAGGUAUAUGGUCUAACAUUCGACAUGGAGCCAUCUGAAGGAGAAAUUCACUUUUUAGUACCUUACCUUGGGAUUUACCCCUUAGGUUAAAUUGCAAAAAAUAGACGUGCAAAAUCCCCAAAGGUCGGGUUAAAUACCCAUGGGAUUAGGGUUGGCUUCCCUAACAUGGAAAUUGCCUAAUUGGCGUUCCUUCUAAGGUUUAAUGCAUGAUGGCAUUUAUUAAAGCGAUGUAAAUAUGUGACAAAUAUGGCCUAAAGGACAUGAAUAAUGCAUCGGGGGAAAAAGGUCUAAAAAUGAAAUGUACUUAUUGAGAAUCAAAUGUAACAACUGAAAUUUAAACAUGUGAGCUAUCUAAUGGGUAAGUCGCUAAAGAGUGCCUAAGGGGCCUCUUAUUACUAGGGCAUAUGAAUGUAAGACAAGAAAACAAUGAAAUGGUUAGCACAAUUGAUAGUACACAUAACACAUUAGGAGCAAAUAAGAAAAGAAAUACAAAUACAAACAAGUAAAAGGGGUGGAACCCCUUCCCUCGUGCCUAAUGUGCUUAUAAGAGGGUAAGGCUGACUCUAACCCUAGGAAGAUUCUAACAUGGAUGCAUGAGGUUGGGGUUCACUAAUGCGACUAUACUCGAUAAGGCUUCGGCUCCCAAGCCUUCAGACCUAAAGGCCAAAGGUCAUCACUCCCAAGGCCUUCGAUCGGUGGCUCGAGUGAUCCCGUAGGUAGUGCUAUGGGCGCAGGGCACACCAUCCACCUACCCAAGGCAAUCAAUUCUAGUCCUACAAGGCGGUGUGGGAUAGCGCCCACGAUAAAAAUAAAAAGGGAUAACAAUAAAUAAACGUGCACGUAUGAAGUAUUCCCUAUUUUGAGGGAAGGGGUUGAGAACCACGCGAGGCUCUAAAGGUGACACACACCCCCCCCAAAUGCAAUGCAAGCGCGAGAUAACAAGUAAACAUUCAUUCAAACAUACAUUCGUGAGUCGAGGAAUUGGUGUGAUUACGUACAUAAGACAAAAGGUCCUAAAAAUAAAAAUAAAAAAUGCAAUCCUAAUAUCCACAUGCUAUGCAUAGAAAGGGUAGAAAAAGGAAACGAAUGGUUAAGUCAAAAUGCUUGGACUCACUUAGGAAGUCCCCAGUGGAGUCGCCAACUGUCGCGCCCCAUUUUUUGAUAAGAAAGAUAAAUGGUUUGAGAAAGAUGUUUUUGAUUCAAUUGUGAUUGGAGAAUGAUUUUUGUGAGUUGAAAAGACAUGGGUCUCAAUGGGACUUGGAAAGCGACGAUUUGACCCAAAAAAUAGUUUUAAAAAGGGUUUUUAAAUGAAAAGUUUGGAGUCGCCACUUGGUAAUGAUUUAAGGUGUACCAAGUCACCUAAAAAUGAGUUAAGCAGUAAUAAACCCUUUUUAAAACGACUCCUAGUCUACGUAAAACAAAGAAAAAGGUUCGGGAGUCACGUUUGACAAAGGGGAAGGCAAGGAUAGACUCCAAGGCACCCCUUUGACCUAGCCAAGGCUAGUUGCGUAACUUAACCCUAACUUUCCUGACUUUCUACCCAGGGUAUGUAUUGCAUGUUGGAUUAUGCCUAUAUGAAUGCAAAAACGAAAAAAUGCAAUCCUAAAUUCUACGAUGUCUCUCGUGAGGUUUUUGGUCCCAAACCACAUGAAUUGUGGCGGCCAAUAAAGGGAAACCUCAUAGAGGUCGAUUGAUGCAAAUGGUGACUCAAGUGCAAGUGUGCAAGUGUAUGAAAAGAUUCAUGUAUGAAAUGGUGUAAAAAAACAAAGUGUUUGUGUGCGCAUGUGUAAAGAAAGUGCACGUGUGAAUUUGGAUGAAAAAUCAAAGUAUUAGUGUGUGCAAAUGAAUGAAGAUAGGAUUAUAAAUAUAUAUGAAACUUGAAUUCUACUUGUGGAGUAAGAUGAGUAAAACAUAGUGAAAAAUAUGGAUUGAGAAAUGUGGAAAGAAAAAGUGAUUAAAAGAGCAUGGAAGUGAGAAAAAAUGAAAGUAUGUCCCUAAGGGAAUGCAACAAAUUGGGUACGGGGAUGACGCCUAAUUUUCGACUUUGAUUUUCCCUCGGAUUAGAAGGUAAAACUAGCGUGCUAAGGCUAUCGAGUAGCCACACUCGCUCGUUUCCCUUAUCAAGAGGGGAUUUUCACGCAAAUGAACCCUAACUAGCAUGAGAUGCAAGUCCUAAAGUGAAGGGGAAGGGGUUUGAGGAACAUACCAAGUGAUAAACUAAGGAAAAAUGCGUGAUAUGUGGUGAUCAUGCACUUAAUGAAAAAGGGAAAAAAGAACCUAUUGGGUCUAGCAUUGGACUAGCCCAUUCUAUGAAUUCCGACUAGCGUUGGACUAGUGGAAACGAUAAAAGAAGCCACAACUAGCGUUGGACUAGUGUGGUGACGUACAUUCAUCCAUUCCAUUCAUCUAUACUACAAAAAGCGAGUAGACAUGCGAAUCACUUAUAAACACGUAGCACAUAACACUUAGCAUGCUUGACUAGAUGCAAAAUCCUAAUAAAGCAUUUAACAUAUAACACAUAGGCAUGCAACCAUUACAUUUGCUAACUAAAACAAAAGGGAAAGGGAAAAUGGACCAAAUUACUUGCUAUGCCCUAUCUAUUACAAGCCAAGAGGUGUACACAUACCCCAUAAUGAAUAACUUAAAUAAAAAUAAAAGUAAAUGAAAUAAAUGCAAGGAAUUAAGAAAGCAAAGUAGACAUGCAUAUUCACGUAACACGUAGGAGCACGUAAGAGAGAAGUAAAGAGGAUAAAAGAAAGUUAUACCUUCCCCCGCUUGUGAAGCUAAUGAAUGGAAACGGUUCUAAAUUGGGCUAAAACCAUUAAACAAAUGAUCAAUGCACCAAUUUAGUGAUAAGAUAUAAACUAAACAAUUUGAAUCCACCAAAACAUCAAACUUUCCCUCAAUUGCAACUCAAUGAAGUCAAAACUACUUAAAGACCAAGGCAAAAGGCAUGAUCAUCCAAUCCCCAAGCAUAACAUCUACUAAGACCCAAAUGCAAGCACUACUCAAAUCAAUUGAACCUAAUAAAUCGUUUAAGCACUUCAAAGAUUCCAAAAAUAAAGAAAGAGUCAAACAAUGAUUGAAGUUGCAAAUGAUUUUAGGACUUAAUUACAAGAUACUAAAACAUGCUUGGGCUAUUGUGGCACAAAGAGAAACUUAGAGGGAUCAAAUUGAUUAAAUGUUCCAAUUACUUGGGCCAUAGUGGCAUAAGGGGAAACUUGAGGGGUUGGACUGUAAUUUUUCUGAAAAAUAUUCAUGCAAUCUUCAUGCAAGCUACGUAGACAAAGAGCUUCUGCAACCAUCACUUCACCAAAAUCAGCUUUCAAAUAACAUUAGAUCCCAGCUAACAAACACACAAUCCUUUCAUUUUGCAUCAAGAAACGCAUGGCUUCAAAACAGAUUUUCAGCAGCUAGCCAAAGUUUGAAAACUUCAACAACUAAACAUAGAGAAUGAAGCUUGCGGCCCUUUUGUUUUCAAAAUUUCAGUAAUUUCCAGGUGCAACUACCUCCAUUUCAUCAAACAAACAAGAUCAUCAACCCAUAAAUUAUUGACCCAAAUCAAAACAUAAAACUUGUUUGCAAGAUUAAGACAGCAAAUCUGUUUUUUGAUCAGUAACAAAAGAAGGAAAGGAAACCGCAACAAGAUUGUUUUAUUUUGACAACCACAGGCCAAGCAACCUGCUGGCUCCUAUUGCUAAGCUUCCCAACACUUUCACAACGGACAAAGCAAACAUUUCAAACAACACCAAAAGAACUUCGGCAGUCAAAUGUACAAGCCUGCUGCAUUUCAUCUUCGAACAUGAACUUCAGAAUCUAAUACAACUUUGAUCAAAACUUGAUCCACCAAACAUCAAAACUUUAAACUAAGCAACCAAAUCAAGACCUUGAGCAUCUAAACAGGCUAAGAAACUUAAAAAAUCUGGAAAAACAUGCAAACAUUUGACUUUUGAAAGCUGCUGCAAUUUUCCUACGGAUUCAAAUUUUUAUCCCAACUUUGAUUAGAUGUUUUUAAACCCAACAUCCCAAUCCUAAACCAAGCCACUAACUGCACCACCACCAUGAUCCAAACAAGCAGGCAACUCAGAAAAAUAUCACAGAAGGAUUCUAGAAAGCAUGCGUGCAACACAGGGAUCUAGCAAAACCAACAAGCAGAUUUCAUUCAUUACCCAGCAAGCAUUGGAUCUCAAUUCAAGUGUUUCAGCCCCCAAACACACAAACCCAACACCCUUUGCCCAAUUUAUAUCAUCAAGUAGGUAAUGAAAGCCUCUUGGUGGACUGGGUUGUUACAGGCAAGGAAAACAGCAAGAGGAAACACACGGAUGAACUACGACCUGCUAAAGUUUAUUCAAAACUCUUCAUGGAUGUCAAAUCCAUUGCUCACAUGCCAAUAUAUUAUAUCCGUUCUCAUCCCAACAAAAACAUGCAACUCACAUGUAUUACUACCAAAAGAAACAGCACAAAAGAAAGACAUACCAAUCCAUAAGACAACAGGGCAAUUUUAUUGACACUAGAUAGCAAAAUUUUGGUAAAACUCGAAACUAAGCAUGCGAGUGAGAGCAAAAACUGGAUUCACAUGGUCUCAAAGUCACGGUUUUAUCAAGCUCAGGUGAGCUUCAAACUUUCCAACUCAAACCAGAAACUGAUAAUCACUUCAACAUGGAGAACAAAGACUGAAACGAUAAAGUAAAGCCCACAUAUUUAUCAAGACUUCAUUUUCUUCUCCUAAUUCAUAUCGACACAAAAAUCUGAGUCGACAGGAACAUGGAAUCGACAGGAACAGGGACAGGAACAGGGAAUGAAAGUGCCGACCAGAAACAGGAAAUGAAGACAGAAACCAAAUAUAAUUCUGUGUAUGUAUAGAGGAGAAAGAUGAAAAGAAGAGGGGUUACCUGACAGAUCUUGUCUUGAGGAAAAUGGAGACCGGAAUUCAGAAGGGACCUGCAACUGGCUUUGAUGAAGGCAGUGCAAAAUCUGGAAUUUUUCUGGCCCUUGCCGUAGCUCCCUUUGCCGUUUUUCUAUUGACGCUUUCAAACCUAACCCCCUCUCUUUUCACUUUGUUCUCAGUCGGUCACUCCCUAAUCUCUCCUCUCAAUUUUCUUAGCCGCCAUCCUCCCUGGAAUCCUCUGCAUUUCUAGUUUCACUUAGCUUUUUUUUCAUGCGCCAUUGCUCUCUUUUUUUUCUCUCUUGCGGCUACUCCCUCCUUUUCUAUUUAUAUGAAGCCCCCCUCCCCUAACCUACAGUCUUUUCUUACCUAUUUGCAGCCAAGGCUCCCCAGUCCUUCCUUGCAAAUCCUUCCCUGCAAGCUGCGUUUUGACGCAGCUUGCAUGCCGCUACUUACUUUUUUUUUUUUUCCAACUUCCAACUUAAUAAAUACAGAAAUGAUAAAAUAUAAAUAAUAACAAAUUGACAAAAACCAGGUAAUAAUAAUAAUAACAAAACAAAAAUAAUUUUAAACAAAAAACUAAACAAAAAUGGCCAUUUUUAAUUUUUAAAUUUUUUCAUUUUUUAUCAUUUUCUUUUUCUCAAACUAACUUGAUAGAAAUAACUAAAGUGCCCAAAGAUUGAAUUUGAACGUAUUUUUGUGAACAAUUUUCUUCUUUUUUUCUUUUUUUAUGAUUUUCCUUUUCUCUUUUUUUUCCAAGAAAGCAUUGAAUAAAAAUGACUAAAACAUAUUUUUGAUGUUUUCCUUUUCUUUUCCUAAAAACUCGAUACUAAUCUUAAACUUAAAAGCUAAAAACUAAAAACUAAAACUAAAAGUAAAUAAGAAUGAAUAGCAAAUGAAAUAGGUCAACUAAAAGGGCGAAAAUGAAUAAAACUAAAACAUCAUAACAACUAAUAGUGCAAAACACACAAUAACGAACUAAAAUGCAAGCAAUCUAAAAAUGAAAAUCAUGAAAUAGAUGCUACAUAAAAUUAUUCAAAAUUUGGUGUCUACAAACCUUAUUUUGUUUUAAAAGACUAGAAACCCUAAAAUUUUAAUCAAAAAACCCUAGUUUACUUGUGAUUAUGUUUAAAUCCCUCAUAUUUGAUUCAAAACCCUAAUUUUAUUCUAUGGAAUUGUGAAAUUCAUCACAUUUUUCUUAAAAUUCCUUUUAUUUGGAAAUUAUUCAUUUAUUAUGGCCCUACUACUCAAGCACCCCACAACGAGUGUAAAUAAACCUAGAAAGUAGGGUUUCACUUUUGGUUUCAAGAUUGGAGCAAAUUAGGGUUUUCGCGAUUUUUCGCCGGAUGAUUUUUCGGGUACGGAGCAAGGAUCAAAUUUGGUGAUUAAAAGUGACUUUUAAGUGAGAAAUAAAAUAUGAUUAGGAGCAAUGAUAUAGAGUUGGUGAAUAGGAAGUAAAAACUCUAGUACGAGUGUUUUUAAGAAAACCGGCGCGAACCGGCGGGUUCCGCGCACUACCGAUUGAACGCACCAAUUGGCCACCACUUUCUUACCAUACAAGUUUAUUGAUAUUUGAGUAAAAUAUCCUCUUAAUUGUCAGCUUGUUUGACCGAAAAUUAGAAGCUAGAAAUAGCAAGGAAAGAAAGAGAAAAAAUGAAAGGUGGAGGUGGCGACACUUGUCGCCAUCCUAGAGUUUCUUGGCCAAGUGAGCAACUAACCUUCUUAAACCAAUUUUCUGCACUUUCCCUUCAAUAUUUCUGCUGCUUGGCCGAACCAAAGAGAGUGAGAGAGAGCAAGAAGAAAACUGUGACAGCCCCACUUUCCCCUAAGGCGAACCAAAGGGGUGAGCGGACUGCCUGCCCAACUCUCGCCAGGACUAACGAUGCAGACCAGAACUAUCUAUAGCGAUCCAGAACUUACAAACGAGCGUAAACAAGCCAAAAUGGUAAAAUAACCCAAAAUAAAAAAAUGAAAUCCGGAGCCGGCCAUGAAUAGUAACCGACCCGUCGGUGCCAACCGAAAUAGCUAACAAACAUUCACAUCUGAACUUUAGCGUUUACAAAUCAACCUGACAUACAAAAGUUUUCAAAAGUUAAUAUAUACACAUGGUUUGCCAAAUCAAAAGAGAAAACGCCCCCAAAAGUAAACUUAGGGUUUUAAUACAUGAGCUAUACAAAAGAUAUGUUCGACUAGUUCAAUUUGGCAGCCAUUUGUCAAAUCCAGACCAAAAGGGUUUAUUUUCCUGUAAGGAAAACAAAAGGAACAGAAAGGGGUAAGCUUGCGCUCAAUGAGGUACCAAACAUAUAGCAGAAAAUCAUGGCAUUUCACAUUUAACAAAUCAGAUACACAUGCCAGAUGUAAAGCAAAGGAACCAAUGAUUCAAAUCAGAAGGAUACGGGUGGCUCUCAGGAGCCAAAUUUCCAGCGCAGUACUUGAUCCAAACCGGUUGACUCUCCGUCAACGUAUAUAGAACGAAAACGUCCGUAGACCCCUCUUUACACCGAAUUCCGUCCACCAAACACCCCUUUACCGGGCCCGCUCACCGUAACUGAACAGAAAUGGUAAUACUCGAGUAUACCGGAAUCAAGGGUCUCAAUACCCAAAAAUCCCCGAACAGACUACCGUGGUUCGUUAUCUAAUCGUCCAGGCCCUUGCCGGCCCGACUCGAAUAACUUAGCCACAGGAUUGAGCUCAUAGGUCAUAGAAAUCCGAACAGAUGCAGACACAGAUAACAGAUUCAAAUUUUGCAUAGUAAAUUAGCAUAUGAACAGACUAGAGAACGAGUGUGAUAAAGUACACCCCCGUCUCGAACAAAUAAACAGAUUGCAGAGCAGAAAUCAAGUUAAACAGCAAUGGAGGGGAGUGGUACACUCACCGGCUCAGCUUCAAAAGUUUUCACUUCAGAUUGGCCUUAAUCGCUAAGAAACCCUAAAAUAAUCAAAAUAAACCAAUUGAAGGUUUUACUUCCAGAAUCGAGUAAACAGAAUGCACAUGUGAGGCUCGACUACUAGUCGUAUGUCUCGCCAAAUAAUUACUAAUGCAAGGGUGCAAAACAUGAUUUUCUUGGAAACGAAAAGGUAGCAUGAAGACCUAGGCGCAAACAACCCAAAAGCCUUUCAUUCUACCAAAAGGCAAACCCAACUUAAAGGAACCAUACGGCCUAGAAAAUCGGGCAGCACUUCCCCUAAAUUUCUUACUUUUCCAGCCAUUAAGGCUUCAUUCUAUCCUCAAAUCAGUCCCAACAUCUCACACAAAAUUCAUCUCAUUUCCCAAAAGCCGUUCACUAGGCUUAAAGUGGUACAAGUACAAAAGUUAACUAGGAAACAACCGAAAUGAAAGCAAGCCCUAAAAGAGACUCGAUAACGAGUCAUAAACCAAUGCCAACCACAACCCCAAUAAGGUUUCAUAUGCAUAUAUAAGCAUGAUAGCAAACCAGAAAUUAAGAAAAGGGCUUUAACUUAGGCCUUGAUAAGAAAACCGGUUUUGACGUCAUAAUGCGGUAAUGGCACAACUCUCACUACAAUUAUCGGAUGGGGGUGUAAGACCCACCAUUUCGAAGCUAUGGAACAGGGCUACAACAAUGUAGAAAGUCACUCAAUCCAUUUCCUAGCUUAACUAGUUCGAAAAUGCCAAAUACUAUACCAGAAUUACCAAAACAGGUUUGCAAAACACAGAAAACUGUAAUCGGUAUAUCUCAGUCCAUACAAGUCCAAAUGCCGAAAUUCCAAAGGUAUAAGUUAGCUAAGACAUCCAGCUACAUUUCAUCAGAAGACACCAACUUCAAAAUCCAAACCAAUUCCAGUCAAAAGGGCCAAUUACUAUCGCAGUUUUCGCAUUCUGAUCAAAACAGAACAGCUACAGUAAAAAUGGCAUAACUCACUCUGCACUCAUCCAAAUAACCUGAAAUUUUACAGGCACCUCAAACACAUCAAUACCUACAACUUUCAUGUUUUGAGCAAAGUCUAAUUCGGCCUCUAAUCCAGUGAUCUAAAACCGGACAGAAUUGGGAUUUUAUGAACCCUAACUUUCCAUUUUUCACACCAAAUCCAAAAUUGAUUGCAUUUAACCACAAUUCACACUCACUAGAGUCAUUUCCAACCAUUACAAUUCAUCAUACAAGCCCCCAACAUCAAGAUCAUAUUAAACCAGAAAAAUUCCCAAUAAAAUAAAAACUUCACCAAAACAAGCCAAAUCAAGAGAUAAAUCACAUUUUCAAACACUCAAGCCACUUCUAAGCAUCAUAUAACCAUUAUUAGAGGUAGUAGGGUGUUCAAGCAACACUUACCAAGAAAUCAAGAGAGAGAGAGGGAUUGUGGACACCUUUGCUCUUCAAACAAACUUCACUACAACCCUUACUAGCACUAGAAGAUAGGAUUUUAUGGAGUAGAAACUAGUUUAAGUAAUUUUCUUGGAAGAUUUGAGCUAUAUGGAGGCUAGAAUUUGGAAGAGUUUUCCUUCUUUUGAGCUUCAAGGUGGCCGGCCAAGAGGGAAGGGAGAAGAGUGAAUUUUUUUGUAAUUUUUGAGAUAUUUAACUUAAGUGGUAAAAGUCAAAAAAAUAUUGUCAAAAGGUGAAUAGUGUUUCUUAAGUCACAACCAACCAUAUUGUGACACUUGUCACACUCAUUAAUGCACUCUUAUCUUUCUUUUUCCCUCUCACAUCAAUCACUUCACACAUUCUACUUAUCUCUUAACACCCGAUAAAUUUCACACAGUAUCCGAAACUUAACCUUAUUGGCCGAACUUUUCGCACUAGUGGGUCCCACGUCCACUAUUUACUCUUAAUUUUCUAAAAUUUCUCCAAUGCUAGGAAAAUCAUCUUAAAACUAUAAUUACUCAUAAAAAUUCAUCAGGAAAAUUUCCUAAGCCAGAAAACACAGAAAACAUGCAAUUAAGGGGAAAUAAACCCUAGGAAAAGAUUAGGGUUUUUACGGGUUCUCACAAAAACACCAUCCUACCUCUUGAUUUCUAGCUACAAAGUAAGAAAUAAAGAAAAUAAACCGAUUAAACUCACCUUUGAGUGUUUAGUUAGUGAAGUAUUGGUGAGAUUUUGGAAAGGGAAAGCUAGGGUUACACUUGCUGGACACUAAUCAAGGUAAGGAAGCUGAUUUCCCUAAUUCUUACUUUCAAUCUUGUUUAAAUUAACCUAGCAACUUAAAAAAUUGUGGUGAUUAACGGUUGUUAGCAUGUAUUGGGUAUUAUUUUCCUUGUAGACACAUGAAUUGGGGUUUGAUGAUUUGCUGCCAAACUUGGUGUAUGGUUAAUAUAUGUUGUAAUUAAGGUUAUAUAAGGGGCUUUGGUAGUGAUUAGAACAAGAAAUUUGAGAAAGUUCCAUUAAAUACCAAAAAUUCCAGAAUCUGGAAAAUUUUGCCCUAUUUUCUGUCCGGUUUUGUAGCUCCAUGUUAGAGGCCGAAUUAGACUUGGCAUAAAACAUAAAAGUUGUAGAUAAUGGUAUUGUAUAGGUGCCUACAAAAUUACAGCUCAAUCGGAGUAACGUAUCUUGUGAAAAGAUGAAAAUACUCUAGUUGAUCUAGGUCACCUUCCAGAAUUCCGCGUGGACAGUUUAGUCUUGUUGGUUGUGUUUAUUCACUAUAAGCCGUUCGGAUUUAGCCUUUUGACAAAACAUAAAAGUUUUAGUGCUUUGUCUUAGCUUUUCAACGCAUCUGAGAACACCUUAAACGGACUUUGGUAGCCUGAGAUAUGACUAUUUCAAUGUAGUAAGGUUGAUUAGCCGACUAGUUGGAUUCUGGUUCUGUAAGGUUGGAAAUUGCCUAGGUUACACUGGAAAUUGGACUAAGUGAUCUUCAUGAACAUUGUAUCCUUAUGUCUCAGAUUUCUAAUGCCUUUGGAAUUUCAUGAUUUCGAUUUGUGAGCUGGGAGUUACGAUCCAGCAAACAUACCCUGUCCGUCACCUUAAAGUGCAAAUUUCUGGCACUGUUUUCCAUACUUUCGACCCAUCUCUGUUCAGAUCCGGAUUUAAGUGUCUCCAUAAAAGUUAUAGAAUUUUCUCUUAGCUUCACAAUGGUACCUCAUGUACCUUGAUCCGACACUCGUAGCCUCGAUUGUGUUCAAAACAGUUUUGACGGUAAAACGGCUAGGCCGCCAUUCCCGUUUCCGUAUGCCGUUUCCGCACUUGCAUGUGCCAAUUUUGUCGUUUUGCUUGUUUUUGGAAAUUCCCGUUUCCGUAUCCCGUUUCCGUAUGUCGUUUUGCUUGUGAGGUGACUGGCCAGUGAGGGUGAUAAGGUGUCCGGUGGGUGUACAAGUGAAGUUCUACGGACCUUAUUUAUGGUCGACGGAGUGUCGACAGGAGAUCACUCAUGGCAAAUGACUUGGCUUUGGAGCCAUAUGUAUCCUUAUCAUGUGAUGUUAUUUUUCUGAUUUUGCUUUACUCCUACUAUGGAAAUGUGGUGACGUGAAAUUUACGCUUUUGCCCCUAUUUACUUACUAAGCAUAUAGCUUAUCCCGUUCUAUUUGUUUUCCUUAGCAGGGGCCGACGCGGGGAUCGCUCGGGAAGGUGGUUAGAUUUUGAGCUAUAGAAUACUUGAAUUUGUAUUUGUUAAAAGUUGAGCUAUAGAACUUUUGGCGGUUGUAUAUAUUAUGAAUAGUUCUCUUGUGGUUUAAUAUGGUUUUAUUAGCUUUAAGUUUUGAGUCCUGGCGUGAGUUAGGCAGGCGGCCUGCCGAUACCCUUGGGUUCGCCCUAGGGAGAAGUGGGGUCAUCACAAGUUCAGCCAAAAGACUUACAUUCAUGCACAAGUAACGUUUCAAUCAUUGAAUCAUUGAAAAUUUCACAUUCAUUUAGGUCGAGUGCGAUAAAGUACACACUCGCCUAGAAAACUCGUUUUAGCAAUCAUAAAACGCAUUUAACAUGUUAUUAAUCAUUCAUAACAAGCCAUAUAAUCAAGAAAACAUAACUGACAAGAAACACUCACUUAUUUACGUAAAAUAACAUCCAAAAUAUCUUUCUGGAUAUUACCCUCAGUCACCGAUGAAACCUAAGAUUAAACGAGAGAAAAUAUUACAGUUCAUCUAGCAAAAUAAAUAGGUGAAAUCGAAGAAAAUCCGACUAACGACAAGUAGAACAUAUAAAAAUGACUUUAAAGGUGAAAAGAGGGCAUUUGGAUCUGAGGAUGGAAAUAACUAAGGGUUUCACAACCAAACGUAAAACUAAACUCAAAAGAGUUAUAAAAUUUCCAACGGACAACACUUGAACCAAAAACAAAUCAGAAUCCAACUAGAUAGGCUAAAGAAAUAUUUUUUUGAAUCGUUUAUGUGGCUCAAAAUCAAUAUAUAUUCAAGUAGAUAUUAUAUAACAAAUGUCUUAAUGAAAAUCAUGUGAAAAGGAGGACAAAAUAUCUUACUUGAAAGUAGUUUUUUCGUGGCCGAGAAAACCCUAAUUCAUACCUCUUUAUUUUGGUAAAGAGUAAGUAAAAAUUUGAAGUUUCAAACUGAAAAGGUAUCAUGCUUAAAAUAGUUGUCUCAUUCACCAAAGGUACAAGUUCAAAUGGAAUCUAGUUCAUGUAACACCAUUAAAGAAAAGUAAGUCCAACGCACCCCCAAAUCACAUUUCAAAUCUCACUUUUACUUAUUCAAACUUCAAGAAAAUAAACGGACAGCAAUUUCCCUUAAUUUCUUCACUUUCCAUCCUACAAUCAAAAACCAAAUCUCAUCCCAAAUCAAAUACAAUUUCACAUACAAAUCAUAGGCGAUAAAACACCUUUUGCAUAACAACCACAACUGAAACUACACUUAUCGGAUUGAAAUGAAUCUUAUGUCGUUUCGAAGCCAAGACAUAUACCUACAUUUCUUAUGAGACGUCCAAAGCCAAAUCAUGCAUUUUCAUGGUCAAAAAUGAAAAUCUCUAUGAAAACAGAAAUCUGUUCGCGAAACAGGGCUCAUGGGCAGUCAAGGGUAUUUCGGUGAUUUCACAGGCUACAGUGCUCGUAUCGAACUGAAAAUUUUCAGGCAGUUAGUUAGCACAUUUUCUACAACUUUCAUACUUUAACCUAAGCCUGAUUCAGCCUCUAUUAUGGCCGAAUAGAACUGGCCAGAACAGGGUAAGAUGAAACCCUAAAUUGGAAUUUCUGCACCAAACCAGAAAUUUUCGCAACCAAUCAUAUCCAACAUAUACCAACUCCAUUUUACACUAUAACAAAUCAUCAAUCCAUGACUAAACAAUAAUUAUGAUAUAAAAAUAGAAAAAUCACUAAUAAAUAAAAAAAACUCCACUUUCAACCAUAAAACCUACCACAAAUCAACAUAUUUAGCCACUAAAGCCACUAAUUUGACAUUAGCAAGAACAAAGAGAAAGUUUUCAAGAAAGGUACCUUGACACUUCAAGAAAGAUGGUAUCGAGUAGAUUCAAGUUUGGUUGGCUAGAACACAAGAUUUGAGCAAGUUUGGAAGCUAAAAUUGAAGAGCUCUCUCUCUUGUUUUCUCCUAAAGAGCAGUCAGCCAAGACAAGGAAAUAUUAGAGAAAUUUGGUCAAAAAUUGGUUUUAGUAAAGGUGAUGAAUAGUAAGUCAAAAGCCAUCCUCCAACCGGUUUGCGACACGUGGCACCUUGAAUGUUUUAAACUUAUCUUCUCACUUCCAAUGAUUCAUUUAUCUAACUAACCUCUAAUCAUUUUCUAGCACCUUGUAAAAUAAUAGCACUUAGCACAAAAAUCACUUAAGCACCAAAAUUUUAUCGCAUUAGCGGGUCUCACGUCUAUAAUGCAUUUCAAAUUUAACAUACACUAACUUAUACUAGGAAAAUGAUUUAAAACUAUACUUUCUUAUAAAAAUGCAUAGAAACUUAUUGUUUUAAAGGUAAGUAUAAAAAUAUAGGCAAAAAUAAAAUAAUGCCUAGAAAAAUGUAAACAUUUUUGGGUUCUCACACUCUCUCCCCUUUAAGAAAUUUCGUCCUCGAAAUUUUACCUUCAGUUGUCUCAGACGAGUCCGAAACUUGUCGGUUGUCUAGGGCAUAAAUCUUUACCGGUACAUUUGUUCGGUUCCCUUUUUCAUUCGCUGGUUUUGCUUUGGUUCCUUCCAGUGGUUGAGUACUACUCUCUCGUGACUGUUUUCUUGGGCAAUUACUAACUUGAUGAUCACCACUUCCAUAGAUCAAACACUUCCGCCCUUUUCUCCAACAAUCGCUUUCAGUGUAAUUUGCCUUUCCACAGUAUCCACAGACCAAGUGAGAAGCCUCCUUUUGGCUUUCUUGAGAAAUUUGCCCAUGUCCGAUUUGACUUCCUUUUGUAGACCUUUCAUCUAAUGCCCCUAAUGUCCAUGGUGGGCAGGGUAAAGGGUUCACUUUUUGCACUUUAGAAGGUGCUAUCGUUUCACUAACCUCUUCCAAUACACUACCCGAUGCACCAUUUUUUCGAGUUUAGGAGGCUUUUACCUGUGCCUUUGCCUUUUCAAUUCUUUGAAUUUUCUCAAGAGUCUCAAUAAAAGUAUUCACUUGCAUCGCCGCUAAGGCUUCCUGGAUUUUCAAAUUCAAUCCCUGUAUGAACCGCCUUACUCUUCACCGUUCUGUGGCUAACAAUUCAAAAAAAAACUUGGAUAGUUUCGUAAAUUUUGUUUCAUAUUCGGCCACACUUUGAGCUCCUUGGCGUAGCCCAAUAAACUCCUCAUCUCUCCUUUUUUGGACUAAAGGUGGGAGAUACUUCUCGUUAAAUUCUCUUAUGAAAUUCGCCCAUGUCCAAGCAGUCCGUUCUCUUUCCCACUUUGCUUUAAUAACAUUCCACCACGCUCGGGCCGGUCCUUCAAAUUGGAACACUGCAAAGUUCACUUGUCUUUGCUCAGUAUAAUUCAAGGUUGUAAAAAUAUUAAUCAUGGCCUCUAACCAUUGUUCAGCUAUGUCCGGAUCAGACUCUCCAACGAAUUUUGGAGGUACCAAUUUUUGAAAUCUCUCAAGAGCCUUAUUCUCGCCUAUCUCAAGAUUUGGGGGUUGAUUCACUGGUAUUUGGCCUUGUUGAUCUACCAGUCGUGCCAAGAUAUUUGUCAUUUGUUGUAUCACUGUUGCCAUUUGGUCUUCGGCUUCGAUCCUCAGCCCACGUUCUUGCUCGACUGAUGUUUCCCUUUCUUCUCUUGGUCCUUGGGCUCGCUUAGUUCCACGGCCACGACCACGUCCACGACUACGUCUCCCCUCCAUAUUUUUUUUCUCUUUUUUUUUUCUUUUCCAAAAGGUAAUUUAAUAAGUAAAUGAAGUAGAUUGACUAAAAUAACAAGAUCCAACACAUCAAAUACACAAAAAGGCAUAUCAAGUUAGACAGAUAAUUAAAAGCAGUAAAUAGUACACAUGUAGGUAUUAACAUACCACAAACAAAAGUCAAGGAGUAACAAUACAAGGGUAAAUCAAAAGAAAAGGUGAUGCCGUCCCAGUUUCAGUUAAAAUAACCCCGUCCGGUCUCUCACGUCACUUUCUAUCCAAACUAGACGUCCGUUGACCUCUUGUACUCAUUCUAACCAAACAAAGCCUGUUCAUGCUCUCAAAAUGCAAGUCUCAAGUACUUAGUACCGCCUCAACUCUGGAGUACUCAGGCACGAGAAUCCGAAAUAAGAUAAUUCACAUCUCGAGCUGGCCAGUCUCAAGAGUAAACUGUCUACAAUCGAAAUUCCUACAUAACGUACCUAUCUAUGGUCCUCAGAUACCAUGAGAAAGAUUUAAGGCCUAUAACAUUUAUGAUUCAUAGCUUAUGCUUGAACGAGCACUUAAUCUUUCAUACUUAUUCACCACUUGACCCAAGCUCACUCCGCGCAGAGACCACGCGAAGUAGGCUCUGAUACCAACUGUGACAGCCCCACCUUCCCCUAAGGCGAACCAAAGGGUUCGGCGGACCGCCUGCCCAAUUCUCGUCGGGACUCAGUCAUACCUCAAUCAAAAUCGGAAUAAAACCACAAGAAUAAGUAUAACAACAAUCCAAAACUUAAAGCAAAACUUAUAUACAUUUCUAUCUUAAAGAAAGGAGUACAAACUCAAAUAUACAAAGGUUCCCAAUUCUUUAUACAUCCAACCCAUGCCAAACGUUAGGGCGAGAACCGUUACAAAAAUAUUCAAAGAACUAGACCAAGCUAGUCUAUAUAGACCUCUCGUCCUUGCUCACCUUCCCCAGUUAAGGAAAACAAAACUAAAGGAAUGAGUUAAAAGGUCAGUGAGAUUCCAACCAUAUAAUCAAACAACAAGUCCAAUGCAUUAACCAUAGAUAACCAAUAAUUCAAGAAACAUUUACAAUAUAAAGCGAUAAUAACACAUUCAUUAAAAGGAUACGUGCUCACAUGGAGCCAUUCAUUCAUGCAUUUAUUCAGUCUCCUUUCAUUUUCUUAUUUCUCCAAUCAUUUGAAAAUGCAUUUUUGUAAGUAAAAACCCCUCAUUUACAAUACCAAUCAUUCAUUCUUUUCAUUCACCUCCUUCCGGACGUUGGCCGAACUGUACCAGACUUCAAGGUAAUACUCGAGUAUACCAAACAUUCACCCAGGGUCACCAAAUCACCUGAUCGAGUUCGUUUCUGGCUCGAGUCGAUUGGUAACGAAGGGCAAGGCCCAGUUCAGCCAAAAGACUUACAUUCAUGCACAAGUAACGUUUCAAUCAUUGAAUCAUUGAAAAUUUUACAUUUAUUUAAGUCGAGUGCGAUAAAGUACACACUCACCUAGAAAACUCGUUUUAGUAAUCAUAGAAUGCAUUUUACAUGUUAUCAAUCAUUUAUAACAAGCCAUAUAAUCAAGAAAACAUAACAGACAAGAAACACUCACCUAUUUGCAUAAAAUAACGUCCAAAAUAUCCUUCCGGAUAUUACCCUCAGUCACGGAUGAAACCUAACAUUAAACGAGAGAAAAUAUUACAGUUCAUCUAGCAAAACAAAUAGGUGAAAUCGAAGAAAAUCCGACUAACGACAAGUAGAACGUAUAAAAAUGACUUUAAAGGUGAAAAGAGGGCACUUGGAUUUGAGGAUGGAAAUAACUAAGGGUUUCACAACCAAACAUAAAAUGUGAGAACCCGUAUUUCCCUAGUAAUUUUCCUAGGGUUUAAACCCUUUAAUGGCAUGUUUUCUGCGUUUUCUGGCUUAGGAAUAUUUUCUUGGUGGGUUUUAUGAGCAGUUAUAGUUUUUAGAUGAUUUUUCUAGUAUUGGAGAGUUUUUGAAAAAUUAAGAAUAUAUAUUGGACGUGGGACCCACUAGUGCGAAAAGUUCGGAAAAAUUCGGCCAAUAAAGUUAAGUUUCGGAUACUGUGUGAAAUUUAUCGGGUGUUAAGACAUAAGUAGAGAGUGAGAUUUGAUUGAUGGGAGAGGAAAAAGAAAGAUAAGAAUGCAUUUAAGAGGUGACAAGUGUCACUCUCUUAUUGGGUAUACUUUAUGAUUUACUAUUCAUGUUUUUGACUUUUGACCAAAAUGGUUAAAUAUCUUUAAAAUUGCACAAAAAUUACCAUUUCUUACCUCCUCCAUAGCCGGCCCUCUCUCUAGCCAAGAAGGAAGAAAACUUCUUCAAACUUCAAGCUUUCAACUAGCUCAAAUCAUCCAAACCAAUUGCCUAAACUAGUUUCUACUCCAUACAACCUUUCCAUUUGGUGUUAGUGGUGAGUUUGGUGAAGUUUUUGGAAGAGCUAAGGUGGUCUACAACUCCUCUUCUCUUGUAUACUAGGUAAGUGAUGAUUGAACAUACUCCUACACCUAAUGAUGCUUAAGUUAUGCUUAGUAGUGGCUAAAGUGAUGAUAUUUGUGAUUUAUUUCUUGAUUUGAAGUGAUUUGGUGAAAUUUUUAUAUUUUUGAGGAAUUUUCUGGUUUAAUAUGAAUGUGAUGUUGUGGUCAUCUAUGAUGGUUGAUAAUGAGGGGGAAUGACUCUAGUAGGUGUGAAUUAGUGAUAAUUGCAACCAAUUUUGGGUUUGGAUUGAAUUGUGGAAAGUUAGGGUUUUAUCACCCCUUAUUCUGUCCGGUUUUGGAUCAUAGGGUUAGAGGCCGAAUUGAACUUUGCUUAAAACAUGAAAGUUGUAGGUAUUGAUGUGUUUGAGGUGCCUGUAAAAUUUCAGGUCAUUUGGAUUAGUGUAGGGUGAGAUAUUUCGAUUUUACUGUGGCUGUUCUGGGUUGAUCAGGAUAGCAGAACUGCGUUUGUAUUUGUCUAUUUUGACUGGAAUUACUUUGGAUUUGGAUGUUGGUGUCUUCUGAUGAAAUAUAGAGGGAUUGCUUAGGUACCGUAUGCCUUUGGAAUCAAUGCAUUUGGACUUGUAUGGACCGAGUUGGACUCAUUACAGCAUUAUGUGAUUUGCAAACCUGUUUUGGUAAUUCUGAUUUAGUAUUUUGCAUAUUUGACCUAGUUGUGCUAGGAUUUGGACUGAGUGACCUUCUACAUUGUUGUAUCCCUGUUUCUUGGCUUCGAAACGGUGGGUCUUACACCCCCAUCUGAUAACCGUAGUGAAUUUGGUGCCAUUACCGCAUAUUGAGGUCAAAUACGGUUUCUUUGUUAAGGCUUAAGCUAAAGCUAUUUCUUAAUUUCUGGUUACCAAUGAUGCUUAUUUAUGCAUAUAAACCCUAUUGGGGGUUAUGAUUGGCAUUGCUAUAUGACUCGUUAUCGAGUCUCAUUGCAUUUGUUUACGUGUUCUAGGGCGUGACGGUGGUUCACGACGCACUUUUGAUCACGGUGCAUGAAAUAUCACUUACGUGAUUGGUGAGUAUACUACUCACUUAAAUGUUACAAUGUGGUUUUGUUAUAUGUGAAUUUGAUGCCUUGAAGGCUUAUUUGGUUAUUGGAAGUGAUUGAGGUGAGGGUGUACUUGACCGCCCUCACCCCUUGUGAUUCCAUUCAUGGCUAUUAAUUGUUUUACUGAAAUACUGCACUUGUUAUAUGAGAUACUGAAUUCCAUUCAUGGAAAACUGAUUUCGUGUCGUUUGGACGAAUGUCCAACGGCUUUACUGUAUCACUGAGCUCAACCCCGUUUGUUAGUCAAUUGGAUCGAGCCGGCGAGGGCUUGGUCGUGAAAAUUGUCAUGCCACGGGGACUGUACUGGGGAAUCUUGUAGUAAUGAGACUCUUGAUUCCGGUAUACUCGAGUAUUACCAAAAGUUACUGAUUGGAGUGCGGGCCCGGUUGGGGUAUGUUGGGUGGAAGGAAUGGAAGUAAAGUGAGGUCCACGGUUUGGUACUCUUAACAUUGACGGAGGGUCAAUGAUGUUGGAUCAAGAAUAUAAGCGGGGAAAUGGGCUCUUGAGAGCCAACCGUAUCCUUUCACUGAUUCGAUUUACUUCUUAUUUGCAUACUUGAACUGAACGGUUAUGCUUAUGUGAUCUUAGCUGCUAUUGUGGUAGUAACUCACUGAGAUUUAGCUCACUCCGUUCCAUUUGUUUUCCUUACAGGAAAAUGAUCACUUUUGGGGAAAAGUUCAUACUUGUUGGUUGCCAAAUUGAGCCAUGUAUAUGUCUAUUUUGAGUAGCUCUUCGCAUGAAACCCUAAGGUGUAUUGGGUUCAUCUUUUGAUUGAAAAACCGAACAUUGUAUAACCAUGAUGACUAGUUUUGGCAUGCCAAUUUGGUUGUAAAUGCUGAAUUUCAAUAUAUGUAUAUGUUGGAUUGAUGUAUGGUUGAACUCCGGAUUCUGGUGCGUCCGGCAUUGUUCAUCAUCGGCGCAUUUUCAUUUUUAUUUAUUUUGUGAUUUUGACUUGAUUGCGCGCGCGGGUAUGUUCUGGACCGUAUUAGAUCGACGUAAACUGAUCCGUUAGUCCUGGCGAGAGCUGGGCAGGCAGUCCGCUAACCCCUUUGGUUCGCCUUAGGGGAAGGUGGGGCUGUCACAGGUGGUAUCAGAGCCUAGGUGUGAAUUAGCCUGGGUGUUAUAGGAAUGCUUGACUUGAGGAUUCUAUUGUUUAUGCCUAUUAAGUGUAUUCAUGUUAUUUCUUCCUUUGCUAUAGGAUGGAUGCGAGUGGUGACCCGAGUGACCGCCCGGCAGGAGAUCGUCCUCGUAGCGGGCUACCGCCAAUUAAGUAUCAGAUCAGGCAGAAGGGGGCCGUGGUGCAUUGGAGCCCGGCCAGCCGCCUCCGACGGUGUGAGUGCCGUGAUACUUAUGCCUACCCGAAUGCCCUAGUUUUGGCGGUGGCAAAGGAGCGUGAGGAGCUUGCUAAGGAUAACGCUAAAUUGGAAGCUGGGGUUGCUAAGCUGGAAGCUGAGGUGACUCAGGUUAAGGCAACCAAUGAGAAGCAAGCCGCACGUAUCAAAGAGUUAGAGUAUGACGUGCUUGAGUUUGAGGACCGAGUUGACGACCUUUACGAUCAGCUGAGGACUGCACGCGAGCGCGAGAUUAAGCGAGGUCGCAAAGUCAGGGGUCGCGCUGAGGCGAUUCUUAAUCUGUGUGACGAUGGCCUUGAGGAGUCUAGCGAUGAGGCCUCGUGUGCUGGGGCUGAGGCGGGGGAGGAGUCUACCCCGUCGCCUGGAUCCCAGACCCCGACAACUGACUAGGCCAUGACUAUUAGGCCUCUUUUGGAUAGUUGGUGGUUUUGUAUGUACAUAGGGAUAGGGAUAGAGCCUUAGCUAACCGUUUUGGAUGUAGGGUUAGCUACGUGUAAAUCUCUUUUGAUAGGCCUAUCAUCGGGAGGAUCGUUUAUGUUCGUACGUGCCUUGGCCGUACUUGACUUGACUGAUUGUAUAUAUGUGUGUGGCUUGUAUAUAUGUGCUUGUGAUCAUGUUUGAAAUGUAUAAAUAUGUGUUAUUGUGAAAGUUUUGCGUGUUACUUACAUGCUUUGUACUGCUUUGGUUUAGUACUUUUGCCUAGACCGAGUGAAACUCAUGGAAGGUACACGGAGUGGCCGGGGACGCGGGCGCGGUAUUAGACAACCCGCACCGGUUAGGGAAACGGGGGAAACCUCUACUGGACCCAAUCCUAAACCGCAGAUAGACCCGAGUGUGCAAAUAGCCGCUGCUAUGCAGCAAAUGACAAACCUACACGCACAAGUAGUGCAACAACAGGGCCAGAACCCAAACCCUAAUCCCGGAAACUCCGGUAACCAUAUCGAGAGCGAGCAUAGAGCUCUCGAACGUUUUCAAAAGUUUUCCCCGCCGAAGUUUGUUGGGGGACCCGACUCUGACGUUGCUGAGAAAUGGCUUGAGAAGAUGGUUGAUAUAUUUGCAGCUCUACACUACCCAGACGAACGGCAGGUGACUUUUGCCGUGUUUCAACUUGAGGGGGCUGCCCGUUCCUGGUGGAAUGUAAUUAGGCAGAAGUGGGAACGGGAGCAGACGCCGAGAACUUGGGUGAACUUCAUCCGAGAGUUUAAUGCAAAGUUUUUCCCUCCUCUAGUCCAGGAGAGGAAGGAAGACGAGUUUAUUAGGCUUCGCCAAAUAACUCAGACGGUGGCGGAAUUUGAGAGUCAAUUCACCCGCCUGUCCAAGUUUGCGCCGGAGUUAAUCAUGACUGAGCAACGACGGGUUCGACGCUUUAUUCAGGGUUUGAACAUUGAGAUCCAGAAAGACCUCGCGGCGGCUCAAAUCACUACGUUUAGAGAGGCAAUGGAAAAGGCCCAACGAGUUGAAAGUGCACGGAUGCAGGUCCGAAACUUCCAGGCUAAGAAGCGUGGCUUUCCUGGGAGUACUUCUGGACAGGGUGAAAAGAGCACUCCCUCUAAAUUUGGACGAGGUACGGGUGGUGGUCGACAAUCUGGCUCAGGCAGAGGGACUCCAUUCAGGGGUGGUCAAGCUGGGCGAGGACAAAGGGGCAAUGUUCAGAGUGGCUCGGCUUCGGCACCUCGCGGUCCCUGUGGGCACUGUGGGAAAGCAAACCACACCGAGGAUAAUUGCUGGAGGAAACAGGGUAAAUGUCUGCGGUGUGGAAGUGCGGACCAUCAAUUAGCUACUUGUCCGGUCCUGAAACAAGAUGGAAAAGGGAGCCAACCAUCGUUGAGGGCCAAUACUGGACCAGCGAAGGGAGAUGGGUCCAAACCUAAGGUGCCGGCUAGGGUGUAUUCCUUAGAGCCCCAUCAGGUUCCAGAAUCUUCUGAGGUUAUAGAAGGUACGAUCCCUAUUUUCCACCGCUUUGCCAAAGUUUUAAUUGAUCCUGGUGCCACUCAUUCGUUUGUUAACCCUGAUUUCAUGUGUGGCAUCGAUAUAAAACCUGCUAGUUUACCAUAUGACCUAGAAGUUAGUACACCUACGGGGAAUCAACGUUUGGUAACUAGUAUGGUUUAUAGGGAUUGUGAUGUUUGGGUAGGUGAAAGGAGAUUUCUAGGAGACCUGAUUAGCUUGUCCAUUAAGGGGUACGAUGUGAUUUUGGGUAUGGACUGGCUAGCCAAAUAUAACACCCAAUUGGAUUGUAAAACGAAAAUAGUAGAAUUUCGCAUUCCCGGCGAGGCAACCUUAAGGUUGGAUGUAAGGGGUAGGUUAGCUUCGUCUGCUCUAAUUUCGGGCAUUCGAGUUAGGAAACUGAUAAGUAGAGGGGCACAAGAUUUUUUGGCCUUUUUAAUUAACACCCCUACGGAUAAGUUAAAAGUGGAAGACGUGGCCAUAGUGAGGGAAUUUCCGGAUGUAUUCCCUGAUGAAUUAGUAGCCUUACCUCCGGAAAGAGAAAUAGAAUUUCGAAUAGACCUGUUGCUUGGAACCUCACCUAUCUCAAAAACCCCUUACCGAAUGGCGCCUGCAAAACUUAAGGAGCUUAAGUUGUAAUUGCAAGAUCUUUUGGAGCGGGGAUUCAUUCACGAGAGUGGGUCUCCUUGGGGGGCUCCUGUCCUAUUUGUGAAGAAAAAUGACGGAACUUUGAGGAUGUGUAUUGACUACCGGGGGCUGAACAAUGUUACGAUCAAGAAUAAGUAUCCACUGCCCCACAUCGACGAGUUAUUCGACCAGCUGCAAGGAGCAGUGGUCUUUUCGAAGUUGGACCUCCGACAAGGAUACUACCAGUUGUUAAUUAGGAAGGAGGACAUUCCGAAAACUGCUUUUAACUCAAGAUACGGGCAUUACGAGUUCGCCGUUAUGCCCUUUGGACUGACCAAUGCUCCCGCCACCUUUAUGGACCUAAUGCAUAGGGUUUUCAAACCCUAUCUAGACCGAUUUGUCGUUGUGUUCAUUGACGACAUUUUGGCCUACUCUAAGACACGCGAGGAGCAUGAGGAGCAUUUGAGAGUGGUGUUGCAGACAUUAAGGGAACAUAAGUUGUACGCCAAGUUUAGUAAGUGCGAAUUCUGGUUGGAGAAAGUAGCGUUCCUAGGGCACGUGAUCUCCCACGAAGGCAUUUCAGUGGAUCCGGCGAAGGUAGAGGCCGUGACCAAUUGGAAGAGGCCAGAAAACCCCACGAAAAUUCGCAGUUUUCUAGGGCUAGUUGGGUACUACCGAAGGUUCAUUAAAGAUUUCUUCAAAUUAGCCAGACCUUUAACUGACCUGACGAAGAAGCAUGGUCAAUUUAUCUGGAACGCCCGAUGCGAAACAAAUUUUCAGGAACUAAAGAGAAGAUUGACCAUGGCUCCAGUGCUAGUUUUGCCAAAUGGAGUGGACGGAUUUGCGGUGUAUGCCGACGCGUCGCGAGAAGGCCUGGGGUGCGUAUUGAUGCAGAACCGGAAUGUGAUUUCUUUCGCCUCUAGGAAAUUAAAGCUUCACGAGCAGAACUACCCGAUUCACGAUCUGGAACUAGCCGCAGUUGUCUUUGUACUAAAAAAGUGGAGGCAUUACCUAUAUGGGGUGACCUUCGAAGUGUAUUCGGAUCACAAAAGUCUUAAGUACCUUUUUUCCCAGAAGGAAUUGAACAUGAGACAACGAAGGUCAACGGAAUUCCUGGAAGAUUACGACUGCACAAUCAAUUACCAUCCGGGAAAGGCAAAUGUGGUAGCAGAUGCUUUGAGUCGUAAGGUGCAAGUAGCAGGGCUAAUGAUUAAGGAGUGGGAUUUGUUAGAAUCUGUGUGCGAGUGGAGACCCUGUCUUGGAAGCCAUAAGGUGAUGUUUAGCAAUGUUAGGGUGGCCUCCACUCUACUGGAACGUCUUAAAGAGGCACAAAAAAAAGAUUUGAUAGUACGGAAGUGGAGAGAGAAAGUGAAAAAGGGAGAAACUACGGACUUCAAUUUGAGUCCUGAGGGUAUUUUGAAGUAUCAAAACCGUAUAGUGGUACCAAGGGAAGAGUCGAUGAAAAUGGAGAUUCUGGAGGAAGCUCAUCGGUCCAAGUAUACAAUCCAUCCGGGCAGCAGCAAGAUGUAUCAAGACCUGAAAGGAACCUAUUGGUGGGACAAUAUGAAGAGGGAAAUCGCUCAGUACGUGCAGAAAUGUCUCAUUUGCCAACAGGUGAAAGCAAAGCAUAAAAAACCAUCGGGUUUGUUACAACCCUUGGAGAUACCCGAAUGGAAGUGGAAAAACAUCACAAUGGACUUUGUUUCAGGAUUACCGAGGACGCAAAGGGGACAUGAUGCCGUUUGGGUGAUCGUUGAUCGAUUAACCAAAUCGGCCCAUUUCUUGCCGAUGAACAUGAAGUAUUCAAUGGACAAGUUAGCCCGACUGUACAUGGACGAGAUAGUAAGACUACACGGUGUUCCUGUGAGCAUCGUCUCCGAUCGGGAUCCACGGUUCGUAUCUCGGUUUUGGCAGAAGUUUCAAGAAAUUCUGGGGACUAAACUCAAUUUGAGCACGACCUAUCAUCCUCAGACGGAUGGCCAGUCGGAACGGACCAUUCAAACUCUCGAGGACAUGCUACGAACUUCCAUUCUGGACUUUGGAGGCAACUGGGGUCAGCACAUGACUUUAGUAGAGUUUGCGUACAACAAUAGCUUCCAUUCGUCGAUUCAAAUGGCUCCAUACGAAGCUCUCUACGGACGCAAGUGCCGGUCGCCGAUUUACUGGGACGAAGUUGGCGAAAAGAAAGCUCUAGACCCAGCAACUAUUCCAUGGAUGGAAGAGGCUCAAGAGAAGGUCAAGUUAAUACGGCAACGAAUCCAAACAGCUCAAAGCCGCCAAAAGAGCUACGCGGAUAACCGAAGAAAAGGUUUGGAGUUUGAAGUUGGAGACCAUGUAUUUCUCAAAAUCACACCUUUACGAAGUAUCACAGCGGGCAAAGGAAAGAAACUUCAACCGCGGUACGUCGGACCCUACAAGAUUCUGCAAAGGGUAGGAGCGGUCGCGUAUCGAUUGGAACUACCGUCCAGUCUCUCUCGAAUCCACGAUGUAUUUUACGUCUCGAUGCUAAAGAAGUACCAUCCUGACCCAUCCCAUGUAUUGCAACCGGAGGAUAUCGAAGUAGAUGAAUCACUGGCCUAUGAAGAGAAACCGGUCCAAGUGCUCGAUCGGAAAGUCAAAGAGCUCAGAAACAAGCGGAUUCCGCUAGUGAAAGUACUAUGGAGAAACCAUGGGGUAGAGGAAGCUACCUGGGAAGUGGAAGAGGAAAUGCGAAAGAAGUAUCCAAACCUUUUCAGGAAUUAAGGUGAGAAAUUUCGAGGACGAAAUUCUUUUAAGAGGGAGAGAGUGUGAGAACCCGUAUUUCCCUAGUAAUUUUCCUGGGGUUUAAACCCUUUAAUGGCAUGUUUUCUGCGUUUUCUGGCUUAAGAAUAUUUUCUUGGUGGAUUUUAUGAGCAGUUAUAGUUUUUAGAUGAUUUUUCUAGUAUUGGAGAGUUUUUGAAAAAUUAAGAAUAUAUAUUGGUCGUGGGACCCACUAGUGCGAAAAGUUCGGAAAAAUUCGGCCAAUAAGGUUAAGUUUCGGAUACUGUGUGAAAUUUAUCGGGUGUUAAGAGAUAAGUAAAGAGUGGGAUUUGAUUGAUGGGACAGGAAAAAGAAAGAUAAGAAUGCAUUUAAGAGGUGACAAGUGUCACUCUCUUAUUGGGUAUACUUUAUGAUUUACUAUUCAUGUUUUUGACUUUUGACCAAAAUGGUUAAAUAUCUUUAAAAUUGCACAAAAAUUACCAUUUCUUACCUCCUCCAUAGCCGGCCCUCUCUCUAGCCAAGAAGGAAGAAAACUUCUUCAAACUUCAAGCUUUCAACUAGCUCAAAUCAUCCAAACCAAUUGCCUAAACUAGUUUCUACUCCAUACAACCUUUCCAUUUGGUGUUAGUGGUGAGUUUGGUGAAGUUUUUGGAAGAGCUAAGGUGGUCUACAACUUCUCUUCUCUUGUAUACUAGGUAAGUGAUGAUUGAACAUACUCCUACACCUAAUGAUGCUUAAGUUAUGCUUAGUAGUGGCUAAAGUGAUGGUAUUUGUGAUUUAUUUCUUGAUUUGAAGUGAUUUGGUGAAGUUUUUAUAUUUUUGAGGAAUUUUCUGGUUUAAUAUGAAUGUGAUGUUGUGGUCAUCUAUGAUGGUUGAUAAUGAGGGGGAAUGACUCUAGUAGGUGUGAAUUAGUGAUAAUUGCAACCAAUUUUGGGUUUGCAUUGAAUUGUGGAAAGUUAGGGUUUUAUCACCCCUUAUUCUGUCCGGUUUUGGAUCAUAGGGUUAGAGGCUGAAUUGGACUUUGCUUAAAACAUGAAUGUUGUAGGUAUUGAUGUGUUUGAGGUGCCUGUAAAAUUUCAGGUCAUUUAGAUUAGUGUAGGGUGAGAUAUGUCGAUUUUACUGUGGCUGUUCUGUGUUGAUCAGGAUGGCAGAACUGCGUUUGUAUUUGGCUAUUUUGACUGGAAUUACUUUGGAUUUGGAUGUUGGUGUCUUCUGAUGAAAUAUAGAGGGAUUUCUUAGGUACCGUAUGCCUUUGGAAUCAAUGCAUUUGGACUUGUAUGGACCGAGUUGGACUCAUUACAGCAUUAUGUGAUUUGCAAACCUGUUUUGGUAAUUCUGGUUUAGUAUUUUACAUAUUUGACCUAGUUGUGCUAGGAUUUGGACUGAGUGACCUUCUACAUUGUUGUAGCCCUGUUUCUUGGCUUCGAAACGGUGGGUCUUACACCCCCAUCCGAUAACCGUAGUGAAUUUGGUGCCAUUACCGCAUAUUGAGGUCAAAUACGGUUUCUUUGUUAAGGCUUAAGCUAAAGCCAUUUCUUAAUUUAUGGUUACCAAUGAUGCUUAUUUAUGCAUAUAAACCCUAUUGGGGGUUAUGAUUGGCAUUGCUAUAUGACUCGUUAUCGAGUCUCAUUGCAUUUGUUUACGUGUUCUAGGGUGUGACGGUGGUUCACGACGCACUUUUGAUCACGGUGCAUGAAAUAUCACUUACGUGAUUGGUGAGUAUACUACUCACUUAAAUGUUACAAUGUGGCUUUGUUAUAUGUGAAUUUGAUGCCUUGAAGGCUUAUUUGGUUAUUGGAAGUGAUUGAGGUGAGGGUGUACUUGACCGCCCUCACCCCUUGUGAUUCCAUUCAUGGCUAUUAAUUGUUUUACUGAAAUACUGCACUUGUUAUAUGAGAUACUGAAUUCCAUUCAUGGAAACUGAUUUGGUGUCGUUUGGACGAAUGUCCAACGGCUUUACUGUAUCACUGAAUUCAACCCCAUUUGGUAGUCAAUUGGAUCGAGCCGGCGAGGGUUUGGUCGUGAAAAUUGUCAUGCCACGGGGACUGUACUGGGGAAUCUUGUAGUAAUGAGACUCUUGAUUCCGGUAUACUCGAGUAUUACCAAAAGUUACUGAUUGGAGUGCGGGUCCGGUUGGGGUAUGUUGGGUGGAAGGAAUGGAAGUAAAGUGAGGUCCACGGUUUGGUACUCUUAACAUUGACGGAGGGUCAAUGAUGUUGGAUCAAGAAUAUAAGCGGGGAAAUGGGCUCUUGAGAGCCAACCGUAUCCUUUCACUGAUUCGAUUUAUUUCUUAUUUGCAUACUUGAACUGAACGGUUAUGCUUAUGUGAUCUUAGCUGCUAUUGUGGUAGUAACUCACUGAGCUUUAGCUCACUCCGUUCCAUUUGUUUUCCUUACAGGAAAAUGAUCACUUUUGGGGAAAAGUUCAUACUUGUUGGUUGCCUAAUUGAGCCAUAUAUAUGUCUAUUUUGAGUAGCUCUUCGCAUGAAACCCUAAGGUGUAUUGGGUUCAUCUUUUGAUUGGCAAACCGAACAUUGUAUAACCAUGAUGACUAGUUUUGGCAUGCCAAUUUGGUUGUAAAUGUUGAAUUUCGAUGUAUGUAUAUGUUGGAUUGAUGUAUGGUUGAACUCCGGAUUCUGGUGUGUCCGGCAUUGUUCAUCAUCGGCGCGUUUUCAUUUUUAUUUAUUUUGUGAUUUUGACUUGAUUGCGCGCGUGGGUAUGUUCUGGACCGUAUUAGAUCGACGUAAACUGAUCCGUUAGUCCUGACGAGAGCUGGGCAGGCAGUCCGCUAACCCCUUUGGUUCGCCUUAGGGGAAGGUGGGGCUGUCACAUAAAACUAAAUUCAAAAGAGUUAUAAAAUUUCCAACGGAAAACACUUAGACCAAAAACAAAUCAGAAUCCAACUAGAUAGGCUAAAGAAAUAUUAUUCUGAAUUGUUUAUGUGGCUCAAAAUCAAUAUAUAUUCAAAUAGAUAUUAUAUAAAAAAUGUCUUGAUGAAAAUCAUGUGAAAAGGAGGGCAAAAUACCUUACUUGAAAGUAGUUUUCUCAUAGCCGAGAAAACCCUAAUUCAUACCUCUUUAUUUUGGUAAGGAGUAAAUAAACAUUUGAAAUUUCAAACUGAAGAGUUAUCAUGCUUAAAAUGGUUUUCUCAUUCACCAUCGAAAAGGUACAAGUUCAAAUGGAAUCUAGUUCAAGUAACACCAUCAAAGAAAAGUAAGUCCAACGUAUCCCUAAAUCACAUUUCAAAUCUCAUUUUUACUUAUUCAAACUUCAAGAAAAUAAACAGACAGCAAUUCCCCUUAAUUUCUUCACUUUCCAUCCUACAAUUAAAGACCAAAUCUUAUCCCAAAUCAAAUACAAUUUCACAUACAAAUCAUAGAUGAUAAAAUACCUUUCGGCAUAACAACCACAACUGAAGCUACACUUAUCGGAUUGAAACGAAUCUUAUGGCGUUUCGAAGCCAAGACAUAUACCUACAUUUCUUAUGAGACUUCCAAAGCCAAAUCAUGCAUUUUCAUGAUCAAAAAUGAAAAUCUCCACGAAAACAGAAAUUUGUUCGCGAAACAGGGCUCAAUGACAGUCAAGGAUAUUUCGGUAAUUUUACAUGCUACAGUGAUCGUAUCGAGCUGAAAUUUUUCAGGAAGUUAGAUAAGACCAUUUUCUACAACUUUUAUGUUUUAACCUAAGUUUGAUUCAACCUCUAUCAUGGCCGAACAGAACCGGCCAGAACAGGGUAAGAUGAAACCCUAAACUGGAAUUUCUGCACCAAACCAGAAAUUUUCCGCAACCAAUCAUAUGCAACAUAUACCAACUCCAUUUUACACUAUAACAAACCAUCAAUCCAUGACUAAACAAUAAUUAUGAUACAAAAAUAGAAAAAUCACUAAUAAAUAAAAAAAACUCCACUUUCAACCAUAAAACCUACCACAAAUCAACAUAUUUAGCCACUAAAACCACUAAUUUGACAUUAGCAAGAACAAAGAGAAAGUUUCCAAGAAAGGUACCUUGAAACUUCAAGAAAGAUGGUAGUUUAGUUCUUCCUCCUCCAAAAUUAAUCCACCAACACCUUUAAGUUUUCCUAGUGAUCACUUGUAUGGAGUAGAUUCAAGUUUGGUUGGCUAGAACACAAGAUUUGAGCAAGUUUGGAAGCUAAAAUUCAAGAGCUCUCUCUCUUGUUUUCUCCUAAAGAGCAGUCGGCCAAGACAAGGAAAUAUGAGAGAAAUUUGGUCAAAAAUUGGUUUUAGUAAAGGUGAUGAAUAGUAAGUCAAAAGUCAUCCUCCAACCGAUUUGCGACACGUGGCACCUUGAAUGUUUUAAACUUAUCUUCUCACUCCCAAUGAUUCAUUUAUCUAACUAACCUCUAAUCAUUUCCUAGCAUCUUGUAAAAUAAUAACACUUAGCACAAAAAUCACUUAAGUACCAAAAUUUUAUCGCACUAGCAGGUCUCACGUCUAUAAUGCGUUUCAAAUUUAACAUACACUAACUUAUACUAGGAAAAUAAUUUAAAACUAUUCUUUCUUAUAAAAAUGUAUAGAAACUUUAAUAUUUUAAUGGUAAGUAUAAAAAUAUAGGCAAAAAUAAAAUAAUACCUAGAAAAAUGUGAACAUUUUCGGGUUCUCAUAGUCGAAAUGUUAGUAUGUAAUUAGUAUAUCGUAUUUGAGAUUUCGUUGGUGUAUGUUUAUUGUAUUCGUUAUUAUGUAUAAACACAAUUUUGCAUAACUGUUACAUGUUGUGGAUUAACAGGAACAGGACAAAAACAUAAUACAAAUGUUAGUUUGAAAUUGGGAUGUCAUAUUUGGGUCUUCAUUGGUGUAUGUUUAUUGUAUUAGUUCAUGUGCAUGAACACAGUGUUGGAUAAGUGUUAGAUGUUGUAGAUUAACAGGCAUAGAGAAGAAACAGAGUAGAAAUGUUAGUGUAAAAUUGGUAUGUCAUAUUUGGAUCUUCAUUAGUGUGUCUAUUCUAUUAGUUCAUGUGCAUGAACACAAUGUUGGAUAAGUAUUACAUGUUGUGGAUUAACAGGUACAUCACAGAAAUAGAAUGGAAAUGUUAUUGUACUCAGGUUGGUAAGUUAUAUUUACAACUGCAUUGGUGUAUGUUUAUCGUAUUAGUUGCAUAAAAAUGUCAUUUAUUGUAGGAUAGUUAAUAGGUUAGUGAAGUGAAGGCAAUUGAAAAAAGUUAGUUAGAGUAAAAAAUUUUUCAACUGCUUGUUGAAGGAUACAACAAAAGAUCGGUACCUUCUCUUAGUCAGUUGUUGUAGAGAAUGUGUUUUGUAGAUUUGGUGGUAGUAUAUCAUUCGUAGAUGUACUUCAUACUGUAUUAUGGAGGUAAAAUCGUAGAAAUUGAGAAACAGAAAAUUUGUAACUAAUUGUUGUAGAUGCCACGAAAGAGAUCAAGAAGAUCACUUAAGAAAACGAGCAGAGAAGAAGAAGAAGGGGGAAUAUGUUGUGAAAGAGAAGGGUAGACACCAUCAAAGGCACCGAACAAGUAAGUGGACAGUAUCUUUCUCUAAGCAUGGGCAGUAGGAAGUGCGAUGCAUAAAUUUGAUUACAAUGUCAAUGAGCAGAGGCAGGAUGACACGAGUGAGACAGGCAAGACACAAAAAUGGUGUAUGUGAAAAUGAAGAAAUAGAGGCAGCGGGAACAAGUGAAAUUAGACAACCAGUUCCACCGUUGAAUCCGUAGAUGAAGUUCAGGUAAUGUUGAUGUUAAUAAAAAAAUAAUAAUGAAGACUAGAAUGCAUAGUUAAUUGGUUAAUGUUUAAUAUGUGUAGGAAGGAGUAUCAAAGCACCAUUCCAGUGAAAGGCAUUAAGAUUACAGAGGUAUAAAUGAAAAGCUAAAUAAACCAUUAAUCAACGAAGUUGUGGCACAAUAAAAGUAAAAAAACAGAAUCAGAAAAUGUUGAGUUGCAUAUAACAUGAUUCAUGAUUAUAUGCAUCGAAUGUAGUAUAAUAAAAUGGUCAAAGCAGCAUAUGAUAAGUUGAGCGAGGAAGAAGUACAAAAGCGAAAAGAGAACUAUCGGAAAGAGAAAGAGGAGUACAAGAGAGAAAUGGCGCGGCUUGGAAAGGCUAUACCGCCAAAACAGCAGAUUAAGGUAAGCACAAAGCAUGGCUGUUGAAAUAGGUUGUUUUGUGAUAAUAUGUGUAUGGUUGACUAGUUUUUUUUUUUGUUGAACUUGAUUAUAGAAUCAAAAGUACACCAUUCGUUGUUCACCAAAUCAGAUGUUUUGGUUAGCUUCGAACAUUGAUGAAACAAAAAAAUAGCAAAUCAGAUAUGGGGUUUGGAGGGCUGCUGGAAAUAAAGUGUCGCUCCAUUCCGAGUGACAUAGGAACCUGGUUGGUCGACAAUUUUAAUCUGACACUAAGCAGUUUUCAGCUACAUAGAGAUGGUGUACUACCCUUAACAGCAAAAGACAUCAGUUUAAUCCUUGGAAUCCCAAAUGAUGGCCCCUUACCAGUUGAAGAUACUGGUAACAGUGAGGGUGGAGAUUUUGGGCCAAGUCGCCGAAGAUACAAAUGGAAAAAGCUGCCAAAGGAGUUAUUAUCCAUGAGCAGCGGGGAUGAGUUCAAGCAACUCUUUGUUGCAUUUACUUGUGGAUGUCUAUUGGCUCCAACUACUCGGGUUGAGCACAAAAUCCGGGUAUAGGGUUGCACGAAGGUGGUUACUGAGGUUGCCUCAUUAAAUUGGGCAUAGUACAUUAGAAAUGUACUAUAUAAUAGGAUAUUAGAAGUUCAGAAGAAAAGAGGAAAACAUCACUAGUAUGUUGGGGGCUGCAUCUUUGUCCUACUGGUAAGUUUAGUUAUAUGACAUUGAAAGUUUUUAAGUGAUGUAACUAGUAGGGGAUGCAACGAAAACAAAUUCCAUUUAGGCAGACAGAGUUUGUUUAUGCAUGGACAUAGUUUGAUAAGUGAUUCUGGAGAACGUGAAAGAAGGUGUUCAAACAAAUCGGACCUUAGACAGAAAUAAAAUUUUACUCUAGUAAUACAUGUUUUUUGCAAAUGAUAUAAUUGAUGAGUCACUCUCCAAUUUAAUUGCAGGUACAUUAUUUUGAUCGAGUAGUAAUACUAAAGCAUAAAGUGGCUCGAGUUACACCAAGAGCAAAGGCAUGGACAGAUGCUUGAAUUUCAGAGUGGGAUGCAUUAGAGGUCGAUAAUCUCAGAGGUUAUGGAAAAGGAAAACUAGUAAGAGCGAAGUUGUUUGUAUUGAUGGAUUGCAACUUACUAAUUUGUAUAUAUAUAGGCCACACAUACCAUGUACUUAUGAAGUGAAUGUUUGAGUUUGUUUUCAUAGAUUGAGGCGCACGAAGACGAAGAGGCUGAAUCUAGUGCACAGAUAAAUGAACUACCCCCUGAGCUAGUUGGAAUAAUGAUGGACAGCGGGCAUCAUAAUAUUGCUAUAAGCUGCCUAUCUUUUAACAUCGAUACUUCAUUAUGUCCUAUUGUUGCGUAAGUAAAAAUUAUACAUUUUUUAUGAUGUGAACAACCAUAUGUAAGCAGCCAAACCUACAUCACUUAGGAAAGUUAUCUUGUGAAAUAAAGCAAUUGUCUGGCUAUGUUUCAAAUCCUACAAAGUAAUUGUGAAGGUUGGAUUGUUAUCAAAAGAAAGUUGUAGGAAAAGAAAACCAUGAAUUUGUGUAUUAAUCUCAAUUAGUUUCUUGACUUGCGUUUGAAAAGGAAAAAAAAUAACACCUGAUAUGAUUGGGUGUUUGGCAGACCUUGUUUGUGUAUAAACAAAGAAAAACUUAAUCACAAAUGGGGAAGUUAAGGCCUUAGUUCUGAAUUAUGUGCCAUUAGUGUAGUGGUACAUAGUUUUCUAACAUACUUUCAGUGUAGUUCAUUAGUCAUGCAAAAUAUAAAGGUAACUGUAUAUUUCAUUCGUCUCGAGCCGCAAAAUACAGCUUAAGGCAUUUUAUGUAUAUGGUGUACAUAAUUUAUUCAUGAAAAACAUUUCACCAAUUGAACAUGAAAAGGCAGAUUUAGUGAGGACCAUGAAGCAGUAAUACACAUCAUUGCAUAAUAUGAAUUGAUCUGUUCUGGAUUAAGUUGAAACGGGACUAUUCAUUGUGGUUUGUUAAUGUAUAAGCAGGCUGAGUUUUCAGAGGUGUACAUUAUGAUAGUGACUUACCAAAAAAGGAUAUUAAAGAUUGCAGAAAUGUUGUGUACUCAUCGUAGGGCGAAAGCAGUAGCAACAGAGGUCGUUUCAAAGGAAAAGCAGAAACAGAGGCUGUCUAAUUCAGAGCAAAUACAUCUUGAUAUGGAAAGUGAAGAUCAUUCCAAAUAUGAAUCGGCAGAAGAAGGAAAGGACUCCAAAGAUGACGAUGACGUUGAUAGUAGAAAAGAACAAGAUACAAGCGAUAAUGAUGAUGACAUUGAGACCCCAGUCAGAUCAAUAGAUGAGGCUAAACCAACAAACCAAUAUUCGAUGGGGAAUACGUUAGAAAAAGAGCAAACUGGGAGAACCACUGAUGGGAAGGAGGCAGAAAAUAUAGGCAACAGAAGUGAUGGGAAGGAUGUUUCAGACAGUGUGUACACGCCAAAUGAUACCUCAACAAGCGUCAAAAAUGAUUCACGAGCCGUUCAAGCACAUACGGACCAUAUAGCAAGCACAUCGGACCGCUUAGAAGAUGAAGCCACACAACAUAUGCAGCAUGAUUGCUCAAUAGGUCCCGUUCGAAUUGAGCAUCCUUUGGAUGGGCCACACACACAGAAAAGGUUGAGGUCUUAUAGUCGCAAAAGGAAAGGUUAGUGAACUUGGUGGUUGUCAAGAAUCUGAUGUACAAGUAGCCACAAAUUACUUCAUUGUGUUGUGUUGAGUGUAAACCUUGAUACUAUUGAGGCUGAAAUGUGCUCAAUACAUUUGAACAAGGUUUAUUAAUUGAAGAAUACUUGGCUGAUCUGUUAAACGUUAUUGCCAUGCUGCUGCUCUAUUAUAUUUUUGUAUAACACAUACCUAAUCAUCAGAUUGUGAUAGUGUGAAAUACAUAUUGAAUAUUUGUUUUCUGUGUAUUGAUAUCUGCAGCAAUUGUUGAAGAUGAGAAUGAGCACAGGCCAACUCAGUCAACGAAUAAAAGUAGCAUGCUACGGUCAGCCGAGUACCUUCUACUUUCACACGUGACAAUCAGCAUGUACGACAAAAGUGUCGCAGCAUUCGCGUGGGAGGUAGAAGAGAAUCCCAAGUAAGGUUCCUACAUAUUUAUAAUACGAUCACGAGGUUAUGAUAUAGUCGCUUAAGAAUUUAUUAGUGCUACUAUUUGUUAAGUGCAUCGCUCCAAUCCAUUCGUAAUCAUCUCUGUAUUUUUGGAGGCAGAGUGCAUGUCUCUCUCCUUGUAUUUAGAAAAUUUGUUAUUAACAAAAUUAAGAACUAGCAUCCCUGCAGUAGCAGAGGGUUUGCAAAAAAAAAAAAUCUAAUGUUUUGACAGCUUUCAUUCUUCAAUAAAUCUAUAUCCCACAAAUCUAGCAUAUUACUCAUACAAAUCCAUUUCAAUUUUAUUUAGGGAUAAAAAUGGUAUUUGUUCAACCACUCUUAUUAUACCACAAAUGCCCUAAUUAUCUUUGCUCUUCUAUAACUGUAUUUUGUGCAUUAAUGUGCUAUGCCCUGAUUGUUAAACCACUUUUCUCUAAAAGGUUACACAUCAUGUAAGAUAUUAGUUACUUCACUGUGUUUAUUUGUAAAAGGUACAAUCAGUUUACAAACAUGUACAUUAUGUUAGUUGUCAAUUACUUGACUAUGUAUUUCUAUAAAAGAUAGUGUAAUGGUACGCAUAAAUUUAGAAUGGCUAUUUAGCCCUUGGAUCAAUUUGAGCAUCUCCCUAUGUUGGUGUGUAAAUUUACUUGUAUGAGCAGUCCUUGUUUGUCUAUGAGUAAUUUACCCGGCGUGAUCUAUGAAGUACAAUCAGUUUCAAAAAAUGUACAUCCUAUUACGUGUUAGUUACUGACUAUGUAUACAUGUAAAAGGGAGAUUAAAUAUAGCCUAAUCAAAUCAAAUUCCAAGCCUAGAGGAAUUUUGUACUGAUAAUCGCGAAAUAUUAGCUAACUUGUGAGGGUAUUUAAGUCGUUGUAACCAUGAUGAUGUAAGAAAUGGGACCUAAAAUUAGGAUAGGGAAGGGUAUUUAGGUCUUUUUGUGAAAUGUUUUGAAAUCCCAGGGGAGGAGAGUGAGAUUGUCAGGAACCUCAAGGAAGAUAUCUGAAAUUAUCCUUUUUAUAAAUAGUCACUCGUUUCUCGCAUUUUCUCUUUUAAUUUUUAUGCUCUCUCCAUUAGAAUUCAAUUUAGGCUAAAAUGGUAUCACUUCUAACCACAAGGUUCUAAAAUUUCUUCGAAUUUACCUUGUUUACUACUUUUUAUAAUGAAGAACUAGCAUAAGGAGGUAAAAUUUCUCGCAAUUAGGGGAUACAUAGUUUAUUAGUGCUACUAUUUGUUGGCAAAAAAUGAAUGUCACUUUAUAAUAAAGCAUUUACAUUUUUGUAGUAUGUGGCUGCUAAAAACUGCAAAAUUUAAAUGCCAAAUUUGUCAAAACCUUUGGCAGGGAGGCACUCAUUCAAAUGUUCUAGCUUUCUCUCACACGAGAUGACCUCAGGACUCUUUGUGAUGGAAUACAUGUCUCGACUCAGGUUAGGCAAAAUUUUCGCUGCCCAAGAAAUAAUACAUUAUGUUGGUUUUGUAAGGUAAAGCCAUAGGCUUUUGAAAUGUCAGUAACUAAACCAAUUCCAUUUAUGUGUUGUGAAUACACAGGUCACGGACAUGUUUGCCCGGCUUAUAAACUGGGGUGGGGAGACUAGCUCAACCAGUAAAGUUAAACGCUACAUUGUCGAGCCUAUAGCAGUUGUAAGUAUUAAAAUUAUUGUUAUUUUAUGGUUAAUAUCGAGCCUAACAAUCUAUAUCCCCUCUCCUGUAUUUUAACAGAAUGGCAUUUUAAAUCUUCAAAAAUUUGAAUCACAAUCUGAUGACAUCCAAACUGCUAAACUUAUGAAGUUGUUCAAGAUCUGCGGCCCUGAUAGGGGGGCUAAUCUUUCUAAGUGUCAGUUGUUAUGGACAUAACCGUAUUGUAUGUGAUUUGACGUAGUUUUGCAUAUUGGCAAGAUGUAUGUCAACCAAUGUAUUAUGCUAGUACUCACUAAAGUGAUUUGCUAUUUGUCAGAUUCUUGUUCCUGUGUACGUAAACCGGUGUUGGUUUGUGUACUCCUUCCAUAUCUCUCAUCGCAUAGUCCAUCUACUAGACCCGACAGUGCAUAAGCAAAGAGCAAAGAUAUUAGUGUUCAAAAGCGCUUGGUAUGGUUGUAUAUGGGACUGUUUAAUUUCAUAUUUUUAUCAUAUGCUAUUGUAACCCGUGUUUGAAUGUAGCAACAUGCUCUUGGACUAAUAAUGGUAGCAAGAUUUGGGACGCAAAUUGACUUUUCACGUUUCAAAUUCGAACUUGCUGAUGUCUCUCAUCAGUCACCUGAUACCAUGUAAAAUUUAUUUUCUUUCAUGACGACCCCGAUAGCUUAUUCUCUGUAUGUCAACUACUAUCACUUUUGUGCCAACACAUAUUCCUGACUAAAAUUUUCGCUAAUAUCAACAAAUUCGAUAGUGGAGUUUUCACGAUGACCUUUCUUGAAAACUGGAAUGUCAUAUUGGCUGUGCACAUUACACAGGUUGAAAAUGUUGUCUAUGUUUUGGUUUCGCUACCUGUUCAAAUAAAACGGUUAGUGGCAUUCUUUAUCGUCAUGCUGAUGACUAUAAUUAAAAUUUGCAGGAAAAUAUUACCACGUAUCGAAUGCUGUACACAGCGCGGCUGUGUACUUCGAAGCAUAAUAAAAAGUUUCGGGACAUGAUUGCCGCAUCAGUUUUGCCCAACAAGUAAUGGUAGCUACAUCAUCUGGAGGAAGGAAAUUGUUGAUAGUGAUAUGUUGGAUUAGUCAGAUGUUUUUGGACUUCAAUUUUUGUUUAUGUGGAUAGCAGUCGCCAUAUUUACAGCCUUCUUUCUCACCCAAUCCCUUCAUUUUAGCUGGAGUUUUGUCUUCUGGUUUUCCUCCAUCUUCAUACAGUCUAACAAUGUUCAUCGCUUGUCUUUUCAUCGUUCUAUGCAUGAUCAGAUUGUGCAUUUAUCAUCAGCUUUUAGAUUUGCUUCUAAUCAUACAGUCUAGUUGUGUUUGAAUUUGCAGUUGCAGUUACAAUAUUUUGCAGGCCCUAGUAAUGUUUUCGAGAUAAAGUCUUAUUCUCUUGUGCAUUGAGAAAUGCCCUUAUAUGAUUUUUCCUUUUUUUUAUUUUUUCAAGUAAAGUUUUUCUAAAGGGUGCUCAAUUGACUCUCAUCAACACACCUACAUUUCACCUAAUUUACCAUGCAUAAACACACACUAACAAUUACCACCACCUUUCCUUGUAUUUAUACACUUUCUCCAAUUAAUUUUAAUUUUUUUCAUACAUGUAACACUGUGAAAUAUAUUUUAACGAGUGUCUAUUUAUCACACCCUUUUUAUAGGUUCAAUGGUUUAUGUUCUUAGUGACUAUGUGUUUCUGCGGGUGAAGUACUUACAGAAGAUGUAGACAAGUAUUCUUCACCCUCUUUGCUUCCUAUUGGCCAGAGUCACAAAAAAAAAACUUGCCAGCAGCUGUACAAUUCUAUGUUGUAUCUUCAGUAUAAUUGUUAGAUUAAAUUAUCAUGUACAUAGCCCGUAAUAGUUCUUAAUGGAGUUAAUAGGUGUAGAUGGAAUUUUGUAUUGACAUUUUCAAAAAAAAUAUGAAAAUUAAUAUUUUUGGACAUUAAGAUGUAUUCUUUAAGUCGAAAUCUUUGACAGAAUCGCUAUCCUUGCAAAUCGGUACUACCUUUUGGACCAAAGACACCAUUUAUUGUCAUUAAUAAUCCUACACGAAAUGUAUUUUUAUAAAAACAAAGCGUAAGUACAUGGCAACUACUUGUAAUAGUUACACGGGUAUUCUUCACCCGUGUAAUGAUAUGUUAUCUAUAUAUGUGUAGCACAAAAUGUGACGGCCCCACCUCCCCCUAAGGCGAACCAGAGGGUUCGGCGGGCCGCCUGUCCGGCUCUCGCCGGGACUCAGUCGUUCACUAAAGUCCUCAAAUGAAUUACAAGAAUAAACCUCAAAUAUACAUGACAUGGUCCACAAAUAUACAUCCAAGUCUCCAAUAAUUACAUGUCACAAAUGCAGCGGAAACUAAUUCCCAACUAUACAUCAAAUGAUUUCAAAUCCAAAACUGUACAAAAUAUAUGCCAUCCAUUCACGUGAAUAAGCACAACAAGUCCUGCCUUCGCCUUGAGCCCUGUGGAGGGGAAUAAAAUAUUUUUGGGGUGAGCUGUAAGCUCAGCGAGUAACCAGAAAAUCAGUAAUCAAAUCGGUUUAACAAUAUUUCUUUUCAAUGAUGUCAUAAAUCAAAUAAUAAGUCCAGAAACAACUACAACAUUUGCAAAACAGUAAAUAUGGAGUAUCAAUAAUUCAAGAAACAUGUACAAUGGAAAGCGAUAGUAACAUUCAUGAAAAGGAUACGUUCAUUUUUUUAUAAAUAAUCCCUCGUUCAUCUUUUUAUUCGUUCAUCUUUUUUUUUCCCGGACGUUGGCCGGUCUCCACCCAUCCGGACGUAGCCGGACUGUCGCGCCCCAUUUUUUGAAUAAAUAAAUAAAUGGUUUAAAAAAUGUAUUUUUUGUGAUUGGAAAAUGAAUUGUGAUUUUAAAAGAAAAAAUGGGUCUAAAUGGGGGGUUGAGAAUGCGACGAUUUGACCCAAAAUUAUAGUUUAAAAAGGGUUUUUGAAAUAAAAAUUGGAGUCGCCACUUGGUAAUGAGUUAAGGUGUACCAAGUCACCAAAAAAAAUGAAUUUUGAAAGAAAAAAUAGGAAAAAGUAGUAAGAAACCCCUUUUAAACGACUCCUAGUCCACGUAAACCAAAGAAAAAAAGGUUCGGGAGUCACAUUUGACAAAGGGGAAGGCAAGGAUAAAAUCCAAGGCACCCCUUUGACCUAGCCAAGGCUAGUUGCAUGAUUUAAUCAAAGAUUUUCUUGUUUUAACCAAAGAAUUUAUUACAUUUGGAUGCACUACAUGAAUGCAAAACCCUAGACCUAGGGGUAUUGGGGAAAAUUUCUCUUCAAAGGUUGAGUGGUGCCAAUCACAUUAAUUGUGAAGCCCAAUAAUGACCCUUUGGAGAGGUCACGAAUAAUGCAAGUGGAAUGCUCAAACAAGGAGAGAAAAUAUGAGAGGUAUGCAAAGAAAUGUCUUUGGACGUAAAAUAUACUCCAAGUGCAAGUGGGCAAAAAUGCAUAUAUGCAAUUAGAGAAAAGUGUGAAAGUGUCGGUGUGCAAAUGAAGAUAAAAAUGUUCGUGUGCAAGUGAAAGGACAAAAAGGUGUACGUGUGCAAAUGGGAGGAAAAGUGUUCGUGUGCAAGUGAAGGGAUAAAAAGGUGUACGUGUGCAAAUGGGAGGAAAAGUGAAAGUGUAAUGAUAGAGUGGACUUAGAAUGCAUGAGCCUAGGGAAUUCAUACAUAUUGGGACGGGGAGACCUAAAUCGUGACUCAAUUUUGCCCUUUUAUAGAGGGAAUACAAGCGUGCUAAGACUUAUAAAAAGCCACACUCGUCUAUAUCCCAUAUUUAAGGGGACUCUCAAGCAAAUGAACCCUAUAACUAGCAUGAAAUGCAAAAAUCCUAAAAUGGAGGGAAAAGGGGUUCGAGGGGCAUGCCAAAUGAUAAACUAAGAAAAAUGCAUGACAUGUAAUGAUCACGCAAAUAUGUACUAACGAAAGGGGGAAGGCCUAUUGGGUCUAGCGUUGGACUAGCCCUUUCUAUGAGUUCCUACUAGCGUUGGACUAGUGGAAAUGGGCAAAGGGGCCACACCUAGCGUUGGACUAGUGUGGCGACGUGCAUUCAUCCAUCAUAUCAUUCAUAAUCAUAGAAAGCGAAUAGACAGGUUAAUCACCUAUAAACACAUAGCACAUAACACUUAGCAUGCUCGACUAGAUGCAAGAACCUAAUAAAGCGAUAACACAUAGCACAUAGACAAAUAAUGAAGCUAAAGAGCCUAUUACAUUUGCUAACUAAAACAAAAGGGGGGAAGAGGGAGAAAGGACAAAAUUACUCUCCUAACCCUAUCUAUUACAAGCCAAGAGGUGUACACAUACCCCAUUGAAAGAAUGACUUAAUAAAGGCAAAAGUAGAUGAAAGAAAGGAAAUAAAGAAAGGCAAGGAAAGCAACAUAGACAUGCAAUUCACUUAGCACGUUGGAUCACAUUGAGAGAGACGGAAAAGAUAAAAGAAAGUUAUACCGCCCCCUUUGAAUGAUGUCCAAAUGAAAGAAAUCACUUAUUUAUCCUCAAAAAUGAAAGAAAAGGUCAAGGCAUCACUUUAAUAAACAAAUAAUUGUAUGAAAUGGAAGGAGACACAAAAAUUGACUCACUCAAAGCCUUCAAAUAAACUAAAAAACCCCUAUUCAUCAAAUGGAAACAAGUAAGGACUCAAUUGAAUGAAGUAAGGAAGUUUCAGGGUCAAGUCAUUAUUGCUACAAAAUUUAAGGGUCCCCAAAAGCAAAUAAAUUAAGAUUAAGGAUUUGAAAUGAAACCUAUGAAAAUCAACCAUAAGAUCUACAAAAAUAAAUGAAAAUCAAUUUGCUACAUUCAAACCACAAUGUACUCAAAAUUUCAAUAAGAAUCCCAAUCAAUACUAAAAUCUAGGAAAAGUUCUUAAGGCCUUCAAAUUCAUCCUAAAAUUCGUAAAUAAUCUAUCCAAAAAACCACAUUAAAACAUAUCAAUCAAAAAAACAUUUUAAUGGGACUCAAUUGAUUAGUCUUCACAAAAUUCCAGGCCACAGUAGCACUAAAUGCUAAUCAAGGGGCCAAAAGGCAAAUUUUCUUUUUGAUUUACAUGCAAGCUACGUAGAAGAAACUUUCUUCUUCCGCCACCAUGCGUCUGCAAUUCGGAUGCAGAGGUUUCGUGCGAAACCGUCACUCAAUACCUCUAAACAACUGAGCAUGUGGAUUAACACAAAUCAAGUAUGAACACCAAGCUAGUGAAGAUCAGACACAGAAGACCAGAUGAGAAACGCGAGAACAGAAUAACACAACCAGCUUCUGAUCAGGAAAGGCAGCAGCUAAACCAAACAAUAAAACAGCCAAAGACCUGAACCUGAACAACCUAAGAAAACAGCCUAAUAGCCUAAGACCCAAACUAGAGAAAUGCACCAAAGAGGAAGAAAAACAAAGUCUGGUCGCACUGCUAAAACAAGGCGGAUAGUUUUGACCCUAUUGCAGCAAACUUUCAUGCUUAAACCUCAACCCAAACACAGCUAGCAACUCUCCAGAUUCAUUCAACCAAGAAUUCCGACCUCUCAUCUUAAUAAUGAUAAAACCCUUCAUAAGCUAGAUUAAGGCAACAGAGACAAGGAAAAAUACAUAACACAGCAAGCAAAUAUCAGCAGCGGCAGUGACAACAGACAAAAAACAAAAGCUAAACUAAUGCAAGAACAUAGAUUGGCAACAAAGGGAUCGGAAAAAGCUGAAACAUCAGUUUAAGAGGGUACCUGAAAAAUGUUUGAGAGUUUUGACGAUGCAAAAUGCUCCUAGAAUGUCGGCUGGUUCGUGAGAUGAGGCGAGAGAAAUCCCAUCACAAUGGGGUGCAGCAGGGACUUCGUAACUUGGGGCUGCAGUGGUGGUGGCGGCUAUGAACGACGAUGGAUGGGAAGCCGGCAAUGGGAGCAGAGUUGGGAGCUGCGCCUGGUGGUCGUGCUGUGAUGGAGCUGGAGGCGCACGACAGUAGCUUGCACGCGAUGAUGCCGAUGGCAGACAGCAGCAGCGGCGGACGCAGACUGGUGGUGGCUUGAACAGGCUUUCCUUGCGUUGUUUCUUCCUAGCCUUGCACUGUGGCUCCCUCAAAACUCUCUAUGGGUUCUCCGAUGAAGUCUCUCAGCCUUCCAGAUUUCCUUGUGUUCAGCUUUCAACCGCUACCCCCCAGCUCUCUUGCGGCUGUUUUCAUUUUCAAUCUCCCUCAGCCUUUCUUUCAUUCCGCUAUCCACAGGUUCCCCUUUCGCUUCUCUGGUUUCUGAUUCCUCUUCCCCACAACCCCAUAGCCUCUCUCAAUCUCCCUUUCCUAAUCCUAACCGCCGCUCCUCAUAUUUCCAAACCCCAGUCGCUCUCCCUUUUUCCUUACAUCAGCCAUCCCCCCCUCCGACCUGGUUUCUUUUCAGCCAUCGUUCUAUCGAUGCUCCCUCUCUCUCGGAUUUUUGCAGCCGUCCUCUAUCUCUCUUGUCUUUUUCUUUUGCCGUUCACUCCCUUCCCUUUUGUUUUCAGCCGUUACUCUGCAGAUCCUCUUGCCGUUGCUCUUCACUCUGUUUUAUGCAGCCGCCCUUCUCUCUCACUCUCUGCAUAUUCCCCUCUCCCCUCUUGCGGCUACUGUUUUUUUCUUUUUAUAUCAAUUCCCCAACCUCCUAAACCCUGCUCUCAAUGGCCAGCAAUCAACCUCCUCUCUGCCUCUUAUCUUGGCCAUCCGAUGGGCAUGUACCACUCUUCUUUGCAAGCUGCCAAAAUACGCAGCUUGCAUGCUUCCCUUUUUUUUUUAAGUAUAAUAUAAAUAACAAUAAAAACAAAAUAAUAAUUCAAACAAACUUAAACUUAUAUAAAAUGUAUAAAAUUAAUAACCAAAAGAUAAAAAGCUAAGAUUUUCCUCUUUUUCCCUUCUUCUUUUUCCUUUUUUUCAUUUUUCAAUUUUUCAUCAUUUUUUCAUUUUUAAAUAAUGAAACUAAAUCUAAAACAACUACAACAUAUUUUUUGAACGCUUUUCUUUUUUUUUAUUUUUCUUUAUGAUUUUUCUUUUUUUUUCAUUUUUUCAUGAUUUUCCUUUUUCUCUCUUUUUUUUUCCAAGAAAUUCUAUGCUAAAACUUAAAAAUAAACUAUAAACUAUAAACUAAAAACUAAAAAUCGAAUAAAACUAACACGACAAAUAAAAAACUAAAAAUAAACAGUAAAUGAAAUUACACCAAAAAUUUGGUGUCUACACGGACUCCACCCAUCCGGACGUAGCCGGACUACAAGGUAAUACUCGAGUAUAUCAAAUUCACGCAAGGUCACCAUAUCGCCCGACCGAGUCCGCUUCUGGCUCGAGUCGAUCGGUAACGAAGGGCAGGGCCCAAUUCAGCCAAACGGCUUACAUUCAUGCUCAACUAGCAUUUCAAUAAUUAAAUCCUUGAAAAUUGCACAGUUAUUUAGGUCGAGUGCGAUAAAGUACACACUCGCCUAGAAAUCUCGUUUUGGAAAUCAUUCAAAGCACUUAACACGUUAUCAAUCAAUAAUACAAGUCAUGAAGUCAAGAAAAUAUAGCAAAUAAGGAACACUCACAUGCAAGCACGCAUGAUAUGCAAGAAACAGUUCAAAAGUAACUUUGGAAUCAGUUUAAAGGUAAAUAAUGCAAGAAAACGGUACAAAAGUAACUUUGGAAACAGCUCAAAAGUAAAUAACACAGGAAACGGUUCAUAAAUAACUUCAGAAAUAGUUUGAAGUCACUCACCUCCAUGGCUCAGAAACCAUUCAUCAUAUAUCAUUGCCUUGCUCAAAUCCAAGUCUUAGAUCACAAACUCAAAGCAAUAAAAUCCUUUCAAAGUGCGGACAGCACUUCCACUAAAUUUGCUUACUUUUCCAGCCGUCAUGGCUUCAUGAUUUCCUCAUUCCAACCCAAAGGUACACACACAACAACAAGUUCAUCCAAUAGCCAUUCAGCAAACUCCAAGUAGUACUAGUACAAGUCAAACUAGGGAAAAGUUUGGAAAUGAAAGUUAAGCUCAAAAUCAGAAAAAUAGUUUUGACGUCAUUUUGCGGUAAUGGUACCAAAGGCGCUACGAUUGUCGGAUGAAGGUCCAAGACACACCGUUUCGAAGCUAAGAGAUAGGGCUACAAUAUUACAGAAGGUCACUCAACCCAGUUUCGAGUGUAACCAGGUCAAAAAUGCAAGAAACUACACCAGAAUCACAAAAAUAGAUUCACAGAACGCAUUCUAGCGGAAACAUCAUAACUCAGGCUCUCCAAGUCCAAAUCCAGAAAUUCCAAAACCAGCUGAAAGCUAAGAAACAGGGAUAAAUUUUAUCAGAAGGCCUCAACUUCCAAUUCGGAAGCAAUUCCAGCCAAAACAACCAAUUACAGUAGCAAAUCCCAAUUUCGGGUAAACCAGAAUAGCAAUAGUAAUUUUGACUUUUCUCACUCUACGCUACUCCGAUUGACCUGAAAUUUUGUAGACUCCUCUAAAAUGUCAUUCCCUACAACUUUCAUGUUUUAAGUAAAGACCAAUUCGGCCUCUAUCUAGGACCUAAAAAUUCGGACAGAAUGUUCAUCACAAAACCCUCACUUUUCAAUUUUUGGUCCAAAACAGAAAUUGGUUGCAAUUAAUCACUUUUUCCACCUCCUAGAGUCAUUAAACAUCAAUUACAAUCAGCAUACAUGACCCCAUAAUCAUAUCCAUAUGAAAACAGAAAAAUCCCCAAUAAUUAUAAAACUUCACCAAUUCAACCAAAAUCAAGAUAUAAUCCAUAAAACCAUCUCUUUAGCCAUCACAAGUUACUAAUUCACCAUUAUUGGAAACAAACAAUGAAUCUUUACACACCAUACCUUGAUACCUGACAAAAGAUAGUAGCUUAGUGGUUCCUUCUCCCAAAUAACUCCACCAAGACCUUGGAAUCUCCUUAGUAACCAACUUUUAUGGAGUGAUUUGCAAAUCCAUCGGUUAAAACUCAAGAUUGAAGUAAGAAAUUGGAGUGAAAGAUGAAGGUUUUUCUCUCUCUCUUGCUCUCCAAGUUUCAGCCAUGAGAAGGAAGAAAUGGCUUGAUUUUUGGUCAAAUUUUGGUUUUAGUAAAGUUAAGGUAAGAUGGUCAAAAGUCCAAGAGUGAAUAGGAUAGUGACACUUGUCACCUUUAGAUGUAAAACUUAUCUUUUUGUCUCUCCAAUACAAAUAUCUUAACACUUUGUAAAAUAAUAUCACUCAAUACAAAAUUCCUACAAGUUGUCAAAAAUAUAAUGCAUUUACCGCACUAGCGGGUCCCACGUCCAAAAUACGCUCUUAAUUUCUCAAAAACUAACCGAUACUAGAAAAAUCAUUUUAAAACUAUCUUUGCUCAUAAACUUUAUCUGGGAAAUUUUUCUAAUCAAGAAAAUGUAGAAAAGGCGGGCAAUUAAAAAAAAUAAACCCUAGAAAAUUAGAAAAUUUCCGGGUUCUCAAACUCAUUUUUUUUCGGGGCGUCACAAUCUCCCCUCCUUAAAAGAAUGUCGUCCUCGACAUUCCCUCUUGUACCAAUCAAGUCAAGACAUCCCGCAAAAAUCUCUCAAGAGUCAAAUCAAACCCACAGUUCGGCAUCCUAAACUUCAAGCCUAGGAUACACUACAGAGAUCUGAAGCCUAAGCUCUGAUAGCAACUGUGACGGCCCCACCUCCCCCUAAGGCGAACCAGAGGGUUCGGCGGGCCGCAUGCCCGGCUCUCGCCGGAACUCAGUCGUUCACUAAAGUGCUCAAAUAAAUUACAAGAAUAAACCUCAAAUAUACAUCACAUGGUCCACAAAUAUACAUCCAAGUCUCCAAUAAUUACAUGUCACAAAUGCAGCGGAAACUAAUUCCCAACUAUACAUCAAAUGAUUUCAAAUCCAAAACUGUACAAAAUAUAUGCCAUCCAUUCACGUGAAUAAGCACAACAAGUCCUGCCUUCGCCUUGAGCCCUGUGGAGGGGAAUAAAAUAUUUUUGGGGUGAGCUGGAAGCUCAGCGAGUAACCAGAAAAUCAGUAAUCAAAUCGGUUUAACAAUAUUUCUUUUCAAUGAUGUCAUAAAUCAAAUGAUAAGUCCAGAAACAACUACAACAUUUGCAAAAUAGUAAAUAUGGAGUAUCAAUAAUUCAAGAAACAUGUACAAUGGAAAGCGAUAGUAACAUUCAUGAAAAGGAUACGUUCAUUUUUUUAUAAAUAAUCCCUCGUUCAUCUUUUUAUUCGUUCAUCUUUUUUUUUUUCCCAGACGUUGGCCGGUCUCCACCCAUCCGGACGUAGCCGGACUCCACCCAUCCGGACGUAGCCGGACUACAAGGUAAUACUCGAGUAUACCAAAUUCACCCAGGGUCACCAUAUCGCCCGACCGAAUCCGCUUCUGGCUCGAGUCGAUCGGUAACGAAGGGCAGGGCCCAAUUCAGCCAAACGGCUUACAUUCAUGCGCAACUAGCAUUUCAAUAAUUAAAUCCUUGAAAAUUGCACAGUUAUUUAGGUCGAGUGCGAUAAAGUACACACUCGCCUAGAAAGCUCGUUUUGGAAAUCAUUCAAAGCACUUAACACGUUAUCAAUCAAUAAUACAAGUCAUGAAGUCAAGAAAAUAUAGCAAAUAAGGAACACUCACAUGCAAGCACGCAUGAUAUGCAAGAAACAGUUCAAAAGUAACUUUGGAAACAGUUUAAAGGUAAAUAAUGCAAGAAAACGGUACAAAAGUAACUUUGGAAACAGCUCAAAAGUAAAUAACGCAGGAAACGGUUCAUAAAUAAGUUCAGAAAUAGUUUGAGGUCACUCACCUCUAUGGCUCAGAAACCAUUUAUCAUAUAUCAUUGCCUUGCUCAAAUCCAAGUCUUAGAUUGUGACGGCCCCACCUCCCCCUAGGGCGUACCCCAGGGUUCGGCGGGUCGCCUGCCCAACUCUCGCCGGGAGUCAGUCGUUCACUACAGUUCUCAAAUAAAUACAAGAUAAAUCUCAAAUAUAACUCAAAUGUUCCAACAUUUACAUAUCAAAAGCGAAGCGUCCACGCUUCCACUGCGCCACUCUGAUCCAUGAUCCCAAUUCUUAUACAAGAGGAAUUCCACAACAAUAAAAUCACAACAAGCCUUCCUUCGCCACGAGCCCUGUGGAGGGGAAUAAAAUAUUUUUUGGGGUGAGCUAGAAGCUCAGCGAGUAACCAUUAAAAUCAGUAAUCAAAUCGGUUUCACAAUAGUUCAUUUCAAUGAUGUCAUGAAUCAAAUGAUAAGUCCAGAAACAAUUACAUCAUUUGCAAAACAGUAAAUAUGGAUUAUCAAUAAUUCAAGAAACAUUUACAAUGGAAAGCGAUAGUAACAUUCAUGAAAGGAUACAUUCAUUCUCCUGACAUUUUCUCACUCAUUUGGUCAUUCAUUUCAUUUCAUUCACCCCGUCCCUGGCUUUUGGCCAGGCUCCACCUAUGAGGACCCGAAAAAUUUCUUAUUUUUAUCGAAUAUUAAUGGUUUAAUUAAGUAUUAAUCCACCUGUUUUUCCCAAAUAAUUUAUUACGACCAUUUUAAAUCCAUUCAUAUGGAAUAAUGUCUUCGUUAUGCUUUUAAAACGUCCCGUUAACAACUUCAAUUUUCGGAGGAUUAUUUGAGUGAGAAAUAAUGAACACGAGUGUUUCAAGGUGAUAUUGUAUUCGAGAGUAUGAUUAUCCUGGGGAAAUUAAGAACGGACAAUAGCAGAUUAAGAAAAGUUAAUCGAGAAUUAAAGGUGAAUAAGUUCUAAGUGAGCAUAUACUACUCACGCGUGGAUAGUUUUCCAAAAGACGCAUGGAUACAAAUUUAUUGGAGAUUUGAGGAGUUAAUACUCGACUCAUGUGAGGACUCGUAAAACUCCUAUUAAAACCCCAAUUUGAGCUUAUUUAAUUAUUUACUUGUUCAUUUAUUCCGAGUAUUAUUUUCUAGACCUAUUGAACCUAAUUACGUGGAAAUAUAGCUUCGUUAUAUUUUUAAAGUGAUUUGUUUCAAGAAUUAAUUUCCUGGAGUACGUUUAGUAAAAAUAGUGAAUAGUGCUUGGAGAUUUUAUCCGCGUAGUAGCACAAUAAGCUUGGAAUAUUGGAGACUUGUACUAUGGUCCUAAAAUAGGUAAUCUUAUGAAUAAAUACUCAAGUGAUAGUUAGUAGUGCAAUCGUUAUAAGAAAUUCUCGGAAGUUUCGCGUUAUAGCGUUAAAAUUGACGGUACGCGUUUUCACACGCGCAACUUUAUUUGAGGGACUUUAGACCCUUAUUUCGGGUCAAUUAAGAGUGAAGAAUAUUUACAUAAAUAUAUAUGCAUUGGAGAUUUAGUGCACUAGUGAACCAAACGCGCGAGAAAAUCGAGCCGUAAUCGCGCCAAACGAGCCCUAAUGAGAGUUGACUUUUGGGUGAAUUUCCACCACUUAUUUCACCUUCUCUUGGAAGCUAAAGGAAAUCAGAUUUCUCUCCAUCUUCUCUCUCCUCAUUGCCGACCAGCUCUCUUCUCUCUCUAACUCAUUUGCUUCAAAAUUUCUGCUCACAAAUUUCACUCAAAACCACCCCAAAUCAUCUCCAAAUUCAACCAAACUUGCACCACACUUAGCUUGAUACUUGAGGAGCCUUUUUAGCUGCAAACAAGGGCUGGAAAUCACGAUUUUUCUGGAGCAAUAGAGGGCCGAAAAUUCUGCUUGAACACCCAACCAAAGUAAGUGAUGAUCCACUCUUGGAAACUUGAAGUUUGGAAGCUAUCUUACCUUGUUAAGUUCAUGCAUACACUUGGUUAGCUUGUGUAUGGUGUAAAAAUGUGAUUGUGGGCUCUUUGAAUUCCCAAACUUGGGUUGUUGUUGCUGAUUUGAUGAUUGAUGGUGGUUAUAUUGUUGGUUUAGUGGUUAAAAUGAUGCAUUAGUGGUGGGUAAUUAGUAGAAACUUCAUUGGGUGUAAGAAGCAAAAACUUCCGAUUUUGCCCCUGCCAUGUUCGGCCAUUUUGAGGCCAAUUUUUAAUGGUCUAACGGCUUGAAUUGGAUGUUUAUAGGAUGUAUUAGAUGUGUGAAAAAUUUCAUUGGAAAAUAUUGAGGUUUGAUUAAGCUAAUGAAUUUUUUUUAAGAAACUAGCAAAUCUGGAAAACUGUUCGCGUAUGACUCUGACCAGUGGUAGUAUUUCGGCUAUAACUCUGUCCUCGGAUGUCGGAAUCAUGUGCCGUUGGUGGCGUUUGAAACUAGACAUUCCUGGCUUUAAUUUGGUAUAUAAUGCACAUUCUGAUUCUUUGUGAGCAAGUCAAACCAAAUGUUUUAAGUUCGCUGUCCUGUUGCUCCGUUCAUCUGGAAUGAAGUGUUCAGGCAGCAACAUGAUGCCCGAUUUUGAACCAGAUGGGUGCCGAAUUUUGGAACGCUAUCUUCUGUGGUAUUUUAGACCUAUGAAUGAAUUUUCCAACGGCAUAAGCUAUGCUCGAUUCCGAGUUAAAUUGAUUGAGUUGUGACUAAAACAAGAGGACUGCCCUGUUUUGGAAAAACGUAAUAUUUGGACUGAUUUGGGACAAAAACUUGGGAGUGAUCUUAUUAAUUGAAAUUUUGGUGCUAAACCAUUACCAAAGGUAUCAUGGAUGUAUCUUAGACCUUUAUUUCACCAAUGAACCAUGGUUGGAUAGCAACAUGUGAAUCGUGCCGAAUUUUCAAAGUUGGCCGAAAUCCAACUUAAUUCUGCCUUGUAAACCAAUCCUGCAUCUUCAAGCUCAUUUUUGAACACUUUCCACUUUGAUUCAUGGAAAAGUGUCUUCUAGGAACUUAUAGUACUUUCUAAGAGGUUUCCAACGGUAUAUAUUUUUCCAAUUCUCGACUUAUGCCGAGCGAGUUACGAUUUUUCAAACAUUUAGGAUAAAACUGAAAUUUCUCAAUUUUCAAGGCAAAGGAGUUUUUCCAAAAUUCUUAAUUCUCUUAGUAUUAUUCAAACGUUUUGCCCUCGCUUUUCGAGAUAAAAACUCAAAUAAUAUUGUACAUAAUAAAAGACUAGUUGAACCUCGAUUUGCGUGUAAUUGAGGUCCCUUUUGUGAAAUAAUCUUUAGAUUGUACUAGAGUACAAUCUUCCUUGAUAAGUGGGUUAUUUAUGUGAUUAUCCGUUAUUAAUUGCCAGGCGCACAAGGAGACCUUCAAGAGGAUCUCACUGUGGACACUUGAAUCUCCAAAGAAUAAUCCCUAUUGAAUUGCUCGGUGAGUGUCAAGUGUGUGAAUUUUGAUACUUGCUUAUUUGUGGUAAUUGUUGGAAAUUUCAAAAAUAAGGGCGGGUGCGUACUUUAUCGCACUUGUUCUAAUUUCAAAUGAAUUAUUGAAAUGUAUUGAAUGAUUGUAAUGUAUUGAAUAAAUGACUGAAAUGCAAUGGUAUGUUAUGAAUACAUACGUCGAUGGAGUGAACCUCCUCGACUUUCAAAUGAAUGGGGGACGCCCAAACUCAUAGGCCAACCUUAGACUCGAGCCGGCAAUGGGCUUGGUCGGGGCCUGGGGCGAGCCAUGAGAUACAUAUAAGCUCGACCUAAUAAGAGGUCUUGCUUGGCAUACUCGUAGAGUAUCGCCCAAUAAAUGACUUGUGGGCCCUUGGGGUGUACGGUGGACGGAGGGAAGUAAGUGGUGAUCUACGGAAAUGGAAAUAUCGACCCGGUUGACAGGAGGGUCAACGCGGGAAGGUAUACGAAUGACAUCAGCAGAGCAAGUGGAACUUAGCUCCUGAGAGCUACUAUAUCCUUGAAUUGUUUCUGAUUACUUUUCCUGCUUGAAUGGUCGAUUAUUGAAAUAACGUGGUUUAUUUAUUAAAUUUGGGAUUGUUAUUUGACUAAGUGCUUGCAUGUGUGUUCUUGGCCUCACGAGCGUUUUGCUCACCCUGUAGAUUUGUUUUCCUUAACAGGAUUGGACUUGGAGAAAUGUUGGAGAAACCCCUCUUGGCGUACUCUUGUUUUUAGGGUUUCCGUUGCACUUUGGGGCUAGACUUGUGAUUGAUAUAUAUAUAUUUUGAAUAUUGAUGUAUUUCGAGAUUUCGAUGUAAUGAUUGGGCAGAUGUUAAAUAUUGAUAAGCUUGAAUGCUUACGCACUGAUUGUAUUUAUGAUAUUUAAUCGUAACGUCUAGUAUUGUAUUAAGCUUGGACGGAAAUUGCUUGAGUCCUGGCGAGAGCUGGGCAGGCGUCCCGCAGAUACCCUUUGGUUCGCCUUAGGGAGAAGUGGGGGCGUCACACCACCAACCUACAUAGGUAAUACUCGAGUAUACCAAACGUUCACCCAUGUUUCUAAUCGCCUGACCGAGUCCGCUUCUGGCUCAAGACGACCGGUAACAAGGGGCAAUGGCCAGUUCAGCCCAAAAGGCUUACAUUCAUGCGCAAGUAACAUUUCAAUCGAAAAUUUCACAUUUAUCGAGGUCGAGUGCGAUAAAGUACACACUCGCCUUGAAAACUCAUUUUGGAAAUCAUUAUAAGCGCUUAACACGUUAUCAACUAAAAUACCAGUCAUGAAGUCAAGAAAUAUAGCAAACAAGGCACACUCAAAUGCCAGCACACAUGAUAUGCAAGAAAACAUUUCAAAAGUGACUUUGGAAACAGUUCAAAAGUAAAUAAUGUAAGAAACGGUUCAUAAAUAACUUUAGAAGUAGUUUGAGGUCACUCACCUCCAUGGCUCAGAAAUCAUCCAUCAUGUAACAUUGCCUUGCUCAAAUCGAAGUCUUAGAUCACAAACUCAAUGUAAACAAGUCCUUUAAAAGUUCGGACAGCACUUCCCCUAAAUUUGCUUACUUUUCCAGCCAUCAUGGCUUCAUUAUUUCUUCAGCCAGUCCCAAAGGUACACACACAACAACAAGUUCCUCCAAUAGCCAUUCAGCAAGCUCCAAGUAGUACUAGUACAAGUCAAGCUAGGGAAAAGUCCGGAAAUGAAAGUUAAGCUCAAAACCAGAAAAAUAGUUUUGACGUCAUUUUGCGGUAAUGGUACCAAAGGCGCUACGAUUGUCGGAUGAAGGUGCAAGAUACACCGUUUCAAAACUAAGAGAUAGGACUACAAUAUUGCAGAAGAUCACUUAACCCAGUUUCGAGUGUAACAAGGUCAAAAAUGCAAGAAACUAUACCAGAAUGACGAAAACAUAUUCACAGAACGCAUUCUAGCGGAAACAUCAUAAAUCAGGCUAUCCAAGUCCAAAUCCAGAAAUUCUAAAACCAGCUGAAAGCUAAGACACAGGGCUACAAUACAUCAGAAGACCUCAAUAACCAAUUCCAAAGCAUUCCCAACAAAAAUAACCCAUUACAGAAGCAAUUCCCAAAUUCGGGUAAAACCAGGGCAGCAAGGGUAAUUCCAUCUUUUCUCAAGCUACGCAACUCCGAUUGACCUGAAAUUUUGCAGGCACCUCUACAAUAUCAUUCCAUACAACUUUCAUGAAAACCACUCAGUCUAGUUCUCACCCUAACUAGGUCAUAUUUAUCAAAACAACCCCAGAUUUUCUAGUUCGAAGCUCACUGUGGCAGUCCUGAUUCAUUCAGUUAUACAUCAGCACACACAACUCCAAAUCAGGUAAUUCCAAAGCCAUUUAAAAGCUAAGAUACAAGGCUAGAAUUCGUAAGAAGACAUCAACAACCAAAUCAGUAGUAUUCCCAGUCAAACUAAUCAAUUACCAAAGCUGAUUUCCAGGUUCGGACAGAAACAGGGCAGCAGGGGUAUUUUGGUCUUUUCACAGGCUACCGAACUUGGAUUGAGUUGAAAUUUUGCAGCCAACUAUAAAACCUCAUUCUCUACAACUUUCAUGUUUUGUGCUAAGGCCAAUUCGGCCUCUAACUAUGAUGAACAGUGUCAGGCAGAAUUGGGGAAAUUGAAAACCCUAAUCUGGAAAUUUUUGCAUUCAAGUGCUAAUCUUCCACUAAAACAUCUCAUUAGCCAUCACAAAUCAUUAAUUUAACAAAAUCAAGAUCAAAAGGAUGGUUAGACAUAAUACCUUGAAAUAUCAAGAAAGGUGAUGGCUUAGGGAUUUUUCUUCCAAAACAACUCCACCAAUAGCUUCAAUCUUCCUUAGCUAGCAAGUUUUAUGGAGUGAUUUGCAAUUUAAUCGGUUAGAACUCAAGAUUGGAGGAAGAAAUUGAGGUGCAAGAUGCUGGAUAUUCUCUCUCUUUCUCUCAAAAUUUCGUCCAUCAUGCUAACAAGAAGAAGAAAUGAUGAAAACAAAAGGUUUGGUCAAGAUAAGAAGAAGAAAUCAUGGUCUUAGUCAAAAGUCCAACUUGCAAUGGGUUUGUGACACUUGGCCCUUCUAGUAUUUUCUUUAAUCCUUUGGCUUCCAAUGGUUACAUCAUAUAAUCACCCUCUAAUCAUUUCCUAGCACCUUGUAAAAUAAUAACACUUAGCACACAAUUCACUUAGUCACCAAAAUUAUACCACACUAGCGGGUCCCACGUCCGGUAUAAGCUCUUAAUUUCUCAAAAACUAAUUGAUACUAGAAAAAUCAUUUUAAAACUAUCUUUGCUCAUAAACUUAAUCUGGGGAAUUUUUUCUAAUCAAGAAAAUGUAGAAAAGGCGGGCGAUUUAAAAAAAAACCCUAGAAAAUUAGAAAAUUUUCGGAUUCUCACACUCAUUCUUUCGGGGCGUCACAUAGAUCACAAACUCAAAGCAAUAAAAUCCUUUCAAAGUGCGGACAGCACUUCCACUAAAUUUGCUUACUUUUCCAGCCGUCAUGGCUUCAUGAUUUCCUCAUUCCAACCCAAAGGUACACACACAACAACAAGUUCAUCCAAUAGCCAUUCAACAAACUCCAAGUAGUACUAGUACAAGUCAAACUAGGGAAAAGUUUGGAAAUGAAAGUUAAGCUCAAAAUCAGAAAAAUAGUUUUGACGUCAUUUUGCGGUAGUGGUACCAAAGGCGCUACGAUUGUCGGAUGAAGGUCCAAGACCCACCGUUUCGAAGCUAAGAGAUAGGGCUACAAUAUUACAGAAGGUUACUCAACCCAGUUUCGAGUGUAACCAGGUCAAAAGUGCAAGAAACUACACCAGAAUCACAAAAACAGAUUCACAGAAUGCAUUCUAGCGGAAACAUCAUAACUCAGGCUCUCCAAGUCCAAAUCCAGAAAUUCCAAAACCAGCUGAAAGCUAAGAAACAGGGCUAAAUUUCAUCAGAAGGGCUCAACAUCCAAUUCGGAAGUAAUUCCAGCCAAAACAAUCAAUUACAGUCGCAAAUCCCAAUUUCGGGUAAACCAGAACAGCAAUAGUAAUUUCGACUUUUUUCACUCUACGCUACUCCGAUUGACCUGAAAUUUGGUAGGCACCUCUAAAAUAUCAUUCCCUACAACUUUCAUGUUUUAAGUAAAGGCCAAUUCGGCCUCUAUCUAGGACCUAAAAAUUCGGACAGAAUGUUCAUCACAAAACCCUCACUUUUCAGUUUUUGGUCCAAAACAGAAAUUGGUUGCAAUUAAUCACUUUUUCCACCUCCUAGAGUCAUUAAACAUCAUUUACAAUCAUCAUACAUGACCCCAUAAUCAUAUCCAUAUGAAAACAGAAAAAUUCCCAAUAAUUAUAAAACUUCACCAAUUCAACCAAAAUCAAGAUAUAAUCCAUAAAACCAUCUCUUUAGCCAUCACAAGUUACUAAUUCACCAUUAUUGGAAACCAAUAAUGAAUCUUUACACACCAUACCUUGAUACCUCACAAAAGAUAGUAGCUUAGUGGUUCCUUCUCCAAAAUAACUCCACCAAGACCUUGGAAUCUCCUUAGUAACCAACUUUUAUGGAGUGAUUUGCAAUUCCAUCGGUUAAAACUCAAGAUUGAAGUAAGAAAUUGGAGUGAAAGAUGAAGGUUUUUCUCUCUCUCUUGCUCUCCAAGUUUCAGCCAUGAGAAGGAAGAAAUGGCUUGAUUUUUGGUCAAAUUUUGGUUUUAGUAAAGUUAAGGUAAGAUGGUCAAAAGUCCAAGAGUGAAUAGGAUAGUGACACUUGUCACCUUUAGAUGUAAAACUUAUCUUUUUGUCUCUCCAAUACAAAUAUCUUAACACUUUGUAAAAUAAUAUCACUCAAUACAAAAUUCCUACAAGUUGUCAAAAAUAUAAUGCAUUUACCGCACUAGCGGGUCCCACGUCCAAAAUACGCUCUUAAUUUCUCAAAAACUAACCGAUACUAGAAAAAUCAUUUUAAAACUAUCUUUGCUCAUAAACUUUAUCUGGAGAAUUUUUCUAAUCAAGAAAAUGUAGAAAAGGCGGGCGAUUAAAAAAAAUAAACCCUAGAAAAUUAGAAAAUUUCCGGGUUCUCAAACUCAUUUUUUUCGGGGCGUCACACAAAAAGUAUACAACACUUUUAAACCCCAAAUGUUCAAGACAAAUACAUAAAAUUUGCACAAUUUUACAAUCAAGCCGAAAAUUUAUACAAAAUUUAUCCCUCACAUAUUCAACACCUACUCUUUUAACAUGUAGGAGUCUUUACAAUAUAAUUUGCUUCUAAAUUUUCAUUCAUCAUGAACGGAUAUAGUGACUUAUUGUUGAAGCAGGACCAAACCUAUGUCAAAUCAACAACCCGAGACAUCGUAGGUGCUUACCCGAACAAAUUGAGCCCUGCUAAUCUUAUUAUAGUAACUACCAUUACUUCAUGGGUGUAUCACUUCUUUGAAGAAGGUGUAAAGGCAGGUGAACUACUUGUACAUCAAAUAUUAAAUAUGGGGCCAAGACGAAUAGUUAAAAAUUUCUAUAAUUUUUAUCAACAAUGAAGUGUGUGACAAAAUAAUCAACAGGUGCACAUUGAAGUGCAAACAUUUGAAUGUACAGCAAAUACUGUAAAUUUGGCAAGUUGUACAUUGAAAACAACAAAGGGAGGGACCCUCAUCCAAAGCAUAUGACUUGCUGAGUUAAUUGUUAAGUUCCUUUGAUGAUAAAAGCUGCAAUCUUCCAUAACUGGUUAGUAACUGAACGUAGCACUCAUCAAAGGUGUCGGUACUAACGCCUUUAUGCUUUGUACAUAAACACUGCAAAUUCACAUGGACAUAGUUGUAUAAAAAAGCAUGUUACUCACCAACUUUCAAUCCCGUGUCCUAAAUGCAUCACUCUUGGUCCUAGCGAAAGACCAAAGACACAGUGCACAUGUAAAGUUAACAUCUUGUGCAUUUUUAAACAACAUCGACCUGAAUACACUGCCUAACAAAUAGGUAGUUACUUCAAAAUUUGCAUUAAUUACUAUAAAAGUACACAUGAUUUUUGAAAAAAUAAUGUGUACUUCGCUUUUGUGCUUGUUACCAAAAAACAUGUUACUUAUUUCAUACUUACUAAUUCUUGAAAAUUAUGUUGCUAGUUUAUAUCGUCUCUUGCCACAUAUUAACUCCCACCUAUGUGUUGGUCCGUGUUAGCUCCCAAUCAACACACAGUCACUACUUCAUCAGAAGGUUGAAACACUUUCGUUUAUAUGCCAUCGUUCAAAUGUCUUCAUCUAACAAUGAGUGUGUUUGGAUACCCCAAUUAUCCCAAAUAAUAUUUCGCUUGCAUCAUAGAUACAUUUUUCAACACACAUUUUUAUAUUCCCAACCACCUUUUUAUCUCACAUACAUCACAUCAUAAAAAGUGCUACAGUAAUUAUUCCAAAUAAUAUUUCAAAUAAUACACUAACCAAACAAACUCAAUAUUGGUGGCAGAUCUACUGAGUUAAGGUACCAAUAUCGCCACUGUCACUGCGGAAAAAGGGCUAGUCUGAAGAUCGUGGAGUCACAAAAACUAACGAAGGGGUUGCUAUACUUCAGCUGUGAAGAAAAAGCUUGUGCUUUUUUUCGCUUCUUGUCAUCCAAUAGGGAGGAAUCAUGAGCAAAUUCAGACUAACUAUUGCCCUUCCUCACCUAAUCGACAAGCAAUAAGCAGAGAAAGCUCCUUCGAUAGUCCUGGAACAGUGCUCCAUGAAUCAACCUCUUUCCCGUAUCAUGUGCACCGAAUUUUACAAGAUAUUCAAUAAAUGAAAACCUUCAUGACGAUAUCGGUAGCAGUCGGCCUUCUGUUGCUACUAAUAGCAAUUUUUCACUGACACCACUUUAAAUUUUUCGACCCAUAUGAUGCGGACUUCGCUUGUAGUUUGUUGUAGAUGUAUCCUCUAUAGACAAAGUAGCUGACAUUCUUGUACUGUUGACUUUCCAUUUUGGCAGUUGAUCAGAAAGAUAGCGUAAGCAGUAGAUGCAGUAUAAUAGUUGAAUGAAGCUGGUGGAGUCACAUUGAAAAUUUUUUGUGAAGUUAUAUGAUUGCUCUUAUAUCUGAAAUCACUUGUGUUGUUCAAUUGUUCUGUGUUAAUGACUCCAAUAGCAUUGAAGCUAUUAGUUGUAUAAUGAUGUGUUGACCUUGGUCCCUAGCUUUUGAUGAUUACAAAACAAAUGAAUGUUGCUAACAUCUCCUCAAAGGCUUUUUCAGAAAUAAAAUAAAUCAGGUUCAAAGAUUAAGCACAUUUGAAAAAGAUAGAGUAUGUUAAACCUGUCGGACGCUCAAGAAGACAGUACCGGACGUCCGAUAAUCAUUGCACAACUUCGGACGCAUGCUUCCGACAUCCGAUAGGAUCCUUCGAAGUCGACAAAACUAUCGGACGCUAAAUAUGUCUCUACCAGACGUCCGAUAGAAACAAGAUAAUUUCUUAAAUCUCUUUGUUUGCUAUCGGAACACAAAAAGCUUGCACCGGACGUCCGAAAGAAUUGAAGAAAAUCUCUUAAACUCACUGCCUGCUGUCGAACGCAUAAAAUAGGGCUACCGGACGUCCAACACUCCAACGGCUAGUUUACUCUUCAGCUACUUUCUAUCCGUUGGAAGCUUUAAUAAGGCACUUUUUUGAUCCUAUAUGAAUAGUGACUGGUCAAAUAUUUCAAAUAACUUUUGCACAUUGAAGAUACAAAAGAUCUAGAGUGAUUUUAGUGAGAAAAUAUUCUUCAAAGAAGAUUUGUAGUCUUAGUGGUGUGAGGUUCAUUGUAAGUUUUUCAUUUAUGAGUGAAUACUUCAUGAGUGUAGCUCUGUGAGGGUUGUCCUGAGGGAUAGUAAAACGUCCUGACUUGACCGAGUGGAAUUCGGAGCAAGGAGGAGGUGAACCUUCCUUUGUACACAAGAGUGAUUGUAAUUCAUCAACUUGAAAUAGCUUGUUUGAAUUAACCUACAAGCUCAAGAGGAGUUGGGUAGUUAAUUGGUUUGCUAUUCUUUCCUUCUUAUUUACUUAUUGUUACGUUUGAAAUCUGUACUUUGUUUAUCUCUUCUACUCACAAGCACUUGUGCUUUCUCAUCAACUGCUCCAUUGUAUGGUCGCCUAGAAAAGAGGGUUGUUUUCGGGCCUAACAAUUGGUAUCAGAGUUUGGUCUCCUAGAAAUUAAGCUCAAUCGGCUUUGGAGUAAAGAUGACAACCAACAAUAUUAUAUUUUUUUAAGGACAUUCUGUCAUUAGAUCACCUAUGUUUAAUGGGUCAAAUUAUGUGAGUUGGAAAGAAAGAAUGAUUAUUUUUUUAUAAUCUAUUGAUAUUGAAUUGUGGUUUAUUAUUAGUGAAGGUCCAUAUGAUGCCUCUCUUAUAGAUGAAAAUGCUCAGAAAUCUAGAUCAAAAACAAGAAGUGAACUGACUGCUACGGAUAGAGCUCAUCUCACAUUAAAUGCAAAAUCCAUGAACGUGUUAUAUUGUGCUUUAGACUCAAAUGAAUCUAUUAGAGUCAAGGCUGCAAGUCAGUCAAGAAAAUUUGGGAUAAACUGAGAGAAAUUCAUGAAGGUAGUGAGAAUGUUAGAGAACAAAAGAAGUUCAUUCUAGUUACAAAGUAUGAAUUCUUCAAGAUGCAACCUCAUAAAAAUAUUGAUGAGAUGUAUUGUAGAUUCAAUGACCUCAUUAAGGAUUUGGAGGUGCUGGAAAAAGAAUACUCUCUAGAUGAGAAAAACAGAAAAAUUCUGAAUGCUUUAUCGAAGGAUUGGGAGAGUAAAGUGACUGCCAUUGAGGAAGCCAAAGAUCUAAAUACCUUGCCUAUUGAAUCUCUCAUUAAUUCACUGACUUCUUAUGAGUUAAAACUCAAGUCCAACGUGCAGGAAGAAGAAGACACAAAAGCGAGAAAGAAUAUUGCUCUGAAGGCUUCACAAGAUGAAGAUGAUACAGCCUCCGUGAGUGAAGAUGACAUGAAAGGUGAUGAUAGUAAUAUUGCACUCAUCACACGAGAUUUCAAAAGAAUACUCAACAAGAGGAGAUUCAGAAAAUGUGGACCUAGCAACUCCUUCCCGAAUCAGUCCAACAACUUGAGAAACAAAGGGAAGUUAGAGUUCAACAAAAAGUAAACUGAUAAGUGUUUUGAAUGCGGUCAACCUGGAUACUAUGCAAGUGAGUGUCCAGUGAUGAAGAAGAAAGAAGGAAGAAAAUCAAGAUUCAACAAAUUUCAAAUCACAUGGAAUGAGUGCAACUCUGAUGGUGAAAUUGAAGAGGAUGAAGAAUCUGCUCAAUUGGUUUUUAUGGCUAUUGGAAAUGAUGAGGUAACAUCUUGUAACUCUCAAUUUGAAAGUGAUGAUGAAAGUGAUGAUGAUCUUGAAUCUUUCAUUAUAAAAUUGCAUGAUAGUUUAAAAGAAUUCUAUUCUAGAAACAAUGAGUUAAAACAGAAAAUUAGUUUUUUGUUUCGAAAUAAUGCAAAUCUUUUUCAACAAAAUAAAAAGUUGAAAGCUGAAAAUGAUUACUUCAAAAAGAGUGAGACCGCUUUACACUUUGAGCUUGAUAGAAAAAUAAAGCUUUGUGAAUUGUUCAAAAAGGAACAAGGUAUUUGAAAAGAAGAAUGGAUGGUCUAAAUAAGUUGUUUAAACACAAGAAACAAGUCUGUUUUCAAAAGAAUAAGUUGAAUUCUAAUUCCAACAAAUUUGCUAUUUAUAAGAGAAGACAAGUAAGAUUUAUUAAACCUGUUCAUGUAAAUAACUCCUUGAUUAUGUGUAAUUUCUGUUGUCAAAAAGGUCACAUGAAAAGUGAUUGCUAUGUGAGAAAAAAUAUUAAAAAAGGCAUGAAAUGCAUGUGGAUAGUUAGACAUGAUACUAACUCUAACAAGUAGGAGAUAUUUGUAAGAUUGAUGAGAUUCUUGUUCAUAAUACUUUUUUUGUAAUUCUCUUUUGAUGUUUCUGAUUUUUUGAACUGAGUUUUUAUUGAUUUUUUACUGAAUUUAUAUGAUGUCAAAAAGAGAGAAAAAAGUAUAAUGCUGAUUUCAUGAUGAUUUGUUGUGAUUGCUGUCAUUUCUCUGUUUUUAUUUAGAUUAUUGGAUUCUCUAUUAUUGUUGCUGAUUUUUGGUAGCUGGUUCUUAUGAUGACAAAAAAGGGGAGAAAUGGAUACUAUGUGUAAGGGGGAGUUAUUCUGAAAUUAUAAAUUUAAAUGCAUUGUGUGAGGGGGAGCUUAUGCUUAUAUGCUCAAUUUUUUUCUUUCUUCCAUCCAUUGUUUUGUCAUCAUCAAAAAAGGGGAGAAUGUUGACCUUGGUCCCUAGCUUUUGAUGAUUACAAAACAAAUGGAUGUUGCUAACAUGUCCUCAAAGGCUUUUUCAGAAAUGAAACAAAUCAAGUUCAAAGAUUAAAUACAUUUGAAAAAGACAGAGUAUACUGAACCUGUCGGACGCUCAAGAAGACAGUAUCGGACGUCCGAUAAUCAUUACACAACUUCGAACGCAUGCUUCGGACGUCCGAUAGGAUCCUUCGAAGUCGACAAAACUAUCGGACGCUGAAUAUGUCUCUACCGGACGUCCGAUAGAAAUAAGAUAAUUUCUCAAAUCUCUUUGUUUGCUGUCGGACACACAAAAGGCUUGCACCGGACGUCCGAAAGAAUUGAAGAAAAUCUCUUAAAGUCACUGCCUGCUGUCGGACGCAUAAAACAGGGCAAUCGGACGUCCGACACUCCAACGGCUAGUUGACUUUUCAGCUACUUUCUAUCCGUUGGAAGCUUUAAUGAGGCACUUUCUUGAUCCUAUAUGAAUAGUGGCUGGUCAGAUACUUCAAAUAACUUUUGCACACUGAAGAUACAAAAGAUCUAGAGUGAUUUUAGUGAGAAAAUACUCUUCAAAAAAGAUUUGUAGUCUUAGUGGUGUGAGGUUCAUUGUAAGCUUUUCAUUUGUAAGUGAAUACUUCAUGAGUGUAGCUCUGUGAGGGUUGUCCUGAGGGAUAGUAAAACGUCCUGACUUGACCGAGUGGAGUUCGGGGCAAGGAGGAGGUGAACCUUCCUUUGUACAGAAGAGUGAUUGUAAUUCAUCAAAUUGAAAUAGUUUGUUUGAAUUAACCUACAAGCUCAAGAGGAGUUAGGUAGUUAAUUGAUUUGCUAUUCUUUCCUUCUUAUUUACUUAUUGUUACGUUUGAAAUCUGUACUUUGUUUAUCUCUUCUACUCACAAGCACUUGUGCUUUCUCAUCAAUUGCUCCAUUGUGUGGUCGCCUAGAAAAGAAGGUUGUUUUCGGGCCUAACAUGAUGCACGAAUGGUUACCUUAAUUGUAUAUUGUUACAAUUCGUACGUUCUUACUUACAGCUUUGUUCGUUCUAAGUUACAACAUUCAUAAAAUUAAAGGUCGAAUUGGAAAUCUCUAAUAGAGCAGAAAGGGCAGAAGGAGGUGCUCACAGAUGUAGUAAAUUUGGGUCAUAAAAUGACCAAGGGCAUUCAGUUUUACACAUCUGACUUUGGGCCAAGAAACUGACCUUCAUUGUGAGGUUUUGUGCAAAACGUGUUGAGUAUCACUGUGUAUGCACAUUGUGAAAAGUAAGGUCACUGAUGUGUAACUUUGUAUUCACACCGGUACCCUUAAUGUUGGAGCACAGGUCAUUUCAUGAUAAAAGCUGCAAAAUUUGUUUUAUUGUUUCAUGCUGAUUAACAACAUGACGUAACACUUAUCAAGAUUAUCGGUACUAAAAAUAUAGUCCAAUAUUUUUUCGAUAUGAUUCACAAACUGUUCAUAUAUUGUUACAAUUCGUACGUUCUUACUUACCGCUUUGUUUGUUUUGAGUUACAACAUUCAUAAAAUUAAAGGUCGAAUUGGAAAUCUCUACUAGAGCAUUGGAGCAGAAAGAGGUGCGAAUCGCUUACAGAGGUAGUAAAUUUGGGUCAUAAACUAACCAAGGCCAUAGAGUGUUACACAUCUGACUCUGAGCCAAGAAACUAUUGCAGAAGGUUUCUUACUUACGUGUAGAGUGUAACUGUAUAUGCACAUAGUGAAAAAGUAAGGUCACUGAUAUGUAACUCUAUAUGUACAUGACCCUUAAUGUUGGUGUACUGGUAAUUUCAUCAUAAAAUUUGCAAAAAUGUUACGGAAGUCUGAACUGAAUUGACAUAAUUCGCCAGCUGCAUAUGACUCUAUAGCUUCCACUGCCGUGAUGAAAUUGUUGGCCUGGAAUGCAUUGGCCUUUGAUAUUUUAGCACAUUGUGAGGGUCCUGCGGACUAUGAAAGGGCGCCGCAUCAGUUGUAUAUCCCUCAACAGCAAAACUUUGUUCGUCCCCCUUUUAUUAUUGUUAACACUUUCCAUUGUAUUCCACUUCGCACUUCCUAUUUCAUUCUACUGAAGGGUGGCAAUGGAACCGAAUAUAAAAUUUAUUAUUAGUAGUCUUCAACCCCCCUUUAACUUUAAUUGCAGUGUCAUCAAUAGAGUGUUCACACAGAAACCAAGUUCUUGGGCGCCAAAUAGCGGCCAAUGGGUUGCAUGAUGUUCGAGAAGAUUUCGCUAAUUUAAUGAGAUAUUCGAGAAGGCCUCGCUACAUCAAUUGUUUUGGGGUUCGAAACGAUCAUCUCUAUAUUCUCAUUAGACACUUAAUAAAGUCUCUAAGAAAUUUAAUGUGUUGGGGGGAGGAAUUAUUGUUUGCGCCAAGGGCAAUUGCACAAACAAGAGAAGAGGAAAGGUUCAUCGAAUGUUAACUAGUUGUAGUAUCACUAGUUGUAAUAUCGGGGAAUAUCACUAGUCGUAAAAUCACUAGUUUUAACUAGAGAAGAUGAAAAGCUGCCGAUUGCAAAUUCGUUAGUUGUAUUGAAUUGUGACAUACACCUAACUAGUUGUAACUCAAUCUGUACAUCUGGUUAUUACUAUUUGUUGCAUUUUAAAUAUUAGUUACGCCACUUUCAAAUUAGUUGUCCCAACAAAGUAUCAUGUUCUUCUGCGAAACUGUUACUUGGCAUGUGGUCGUAUGGAACCAAUCCGAGACACCAAUUGUAACUUCAUUUCCAUACUAAAUGAGAGUUUGAAGUGCCUGUAAUACUAUCUGUAAUACUCAUUUCCGUUAAUACAUAGGCGUGACGAUACAAAGUUGUACAUAGAGAUAAAUUCUGGAUUACUUGGAUGUUUAUGGAUUUUGUUUUUGUUUAUGUGGCCAUAUUAGGGAUGAAGUUUGCGGCUCUUUGUACCAUACUCUGUAUUUCUGCAUGUGGCCAUGAAAUGGGAUUACCCUAAACAUCUUUCUGUCCUACAAAUGGCUCACAGAGGUAGUAAAUUUGGGUCAUAAACUGACAAGGGUAUAGUGUGUUACACAUCUGACUUUGGGCCAAUAAACUGAUGCAGAAGGUUUUGUGCAACAGUUGUAGAGUGUUACUGUGUAUGACAUAGUGUAAGUUAAUUUCAACGAUGUGCAACUCUGUAUGCACGUGACCCACAAUGUUGGUAUACAGGUCAUUUCAUGAUAAAAGUUGCAAAUUUUUUUUAUUGUCUGCAAUUGAUUACCAACGUGACGUAACACUUAUCAGUAUUGUCAGUACUAAAAAUUUCACGCUUUGUACAUAAGUAUUCUGAAUUGACAUAGUGCAGGAGCUACAUGUGACUUUACAAUGUCUGGUACUGCCGUGAAGAAAUGCCAUUCUCUGGUAUGCAUUGGCCCCUGAUAUUUUAACGCAUUAGAGGCUCCUACGGACUAUAAAAGGGCGCGGUUGUAGUAGUAUAUCUCUCGACCACAAAAAAUUUUUCAUCCACCUUUCAUUGCUGUUAACACUUUCCAUUUCAUUCCAUUUCACACUUCCCAUUUCAUUCUACUAAAGGGUGGCAAUGGACCCGUGUAUGAAAUUUAUUUGUAGUAAUCUUCAACUCCCCUCCAACUUCAACUACAGUGUUAUCAAUAGAGUGUUCACACAGAAACCAAGUUCUUGGGAGCCAAAUAGCAGCCAAUGGAUUGCAUGAUGUUCGAGAAGAUCUUACUAAUUUAAUGAGAUGUUCGAGAAAGUCUCGCUACACCAAUUGUUUUGGGGUUCGAAUCGACCAUCUUUAUAUUCUCAUUAGACACUUAAUCAACUGUCUAAGAAAUUUAAUGUGUCGAGGGGAGGAAAUUUUGGCUGUGACAAGUGCAAUGGCACAAACAAGAGAAUGACAAAGGUUCAUCGUAUUUUAACUAGUUGUUAUAUCACUAGUUGUAACACAUUGUAAUAUCACUAGCCGUAAUAAAACUCAAUUGUAAUAUUACAAGUUGUGAUAUGACAAACUGUUUGUAUCUAGUUAUAAUUCAUAUGUUAUUAGUUACAACUUUGUACUUCCUUAGUUACAACGUUCAAAGUUUGAGAUCCAAGACAUACCUAACACUCAGUCCUCUCACGUGUGUGAGGACCUGAAAAUUUUCUUAUUUUAUCGUAUAUUACUAGCUUAUUUAAAUAUUUAUUCACCCAUUUUCUAUGAAUAAUUUAUUUCAACCAUUUUAAAUCCAUUUACGCGAAACAAUGUUUCACUUAUGUUUUUUGUUUCGUUAGAAAAUUUUAUUUUUCGGAGGCUCGUUCGGUAAGAAAUAACGAGUACACAUUUUUCAAGGUAAAUUCGAUCCGAAAGUGCAUUAGUCUUGGAGAAUUAAAAAUGAAUAAUAAUAGGCUAAGAAAAUUUAAUUGAGGCAUUAGGGGUGAAUGAGUUCAAAAAAAAUUUUCACUUUAUCGCGCGCGAAUCGAAAAUUCACAUAUAUCGAGUCGAAACGGCUAAGUGGAGAUUAAAAAACUUAUUCUAGACUAUUAAAAGUGAAUAAUUGUAAUGUUAAAGGAAGUAUAUUAAAGGUAUAGUGCACAAGUGAAAUCAACCCGAGAGAAAAUGGAUAAGAAACGCGCACUCACGAAACUUUUGGUAGUUGACUUUUGAGACAGACUUUGGCCCCAAGUUUCCAAGCUUCCAAGGGAAGCUUUAGUUAUCAGCAACCGUCUCUCUCUCUUCUCAUUCUUGCUGGCCGAAAGCUUCCAAGGGAAGAAGGAGAAGAGCCUCUCUUCAUUUCACCUCAUUUGAGCUUCCAUUUUCACUCAAAUCUUUCACACAAACUCACAAAUACUUGGAGAUUCACUUACUCUUGGUGGAGAACCUCAUCUUGCUGGUUUUCUUAGGAGUUUUUGGGACCAAAAAUUUCUGAUUUUACUCCAAAGUGUAGGAGGUAAUCAUCCGAUAACUUAAUCUUAACUUUAGUGGGAUUAUUUCUGCUAGGAAGUUUGUAGCUUCAUGGUUAUUGUUGUGGUUUGAGUUUAAAGGUUGGAGUGGGUUCUACGAAAUCCCACAAUGGAUAUAUUGGACUGAUGUGGUGAUAAUGAAUGUUGUUUGAGGUAAUUAUGUGUUAUACAAGAGGAUAUUAGUUAGAAAAGUGAAAGGAAAACCGAAGGAAAUUUUCGUAGGGAGCUGACCGAAUUCUGUCCUAUUAUUUCUGUGCACUUGGAUCGAAUUUUUGGUGAUCAAAUGAUUGUAAAACUGAUAUAGAUAUGUUGUACAGGAUGUGUGGAAAGUUUCCACCAAAAAUAAUGUGAUUUGGUUGAGGAAAAACUGAGUUUUGGACAAGAACAAAUCUGCAAAAUCGUAUAGUAGGGAUCUCUGGCAGUAAUUUUUGAACGAACAUAACUCUCUGCUUAGGUGUCAAAAUCAAGUGCCGUUUGUAGCAUUUGAAAUUAAACACCUAUAAUUUUCUAACAAUAUAAAAUUCAACUUCUAAUUCGAACUGAGUCAUCUGUAGUGAUUGAUCCAAUUCGGUUGUCCUGCUCUGUCAGUCCAACCGAGAGGAAGUUAGAAACUGCAAUUUGUGGCUCCGUUUUCUCUCAUUUUUAAAUUGAAUUUCAAAAUGAUUUGUUUUGAUGAAAUGUAGUCCUAUAAUUCUAGUUUCCAAUGCCAUCAACCACACCCAAUUUCAAGUUGUAUUGAGUGAGAUUUAGCCCAAUUCCCGAACUGUACCAAAGAUGGAAAACCCUAAUUUUGGCUAGGCGAAUGGUCUAGCUUGACUUGGGACAUGUUGACUUGAAAAUUUUGGUGUCAAUCACCUAUCAAAUGUAUAUUAAUGUUUCUUGGGUCUUGGUUUCACAAAUGAACCAAAUUGGACUGAUUUCAUGAUGCGAAGUGUUUGAAAAGGAAAGAGAAGCUUGAGUUGGCAGAUUUGCUUUGAAAAUUUCACAAAUUUCAGUCAUUUUGUUAACUGCCUUCCCACUUGAGUUUUUGCAUGAAAUUUGGUAGAGAUAUAGUUAAUAUAUGGAAGAUUUAGUGUACUAAAUUUGGUAUAUUUUCAAUUCCAAUUCGAUGGCCAAAUAAUACUUCAAAGAUAGCCUUUCAAAUCUGGAAAAUGACUGAACAGUUUAUAAAAUGCGACCAAUUUUGAGCUGCUAUAUCUCAAUGCUCAAAACUCCGAUUUUAGUUCUGUUUUUUGUGUUUUAAACCUUGGUUGGAAUUCUAAUUGAGUUACAAAUUUCAUAGGCUAGUUCACUUUCUGUGAAUUUUUCUGAAUUUCCAAAAUUUGUCGGAAACUAGGACUGAAACUGUCUUGUAGUACGAAUCAGCCAAUUUAAGCUGAAAUUUGAGUGUCUUCCAUUUAGAAUCUUGGAAAAGUGUCUUUUAGAAACUUUUAGUACUUUGAAACAAGAUUUCCGAAGGUAUAAAAUUUUCCAAUUUUGGACCUACGGAGUGCAAGAUAUGAUUUUUCAAAGAUUGCGCCUUAAAACUGAAAUUUUCGAACUUGAUGAGAAAUGAGUUUUUGGAAACUUUUCUCUACCCUUUGAUAAUGAUUGAUCGUUUUAAACUUGAUUUCGUGAAGGAAAUUAGUUUUUCUUGUGCUAAUAAAUCCUCACUUUUGAACCUUUGUUUUGAGUGGUUAAGGUUCGUGUUUGAGGUAUCAACUAGUCAAAUUAAGUGUGCCUUCUUUCUUGAUUAAUACGUGAUUAUGAGUGAGAAAUAUUUGUUAAUUGUCCAGGCGCUCAAGGAGAUUUCGAAGGAAAUCUCGGUGCGGACACCUAAAGCUUUGUUUGCUCACUUAUUUUGAAUCGGUGAGUGUCAAGUGCAUGACUUGUUGUGUUUACUUGAUUUAUCUGCUUAUAUACGUGAACAUCACUUGAUGAGACGAGUGUGUACUUUAUCGCACUCGCUCUCUUUUACUCAAACUUUACUUGCAUUAAACUUGAUUUUCAAAGUCGAUUGGAGUGAAUCUCGUCAGCAAAAUAUACUCGUUUACGUGUGCAAGUCGUGUUGUCGUGUGUGUCGUGUUGUCGAGUGGAGUGAAUCUUCUCGAUUUAUGGGGACGCCCAAUUCUCUUAGCCAAUCUUGCAACUCGAGCUAGCAUGGGUUUGGUGUAACGCCCCUACUUCUCCCAGGGGCGAACCCAAGGGUAUCCGCGUGAUGCCUGCCCAACUCUCGCCAGGACUCGGUACAAAUUUAAUUCAAACUUAAGAAUAACCAAUCGAUACUAAAAGUCGAAGAUAUAAAGGUAGGUCAAUUCCUUAAUAAUCGUUCAAGUCUUACAUCAUAAGCUACCAAAAUAUCUUACAUUCCCAAAAAUAUACAACUUUCAAAAGUUGUCUAAACAAAUACAUUCAAAAUUCUAAUCAAAAGGGCCAUCAAGUUGACCUCUCCAUAAUUGCCUCCAUUUUGACUCCUGUUAAGAAAAACAAAACUAAUGGGAUGAGCUGACGGUCAGUGAGGCCAAGAAAAUCAUGCAAGCAGGUAAUUCAAGUAGCAAUAAAGCUGGUACGAGAGAUAAAACUAUAACAUUCAAGCAAUUUCCGAAUAUUCACAAAACACAUUCAAGAAGGAUACGGGAGCUCUUAAGAGCUCAUUUCCACUUGCUUUGCCAAAAUUCAAUCCAGUAGUUCGUAGAACUUUACUUAUUCCAUUUAGGAUUCUGAGUCGAAUGAGAGGUAUCUCCCACCCGAACUGGUGUGGUACAUACUAUCGUUCGGCGAUCGAUUAUACGUUUAUGGUUCUGAGUCGAAUGAGAGGUACCUCCCACUCAAAUCGGUGUGGUACAUACUAUCGCUCAGUAGUUGAUGAGAUAUCGCUCCAAUCGACUUAUGCUUUGCUUAUAGUUCUGAGUCAAAUGAGAGGUACCUCCCACCCAAAUUGGUGUGGUACAUACUAUCGCCCAAUAGUCGAUGAGACAUCGCUCCAAUCGACUUAAGAUGGUUUAUAGUUUUCAGACGACAUGAGAGGUACCUCCCAUCCGGAUCGGUGUGGUACAUGCUAUCGCUCAGAGAACCGAUCAUACGAUUAUAAUUAUAAGGGUUGAUGACAUUCAGUCCAAUCGACAAAUACCAUUAUAGGCCGAUGAGCACACUCCAAUCAGCAGUCAUACAGUUCAAUUAUAAAUCGAGCAACUUCACUCCAACGACAUAUACAGCCAUAGCAUAAAAUGCAAUUCAAUUCAGGCAAUUCAAUUACAAUUCAUUUUAUUGAGAACGCAUCCGGAUCGGUGUGGUACAUGCUAUCGCUCAGAGAACCGAUCAUACGAUUAUAAUUAUAAGGGUUGAUGACAUUCAGUCCAAUCGACAAAUACCAUUAUAGGCUGAUGAGCACGCUCCAAUCAGCAGUCACACAGUUCAAUUAUGAAUCGAGCAAAUUCACUCCAACGACAUAUACAGCCAUAGCAUAAAAUGCAAUUCAAUUCAGGCAAUUCAAUUACAAUUCAUUUUAUUGAGAACGCAUCCGGAUCGGUGUGGUACAUGCUAUCGCUCAGAGAACCGAUCAUACGAUUAUAAUUAUAAGGGUUGAUGACAUUCAGUCCAAUCGACAAAUACCAUUAUAGGCUGAUGAGCACGCUCCAAUCAGCAGUCACACAGUUCAAUUAUGAAUCGAGCAAAUUCACUCCAACGACAUAUACAGCCAUAGCAUAAAAUGCAAUUCAAUUCAGGCAAUUCAAUUACAAUUCAUUUUAUUGAGAACGCAUCCGGAUCGGUGUGGUACAUGCUAUCGCUCAGAGAACCGAUCAUACGAUUAUAAUUAUAAGGGUUGAUGACAUUCAGUCCAAUCGACAAAUACCAUUAUAGGCCGAUGAGCACGCUCCAAUCAGCAGUCAUACAGUUCAAUUAUGAAUCGAGCAAAUUCACUCCAACGACAUAUACAGCCAUAGCAUAAAAUGCAAUUCAAUUCAGGCAAUUCAAUUACAAUUCAUUUUAUUGAGAACGCAUUCAAUAAAGUACACCCUCGACUCAGCAGUUAUAACCCAUCCAUUUCAUAAUGAGCAAUUCACAUAAAUUCCAAAUAUUCAUGCACUUGACACUCACCAAGUAAAUCAAGAAGCAAGUACAAGUGUUUGUUUUAAGCGUCUCCCGUGAAAUCCUCUUGAAGGUCCUCUUGAAUGCCUGAGCAAUUAAUAAUGAACUAUCACUUAUAAAUCCCAAUAAUCAAGGAAGAUUACACAUUUGUACAUUCAAAGAAAAUUUCACGAAAAUGAGACUUAAUUACUCGUAAAUCGAGACUCAAAAGCGGGGAUUUAAAAUACAAGAAAAAUCUGAUUUUCAUCUUUGAAAUCAACUGUAAAACGAUCAAGUGAUAUCGAAGGAAAAAGAUGAGUUUGAAAACCCCCAUUUCCUUUAAGUUAGGAAUUUUCAGAUUUGCUACACCUAAUUUGAAAAAUCGUAUCUUACUCUCUAUAAGUCCAAAAUUUGAAAACUUGAUACCGUUGAAAAAUAAUUUCAAAGUACUAAAAGUUCCUAGAAGACACCUUUCCAUGAUUCCAAAUGGAAAACAUUCAAAAUUUGGCUCAAAGUGGCUGUUUUGGAAUGCCAAGAUAGAUUUGGGUAGAUUUUCGGCAAAGUUUGGAAAUUCGGAAAAAUUCAUACAAUGCGAACUAGCAUCUGAAAUUUGGCAGUCAAUUAGAGUUACAAUCAAAGUUUUCAACACAAUAAGUGGAAUAAGAAUUGGAGUUUUGAGAACCAAGAUAUAAUGGCUCAAAGUCACUGAAAUUUCCUUCUAAAACAGGGGUUUUCCAGGUUUAAGACUUGAGCUUUGGUACUUUGGUUGAGCAUCUAAAAGGUCUCGAAAUGGCACCAAAUUUUGACAGUAUUACACUACCAUAUGAGGGUUAUUCCACUGUAAAUAUUCAUGCAAAAAUCCACAUGGAAAGUCAGUUAACCAAGUCAUUAAAACUCCAUGAAUUUCCAAGGCAAAACUGUCUUGUAGUUCCGUUUUCCUUUUUCCAAACGUUUGGCCAACAAAAACAUCUUAAAUAUGAUUCAUUUGUAUAGAAAAUAUCUAAGAAACAUCCAAAAUACAUUUGGUAGGUGAUUAACAUCAAGAAUUUCAAAACAACAAGUCCCAAUCAAGAUUUAGGCAUUUACUAGUCAAAAAGAGGGUUUUCAACCACUGAAUCAGUUUCGAACUUUGGCCACAACUCACUCAAUUCAACUUGAAAUUGAGUGUGGUUGGUGGCAUUGGAAAAUACAUUCAAAAGGCUACAAUUUCAUAGAAAGAAUCAUUUUAAAAAUCUGUCCACAACUAGCUCAUAUUUGAGCAUCAAAUUGCUGCCCAAAACAGAGCUUCCAGUACAGACGUGAAAUAGAACAAGCAAAUUUACAAGGUUGGUACGGCUAGCUCAGGUGGAAUCAGAGCAUGAAUUUUAUACCGUUAGAAAACUAGAAGUGUCUAUUUUCUAAUGCCACACACGGCACUUGAUUUCAAUGUUAGAGUAAAAAGUUAUAACUAUUUGAAAAACACUGCCAGAGCAAUACGGGAAAAAUUCCAGUUUUGAUGAACUUUCGAAAUCAUAACAUUUGGCCAACCAAAUCACGUAAUUUUUUGUGGAAACCUUCCACACAGCCCGUGAAACAUAUAUACAUUAUAAACAAGUUGAUUUAAUCUCAAAACAAUACUCUAAGGGUCACGGUAUUGACAGGGGCAGAAACGGAAAAAUUUCCCUUUUCACUUCCUUUGAGUUUCCAUCCACAAUAUCACUUUUUUCUACUAAAUUAAGCACCAAUCCAACAUUAAUAACAUCAAAGCUCAUCAAAUCAGUCCAUCAAGCUAUAGUGGGAGUUCAUAGAGCUCACUCACCAAUUUUCAACAAUUUAAAGCUACCCAUGUGAAACUAUGAACUCAUAAGUGCAAGAUAUCUUUUAUAAACCAAGAAUUGAAAGGUUGAUUGUUGAUUACCUUUGUUAGUGACUCAAGCAGGAAUUUUCGGCCCUUGAUAGCUAAAGAAAACCGUGGAAAUCAAGUUCUUUUCCUAGCUUAGGUUGUUCACCAAGUGUGUAGCAAGUUGUACGUAAAAUUUGAGGUGAUUUGGUGAAGAUUUGAAGGUGAAAUGAAGAAGAAAUGUGGGCUGUUUUUCUUCCUCCUUUAGCCGCUGGAAUGAGAGAGAGAAAGGAGAGUGUUUGGGCUGCAAUGAAGCUUCCUUGAGAAGCUUUAAUGUGUGGUUCAAAAUUGUGCAAAAGUCAACUCUCUCCCCACGUGCGCACACGCGUUUUCCGUGCUCGAUUCCUCUCGAUUUUAUUUCACUAAUACACUAAACCUCUAAUGUACUUUCAUUCAUACUAUUAUUAUUCACUCUUAAUGGUCUAAAAAUAAGGGUUUAAAGUCCCUCAAUUAAUCACGCGCAUAAAAACGCGUAGUACCAAUUUGUGCGCGAUAAAGUGAAAUCUUCAAGAAUUUCUUAUAACGAUAGUGUCACUAACUAAUACUUGAUUAUUUAAACAUAAAAAUACCUAUUUUAAAACUAAUGUACAAGUCUCCAAUUCCAAGCUUAUUGUAUUCUCGAAUCGAUUAUUGUCUCCAAACGCGUAUUCACUAUUCUAGCUAAACGAGCUUUCCAAAAAUUAAUUUUUAAAACAAGUCACUUUAAAAAUAUAAGUAAGCUAUAGUUCCAUGUAAUUAGGUCUAAAAAGGUUAGAAUAAAAUAUUCGAAGUGAACGGGCAUUUAAAUAUUUAAAUGGGCUAGUAAUAGGGGUUUAAAAUAGAAAAUUUUGUGAGUUCUCGCAUGAGUGUAGUAUUACUUUCUCAAAUCUUCAAUAAAUUUACAUCAGCGCGUCUUUCGAAAAACUAUCGACACGCGAGGGGUAAGUACUUAAUUAGAACUUAUUCAUCUUUAAUUUCUCAAUUAACUUUUCUUAAUCUACUAUUGAUCAUUUUUAAUUUUUUCAAGAUAAUUACACUCUCGAAUAGAAUAUCACCUCGAAACACAUGUACUCAUUAUUUCUCAUCUAAACGAACCUCCAAAAAUUAAAUUUGCUAACGGGACGUUUCAAAAACAUAAGGAAGACAUUGUUCCAUAUGAAUGGACUUAAAAUGGUUGAAAUAAAUUAUUUGGAGAAAAUAGGUGAAUAAAUAUUUAAAUAAACUAAUAAUAUUCAAUAAAAAUAAGAAAUUUUUCGGGUCCUCACAUCCUCCCCUCCUUAAAAAGAAUUUCGUCCUCGAAAUUCAUACCUUGAUUUAUAAAUAACCCCAAAUAUUUUCUCCUCCCGUGACCAAUUUUCAUCACUCUUAAUUCUCCCAUUCAAAAUUCACACUUAUUAAAUUUAACUAUUCUCAGGUGUCAUUCAUAAUCUUAUUACAGGUCUAGAGGUGCGGAACAAUAAUUAAAUAUAUAUAUGUCGUAAAAUCAAUUAAAACAAGGUAGACUUUCCAUACAUGAUGAAAGAUCAUAAUAGUUACAUCGAGUUAGGAUAAUUUCAUCAAACCAUUUCAAAAGAAAAGGGAAAACAACAAGAUCAAAACAUGCUAAAUCGCAAUAUACCACAAAAGGAUGUCAUCCCCUAUACAAAAGAUUAUAACCUCUAAAAGUGCCAAUCUAUGUUAGGGCAAAACCACAAUCCCUAUUUGUCGAGUGGAGUCAGAUUCACCCCUACUCGUAGAGUUUCCACUAUUGGAACCCCUCUUACAAUCACCGGCGUUAAUUAUUUCUUCCGGCACUCGAUUGAUUUGCAGUGGAUUUAGCAGGUUGUUGAGAAUUUCCUUCUCCCUUAGAAGUUUUAGGGCAAUUCGAAAACUUAUGUUCGGUACUACCGUACCUUAGACAUUUUCCUUGUUUUCUCCAGCACUCGGUUUCAGUGUGGUUAAUCUUGCCACAGUAUCCACAAGUUACAUUAGGAGUCAUAGCAUGACUAGUUUGGGAUUUUCCCUUUUGUCGACCUCACCUACUCUGAUUUCCUUUUGGCGGGGCUUCGCUUGAUGGAGUUUCUUCGGAUUUUUCAUGCAUUUUCUCUCCUCCAACAUCUUUUUCCAUAUUAAGGGGUUGAGUAGACUUUUCGGACGGUUUAGGGAUAUCACUUGGGUUACCCCUCUUUCUAACAUUAAAAGUCUUAGAUUGAGACUUAACAUUUUCUACUCUCUGUGUCUUAUCCAAGACAUCCGUAAAAGUGGUAAUCUGAGCAGCUGUUAGGGAUUCUUGAAUUUCUACAUUUAACCCCUGAAUAAACCUCCUUAUCAUUUUCUGUUCAGUGAGUACAAGCUCAGGGGCAAAUUUGAAAAGUUUGGUAAACCACUCCUCAUACUCAACCACACUUAAUAACCCUUGUUUUAACUUAAUAAAGUCGUCCUCCCUCUUUUCUUGUAUAAUUGGCGGAAGGAAUUUGACAUUAAACUCCCUCUCAAAGUUUACCCAAGUCCAAGGGGUUUGUUUUCUUUUCCACUUUGCACUAACAAUAUUCCAUCACGAGCGUGCCGCCCCCCCCCUUAAAUUGAAAAAUGGCAAAAUUCACUUGCCUUUCCUCGGUAUAAUCUAAAGCAGCAAAAAUAUCAACCAUCCUUUCAAACCAAUUUUUCGCUACCUCGGGAUCAGACCCUCCAUGGAACUUAGGUGGAGCGAACUUCAAGAAUCGCUCUAGGGCUCUAUCCUCGCCCCUUUCUUGGUUCUUAGAUUGGUUGACUGGUUCAGGUCCCUGGCGCUCAGCUAAGCGCUCGAGAAUAUCGGUCAUGCAGUUAAUGGCCGCAGCCACUUGGUCACCCUCUUCAUUUCUAGGAUUUUGGUUUGGUCUAGUCGCGCAUCCCUCACUUCUCUCAGGAGUGUGGGAUUGCCGAAACCCACGCCCCACGCCCCCAUCCACGUCCUGGCCGAUCCAUUUAGUUAGAUUCUAAACGCAUAAUAAAAGUGAAAAAUAUACGCGCAUGAAUUGAAAAACAUGUACAUAUUGCAAGAACACUUUAAAUCGAAGCAUAGCUAUUUGUAUAAGUUAGAAGUCAUAUCACAUGUCAAUGUGCAUACAACGAGUUAAUAGUAUCAAAUACAUGUCAUAGGCAACUAAGUGCCACAAAUAUAGGAGUGCAUGUAGGCAAAAUAUAGAAAGCCUCACGGCGAGUACCACCCCUACUAUAUUAGGCAGGAUCAAAAGAAAAAUCAUAAGCCUAGUUAGGGACAAAACUAGAAGAAUCCAUGAUACCAAACCACAUCAUUCAAAUGAUUAUAAACUCCAAAUUGCAUCCAAAAGCCUGAGCUACUUCCUAAAUUCUCAGCCUCCUCACUAGAUUCAAGGUGAAAGUUCUUAUACAAGUUAGGGUAAUAAGUCAAACCAAAUGGAAUGCAAAAGAUGUCUCAUUUUCAAGUUCAAAGUGGAGCCCAAAAUUGUUCAAAUGGUUCAACUUUUCCUUCGAAAAGUUCGGCAAGCAAAAUAAUGGAGAAAGCAAGGUUCCUAACCCUUAAACUCACCAAAUGGUUAUUUAAAUUUCCUAAUAUGGAUUCACCUCCAACCUAACUUAAAGAGUAAAGUCUUAUAGCAUUUCAUGAGCAAAAAUGGUGCUACAACCUCAAGCACCAAGAUCGCAUUGCACACAAUACACAAUCAAAACCCACAGCCCGGCAUCCUAAACUUUUAAGGCAAGGACACUCUACAAAGAUCUGAAACCUAAACUCUGAUACCAACUGUGACGCCCCCACUUCUCCCAGGGGCGAACCAAAGGGUAUCCGCGGGACGCCUGCCCAACUCUCGCCAGGAUUUGGUACAAAUUCAAUUCAAACUUAAGAAUAACCAAUCGAUACUAAAAGUUAAAGAUAUAAAGCUAUGUCAAUUCCUUAAUAAUCGUUCAAGUCUUACAUCAUAAACUAUCAAAAUAUCUUACAUUCCCAAAAUAUAUAAUUUCCAAAAGUUGUCUAAACAAAUACAUUCAAAAUUCUAAUCAAAAGGGCCAUCAAGUUGACCUCUCCAUAAUUCCCUCCAUUUUGACUCCUGUUAAGGAAAACAAAACUAAUGGGAUGAGUUGACGCUCAGUGAGGCCAAGAAAAUCAUGCAAGCAGGUAAUUCAAGUAGCAAUAAACCUGGUACAAGAGAUAAAACUAUAACAUUCAAGCAAUUCUCGAAUAUUCACAAACACAUUCAAGAAGGAAAUGGGAGCUCUUAGGAGUUCAUUUCCACUUGCUUUGCCAAAAUUCAAUCCAAUAGUCCGUAGAACUUUACUUAUUCCAUUUAUAAUUCUGAGUCGAAUGAGAGGUACCUCCCAUCCGAACCGGUGUGGUAUAUACUAUCGCUCGGUGGUCGAUUAUACAUUUAUGGUUCUGAGUCGAAUGAGAGGUACCUCCCACCCGAAUCGGUGUAGUACAUACUAUCGCUCAGUGAUCGAUAAGACAUCUCUCCAAUUGACUUAUGCUUUGCUUAUAGUUCUGAGUCGAACGAGAGGUACCUCCCAUCCAAAUUGGUGUGGUACAUACUAUCACCCAAUAGUCGAUGAGACAUCGCUCCAAUCGACUUAGGAUGGUUUAUGGUUUUGAGACGACAUGAGAGGUACCUCCCAUCCAGAUCGAUAUGGUACAUGUUAUCGCUCAGAGAACCGAUCAUACGAUUAUAAUUAUAAGGGUUGAUGACAUUCAGUCCAAUCGACAAAUACCAUUAUAGGCCGAUGAGCACACUCCAAUCAGCAGUCAUACAGUUCAAUUAUAAAUCGAGGAGAUUCAUUCCAGCGACAUAUACAGCCAUAGCAUAUAAUGCAAUUCAAUUCAGGCAAUUCAAUUACAAUUCAUUUUAUUGAGAACGCAUUCGAUAAAGCACACCCUCGACUCAACAGUUAUAACCCAUCCAUUUCAUAAUGAGCAAUUCACAUAAAUUCCAAAUAUUCAUGCACUUGACACUCACCAAGUAAAUCAAGAAGCAAGUACAAGUGUUUGUUUUAGGCGUCUCCCGUGAAAUCCUCUUGAAGGUCCUCUUGAGUGCCCGAGCAAUUAAUAAUGAACUAUCACUUAUAAACCCCAAUUAUCAAGGAAGAUUGGACACUUGUACAAUCAAAGAAAAUUUCACGAAAAUGAGACUUUGUUACUCGUAAAUCGAGGCUCAAAAGUGGGGAUUUAAAAUACAAGCAAAAUCUGAUUUUCAUCUUUGAAAUCAAGUGUAAAACGAUCAAGUGAUAUCGAAGGAAAAAGAUGAUUUUGAAAACCCCUAUUUCCUUUAAGUUAGGAAUUUUCAGAUUUGCUACACCUAAUUUGAAAAAUCGUAUCUCACUCUCUACAAGUCCAAAAUUUGAAAACUUGGUACCGUUGAAAACUAAUUUCAAAGUACUAAAAGUUCCUAGAAGACACCUUUCCAUGAUUCCAAAUGGAAAACAUUCAAAAUCUGGCUCAAAGUAGCUAUUUUGGAAUGCCAAGACAGAUUUAGGUUGAUUUUUGGUAAAGUUUGGAAAUUCGGAAAAAUUCAUACAAUGCGAACUAGCGUCUGAAAUUUGGCAGUCAAUUAGAGUUACAAUCAAAGUUUUCAACACAACAAGUGGAAUAAGAAUUGGAGUUUUGAGCACCAAGAUAUAAUGGCUCAAAAUCACUGAAAUUUCCUCCUAAAACAGGGGUUUUCCAGGUUUAAGACUUGAGUUUUGGUACUUUGGUUGAGCAUCUAAAAGGUCUCGAAAUGGUACCAAAUUUGGCAGUAUUACACUACCAUAUGAGGUCUAUUCCACUGUAAAUAUUCAUGCAAAAAUUCGCAUGGAAAGUCAGUUAACCAAGUCAUUAAAACUCCAAGAAUUUCCAAGGCAAAACUGCCUUGUAGUUCCGUUUUCCUUUUCCCAAAUGUUUGGCCAACAAAAACAUCUCAAAUAUGAUUCAUUUCUGUAGACAAUGUCUAAGAAACAUCCAAGAUACAUUUGGUAGGUGAUUAACACCAAGAAUUUCAAAACAACAAGUCUCAAUCAAGAUUUAGGCAUUUACUAGUCAAAAAGAGGGUUUUCAACCACUAAAUCAGUUUCGAACUUCGGCCACAACUCACUCAAUUCAACUUGGAAUUGAGCGUAGUUGGUGGCGUUAGAAACUACAUUCAUAAGGCUACAAUUUCACAAAAGGAAUUGUUUUAAAAAUCUAUCCACAACUAGCUCAAAUUUGAGCAUCAAAUUGCUGCCCAAAACAAAGCUUCCAGUACAGACGCGAAACAGAACAAACAAAUUUACAUGGUUGGUACAGCUAGCUCAGGUGGAAUCAGGGCACGAAUUUUAUACCGUUGGAAAAAGGAAGUGUCUAGUUUCUAAUGCUAGAAACGGCACUUGAUUUCGACGUCGGACCAAAAUGUUAUAGCUGUUUGAAAAACACUGCCAGAGCAAUACGAGAAAAAUUCUAGUUUUGAUGAACUUUCGAAAUCACAACAUUUGGCCAACCAAAUCACAUAAUUUUUUGUGAAACCUUCCGUACAGCCCAAGAAACAUAUAUACAUCAUAAACAAGUCAAUUGAACCUCAAAAAAAUAUUCUAAGGGUCACGGCAUUGACAGGGGCAGAAACAGAAAAAUUCCCCUCUUCACUUCCUUUGAGUUUCCAUCCACAAUAUCACUUAUUUCUACUAAAUUAAGCACCAAUCCAACAUUAAUAACAUUAAAACUCAUCAAAUCAGUCCAUCAAGCCAUAGUGGGAGUUCAUAGAGCUCACUCACCAAUUUUCAACAAUUUAAAGCUACCCAUGUGAAAUUAUGAACUCAUAAGUGCAAGAUAUCUUCUAUAAACCAAGAAUUUAAAGGUUGAUCGUUGAUUACCUUUGUUGGUAACUCAAGCAGAAAUUUUCAGCCCUUGAUAGCUAAAGAAAACAGUGGAAAGCAAGCUCUUUUCCUAACUUAGGUUGUUCACCAAGUGUUUAGCAAGUUGUACGUAAAAUUUGAGGUGAUUUGGUGAAGAUUUGAAGGUGAAAUGAAGAAGAAAUGUGGGCUGUUUUUCUUCCUCCUUUAGCCGCUGGAAUGAGAGAGAGAAAGGAGAGUGUUUGGGCUGCAAUGAAGCUUCCUUGAGAAGCUUUAAUGUGUGGUUCAAAAUUGUGCAAAAGUCAACUCUCUUCCCGCGGGCGCAAGCGCGUUUUUUGUGCUUGAUUUCUCUCGAGUUUAUUCCACUAGUGCACUAAACCUCUAAUGUACUUUCAUUCAUACUAUUAUUAUUCACUCUUAAUGGUCUAAAAAUAAGGGUUUAAAUUCCCUCAAUUAAUCGCGCACGUAAAAACUCGUAGUACCGAUCUGUGCGUGAUAAAGUGAAAUCUCCAAUAAUUUCUUAUAACGAUAGUGUCACAAACUAAUACUUGAGUAUUUAAACAUAAAAAUAUCUAUUUUAAAACUAAUGUACAAGUCUCCAAUUCCAAGCUUAUUGUAUUCUCGAAUCGACUAUUAUCUCCAAACGCGUAUUCACUAUUCUAGCUAAACGAGCUUCCCAAAAAUUAAUUUUGAAACAAGUCACUUUAAAAAUAUAAGUAAGCUAUAGUUCCAUGUAAUUAGGUCUAAAAGGGUUAGAAUAAAAUAUUCGAAGUGAACGGGCAUUUAAAUAUUUAAAUGGGCUAGUAAUAGGGGUUUAAAAUAGGAAAAUUUGUGAGUCCUCGCAUGAGUCUAGUAUUACUUCCUCAAAUCUCCAAUAAAUUUACAUCAGCGCAUCUUUCGGAAAACUAUGAACGCGCGAGCGGUAAGCACUUAAUUAGAACUUAUUCACCUUUAAUUUCUCAAUUAACUUUUCUUAAUCUACUAUUGAUCAUUCUUAAUUUUCUCAAAAUAAUUACACUCUCGAAUAGAAUAUCACCUCGAAACACAUGUACUCAUUAUUUCUCACUUAAACGAACCUCAAAAAAUUAAAUUUGCUAACGGGAUGUUUUAAAAACAUAAGGAAAACAUUGUUCCAUAUGAAUGGAUUUAAAAUGGUUGAAAUAAAUUAUUUGGAGAAAACAGGUGAAUAAAUAUUUAAAUAAACCAAUAAUAUUCAAUAAAAAUAAGAAAUUUUUCGGGUCCUCACACUUGGUCGAGAAGCUUGAUAAACUAAGAAAAUAACAAAACAAAACUUGAUCUUUUGAAAUCUUGUUCAGUAUACUCGUCGAGUACCGCCUUUUUCGUGCGUGUUUGAUUACGGAUCCGAGAGGGUGAAAUGUUGGUUGAAGAUAGUAAGUAGAGCUUCUACGGAUUUCAAAACCUAUCCGGUUGACAGCAUGUCAACUUGUGGAGGUAGUGGAUCGAGCAUUGGCAAAGCAUGUGGAAAUUAGCUCCUAAGAGCUCUUGUAUCCUACUCAAGUGUGUUUAAAUUGUUAAUCGUGAAUUACUAGACUUUAUUGCUUUAUUUAUGGUAUAAAUGUUAUUGAUACUUGAACUAUGUGCUUGCAUGACUUUUUUGGCCUCACCGAGUAUUAGCUCAUCCCAUUAGUUUGUUUUCUUUAACAAGAACCGGAAUGAAAGAAGUUAAGAAAAUGCCGACUUGAACCACUUUUGUAUUAGUGUUUUGAUUGUAAUUGACUAGACACUUUUGGAUGUUGUAUAUUUUGGGGAAAGUAAUGAAAAAUUUGAAAUUUUGAUGUGAGAUUGAACAUUUAUGUAUGGAAAUGACUUCGUACCUUUAUUCCGACUUUCAUUGUUAGUAUUAGACUUUAAGUUUAAAUUGGAAUUGUCUCGAGUCCUGGCGAGAGUUGGGCAGGCGUCCCGCGAAUACCCUUAGGUUUGCCCUUGGGAGAAGUGGGGGUGUCACAACGUGGAGAACAGGAUGAAAUGACACAGCAUGUAGUUGUUAAAGGUGUUCAAAAUAAAUGUGUACUAUGCAUGGCACGGACAUCCGCUUUGAUAUCACACAAUAGCUAAAUAUAAAUGUGAUGCUAUUUAUAUCACACAAUAACUAAAUAUGUUUAUAUACAUACACAUAUAAACCUUCUACCCACGAUCUACCAAAAAACUUUAUACCUCUUUGUUAUCUCCCCCCCAAUACUUUGGCAGACCGUCAUUCCUUUCAUCCAACCAAAAAGCAGUAGAUCUUAGCAUAGUCAUGCAACCCACUUUUGAAAGAUCUCAUACAAGCUCACAAUCAAAGGUUCGGCAAAAAAAGCGGAAAGUAUCGUCGGGUCCAACCAAUACUCUAAGGAGGUACGAAACACCAGAUGGGAGGAUUUUAUAUGGUGCCAUAUGCGAUUUCAGGAACGCUCCACUUAACACCAACAACUCUCUGGGACUAGCUGACCAUAUUUUCAAAGAUAGUGUCCACAAGCACCUACCCUCUCUGGUAAUUACAUUCUCAAACCUGAACCCAUAUGGGAGCCUAUUCGUGAGCGAAGAAUGGAAUUAGAGGUAUUUUGUCGCUAGCAUAGCCUCCAUGUCAAGAGAACACGCUCAGCGGAGCUUGUUAUAGGACUAGAAGUGAAUGAUGUAAGCGUAUUACAUAGGCUACAGCGAGAAGUUAUAUAGAUGGAGCGUAAGCUACACAGGUUUCACAAGGUUGAGGCCGCAAAAAGACAUGCUAUUGCAAAAGAUUUUGAUGUCGAAAAUAUUUUAGCGGAUCCCAUGCUUAUAUCCGACCCGGACCUAUCUGACUUUAUUAAAUCAAGCGAUGAUGACUUUCAGAGGUACAUACCCGAUUGUCUAAUGCAUGACGGCGUUUCUAGGUGUUAUAUGGAAUACGACAGAUGACGAGGGAUGUAGUCCGAUGUUCGUGAAGGUAGCAAGAAAAAGUUUUAUCAUUAUAAUCUCUACUUUAACAUUUUGCCCCCUAUUUGGAUAUUAAUGAUGCCUGUUAAAGAUCCUUGUACUAGUUAUAACAUAUUGUAACAUACACCUAAUUGGUUGUAACUCAUUCUGUAUGCUUCGUUAUGAAUAUUUGUUGCAUUAUAAAACUUAGUUUUAACAAACGGAAUUAGCUGUCCCUUUCUACUAUCAUUUUCUUCUGCGAAACUAUUACCUUAUUAUGGUCGUGUGGUUACUUGAUCAUAAUUCAAUUAGGAAGAUUUUUGUAACACCUAUUGAAGUGCCUAUAAUACAUCAUGUCAAUGGUGUGAACCGUUCGUUCUGAAAAUGUAAUCCAUAUGUAGUGAAUUAUGUAAAUUUUUUGGUGACUAAAUGGCACAUAAUAAUUCAGCAAGGCAUCGUAACAAAAUAAUAACAAUUUGUUAAGGCCGAUUGCUAUAUGAUACAUCUAGCCAUUCUAAGUGCCAUCCAUGCCAAUAAAGAUGUUAUUUAUGAUUGCAGCUGAAUGUUGGACAAUGGUAUAUAUAUCAUGACAGUCAUUUGUUAUGGUAUUCUAUGAAAAAUAUCAUAAUCAUAAAGAAGCACGUUCAAUCGUAUUAUAAAAAUGUUACUCUAAUUUUCAGUCAACUUUAUAAUUUCUUAACAACUUUAUACAACCCAUUAUAGAACAAUUGAUGACUACUAACAAUGAAAAUUAGUACAAUUGUAUCCCACUUGUCUAAGUUUGAACAGAGUGAAACAUUGAAGGUGCCUGUACAGGUACAUGAAUAACUUGCAAUAACUUAUUAACUGCUUGUAACAUAGAUAUGGAGCAUUUCCAACCAGGCCGACAUGGAGGUCCAAUAGCAAAUAUUCGUUGAAAAACACCACAAAUCUCGUUCAAGACAACUAAUGUAUGAAAAUAAAAAAAAAUCUAGUGAGUUACAGUCAACAUGCAUGAAUUCAUUUCGAGAUUGUAGAUUAAAAGAAACUGACAAUAGGGAAGCGAUUGAAACUGAGCAAUAUCUUCAACAGAGAAGUACUAAAAUCAAUAAAUAAGGUCAACUUGGUGAAUGAAUAAUUGGAACUCAAUAGUUUGGUCAACCACUUAAUGUGUUGUUGAAAAAUUAGAGAUACACAUCAUUCAUCAAUCUGUCUCUGAAGGGAGGCGACGUCAACAGUUAGUCGCAAUCCCUGGGUGUUAUUUCUUUCCUGAAAUGUGUAACGAUGGCAAAUCAGCCAAUACAUCUAAUGGAACAGAUGGUUAAUAAUAUACGAUGUCCAAGUAUCCAAUUAACAACACUACAUAAAUAUGUGAUGUAACGCUAAAAGUUUGUCACCUGCGGUGAUGGUGAAAAUACAUGAUAUGCAUCAAUAUCACAGUGUGUUGAAAUUGCCGCAUGCUCCUACAUUAUAUAAUAUAACUAUUCAACUGUUAACAAAUCAUUACCAGUGCCUAUAUUGCUCACUUCAAAAGCUAAAUUGGACUAGACAUUAUAAAAAAAAUUGAUAUAUCAGACCAUUAAGAUAUCUCUGACAGAGUUAUGCUUGGAAAAAAUAGAAAAUUUGGGAGGCAUCCAUUCUGUAGGGACUAUUGCAGGAGGCCCCUAAUUAGACAAACGGUGCACCUUCGAAUAAUACAAAACAAUUGGUAAUAGAAGCGAGCAUACGUUAACUACAUAAUAUACAUGCUUUGAAUCGUUCAGGUGCCCACCAUUACAAUAAGCAGAAAAGUAGUUGUACAUUACGAACAACAAAAUCUUUAUUUUUCCUACUAAAUGUAUGCAUACUAUUUCAUUUUUCUCGAUUUCGGGAGUAAUAACAUUUGGAGGGCCAUUCACUGACUGGAUCCUUGAAUGCAUCUAUGAGUUUUGAAGGGCCAAAUAAUUGUAUAAGACAGACAAAAUAGAUAUAUCAGGAGGGAUGACAGGUGUAAUAAAAUUAUCACAUAAUAUAACAUCAAUGUAACUAAUUAUGCUAUUAGAAACAUCUAAAUAAAAUCUAAAGCCAUGACCAUUUUAUAUUAAUCGAAACUAAGUCAGUAGAUGAACUGCAUCCCAUAAACAUGUGUUCAUCAAAGUCAACCGAUGUCGGCUCCGAUUCUGAAAUCUGUAUUAUUGACACGACAAUAAUGCCACUUUAUAGUGAAUGGUACCUAAACUUGAGUUAACAGCAAUAUAAUAAGAAUGUUUUAGCAUAAAUGUUUACCAUCAUAAAAAAUGGAUCCAUACCGUAGUCUGUGUAGUUCUUGACAAUCUAGAUUUUCUUUUUACUCUGUCAUAUUUAUCAACCGAACUUCACAUCACUCUACUUCUCUUCCCACCGAUUCAUUUUUUAAUGCCUCUUGCGACUACUGCCUCUCCCAUUUCAUUUACAAUUUCAAUUUUAUCACGUUCCUUCACAUUCAGAUUUUUAUGAUUUUACUAAGGUUGCUCUUUGUUUUUUGAGAGGAGGAGCUCAACUCUCUUUGCCAAAUCGGAUAUGACGCUGAUUACUACUUUGCUGGUGUCCUCCGACAUUGCUGCUCGAGCUGCGACCUUAAUCAUGGCUGGAGCGAGCUUCCGAUAAUGAGUUGAAAUCAUUACUUUUGGAUCAGCCACAAUUUCUCAUCCUCGCUGAUCAAAACAUUCUCCAACCCGAGUUCUUUUUGUCCAUCGCCUCUUAACGUAUUCAGGAGGAAUUGUUUUUAUGCCUACGGUAUCAAACAUCUUCAACUCGUGCCCAUACAAAAUUCAUUCAUUCUCAUAUUUUUUGCAACUACAACGUACACUUAGAUCAUUCCGAUUGAAUACCACUAUUCUUUCAGGUCCUCCAUCAUACCUCAUGACCGCAAACUCCACAAACAUCCCUGCAUCUUGUUGUCUCAAUAUAACUAUAUUUGUUGACUCGCCAUAUUCAUUUUGGAAUGCACCAAAUACGAUUGAUGAAUACGUCUUUGCUACAUGCACAAGUAUAGAUGUUUGCCUCAACCCAAUCAUAGGGAGCUAUUGCCUCAUUUUAUAUUCUGCGAUGAGUUCAUUACAUCUCUUAUUAUCAACCACCCAAUUGAAAUGUCUAAAGAACUGCACAAGGUCGUGAUCCAGUUUCAAAUGAUUUUAAUUACUGUAUUUAGGCUUUCACUAAAUUGGGUGUUUCGCAUUCCCGCGGUCCAUCCUUCUUUCAUCAUGUACCUAGCCCAUUUAUCACGAAUUCGAUACAGCCCGGAGAGCCAUUCAUUAUUUUCAAUAUUGUGUUUUUUUACCAUCGCCUCUCACAUCCUGUUGAAUUGUUCCACUUCUUCAAUCUCAUACAUGCAGGCACCAAACAUGUAUGGAAGGUCACUAUUUUCCUUGUAGUGAUUGCCAAGAUAUUUCAUAAAAUUACGUCUUAUGUGAAACGUACAUAGACCGUGAAACGUUUCGGACAUGACAAGUGAAAGAGCGGCUGCCAUGGUGUGAUCUUGGUCGGUUAGUAUGGUACUUGGAUGUUUUUCGGACAUUGCUUCUAGAAAUGUACCAAACAACUAUUUGAAAGAAUCUAUCGUCUCAUCAUAUAUAAGGACAGUACCGAAUAUCACAAUUUGCUUAUAUUGGUUAAAACCCACAAAUACUCCAAGUGGUCGGUAUUCUUUAUUUGUUUUGUAGAUUGUGUCAAAUGUGAUUACGUCUCCAAAAAAGUUGUAGUCAAUUAACAUUCCUGUAUCAGCCCACAAGAUAUUCGUUGUCUGCUCUUCACAGUCUAGCUGUACGACAUGAAAAAAAGAAGGAUUCUCAAGUGUUUGCUCUUGAAAAUAAUUCAACAUGCUACCUACUUCUCCAUAUUUCAAGCUCAUUUCCCGCCUUGUUCGAAGAUAUCGUUUAAGAUCAUCCCGAGUAUAUCCCACAUUACCCAUCCCACCUGCCUCCUUUCCCAUAAGCUCAUGGCUCUGUUUCAAUGAAAACCCAGCAUCCUCGCUUAUUUCAAUUUGGAAUCUUUGAGUCUCACUCACUUUUCUUUGUGAUGGCAUCAUGUGCGAACAUUGAGCAAUGUGCAACUCAUAGUUAUGCUCUAAGACAAGGUCAUGCACACGGUAUUUCAUUGUCCCUCUAAACAACACGAUAACCAUUUUAACUCCAUACCCUAUUUUCGUUGGCGCUCGUGUCCUCUUUGGCAUCACAUCACCUUCGUACUUGCGCUUCACACCUUUCUUGCAGCAACUAUAUCUUCUAGACGUGGUCACACUGUCUUUGUCUUUAUUCAGAUAGUUUUUGCUUACACUAAAACUCAUUUUUAAGGCAUAUUUGUUGUAAAACUUGUACGCAUCCUCGUCACUGUUGAACUCCAUUCCUAACUCAGGGGUCUCAUCUUCUACCAAUUUGCUGCAAUCCAUUACUUCUGCUCAUGCCAAUUAUGCAUCAAACACCUUAAUUUGCAACACUUCAUGAAUAGUAUGUAUAUAAACGACAACGUAAAUGUAUAUUACCAUUCAUAAUGUGUUAUGAAUUACACAUUACUCGUAUACCAAAUCCUAUUAUUACGCUUUUCACUAUGAUUAAUGAUUCACAUCACCUUACUUUUACUCUAAAACAACGGCAUUAUCUAUGUACAAAUACAACUCCAUGUACACUAAGUUAUAUGGACUGUAAUGUAUUGGUCACACGAUGUAAGUCUAUUUUAACUGUAUGUAUAUCCACGCUGCUGAUUAUAUUUCGGUUCUAGGUUCUUUAGUUUACUGGAUCUUAUUGUAGAUACCAAAUUUUUAUUUUUAGUAUUUAUUAUUUGCUAUUUAUUUUUAUUUUAUAGUUAAUGUUUCAUUUUGUUCAGAUUUAUGAGUUGAGUUUAUCAUUUUCAUUUUAAGGUAUUUUUGCAUUAAAUUCUUAAAAUAAUAAAAAAAGGAAGGCAAGCUCACGCGCGCGUGAACUUCACGCGGACAAACAUUUCAAAUGCUUUCUUAUCAGAAGCAUGAAAUACGCGAAGUACAGAAGCAAAUGAGCUCGGUUCCAUUUCCUUUUUCCACCAUUUUUUUCAUUGUUUUUUCCUCACCAUUGGAUCCUGUUAAUCCCUAACCACCUGGCUUGCAUCUAAGAACUAAGAAGAAUCUAGAUGGAAGAACUAAUCCAAGGGUCCGAGUGAUAAGUGGCAAGAGGGAGUUUCUAUCGGAGCCAUUGAGUUGUGGGUUUUGGGAAUUUUGGUUUGCUAUAAAAGGCUAGCAAAGGGGAACCGAGCGAGAGGAGAAGAGGACAGGGAGUGUGACGGCUAAGAAAGGUUUGAAGAGAAGGGAGUGACGGCUGAAGGAAAAGAGGGAGGUAGAGAGAGAUAGAAAGAACCGAGAGAGCUCUCGGCUGAGGAGAAAAGAAAGAAAAGCAAAAGUGAGAGGGGCUACGGGAACAACGUGAAGAGAAAACCAAGAGAAGGAAAAGAAAUAUGGGAUCCAAGAGAAGGAGAGGAGCUACUGGAGUCUUUCUUUUUUUUUCCAUCGCUACUAAAUUCCAUCGAAAUAGCACUGUAAGGUUUCUUUUUUUAGCUUUUCCUAUAGAUACUUUCUACGAGAAUCAUGGGUUUGUUUGAUGUUUUGAUGGUUAUGUGUUUGAGUUGUCAUUUGGUUUAAGUCGGUGAAUAUGCAAAAGACUUGCGAUGGCUGUUUCCUCGUGUUUGUUUAUGGCUUAAAGUUGUUGUCUUUUGUUGUUAUUUUGCAUGUUAGGUAUGGUAGGGUUUGAAAUCUAUUUGGUGCUGUUUAUAUUUGUUAUUAGGUUGUGGUUUAGUAGCAAAAUGUGAGCUUUGAAAAGAAAGGACAUCUAUAUGGCCAAUUCCUCUGAAAAUGUAUCUGAGUUCGUGUGCUGGAUGAGUUGCAAGAAGUUCCCAGCUAGUGUUUUUAUUCUGAUUUUGUUAUGCUGAAAUCUACGUUUGCAAAGCAGGGAGAAUGUUUGAGUAUUUUGUUGCCUAGGAUCAGGUGGCUUUAGUUGAAGUUUGUACCUAAGAAUUUGCUGCAACAAGUUCGAAAAAUUUUGACUUGUUACAGCGACGUUGGUAAACUGAUUUUUUGGGAUGGCUGAGGUUUUGGUUUGGCAUGAUAUUGUUGUUUGGGUUUGUUUGUUGUUGGGUAGUUCAGCUAUUGAAUGUGGUUGCUACACUUUAGGAUGGCAGCAUGUGGCGUAGCAACUAGCUGUAACAAGCUUGAAGUUCUGGCUUGUUGCAGUAGAGGUAGAGAUUAUUUUGCGAAUGGUUGAAACUUCCGUUGCUCCAAGUUCAGUUUCUUUGCUAUUUUUAAUGUUUAGCUCCCUUAUUGGAUCUCUGUGGAGUAGACAAUUGCAUUUGAUAACAUGGGUGGAAAUCAUAGCAUUGGGCUUGGGUAGGCUUUAUUUCGCAUAAGCAAGCUGCGGUUGUAUAAAAAACUUGCAACAAAAUGUUCUGUUUUCCAGUUUCGCAUGAAUCUUUUUUGAAUUUUUGAAUAUUGAAUUUUGGUGUCGAAAUGAAAAGAAAGCUUUGCGACACUUUGUUUCUAGUUGUUUGGUCGAAAUGUUAGAUGUGUUUGAAUAAAAGGAAGAUUACAUUAGAUGAAACAAAGUUAGCUCUCAAUGAUUCUGGUUUCAUGUUUUCUUUUGUUAUUGCAUAUUUUCUCCUUCUGGUAUAUUAAGAACCUUGUCCAGAUUUUGCUAACCAAAUGGUUUGAGACUUUUACUGGUUUUUGGAUUAACAAACUCGUGAUUUUUGCUUGAUUGUGUCGAACCAGCGAAAUCUCAUAAUUUUUCCAGAUUUGGGAAUGUUCUUUUCCUCUGAACUGUUGUGUUUACAUAUAAGGAUUUUGUGGUCGAAAGGUGGAAAAUGUUUGGAAAAUUUGCUACUAUAGUCUAAGUCUUUGUUGUUUAAGUAAUUAGCUGUAUUCGGAUGAAAAGAAACUACAUCAGAAACCAUGAAAGUUGUGCCGCAAGCUUGCUGCCGAACCAUUUUGCAUGAAGUUCUCCGGUAUUUGCAUGAUUUCCUUCUUUGUUUUUGCUUGUUUGGAUGUCAAAGUUAUGUUUUGUGUUGUUUAGUUUAAAGUUUGGAUGUUGGAUCGAGAAAGCUUUGAUUAGAGCAUGCGAUUGAAUCUGAAAUUGGUCUUUGAAAGCGAAACAAAAGUGCAGCAGUUUUUUUGUUGCAGAAGCAUAAGCUUGCUCGUAAGUUUGCAUGCACAACUUUCAGAAAUUGCAUUCUAACCCCUUUUUUGUCUAAUUCUACUAUGGCCCAAACAAUUGAAAAAAUCAAUCAAAUUGACCCCUCAAACUUUUUUAAUCCUUUCAAUUGGGUCCUUAUUUAUUUCAAUUUGGUGAAUAUGGGUUGUUUAUUUUAUUUAAAUGCUUUGAGUGAUUCAAUUUCGUGUUUAUUUUUCCUUUCAUGUGAUUAUUUAUUAAUUAAAGUGAUAUCUUGACUUUUUCUUUGUUUUUUUGGAGGGUAAAUAAGUAAAUUCAUUUCAUUAAGGCACCAAUUCAAAGGAGGUACACUCUACUCCUUAUUUUGAUUUUUUACUUGACCCUAUAUGCCCCUAUGUGCUUAAUUGCAUGCCUUUUAAAUGUUUUCAUUUCAUCUAUUUAUUUAUUUAUUUAGGUUUUAGUUGCUUUAAUUUUGUAUAUUUAUUUUAGUUCAAUUUUGGUCAUUUGAAAGGCAUUUAAAUGCCAAAAUUGUAAUAGUUAGAUAUUUAUUUCGUUUUUCCCUUAGAUUGUAGUAGGGUCCCCCUAAUGUAAUAGUUAGGGCUUGUUUGCUGUAUUUGCUUGGUAUGUUUUGCAUGCUUAUAUGUUACGUGUUAUCCACUUUCGUAGGGUCUUGCAUCUAGAUAUCAUGAUUAUGUGUUAUGUGUUUAUGUGAUAUUAUGUGUUUACUUGCUUUAUUAUGUUUUAUAUUAUUGGUUUAGUUAUAAUCAAUGUGUGACGUCACCACACUAGUCCAAUGCUAGUUGAGGCCUCUUGUUCCGACUUUUCUCACUAGUCCAAUGCUAGUGAGAAUUCAUAAACAUGGGCUAGUCCAACGCUAGACCCUUAGGAGUCCUUCGAGCGUUAGAUCAUGAUUGUGUGAUAAAAUCACUUCAUCUCAUGCAUAUUUUACUUUCUAGGGUCUUUUAUCAUUUUUUGCAUGUUCCCCUUAUACAUAUAACCCUUAUCCCAUACUCCCCCUUAUAUAUAUGUAUUUUUUCCCCUCAUAUUCCCCUUAUACACACAUCCCUUAUCCCAUACUCCCCCUUAUAUAUAUGUAUUUUUUUUCCAUAUUCCCCUUAUACAUGUAUCCCCUAUCCCAUAUUCUCUCUAUAUCCAUAUCCUCUAUUUUUAUAUUUUCCUUUAUAUAAUCCUAUGUAUGAAGCAUGACAUUAAACUUGCAUUUCAUAUAGGAAAAAUUAGAGAUAGGUUAGUACAUUUGCUUGAUUAGAUUAGGAAAACAACCCCUUGAGUAUGGGAUAUGGACGAAUUUGACUUUCUAGCCUUAGCAUGCUCAUAUUCCCUCUACGAAAGGGAAAAUUGAGUUACAAACAUUGUGAGACCCCGGUCAGUUCUUAAGUUUGAUGUUAGGUGAUAUUCAUUAUUUGUGCGAUAAAAUUUGGUUUUAGGGUUAAUGAGAAAAUCCUAAUUUGGGUUAAGAUUAAAAGCCUAGCUUUUGUAUUAAGUACAAGAUUGAGUUGUAAUUAAGCUAGCUAUUCUAGUGCGUGUUUUGGAGUAAGUAAUUAUAGGAUUCGAUUUCUUUUAUAUGGGGUAAGGAAGUUUAAAAGUUAGAAAAACCUCCAACUAGUAAACCCUUUAGUGUUCCCAUAGAUUAGAAAGCUUAAGUUGGGUUUAAAAACCUAAUUUUGCCAAUGUUAUAAAGGUUGUUAUUUAGUGGGUUCCAUUAUGGAUAAAGUAUGAUUAAGUAUAGGUGGUUAAGAUAGGAGUGUGAUUAGUGAAGUGAUUAAGUGUAAUUAAGUGUGAUCAAGUGUUUUAGACUAGAUUAAGUUAUCAUUUAUGGAGUUAAUUGAAAGAUUUUCAAUGUUUGAGGGCAAAGAAGUAAGAAAGAGAAAGUAAAUGUUGUAAGGGCUAGGAGGCAAUAACCAAGCUUUUAUUUGAUUGAUGGAAGUGAUAAAUAUAUUCUAUUGUCUUUGACUUAUUUAUUACCUUAGGCUUGCAAGAUAAUCAUAAGAAAUCAACAAAACAAAAAACUAAAGAGAAAGAGAGAGAGCAAGAGAGGGGGAGAGAUUUCCUUCAAAAUUCUUCAAUUUCUAGCUUCUAUCUUGCUUUUGGAGCUUAAGGGAUCAACUUGGAUACUUGAUUGUUGAAGUUUGAUCAACUACAAAGCUUAUUUGAAAGGUAAAUCAUCUCUCUUGGAGGUUUAAGUUGGGUGAUUAAUUUUUUUGGAAACCAUGGAAGUGAUGUAUUUUGUUGUGAUUAUGGACUUGUAUGGUGGAUGUGAUGUUUAUAUUGAAGUUUCAUGGUUUAUUUUGUUGAGAUAUAGUUGCCUAAAUUUCGGUCAAGACUAUGAAAGGUUAGAGUUUUUGCUUCAUGGUUCAUUAAAUUGAUUGGGUUAGUUGUUGGCUUGUAAAUGGAAUUUUUGAUGUAUUAUUUGUUCUUGUAUGGUUUAGCAAAACCAGAUUUGACCAUGAAACCCUAGGCUUCCUUAGGUUAAACCCUAGGCUAAUGUUUAGUUAGUUAGGGUUUGGUUAGUAGGUUGUUAGAUUAAGUUGGUGAUGCAAAUAAAGUUAGGUUAGGGAUUAUGGUUAGUUUUUGGCAAUUUUGUAGUGACUUAGAGGGAAAGUUUCGGACCAUUUGUAGGUCAUUUAGAAGUUAGUAUAUGUGUGUUUAUUGGGUAUGAAAGUGGUUGGAAGACCUGCAUGGAAACCUUGGAAACGGACCAUGCGUUUGUGACGUUCAAAACUAACAAAACUGGAAACAGAGCAGUCCACAAAUCUGAACUUGGGUUCUGUUUUUCUUUAUGUUUCGUGCUGAUUCAGAAGUUUCUCAAAACAUGAAAGUUGUAGCUUCUUAAGUUCUUGUUGUGCUUGCAAAAUUUCAGAUCAAUCAAAUCUGUGUAGCCUGAUUUAUGACCAGAACACUAAUAGUUAUGCAUAACUGUGGAUUUGGUGACGUUUCUUGAUUUGGCCUCUGACCAUGCUCAGUUCGUCCUGAUAACGUGCGAAUUGGGUGUUGAUCCCUUCAUAAGAAAUGUAGAUUAGCUUCAAAACAGUAUAAAGUGCAUCCAAAUCCGAGUUCCGUAGCUUCAGUUAUGACCAAAACAAGAUCGGUUUUCAGAACUGCCUUCGAAUUUGGACAGUUCUGACAGGAACUUUGAACCCCUUUUUCCCUAUGCUCCGUACUGAUUCAAUUUUUGGUCAAAAUAAAAAAGUUAUAGCCUUAUAUAUAAGCUUUCUAACGCCUCUAUAAUUUCUUGAUUCCGAUCUUUGAGUCGUGAGUUAUGGUCUUUCAAACAGGGCCUAUUUGGUAACCCGAAAUGAAAUGGCUGGAAUUGUUUUGUACAUUUUUGUCCUAAUUCCAUUGAGAUCUGGCUUGAGGUGUCUUCAUGAAAGUUGUAGCCCUUCUUCUUAGCUUCGUAACAGUAUCUCAUGCACUUCGAUCCAAUAACCCUAGCCUGAAAUUUGAUCAAAACGGUUCUAGAUGCCGAAUCUGCCGUUUCCGUUGCCGGCCGUUUACGUUUUCGUUUGCCGUUUCCGCACUUACAUGUGCCAAUUUUGCCGUUUUACUUGUUUUAGGCAUGUUAGUAGCCAUUUGUGAUAUAAUGUGAUGCAAUCUUCUAUUUCAGACGGUGGUGAGUUAGACGGAGCCGGUGGGGCCUACUACUAGCUAUCCUUCGCGAUGCGAUUUUCGUACUUUUGUUAUCUUGGUUCUUUGAGUAAGUAUUCGGGCCGUUUUGUAUAUAACUUGCUUAUGUGUUUAAGGUGAAUGAAAGGGUACCUAGGCGAGGGUGUACUUCAUCGCACUCGACCUAAACCCUAAUCUACAUGCAUAUUUAUACAUGACAUGCCUAAAUGAAUUAUUUUGGGUUUGAACCCCUUGAGCUUGUAGCUCGGGGUGACGUUUGUGAGUUGGGGUCGAUCUUCCGACCUAGAUGACUAUUCGAGCCAGCCGGGGCUUGGUUGAAACCAGUCCAACCUAGUCUGAGGUCACCAAGUUUGUGAAUCCGGUUCACCGAGAAUGUGAACCAAGUUUGUGAACCGAGCUUGUGAACCAAGCUCAAUUUCGUUCGCUCGAGCAAUUUCAUGAGGUGAAUGGCCAGUGAGGGUGAUAAGGUGUUAGGUGGGUGUACAAGUGGAGUUCUACGGACUUUAAGUGUGGUAGACGGAGGGUCGGCAGGAGGUCACACAUGGCAAAUGACGUGGCUUUGGAGCCAACCUGUAUCCUUCCUUUGUAUUGUUACUUUUGCACUUGACUUGACAUUUUUGUGAAAUAGUUGUUUAUCUAAAUGUGAAAUUUACGCUUUUACCCCGUUUACUUACUAAGCAUUUAGCUUACCCCUUUUCCUUUGUUUUCCUUAACAGGGGACGACGCGGGGAAACCCUUUUGCACUAUCACUAGUGUAGCUAGGUUGGUUUGUAAUGGUUGGACAACUAAGAUAUGUCUUUUACUUUGGUGAUCUAUAUAAAGAACCCGUCUUCGGGUCUACUUUUGCUCUUGGUUAGUAGCAUAGAAUUCUAUAGUAGUCUCGAUAACUUCUUUUGAGGAUGUAAAUACUCUUUUGGGAUUGAACAUAUUGUGAAUAGUACUCUUUUGGUUUAUAUAGUUUUAUUAGCUUUGUGUUUUAAGUCCUGGCGCAAGUUAGACAGGCGUCCCGCCGAUACCCUCGGAUUCGCCCUUGGGAGAAGUGGGGGCGUCACAAACAUUAGUUCCCCGUACCCGUUAUGAUGCAUCUCUUUAGGACAUAUAUAUUUGUAUAUUAUUUUCCUUUUCUUUUCUUAGAGUCUUAUAUUUUUGCAUUAUUCGUGACCUCUUCAAAGAAUCCCUAUUGGAUAUCACAAUUAAUAUGAUUUGCACCAAUUGAGUUUUGAAGAGAAAUUCCGAUCCCUCGACACCCCCCUGGGUCUAGAGUUUGCAUUAAUAGAGUACAUCCAAAUAUGAUAAAUUUUUAGGUUAAAAUAAGAAAAUCGUUGACUAAAUCAUGCAACUAGCCUUGGUUAGGUUGAAAGGGUACCUUGGAUUUUUAUCCUUACCUUCCCUUUCUUCAAAUGUGACUCCCGAACACUUUCUUUGAUUUUCGUAGACUUAGGAGCCGUUUAAAAAGGGUUUUCCAUGAUUUUAUCAAAAAAAAAAUCAUUUUAGGUAACUUGGUACACCUUAACUCUAUACCAAGUGGCGACUCCGAUUUUUUAUUCAAAACCCUUCUUAAACUAUUCUUUGGGCCAAAAUCGUCGCACUUUAAACCCCAUUUUAGGCCCUUUCAUUUUCUUUAUUUAUUUGUCACUAAUCAUUUAACUAACAUUUUCACUCAAAUAACUCAAACAUCCAUUUUUCUAACUUAUAAUUUUUUAUUUUCAAAAAUGGGCGCGACACUUAUGUCAUUCGUUAAUGACAACCGCCUAAACCAGCUCCGCAUCUUCUACUAUUUCUACAUUUUUAGGGUCAAACAAGCACUUUCUACUCAUUGUAAUAUAUUUCUUACAUCAUGUAAUUUACUUACAAUACAAGGUACACCCAUUUAUUAUUCACAUAUAUGUCUUUUCCUCUACUUCACCUCAUUCAACUCUACGUCUCCAUUUUAAACACACUGCAUGGUCAGGAGAGGGGCAAACUAAGAUUACAUGAUGAGCAUGGACCAACUACAUAUUACUCAUUUAACACACUGCAUUCAAUCACGUUACCUUGGUCUGCUAAUACGCGUUAUGUUUCACCGAACUUGGAGAACGUAGUUGCUUCUACUAUUAAGUUGCAUGACAAAAUCUGGCUUCAUGAGAUGAUGAAUUUCCUCUGUUUACUUCUAUCUUACUGCCUGCCUUGCACACAUUCAAAAUGGAUACAACACUCUCAUACCCAGCUUCAAAAUGCAUAUAACACUCUUACUGCACUGUUUGCUUUCUUCCUUAUUCACUCAACACCAUACCCCAGCUCUCUCCACCCACUUUUCUGUCAAUUGCUACCUUCGGCAGGACACCUCCUCUCUUCCCUCAGUUUUGUUUUGUGCGGCUCUCUACUUUUUUGUUUGCUUUCUUCCUUAUUCACUCAACACCAUACACCAGCUCUCUCCACCCACUUUUUUGUCAAUUGCUACCUUCAGCAGGACGCCUCCUCUCUUCUCUGAGUUUUGUUCGACGUGGCUGAUUCAAAUUCUCAACUUGAUUUUCAAAAUUGAAACUCUUCCCUUUGGCCCGUCAUGUUCCCGUUUUGGCUAAACAUUUUUUUUUUUUGGAACGGCGUCGUUUUUAGGCCUGUUGAAGGCUUCCUGACGUGGAAUAUCUCUCGCCUCACAUUUCGGUCUUGUGAGGAGACUGUUCAGGGGCAGUCGGCCUGAUGACCGCUCCUGCCCUUAAUCUGUGUUAUUUCAUUCAAGAUAUCAAACAUCUAUCCAACAUUUUAUUUGGGAAAAUGAAAAAUUAGGUAUCCAAACACUCUCACUGUAUUUUCUCUAAAAUGCUAAUCUCUUUCUUUUGUGAUAUGAACAGUUGGUUAGUGAAUUAACUUGAAAGCUGUUGGAUUACUGUACUUUAUUAGAAAAUUUUGAAUUCUGUGCAAUCAUUGAGCAAGUUUCCUUAUUUUGGCUAACAAAUGUCAAAUUAUUUUGAUCAGAAUCAUGGAUAUUAUCGUAAACAAUGGGCUGAUGUCAUUUGUACAUGUGUGCACGUGUGUAGUAGUACACGUUUAUGCUGAAGCUGCUGGUUGAGGAUUUACUUAUUUAUUCCAUUAGAUUUUAUUGAACUUUGCAAAUCGAAUGGCUUUUGAAACGUAUAGUUUGUGCCUCUGUACGUGUCCUUAUAUUCAACUCCCUCAUCUCCUUAUUCUGUCUUCUCAUUCUUCUUUUCCCUACUCUCUCUCCUUUUCUGUUGUGCUCAACUUCUUCCUUCCUUUAUGAAAUAAAAGCCCUGUCUAAAUCCUUUACUGUGCUCAAAAGUCAUCAUUAGCCAAUUCCAUGAGUUUCUGUCUUGUUGAAAUUUGAAAAUAGCUUUCAAACACUUUUGGAUGUUUCAUCUUCAUUGCACACUUUUUUGAGUUUCCUGGAGGAAUGCUUAUGUUAAUAAUUGAAGUAUAAAUUCAUCUUUGGACUCACAUUGAGAUCAUAGUUGAACUAUACUUUUAAAGAAAUGUAAAGAUGAUUUUGGUUGAACACGGCAAACUGAACUACUGAAAUUUGGUUGCAAAAUUUGAAAAAAGAAAUAUCCGAAUACUCUAUCCUUAGCUCUCAUAUUGAAGUUCUUAUUGCCUGUAUGACUUUAUAGCACAUAUGAUGCAUUCCAAACCAUCUACAUACGAAAUUAGCAACUCCGCCUCUAGUCAAUCAUCUCAGGAGCUGGACUUAUAGAAACCAAUGUGAUGAUGGCCAUGUUUUUGCUACCCAUAUGCAGUUUAAACCUUGUCAAACUCCUUGGGCCUAUGAAUUAUGUUCAUUCCGUAAACCUCUUGAUGAUCGUCCCCACCUUGGAGCAUGGUAGAAAAUAAAAACUUGAAACACGAAAGUGCUGUUUUUCAUGUUUCACAAAGCACUAAGAUGUUUUUGCUACUAAAUUAAGUUUUAGUAGCUCUGUAGCUGAAUUUAUCGAUGUUCGCGAUCUUAACUGCCACAAAAAUAGGAUGAUGUUUUGGCCUUCGUUUCCCUACUUAAACACAGUGACCUCUGUUGUCCCCUUUUGAGCCUUUAAACUUGAUAGUUCAUUUCACGUUAAAACCCUUGCUGAUCACACCCCACACUGGGGUUAAUUUUUUGAGGGUGAUUUCAUGGAAGUUAGAGUACUUAAAUUGUGAUUUUUUAUGAAAUCAAGGAUUACAAGAAUGUUGAGUUCCAAUGCUCGAGUUUCAGAUGUUUACUUCUCAAAAAAGAAAAACAAAAGAAAGAAGGAAAACAAAAGGAAAGAAAGAAGGAAAGCAAGGAGGAUUGAGAGAAGCUCAAAUAUCAAUAGUUUAGUUCCCAAAAAGGACAAAAAAAAACAGAGAGAGAUUGAGAAGAGGCUCACAUCCCAGAAUCAAGAAGCCUCAUGGUCUAAAGAGAGCAAGUCAAAUUUUUGAAGAAACAGUUGGACAGCCCAAAAGUUUCACUUGGGCAGCAACUUAUGCAGAAGUGGUCACAGGUUCUAAUCCUUAAAAAAAAAAAAAAAAAAAAAAAAAAAAAAAAAAAAAAAAAAAAAAAAAUCUUUUGGCCUUUACUAUCUUAUUCUUUGCUUAAACCUACUCCAAGCCUACUUUACGAUCUAAUAAAGGUCCAAAUGCUGACUAAUUCUGGGGCAGUUAUGACGAGGAACAAUAUUCUUUCACCACUGACGCAGCUAAGAGAAUUUGGUCACAGCUGUUUUAAGGUGAUCUCAAGAUGAUUUAACCUGAAAAGUCAAAACUUUGUGCUUUAAUAUCCCUUCUUUUUCAGCCCUUUACCUUACAACCAGAACAAAAAUCAAUCUGAUUGGUUUCUUUACUGUGCUCAUAAGAUGAUUGUGAGCUGAAAAUGGAAAGUCGGAGCAUUGAUAUCCCAUCUUUUUCAGCACUAAAGCCGAGACCCUCUUACAAUCAGUGUGAAUUUCCAUGUGAUUGGUUUCUUUAUGGCCAGUCAAUUUGAGAAGAUGUUCCUUUUCUAAACACCAUCCUAAAGCCUCGAGAGAGUAGAGAGCCUCAAAACAGUUUGUCAUAUUCCAUUAAGAUCAUCUUUAUCUUAUUUACGUGGAUAACAUACUUUUAACUAUUAAUCAAAGCAUUCAUCCUAGAAUUUCUAAGCACAUAGGAAGUGAUAUUGUGUUCUCCAAGUCAUCUACCAAAGAAUUAUUGCGCAGACCCUUACCUAUUUUUUAUUUUUCCUUUUAUAACAACAUUGUGUAACAAGAGAAAUAAACUUGAGAACCCCUUCCUAGACUAGCAACUACUAAAUUAUCCCCACAUUCCAAGUUCUGGAACUCCCUUCCCUGUUACAAAAUCCUCUUUCUCUCUUUCUGCCAAUUCUUGCAUUCAGGUUAAUCUCCCACCAUCUCAACUUCCAAGCCACUCUACCACUUCUUGCCAAGUUUCCAUCACUUUUUAUAUACAUCUCCAGCAAUCCCACUUCCCGGAAAGAUUAGAAAGGAGCAUUCUUGAAAGGGUCUGGCUUGGAACUUGAGUUAAACAGGGGAAAAAGAUGAUGCGGAAUGGAGAUCUGGAGAGCAGAGGAGCAGCAAAGGGCAGAACCCACAAUAACGUUAGCAGCUAUCAACCUUAUUAUGUGGAGACAUCAGAGAGCCAGUGGACUUCAUGGCUAGUUCCAAUGAUAGUGGUGGCUAAUGUUGCUAUGUUCAUUGUCAUCAUGAUUGUCAACAACUGUCCCAAGAAUAAUUAUGGGAUUAGAGGAAAAUGUGUGGCAAAGUUUCUUGGAAGGCUUUCUUGUCAGCCUCUAAACGAAAAUCCUCUCUUUGGCCCUUCUUCUAAUACACUGGAAAAAUUGGGUGCACUGGAGUGGAGCAAGGUAGCACAUCAGCGUCAGGCAUGGAGACUUAUCACUUGUAUCUGGCUGCAUGCGGGAGUGAUUCAUUUAAUUGCCAACAUGUUAAGCUUGGUGUUUAUUGGAAUUCGGCUUGAGCAACAAUUUGGAUUUGUGCGAGUUGGGGCCAUCUACCUCCUCUCAGGAAUUGGUGGGAGCAUACUCUAUGCCUUUUCAUUCAGCGCAGUAUCUCUGUAGGAGCUUCUGGUACUCUUUUUGGUCUUCUUGGUGCAAUGCUAUCAGAGUUGCUUACUAACUGGACCAUUUAUAGCAAUAAGGUUGCAGCUCUUUUUACCCUUGUGGUCAUCAUCGUCAUCAACUUGGCUCUUGGCAUACUUCCUCAUGUUGACAAUUUUGCUCAUAUUGGAGGUUUCAUUUCGGGGUUUCUCCUUGGGUUUGUAUUACUGUUUCGGCCCCAGUUUGGUUACCUGGAAAGCCGCCAAAUUCCACCCGGUGCUCAAGUCCAAAUAUGCAGUUUACCCGGUGCUCAUGCUGGUUGCCCUGGUUUUACUGAUCAUCGGAUUCACGGUAGGAUUGGUCAUGCUCGUCAGAGGAGAAAAUGGGAAUGAUCAUUGCAGCUGGUGCCAUUAUCUGAGCUGUGUGCCCACAUCGAAAUGGAGCUGUAACAAUUAAGAAGAGUUGGGCAGAGUUCUCUGAUUCUGAAAAUUCUUUGUUCAUAGAUUACGGAUUUGUUUAAUGCUUUAUUGCUUAUAUUCUUGUACAGCAAUGUCUUACCUUAAGCUGGAGUUCUGCAGUCCUAUGCAUAUUUAUAUAUAUUGGGUUUCUGAUAUGUAUUAAACUUAAAAAAAAAAAAAAAAAAAAGAGAGAGAGAACCCCUUCCUAGAUGCAAAUAGUGUUUGUUACCUAUUUGGAAGGAACUGAGUAAUGGAAUAGGACUGUUCACAACUUCUUUCACUGAUAGUUCUUUGUUCUUCAAUUUUUUACAUGGGAAAUACCAAAUAAAAUAAAAUAAAAUUUUGGUUGCUUAAAAAUGGUUUAAUGGUUUUUGGAAUAUUCUUGUUACUUCUUUGGUAUAAGGGAGGGAAAGGAGUUUAGCAUAAGUGGAAGGAGCUGGCCAUAUGUUUUAUAGUAAAAAAGGCAAGAGAAUGGCUGUGGAGGAGCAUUCUGGGGCUGUGAUCAAUUUGGUUGCAUGUAUAAAUCUACAUUCAGUUUUUCUUUUAUUUUUGGUAGAUGAUCUACUUAUUUGGUCAAGUCCUUUUUAGUUUGAAAUUUUGCUAUACCCUAAUUUAUGUUUUCUUUGUUUUUUCUUGUUUCCAUUAUGUUGGUUUUUUGAGGACAUAUAAAGUACAACCUAAUGCUUUGGCUUGUAAUAUUAUUUAAUUAAGCCAAACUCUUCUGUUUUUUAUGUGCAUAUGAGUUGGUGGCUUGAAGUGUCCACCUGACCAGAAGGAAAGGCAAAUAUAGUGAUUGCAAGGCUGAACUUGUGAAGAUAGUUAGUCCAUAUAUACAUGCAAAAUGAUGAAACGGUUGCUAAACCCGUGAAAAGAUUGAUUCUUGGUCCACUUGCAAGCUUAUAUUUUGGUUGCUGAACCAUGAACAGAAAGGAUUGCAGGAGGUUCUUAUAGUAGAUUUGCUGCUGUGGCAUGUGCAGGACUACUAUGGGAUGCUGCUUUUAGUGUUGAUGGAUGAGGUAAGCUACUUGAUCCUUUUCUUCUUCUUGUUCUUCUCUUCCCUUAUUAAAAACCAUAAUGAGGGAUUUUGGAAACCAUAACGAGACCUAGAUAUAUCUAAUCAACUUUAAGUAGCAGUUAUUUUUCUUAUCGUAGUCAUUUUUUAAUGCUAAGCUGUUCUGCAUCAACCUCUGCGCAUUUGUCAAAGAUUAAAAAUUCUAACAAAUGAAAGAUCAUUUCCAAUGGAAACUAAACAAAGGCAUUAUGAGCUGAAUUGUAUAAUAAAUAGGAUGUUGGUUUUCAGCUUUGGUAAAUUGUUGUCUAAUUGGACCUUUUUAAGCAUGGAUUUUGCACAAGCAUCUAAUCUGAGCUCUGCACGAUUUGUAUAUUGACUACAUUAUGAGGUUUAAAGCGUAUCUAGUAGAAUUGUUUGUCAUUUGUCUCAAAAUGUUCUUCUUUUGGAAAUUAACUUGAAUGUUGGUUUCACUUGCUCUGCUUGAUUAAUGAUUGGGAUCUGAACGAAUGCCUGCUCCUCUCCAUGCUGUUGUUGUUCUCAGCAAACUCUUGGACGUGUGCCACAUUGUAUUUUGUGUCCAUUGGUGUUUGUUGACCUAAUCACUUUCUAGACAAAAUUGGUGUAUUGAGAUUGGGAUAUAUCUUUCUCUGAUUGGCAAAAAUCUUGUCAAAAUAUUUUGUUCUUUCUUCUCUGUUCUAGUGGAUUAUUGCAAUUUUUUGAAUGAUUGCUUUCAUCCUCUCUUUUCUUCCUCAAAAUGAGCAUUUUGGUUCUUGAACAUUUGUAAUUUAUAUAUACUUAGACAAAUUUUCUUGGAUGUCAAUUGCCUCAAAAGGUCAAUGUGAACAAAUCUGUUUCUUCAUUAGCUACAAAGUAGUGAUUUGGGUGUGUAAAUAUUGAUCUUGGCUAACUAAUGCCACCUAGUAUACUAAAGGAUUAAAGAUACCUGUUAUUUCAGUUGUUUUGCUUGAUCAAGUUUUGGAUAUUAAUGUGAUCAAUUAGUUAUGUGCAAGUGUACCUGCAAAGCUGUGUCUCGUGGUCAUGGUUUCUGAGUGACUAUUACAAAAUGAUUGGAAUAAAAGUUGGGAUUUUUCUUAAGCCACUGUUGCAGUCACAAUUCAUGAAAGAUGCGGAUUACUACAGAUUGCUUGCUUGAUCUGGUUACAGUUUGAGAGUGACUCCUGUUGUAUAUUAACGGUUUUCUUACAUUGUUUUCUUUAUGUCACAUGGACUAUGGACAUCCUUUUUGACAUGAUUUUAGAGCAAGUAGUAGCUCCAAAGGAUGCAAAUAUGUUUCCUGCAUAACCUGUAAAGUUGCUUUGUAGUCAUGUUUCUUGAGUGGCUCUAUUUUAAGUUUGCUGUUUAAUGAUUGGGAUAAAUGUUGAAUUCAUGCUUUUGUGGGUAAUUGUUCUUGGCGUUAUGUGUUUAUGUCAUGCUUUCUUUUCUGUUUCUUGUUCGCUUGAUAACUUUUUGACUUGAGGUAUCAAUGAGAUCUUAAAUCUUUCAUGUUAAGUGUUCAAUGACUAUAUACAUUGACAGCAGGAAAUUCAGUUGAAUUAAUCGAUUUGGCCCACUUAAAUUAAAAACUCAUAUGCUACGCCUUACGAGUGAAAUUAUGCUUGGAGAAAAUCUAAUUAACUUGUUCUCCAAGAGCUUUUUGUUUAAAUAAUUAUCGUCAUGUCUUACAUAGGUUUACAUACAUAUUACUUGAACAUACAUAUCAUUUUUCAUUCAAUGUAGUGUGCCUUGUGCAUUCCUUGAGUUAGAUCAUGCAACUUGCCCCAAGAUGCUUAACUUCUUCACUGGCUGGAAUUUAGUCUAGACUUGACAAUAGGUGUUCAUUUUAAUCUAUGAAAAGUUGCUUUUUCGCCUGCUUUGAGAAACUGUGUACAAAAUCUGAAUUUUCUUGUUUUCUAAUUACUCUUGCUCUAUUGAACAUAUCCCACUGAAAUUGCCCAUCAUAUUCAGCUAAAACAACUAAUGCAUGAAGUACUACAUAAGAAAUGAAGUACUAACUAAUGCAUUCCUGAACAGCAGUAAGUAAGAUUUGUUACGUUGUUUUCUUUGGUUACUUUGUAUCGCUGUUCAGCAACCAGGAUCUUUCUUUUCCUUUUCUUUAUUUUGUCAGUUCACGCAUCCCAAAGACUAUCAGCAGUAAUGCUGGGUUUCUGGUGUACAUUGUUUUCUUUUGAUAUCUGCUGCUGCUUUUAUAAUUUUCACUUGAUGUUGAUGAGGAGUGUGAUUUAAGUGCUUAUGAUAUAAACUAACACACAUGUCAAACAAAACUAAUUGUGAACUCCAGAAUUACAAAUUUGAGGAAUGCCAAACAUCUAAAUGUAAACUGGAGUGUGCAAGCCAAAUUUGUAGUUAUAUAUCUAAAUGUAAAUCAUUAAUAGCACAAAAUAACACAAAACUUGGCUCACAGCACCGCCAAAUGGUGUAUCUCUAAAAUUGAUGUGGGACAAGAUGGGUGAGAUCUAGCCUACUUGUGCGAGCAGAAGAACGAGGGCCUUGAGAUUGUUUUGGUGCUGUGAACAUUAUUCUGGACAGUGAUGUGGUAAGAAACGAGGGAAAGAAGUAGAGAAGCUAAGAGAAAGAAGAACAACACAACUAAUAAACCAAAACUAAAUCUUCAUUCAUCAAAUUCUCUGCAAAGAAUGACAUAGGAACACAAGUAUUCAUAAAGUAAGAAGGUACCUAAAACUCCUAUUUCCAUAUUCUAAAUACGAAAAGUAACUAGUUGUAGAACUUUAGAACUUAUAGGAACUUUCCCUUUCCCCAUAAGAAUGCUUGAACAACUUACCUGAUAUUGUAGAUAAUGAAAAGAGGCCCAAAAUGAUGACUGACAUUCUGGAAAUUUUAAGUGACAAAGGAAAGACCAAAAUGUUUAAGGCCUAAUAAGAGAAACCACUGAACAUGCAGAGAACUUUGACCAUUGUUAGACUCUAGGAAUCACCGCGGAUAGACUCUUUUAGACCAAAAUUAUUCUUUUUUGUCAAAUGAUCCUUUAGUUUUAUUCUUAGCUUCCAAGGAUGAAAAUAUCCUUUCAACCAGCUUAUGGUUGGAAAAUUAGUGGAGAAAUUGGUAGAGAAAAGGGUAGGGAAGGGAAACCAGUUAUUAUCACUUUUAGCCGAUUAGAACUUGAAGCUUCCAAAAUUUUGUUGUUAGCUGUGUCAAUUUGCUGCUAAACCAGAAAUAAAGCUUCAAUCCAACUGAAUCUAUGGCAAGCUUCAAUCCAACUGAAUCUAUGGGCCAUGCCAUCUAAUGUGGAGAGAAAAGAUUGCAAUGUUUCUAAUUUUUGUUUUCCAAUUUCGUGCGCUUUUAUCUUUUAGCAAAGCAACUUCUUUUGGACAUACUCUCAAAAUCUUUUGAGAAGUCUCGAAGUGUGAAAAGAGUUCUGCGUUUGUAACCAUAUUAGUCAAAGAAGAAGAAGAAAAUAUGGCUGAUAAAGAGAAAGAAAGUUUGAUUCUCAACUUACAUAAGUACCUUCUCUUAACUUUUAUUCAAGGAACUUAAAGUGGUCUUUUUGGAGUGCUUGUGGGUCAGUCCCAUAGGCUUGUGGCGGUUGCUGGACGGCAUACUCAAUUUCUAGUAAAGUAGUGAACAUAUCGCAAAUAUUUUUCUCCAUUCACAGUCUAGCAAUGUCAUACUCAAUUUGUAGUAAAGUAGUGAACAUAUCGGAAAUACUUUGCUCCAUUCACAGUCUGGCAAUGUCAUACUUAAUGGCUAGUAAAGUAGUGAACAUAUCUCCAUUCACAGUCUAGCAACGUCUUUCAAGUUACUACAGGAACACCAUAUAAUGGCCUCAUACUAAAAUAAACUGCUGGUAUAAGGGAUUUCAAAGAUAUGGCCUCAUAGGCUCAUACUAAUAUAAACCGCUGGUGUAAGGGAUUCCAGACUCUGGAAUCCAAGAAUCCCCCUGAAUAAACUUAGAAACCGUGAAAGGAAUGACUUCCUUGGACUGAUUUAAUGCUUUAUAUCCCACCCAUGAAAUUCGUCUCCCUGUGCCUGCACCAGGACCCCAAUUACCGAAUUCUCUGUAGGUUAGCUCAUCUGUGCGAUGGCCUGGCCACUCAUACCACCCAGCUGGAUCUAUGAUGCUAUCCAAGAAUGAUUGCAUCACAAUCACGGUCGACCAUUCAAACCAUGGUCUUCCAAGAAAAGCGUGAACCUGAGAUUUGUUGGACUGCAAAUCUGGGGCUGCUGUCAAAGUGGAAUUUUGAAUGACAAAUCCACUACUCUCAUAGCGUGACAUUUUUCCCUGUGCAGUCAAAGUAAUGACACGGUUAGGCAACCGUGCAUAUAAGUUGCAGGUUUGAAAGACCGCCGCAGCAUUGCCAAACAUAAAAUCAACAGUGCCGUAGAUGUCACACUCCUUGUAGAAUUGCGUGCCAAAGUGUGCACAGAGUGUGUCAUGGAACCCUAAAAAUGUACAUCUGUAAAAUGAUGAUCUGUCAGACAGGGACAUUAGGGCAACAGCUUGAGUGCCUUCUCCUGCUGAGUUUUCGAAAGUUAUGUACUUGGCCAUGAAACCAUUACCUUUGACAGCUGCAAACAAUGAAAUGUAAUAGCAUUUUAAUAAGCUUCAUAUAAUAUGAAAUAGAUAAGGAAAAAGUUUAUGCAACAGAAGAAGAAAGGAAAAGAGAUAGUAAAUAAAGCUUGCUGUCAGAAGUCCUUACAAACAGUGGCAGUUUCGUUUGUUUGGAACUCUGGGACUCUCCUGUUCAUUGUGAUUUUGGUUACAUUUGCACCAUCUCCAAUCAAAGCUAUGUUCGUUUUAUUUGCCCACACUUCCACAAUCUCCACAUAUAUACCGGCCUCCACAUGAAUGAAGUACCUGGAUUGACUCUGAAUGGGUGCUGAUGCAAUGGCAUCCGUUAUCCUUCUAUAUGCUCUAGGUCUUGUCUUCGAGACGGUUGCAUUAAACAUAAUACCGUUUCCAUGAACGUUGCUCAAUUUCUUGUGUCCUUGCAGCUGGAAAUGUAUGGAGAUGUAAACAGAUACAACCGCAACCAAUACAAUCACGAUGACUGGUGAAGCGCCCUUAGCCAUACCUCCCUACCUACGCCUGGAGAUUAGUUGGUCAAUGCUAAUAGCAGCCUGAGUGUUCUUUUUGUUUAUUAGUUGGUUACAGGGAUAACAUAUUGCAUGUUUUGAGUAUUUAUAAGAAAAUGGAGAUGCAGAAGUUUACUGAUAUUGGUGGGGAACGAAAUCAUGAUUGCCAAGGAAUUAGAUAGAUUCAAAAUUUUUACCUUAGUCCUAAAAACAGAAGUAAAAGGCUAAUCUGUUUUUGUGUUUGUAUUUUAUUCUAUUUUGGUUUUCAGACAUAAUGUUUCAUUAUUUCUGGCUGUAACAUACUAUAGCCAACUGAAACUUUAAUCCUUACCCAAAAAGGAUGAUUUGUUUGUUGAAUUGCUUUGAGUGUGUAAUGCAAAUGGAUAAAAAUCUAUUUGAGGCCAAUGGACAUCUUUGGGGGUAAUGAAGAACUGCGAUUGGAUAAAACCACUUCGGGCUAAUGGACAUCUUUGGGGAUAAUGACCUGAAACUGCCCGCUACAUAAAAUUAUGCUUGGUAUUCAGAACAAGAUUUACUUCCUGCGGCUUUCCUCCUUGGUCGGUGAUCACAAAUUACAACUGUAAGUAGGCACAGAAACAAUAAUGAAUAUUUUUUGUUUUUAGAUUUUGAAUCUUAAACUUAACUGCAUUCAUUAUAAUGCAGUAAUUUGAUGUAAUUUGAUGGCCAAUAACUCCACAUUACUAGAUUCUAACAGCAGAUGAAUGCAAGAAAUAAUUUAUAUAGUUAGAUUAUAAAGUGAGUGAGAGGAUAUUUAUAUACUUUUUGGAGUAGCAAUCAUGAUUGAAUCCUUUAGCUGCUGUUUAAUUUUCCGUAUACCCUUGUGUUAUAGUAGUAUUUGGCCAAGACAGCUGCUAAGGCCUGACUAAUGGAUGUUAACAGAUAUAUAUUUAUGCUUACAUGAGCUUGAGAGAUAGUCAGGGAUACUGCAGAGUGCAGACAAGCAUGAGAAAUUUCUAAAUUUACGAUGAAAUUUAAAAUUUUUCUACAAAUGGGGCCUUUUGAGUGUAGCAUUCUGUCUAAGUGAUGUUUGCAUUUGCUGAAUGCGAGCACACUGAAUUUCUGAUUUUGCAAAAAUCUAAAUAAAAAAAAAUUUGCUUCAGAUCUUGCAUUUAACAUAUGCGAGAUUUGAAACCUUUUAGUUUUUUAAUAUUAAUAAAUUCAAUCUCAUCAAUAUUAAUAAAUUUGCUUCAGCACCUCGCAUUUAACAUAUGCGAGAUUUGAAACCUUUUAGUUUUUUAAUAUUAAUAAAUUCAAUCUCAUCUCUUUUUUUUUAUAAAUUCAAGCAAAUUGUGUUUGUUUUUCUUUUGAGUGUGGGUUUUGCUUUUUAUUUCAGGAGAAUGAAUUUUUUGGUUAUUAUCCAUUGAUCUUGAAUUUCACAUACUGAGUACUAAUAUGACCUAAUCCUAUAAUCGGAUUCAUGCCUGUUGUAAAUCCCUUUUAAAUUCAACCACUUCCUAUGCUAUCUAAGUAUGCCUAUUGUUAAGCAAGUUAUUCAAUUAGUUAAUUAUCAUAUUAGCAUCUGGUAUGAAAAUAACAAUUUUUCUUGACAAGGAUGUAUAAUAUUAUCUAGUCAAUUAAUAAUGACAGAAGUAAUGCUUAUAGUACAUUCUACUUCAUUUCAAUGUAGUACAAUAUAGCAUAAGCAUUACUUCUGUCAUUAUUAAUUGACUAGAUAAUAUUAUACAUCCUUGUCAAGAAAAAUUGUUAUUUUCAUACCAGAUGCUAAUAUGAUAAUUAACUAAUUCAAUAACCUGCUUAACAAUAGGCCUACUUAGAUAGCAUGGGAAGUGGUUGAAUUUAAAAGGGAUUUACAGCAGGCACGAAUCCUAUUAUGGGAUUAGGUCAUAUUAGUACUCAGUAAGUCAGUACGUGACAUUCAAGAUCAAUGAAUAAUAAUCUAAAAAUUCAUUCUCCAUAAUUUUAUGAAAUAAAAAGCAAAGCCCAUACUCAAAAGAAAAACAAAACAAUUUACUUGAAUUUAUAAAAAAAAAUGAUGAGAUUGAAGUUAUUAAAAUUAAAAAACGAAAAGGUUUCAAAUCUCGCAUAUGUUAAAUGCGAGGUUUGAAGCAUUUUUUUUUUUUAGAUUUUUGCAAAAUCAGAAAUUCAAUAAUAUAUCGCAUUUGUUGAAUGCGAGUUCAAUGAGCUCGCAUUCGGCAAUUGCGAACUACUUAUUCUUAGAAACCCCAACACAAACAACCCCUCAAAUAGAAAACUUUUUCUUUUCAUAAUAGUUUUAGAAUUUCUCCUACUUCCAAAUAAAUACGCAGAAGACAACAGAAAUGAUGUGUUUCUUGUUUAUUCAGAAGUUCAGAAUGCCAGUGCAUCACUGAAUAAAUUUUUUUUUUUUUGUGUCAAUCACUAAUCUUACAUAUAUUAAGGGAUAUUUUCAAGUGAUAUUGUCAAAGCACACAUUUUAGUUCUACAGCAAACCUCGUGUGCAAUGGCAACUAUAGCUUUUGCCACUCAAAAAUUAAUCAUUUUUAAAAGCAUAAAAUUGUUAUUUCAUGAAUAUUUUGCAGUGGCAUUAUCACUUGUCUAAGUGUAUUAUGCAGGUAAUUGUGAGACUCCUAAUUGACUCGCAAAACAUCCUCUUGUCCUUUCUCGGUAUAAGAGGCUUGUAGUUUCUUUGGAAAAAAAAUAUACAAAUAAAAACCCAAACUUUUAUAGAUUAGGCAUGAAAAAGUUCUAAUGACAACAUUUCACUAACUAGUAUAAUUAAUUAAGUUAAAAAACGCAACCAAAAAAUAGUUAAAUUGAUCAAAUAUAUGUUUACACCAAGUUUUGGGAUUUGUUUUCAAGCUUUUUUUUUUUUUUAUAAUGAAUUUUAAACUCUGCGAAUUUUUCAAUUGAGCUGACCUCUUGAAUCUUGAUACAACAUUUUCGGCGGAACUUCUUCUUCAGCAAAGAUGUUGUUGAUGGAGUUGACUUGUGCAGAUAUCUUACCCAUCACCAUUUAAGGUUCAAAAAUCUACUUUGUCCCACAAGCGUCAGCUCUCAACUUGCCAAUUUGGCUCAUACAAGUUCAUUUCUGGACUCGACCUCAAUUUGUAAGAACGAAUAUUUUAGAAAUGGUUCAGAAAUUUGUUCUCUUAAAUUAAUCAACUAUUGGCGUCUGCCCUUUGUCAUCAGUCAUAUAAUCUAGACGUAAAUUUUGCAUAGUUGGAGAACCUUUUUUAGUAUAGUAAAUUUUCUAUUGAAGCAGGAUGUUUGAAACUGCAAGCUCCACUUGAAGAUGUUUGAAAAUGAUAUGUUAACAAUCUUGGCAUUGAAAUUUACUUACAGGUAUAAAAACUAAAUAAGUUUCCAUUGUUUUGCAACAGAUAUUAUUCAUCGCUGUAACCAUUGAAAUUUUAGACAUGUGAUUGAAACUGAAUUUUCAUUGGUGAAGUAACCUAUGACUUGUAGUGGUUAAUAAUGUAUUCAAUGUAUGACAAUCAAGGAGCAUUUAGGGUUGUUUACACGCAAGUUUUUUUCUGUUAUCAUGCUGAACUUUGAAUAUCUAGAGUUAACAUGAUUGUAAGCAACUAAUUGCGUGAUUUAUCAAAUAUUUCAUGCUUUUUCUAUGUUUUGCAAGUGUUGAUACAUACACAUUAUAUUCUGAUAUUGGAUUGUUGAGGGCAGCAAUCCAUAGAAGCUAAAAAAAAAAAAAAACAAAGAAUGAAGGUAAAAAACCAUACUUGUACUCUUGGUCUGGCCUUCUCCUUCCAUAUAUCAGAAAGCCAAUUACCUUGCUUAAUUAGUAAAACUCCAUUAUGAUGAAGGAGAUGCAAUAUCCAACAGAAAUGGAAAAUUAUGGAAAGACUGAAUUGGAAAACCUCUCUGUCCCCUAUCAAAUCCAAGUGUGCUAAUUUGCUAAAAAAAAAAAUCCAAGUGUUCUAAGUUAAUCUAAAUAUCUAGCAAUUAGUUGGUAGAAAAGGUUCAUACGUACAGGACAUGCAAGUUUCUUGCAUUUAAAGUAAGAGUAACGUACGCUAAUAAUGUGUGCAUAAGUAACGAUCUUGUGUAUAUAUAAAAAAGAAAAAAACUAAAAGGUUUUGUAAUAAUGGGUGGAUCAAUUAAUUGUACACAAAAUUGUUGUUUCUGUACACUAGAAUUUGUACAUGUUUUCAUCCAUGAAUUGUCGAAUUUUCUACCCCUUAUCCUGUGGCAUCGGUGAUGCUGCCAAUGUAACGGCUGUUCUAUAUCAUCAAUUUAACGGAAACAACUCCUAUUACUGUGUCAGAGACUCAUAAUUUAUGUGUAGUGAUUGGUGAGAUAACCAAGACCAGCUCAAUGCAUUCUGCAUUUAUUCCUUCUUGUGAUUAACUUUCUAUUGUGGUCGUUUCAAUUGAUUAUACACUCCAUUGCAUUUAUUCUAUAGUGGAACCAAGACAAUGACCCCCUAAACGCAAAAAAACCACUUCUCGAGUAUAAUGAGCAAAUCCAAGUUGAGAUUAAAUAGCUGUAACCAACCUUUGACUGAUUCAUUGUCAUUUACACUUUAUUUUUUUUUACUAGUAAAAAAAAGAAAAAAGAAAUCACUAAUCUACAGAGAUAUCCUUUAACAGCAUCAGUCUAGCGAGAAAUUUCGAUAAUGAUGAUGAAUUUUAAAAAAUUUCUACAAAGGGAAGAUUUUGAGUAUAGAAUUCCAUUCAAGGGAUCUUUGUAUUCAGCAAUUGCGAACUCUCGCAUUUGCUGAAUGCAAAGUCACUUUAAAUUUUUGUCCCACAAAAUCCAAAAAAUAAAAUAAAAAAGAGAGCCAAAUGCGAGGUCACUUUUCUGCACUACUAGUUAUGCUUACAUUUCUUCACUACCGGUUAUGCUAACAUUGUUAUGCUUACUUUUCUCGCUAUUAGUUCAUUUUUUGAACUAGUUUUUCCCCGGUGUCUGAAGCAAUAUUUUUAAAAAGCUACUACUUAGCUAGCUGCACUAACUUUCACUGGUUCUAGAUGGUCAUUUUCAUUUUUCUAGCUUUCUACUGUUGAAACAGCAGAUGCAAUUCCUAGUGAUGCAGCAGAUAACAAAUUAGAGAAACACAGUUAUGACAGCAAAUCAUGAACAACACCUAUCUCAAGCACGUCGACAUUUUCAAGCUUACCGGCUACUACUUUUCCGGAGAUGGAGUGAGUUUUUGAAGCCAUUAGGAAAAAUUGGGAAAAAAAUCUGGAACUUCUUCAAAUGUUUGAAAGCUGAUGCUAAAAUGCUAUGUUUGUAGCGGUUUGACUCCUGGUACUGGCGUCAAUUCGUCUUCGUUUUGGUGUUCCCAUAUCGAAAUUGCGUUAGGGAUUUAGAAUGUUAGAGUUGCUCUGUUUUGAACAUUCACCUGUUAUUUGGGAAGAUAUCUCACAAAGCUCGUGGUUCUGCAAAUGCGAGCUUUGUGGUUUUUUUUUUUUUUUUUGGCCAAAGAUGUUUCUGAAAUCACUAACCUCGCAUUUGUCAAAUAUGAAGUCCUUGAACUCGCAUUUCACAAAUGUGAAGAUCCUAAUCUUGGAAUUAGCUUCAGAAAUAAUCUCUCUUGUAGAACAAUUUUUUUCAUAAUAAUUUAAGAAUUUACUCAGACUAGCAUUGACUUUGUCUUCUGGACCGAAAUUGCAAAAGUACAUCAUUUUGGCAAGAGUGAGUUAUCAGUCAUUAUUAUAUAAAAGCAACUGUACAUUUAUGCAUAACCAUGACAACUACGCAAUUCCACCAUAAUUUACAGAGAUUAAAUCUUCCAACAUACUGAUUGAUGCAAAUUGAACUGCUGAAGUUUCUGAUUUUUUUAUUAUUACUAAACAUUCCAGAGUCCAAGUGCGAUAACGGGCUGACCAAGCCAGUAGGUUACAUUGGUACAGAAUACAUUGGCAACAGUUCAUUGGAUGAGCAAAAAGCUGGAUGAGUCCUUUUUUUGUGUCAAAGAGAACAACAUUUUGUCUACCUAGCUUGACAUGUCCAAAUUGCACGAAUGAUCCAGGUAAUAACGAUUCACUGAAACAAUUCACAAGAUUUUACUCGUCCAUAAUGUCAAAUUCAUAGAUAGGUUGCACCUGAAAUAGUUUGUUCUAUACGAAUAUAGACAAGAAGACACCCUUCCAAUUGAAGAACAAGCCUUUGACUCCUUCAAUCAAAUCAAUUUGAAGUACAUAGAGGGCUACUUUCUUUGUUUCAAGAAAAAUAACAAAGACUGUGUCCUCUUGUUAUUCUAAAAAAUGAUGUAACGGAUCUUAGCUUUGACCCUAUUUAUCAAGUGGCAUUUGACAUUUAAUUAUUAGGCUAUAUUUUUACUCCUUGUAUAAUUGUAUUGUCUGUUCUAUUAUGAUUGGUUUAAAUAAUCAAUCCUGAAUUCUGAAAAUUUAAUGAAUUCAGGGCAUGACAACAUUGAUUAAUGUUUACUUUUCAUCGAGACAACAUAUAUUAUAUUUUGUUCUUUACUGAGACAUCUAAAAAAAGCUGUGGCAAACUAUUGAUCAAUUUCUUCAUUAAACUUAAGAUAAAUGACCCUUUAGUCCAGAGCCAAACUAUUGAUAUAUUAUGCUCUUUUCUGGUAAACUGUCCACUUUUAUCAAUCGAUGAAUUUUCACAUUUUGCCCGAAAAAAUGAUAUUAACCUAUUUCUCUUCCAGGAAAAGAAAUCGUUAGAUUUUGCUGUUAUGAAAAUAUGGUUGUCAGCAUGAAUUACGUGAUCAGAUUCAUGAUCAUUUGUUUCUUCUUGUGUCUAAUAUGUGUUUGGAUUAAUCAAAGCAACCUCAAAGUCCUAUUAUUAUCAUCCUUUGCAAUUGCAAAACAAAUUCAAAAAUUGUGAAAUUUUUGGCAUAGUAUUUAGUUCAAAUUAAUGUAUUUUUAUCAUCCAAUUUAUCCAAUAGUAAGUGAUUUUGCAACAUCGUAGAGCGGAGAAAAAAUUUUUUAUUAGGCUUGAUGGGUGUUUGGGUUAUUCAGAUAAUAUUUGAAUUAUUUAUUCGUACUAGUAUAAAUGAGUUGAUCCAACUUAUCAAUUCGCAUUGAUAUAAAUGAGUUGAUGUAAGUAUACUAAUUGUAAAAUUUCUAUCAGAACUUGUUCGCAUUACCUAAAUUGCCACUUCGCAAUUGUUUUAUUUGCUUGCAGCUUAAUGUUCUAAUCACCCAAAUUGGCACUUUGCUAUUGUUCUAUUUGCUUGCAACUUAAUGAGUUUACCUUAUUUGACCAAACAAUUUUGCGUGUUUUGUAGUUCAUGAAUUCAAGGUCAAAAAUUUUGAUGAAAAUUUGUGAAAUGACCAAAUGGAAAUAAAGAAAUUUUAUUUUUAGCAAUUAUGAAAAGAAAAUGAUAAAAGAGACCACAUGGCACUUGAAUUACAAGACGGUAUUUUUUAACUUUCUUUUCCUUUACAUAUUUGUUGUCUUCACUCCUAUUAUUUUUCCCCCUAAUUUUCUUUCCUAGGUUCAUUUGGGUGGUUAAUCAAUCAAAAAUGGUAAAAAGUUUCGAAGUUAUUACUUUCUUAUCGGAUGUCCCCAAAGGGACUCGAAGUUAUUACUCAAUGACCCAAAUUUCGAACUUUUUUUCAACUCAAAUUAUCAAACAUUUAAGAUAGUGAAUUCAUGAAUUUUCAAUAUAAUUGGUAAUUGUUUAAUUCAAUUGUAGUUUCUUUUUUAAAUAUGUUUUCUCUUUACGUCCUCCUACCAAAUCCAUAAUCCAAACAAAGGAUUUACCUUCUUUGGAUCUUUUCUCAUUUCCCUAGUACUUUCCUUCAUCAACCUAACAAAAGAAAAGAGUAUGGUUUACAAGGGACCUAAUUUCCUUUCCUCAGUGGCUUCAUGGAACCAAACAAGGCUAGACUUGUGAACAGAAAGUUAUACCUCAGAGAGGACGGUGACCAUCUUUUCUAGUAAUCAUUCCAAUCUGUUGUUUAUGUAGUUGCAGCACUCUCCAAGGCCGGUGACCAUCUUGUUUGUAUUCCUUUCAUGAAUUUUCAAUAUAACUAGUAAUUGUUUAAUUCAAUUGUAUUUUUUUUUAAAUUUGUUUUCUCUUUAUGUCCUCCUACCAAAUCCAUAAUCCAAACAAAGGAUUUACCUUCUUUGGAUUUUUUUCUCAUUUCCCUAUUACUUUUCUUUUUCCCUAGUACUUUCCUUUGUCAACCUAACAAGAGAAAAGAGUAUGGCUUACAAGGAACCUACUUUCCUUUCCUCAGUGGCUUCAUUGAUCCAAACAAAGCCAGACUUGUGAACAGACAGUUAGAGGAUGGUGACCAUCUUUUCUGGUAAUCAUUCCAAAUCCGUUGUUUAUCUGGUUGCAGCACUCUCCAAGGCUGGUGACCAUCUUGUUUGAAGGGGCAACUUUUUGUUAGCUAUUCCUUUCAUGAAUUUUCAAUAUAACUGGUAAUUGUUUAAUUCAAUUGUAUUUUCUUUUUUAAAUUUGUUUUCUCUUUAUAUCCUCCUACCAAAUCCAUAAUCCAAACAAAGGAUUUACCUUCUUUAGAUUUUUUUCUCAUUCCCUAUUACUUUCCUUUUUCCCUAGUACUUUCCUUUGUCAACCUAACAAGAGAAAAGAGUCUGGUUCACAAGGAACCUACUUUCCUUUCCUCAGUGGUUUCAUGGAACCAAACAAGGUCAGACUUAUGAACAGAAAGCUAGAGGAUGGUGACCAUCUUUUCUGGUAAUCAUUCCGAAUCCAUUGUUUAUCUGGUUGCGGCACUCUCCAAGGCUGGUGACCAUUUUGUUUGAAUGGGCAACUUUUUGUUUGCUAUUCCUUUCAUGAAUUUUCAAUAUAACUGGUAAUUGUUUAAUUCAAUUGUUUUUUCUUUUUUAAAUUUAUUUUCUCUUUAUGUCCUCCUACCAAAUCCAUAAUCCAAACAAAGGAUUUACCUUCUUUGGAUUUUUUCUCAUUUGCCUAGUCAUUUCCUUUCUCCCUAGUACUUUCCUUUGUCAACCGAACAAGAGAAAAGAGUAUGGUUUACAAGGAACCUACUUUUCAUUCUUUUACUUUCCUUUCCUCAGUGGCUUCAUGGAACCAAACAAGGCCAGACUUGUGAACAGAAAGCUAUACCUCAUAAAGGACGGUGACCAUCUUUUCUGCUAAUCAAUCCGAAUCCGUUGUUUAUCUGGUUGUAGCACUCUCCAAGGCCGGCGACCAUCUUGUUUGAAGGGGCAACUUUUUGUUAGCUAUUCUUCCUUUCAAGACUCCCACAAUUGAUUUAAAGUCUAUAGCCACUAGGACACUAAAGACCCAUUUGUAUUAUGAUGCGUUGAUUCGAAAUAAAAUUCCACCAAAUUUUCACGCACAAGUACCCAAACGGAAGAAGUACUACUGUAACCAGGCAUUACCAGUUUACUACAUUAAUACAUCAAACAAGAGGAAAAUCAAGGCUCUCCACAAAAUGUUAAGUAUAUCCUACCAUCAAAAAUAUAGUUUCACAGUUGAAACUUGGGAUCACAUGAAUUCAAUAUCUUCUUCCAGUGCUUCAAGAACUAUGGUGGCAAGAGCAAGUCUGUAUGCGGUGGACCUCAAAUUCCUAACCAAAACGUAAAUUUCAUUCCUCCUCCUGCUAACAGAGAUGGUCUUCCAUUGAUCCUCUCUAAGAUGAGCAAGCAAGACCGCCUCACAUAGAGCAAUUGCCACAGGCUUCUUGCUGUAUGUCCAUUAAAACAACAUUCAAAAUCACAAAUACAUUUGUACAUUCUCACUUAAUACAUUCUCACUCUUCACGCUAUCACUUUAUACUAUCUCACAUUUGUACAUGUACACUUUUUUCAUACUCAUUUGCACCCCUGCACUUUACACACCCACUUGCACACUUGCACUUUGCACUUUUUGCACCUGGCACUCGCUUUUACACUCAAAGACAUUUUCACACACACUCAUUUUUUUCUCAUGAUUAUCCAAGCAUUCAUUUGCAUUUAUUCGUGACCUCUUUGAGAGUUCACCAUUGGCUAUCACAAUUCAUGUGAUUAGGACCAAUCGAGCCUCAAAAAAGACAUUCUAUCCCAUUCAAACCAAACAUUAGAUUUAGGUUUGCAUUCAUGUUAGACACAUCCAAAAUGCAAUACGUCUCUUGGGUAAAAUUAGGAAAAUUGUCACUAAAUCACGUAACUAGCUUAGGCUAGGAUAAAAGGGUGCCUUAGACUUCGUCUUUGCCUUCCCUUUUAUCAACCGUGACCCCCGAACUCAUCUCUUUGAUUUUCGUAGACUAGGAGUCAUCUAAAAAGGUUUUACUCCAUUUUUCAAAAACUACUUUUUUGGUGACUUGGUACACCCCAACUCAAUACCAAGUGGCGACUCAUACUUUUCUGUUUAAAAACCUUUUUAGAUUAUCGUUUUGACCAAACCGUCGCAUUUAAAAGUCCCAUGACCUUUCCCUUUAUUUCUCACAUUCACAUGCUUCACAUAUUACACGCACAAUACACAUUAUGAUUUCAAACGACUUUUUUUUUCAUUUUUCCAAAAAUGGGGUGCGACAGUAUAAAUGUUAUUGAUACUUGAACUACGUGCUUGCAUGACUUUCUUGGCCUCACUGAGUAUUGACUCAUCCCAUUAGUUUGUUUUCCUUAACAGGAACUGGAAUGGAAGAAGUUAAGAAAAUGCCGACUUGAGGCACUUUUGUAUUUGUGUUUUGAUUGUAAUCGAUUAAAUACUUUUGGAUGUUGUAUAUUUUGGGGAAAGUAAUGAAAAAUUUGAAAUUGUGAUGUGAGAUUGAAUAUUUAUGUAUGGAAAUGACUUCGUACCUUUAUUCCGACUUUCAUUGUUAGUAUUAGAAUUUAAGUUUAAAUUGGAAUUGUCUCGAGUCCUGGAGAGAGUUGGGUAAGCGUCCCGCGGAUACCCUUGGGUUUGCCCUUGGGAGAAAUGGGGGCGUCACAACGUGGAGAACAGGAUGAAAUGACACAGCAUGCAGUUGUUAAACGUGUUCAAAAUAAAUGCGUACUAUGCAUGGCACGGACAUCCGCUUUGAUAUCACACAAUCACUAAAUAUAAAUGUGAUGCUAUUUAUAUCACACAAUAACUAAAUAUGUUUAUAUACAUACACAUAUAAACCUUCUACCCACGAUCUGCCAAAAAAAUUUAUACCUCUUUAUUAUCUCCUCCCCAAUACUUUGGCAGACCAUAGUUCCUUUCAUCCAACCAAAAAGUAGUAGGUCUUAGCAUAGUCAUGCAACCCACUUUUGAAAAAUCUCAUACAAGCUCACAAUCAAAGGUUCAGCAAAAAAGACGGAAAGUAUCGUCGGGUCCAACCAAUACUCUAAGGAGGUACGAAACACCAGAUGGGAGGAUUUUAUAUGGUACCAAAUGCGAUUUCAGGAACGCUCCACUUAACACCAACAACUCUCUGGGACUAGCUGACCACAUUUUCAAAGAUAACAUCCACGAGCACCUACCCUCUCUGGUAAUUACAUUCUCGAACCUAAACCCAUAUGGGAGCCUAUUCGUGAGCGAAGAAUGGAAUUACAGGUAUUUUGUCGCUGGCAUAGCCUCCGCGUCUGGAGAACAUGCUCAGCGGAGCUUGUUAUAGGACUAAAAGUGAAUGAUGCAAGCAUAUUACAUAGGCUACAGUGAGAAGUUAUGUAGAUGGAGCGUAGGCUACACAGGUUUCACGAGGUUGAGGCCGCAAAAAGACAUGCUAUUGCAAAAGAUUUUGAUGUCGAAAAUAUUUUAGCAGAUCCCAUGCUUAUAUCAGACCUGGACCUAUCUGACUUUACUGAAUCAAGUAACGAUGACUUUCAAAGGUACAUACCCGAUUGUCUAAUGCAUGACGGCGUUUCCAGGUGUUGUAUGGGAUACGACAGAUGACGAGGGAUGUAGUCCGAUGUUCGUGAAGGUAGCAAGAAAAAGUUUUAACAUUAUAAUCUCUACUUUAACAUUUUGCCCCCUAUUUGGAUAUUAAUGAUGCCUGUAACAGGAUCCUUGUACUAGUUGUAACAUAUUGUAACAUACACCUAAUUGGUUGUAACUCAUUCUGUAUGCUUCGUUAUGAAUAUUUGUUGUAUUAUAAAACUUAGUUUUAACAAACGGAAUUAGUUGUCCCCUUCUACUAUCAUUUUCUUCUGCGAAACUAUUACCUUAUUGUGGUCGUGUGGUUACUUGAUCAUAAUUCAAUUAGGAAGAUUCUUGUAACACCUAUUGAAGUGCCUAUAAUACAUCAUGUCAAUGGUGCAAACCGUUCGUUCUGAAAAUGUAACCCAUAUGUAGUGAAUUAUGUAAAUUUUUUGGUGACUAAAUAGCACAUAAUAAUUCGGCCAGGCAUCAUAACAAAAUAAUAACAAUUUGUUAAGGCCAAUUCCUAUAUGAUACAUCUAGCCAUUCUAAGUGCCAUCCAUGCCAAUAAAGAUGUUAUUUAUGAUUGUAGCUGAAUGUUGGACAAUGGUAUAUAUAUCACGACAGUUAUUUGUUAUGGUAUCCUAUGAAAAAUACCAUAAUCAUAAAGAAACGCGUUCAAUCGUAUUGUAAAAAUGUUACUCUAAUUUUCAGUCAACUUUAUAAUUUCUUAACAACUUUAUACAACCCAUUACAGAACAAUUGAUGACUACUAACAAUGAAAAUUAGUAAAAUUGUAUCCCACUUAUCUAAGUUUGAACAGAGUGAAACAUUAAAGGUGCCUGUACAGGUACGUGAAUAACUUGUAAUAGCUUAUUAACUGCUUGUAACGUAGAUAUGGAGCAUUUCCAACCAAGCCGACAUGGAGGUCCAAUAACAAAUGUUCGUUGAAAAACACUGCAAAUCUCGUUCAAGACAACUAAUGUAUGAAAAUAAAAAAAAAAAUCUAGUGAGUUACGGUCAACAUGCACUAAUUCAUUUCGAGAUUGUAGAUUAAAAGAAACUGACAAUAGGGAAGCGAUUGAAACUGAGCAAUAUCUUCAACAGAGAAAUACUAAAAUCAAUAAAUGAGGUCAACUUGGUGAAUGAAUAAUCGGAACUCAAUAGUUUGGUCAACCACUUAAUGUGUUAUUAAAAAAUUAGAGAUACACAUCAUUCAUCAAUCUGCCUCUGAAGGGAGGCGACAUCAACAGUUAGUCGCAAUCCUUGGGUGUUAUUUCUUUCCUGAAAUGUGUAACAAUGGCAAAUCAGCUAAUACAUCUAAUGGAACAGACGGUUAAUAAUAUACGAUAUCCAAGUAUCCAAAUAACAAUACUACAUAAAUAUGUGAUGUAACGGUAAAAGUUUGUCACCUGCAGUGAUGGUGAAAAUACAUGAUAUGCAUCAAUAUCACAGUGUGUUGAAAUUGCUGCACACUCCUCCUACAUUACAUAAUAUAACUAUCAACUGUCAACAGAUCAUUACCAGUGCCUAUAUUGCUCACUUCAAAAGCUAAAUUGGACUAGACAUUAUAAAAAAAAAUGAUAUAUCAGACCAUUAAGAUAUCCCUGACAGAGUUAUGCUUGAAAAAAAUAGAAAAUUUGGGAGGCAUCCAUUCUGUAGGGACUAUUGCAGGAGGCCUCUGAUUAGGCAAACGGUGGACCUUCGGAUAAUACAAAACAAUUGGUUAUAGAAGCGAGCAUACGUUAACUACAUAAUAUACAUGCUUUGAACCGUUCAAGUGCCCACCAUUACAAUAAACAGAAAAGUAGUUGUAUGAUACGAACAAUAAAGUCUUUAUUUUUCCUACUAAAUGUAUGCAUACCAUUUCAAUUUUCUCGAUUUCGGGAGCAACAGCAUUUGGAGGGCCAUUCACUGACUGGAUCCUUGAAUGCGUCUAUGAGUUUUGAAGGGCCAAAUAAUUGUAUAAGACAGACAAAAUAGAUAUAUCAGGAGGGAUGACAGGCGUAAUAAAAUUAUCACAUAAUGUAACAUCAAUGUAACUAAUUAUGCUAUUACAAACAUCUAAAUAAAAUCUAAAGUCAUGACCAUUUUAUACUAAUUGAAACUAAGUCAGUAGAUGAACCGCAUCCCAUAAACAUGUGUUCAUCAAAGUCAACCGAUGUCGGCUCCGAUUCUGAGAUCUGUAUUAUUGACACGACAAUAAUACUACUUUAUAGUGAAUGGUACCUAAACUUGAGUUAACAGCAAUAUAAUAAGAAUGUUUUAGCAUAAAGGUUUACCAUCAUAAAAAAUGGAUCCAUAUCGUAGUCUAUGUAGCUCUUGACAAUUUAGAUUUUCUUUUUACUCUAUCAAAUUUAUCGACCGAACAUCGCAUCACUCUACUUCUCUUCCCACCAACUCAUUUUUUAAUGCCUCUUGCGACUACUGCCUCUCCCAUUUCAUUUACAAUUUCAAUUUUAUCACGUUCCUCCACAUUCAGAUUUUUAUGAUUUUACGAAGGUUGCUCUUCGUUUUCUGAGAGGAGGAGCUAAACUCUCUUUGCCAAAUCGGAUACGACGCUGAUUACUACUUUGCUGGUGUCCUCCGACAUUGCUGCUCGAGUUGCGACCUUAAUCAUGGCUAGAGCGAGCUUUCGAUAAUGAGUUGAAAUGAUUACUUUUGGAUCAGCCACAAUUUCUCGUCCUCGCCGAUCAAAACAUUCUCCAGCCCGAGCUCUUUUUGUCCAUCGCCUCUUAACGUAUUCAGGAAGAAUUAUUUUUAUACCCACGAUAUCAAACACCUUCAACGCGUGCCCAUACAAAAUUCCUUCAUUCUCAUAUUUUUUGCAACUACAACGUACACUUAGAUCAUUCCGAUUGAAUACUACUUUUAUUUCAGGUCCUCCAUCAUACUUUAUGACCGCAAACUCCACAAACAUCCCUGCAUCUUGUUGUCUCAAUAUAAUUAUAGUUGUUGACUCGUCAUAUUCAUUUUGGAAUGCACUAAAUACGAUUGAUGAAUACGUCUUUGCUGCAUGCACAAGUAUAGGUGUUUGCCUCAACCCAAUCAUGGGGAGCUAUUGCCUCAUUUUAUAUUCUUGCGAUGAGUUCAUUAUGUCUCUUAUCAUCAACCACCCGAUUGAAAUGUCUAAAGAAUUGCACAAGGUCGUGAUCCAGUUUCAAAUAAUUUUUAAUUACUAUAUUUAGGCUUUCGCUAAAUUGGGUGUUUCGCAUUCCCGUGGUCUAUCUUUCUUUCAUCAUGUACCUUGCCCAUUUAUCACGAAUUCGAUACAUCCCGGAAAGCCAUUCAUUAUUUUCAAUAUUGUGUUUCUUCACCAUCACCUCCCACACCCUGUUGAAUUGUUCCACUUCUUCAAUUUCAUACGUGCAAACACCAAACAUGUAUGGAAGGUCACUACUUUCCUUGUAGUGAUUGCCAAGAUAUUUCAUAAAAUUACGUCUUAUGUGAAACGUACAUAGACCGUGAAACGUUUCGGACAUGACAAGUGAAAGAGCGGCUGCCAUGAUAUGAUUUUGGUCGGUUAGUAUGGUACUUGGAUGUUUUCCACACAUUGCUUUUAGAAAUGUACCAAACACCCAUUUGAAAGAAUCUAUCGUCUCAUCAUACAUAAGGACAGCACCGAAUAUCACAAUUUGCUUAUAUUGGUUAAAACCCACAAAUACUCCAAGUGGUCAGUAUUUUUUAUUUGUUUUGUAGAUUGUGUCAAAUGUGAUUACGUCUCCAAAAAAGUUGUAGUCAAUUAAUAUUCCUGCAUCAGCCCAAAAGAUAUUCGUUAUCUGCUCUUCACAGUCCAGCUGUACGGCAUGAAAAAAAAAAGAAGGAUUCUCGAGUGUUUGUUCUUGAAAAUAAUUCAACAUGCUACCUAUAUUUCCAUAUUUCAAGCUCCUUUCCCAUCUUAUUCGAAGAUAUCAUUUAACAUCAUCCCGAGUAUAUCCCACAUUACCCAUCCCACCUGUCUCCUUUCCCAUAAGCUCAUGGCUCUGUUUCAAUGAAAGCCCAGCAACCUCGCUUAUUUCAGUUUGGAAUCUUUGAGUCUUACUCACUUUUCUUUGUGAUGGCAUCAUGUGCGAACAUUGAGCAAUGUACAACUCAUGGUUAUGCUCUAAGACAAGAUCAUGCACACGGUACUUCAUUGUCCCUCUAAACAACACGAUAACCAUUUUAACUCCAUACCCUGUUUUCGUUGGCACUCGUGUCCUCUUUGGCAUCACAUCACCUUCGUACUUGCGCUUCACACCUUUCUUGCUGCAACUGUAAGGAUCGAAGACAACCAAGUGGAAGAAAUAAAUAAUGUAAAAAUCACAAACGUAACAAUAAGUAAAUAAAAAGGAAAGAAUUGCAAACCAAUUAACUACCCAACUCCUCUUGAGCUUGUAGAUUAAUUCAAACAAGUUUCUUCAAAUUGAUGAAUUACCAUCACUUUUGUGUACAAAAGAAGGUUCAUCUCCUCCUUGCCCUGAACUCCACUCGGUCAAAUUAUGACGUUUUACUAUCUCUCAGGACAACCCUCGCAGAGUUACACUCAUGAAGUAUUCACUCACAAAUGAAAAACUUAUAAUGAACCUCACAUCACUAAGACUACAAAUCUUCCUUUUAGAGUAUUUUCUCACUAAAAUCACUCUAGAUCUUUUGUCUCUUCAGUGUGCAAAAGUUAUUUUAAGUAUCUGACUAACCACUAUUUAUAUAGGACCAAGAAAGUGCCUCAUUAAUGUUUUCAACGGAUAGAAAGUAGCUGAACAGUCAACUAGUCGUUGGAGUAUCGGACGUCCGAUGCCUUGCGUCCGAUACUGUCGGACGUCCGAUGCUUGCGUCCGACAGCAGACAAUGAGUUUGAAAAAUCUUUUUCAAUUCUAUCGGACGUCCGGUGCAAGCUCUUUGUGCGUCCGAAAGCAAACAGAGAGAUUUGAGAAAUUAUCUCAUUUCUAUCGGACGUCCGGUGGAGACAUAUUCAGCGUCCGAUAAUUUCGUCGACUUUGAAGGAUCCUAUCGGACGUCCGAUGCUUGUGUCCGAAAGAGGUCAGUGAGUUAGGUGGAAUGUCUUAAUUCUUUCGGACGUCCGGUGAUGGAGUUCUUCAUGUGUCCAAAGUUGAGCAAAGAGUAUCGGACGUCCGAUCCAAGCGUCCGACAGCUUUCAGCAGCCUUUGUCCCUUUCAAUGUACUUGAACUUUGAAUCUGAUUUGUUUCGUAGUUGAAAGUAUUUCUUGAAAAAAUAUUAGAAUUAUCCAUUGUUUUGUAAGUAUCAAAAGUUAGGGACCAAGGUCAACAUCUAUAUCUUCUAGAUGUGGUCACGUCAUCUUUGUCUUUAUUCAGAUAGUUUUUUCUUACACUAAAACCCAUUUUUAAGGCAUAUUUGUUGUAAAACUUGUACGCAUCCUCUUCACUGUUGAACUCCAUUCCUAAUUCAGGAGUCCCAUCUUCUACCAAUUUGCUGCAAUCCAUUACUUCUGCUCCUGCCAAUUAUGCAUCAAACACCCUAAUUUGCAAUACUUCAUGGAUAGUAUGUAUAUAAAUGACAAUAUAAAUGUAUAUUACCAUUCAUAAUGUGUUAUGAAUCACACAUUAUUUGUAUACCAAAUCCUAUUAUUACGCUUAUCAAUAUGAUUAAUGAUUCACAUCACCUUACUUUUACUCUAAGACAAUGGCAUUAUCUAUGUACAAAUACAACUACAUGUACACUAAGUUAUACGGACUGUAAUGUAUUGGUCACACGAUGUAAGUCUAUUUUAACUGUAUGUAUAUCCACGUUGCUGAUUAUAUUUCGGUUCUAGAUUCUUUAGUUCACUGGACCUUAUUGUAGACACCAAAUUUUUAUUUUUAUUAUUUAUUAUUUAUUAUUUGCUAUUUAUUUUUAUUUUAUAGUUAAUGCUUCAUUUUGUUCAUAUUUAUAAGUUGGAUUUAUCAUUUUCAUUUUAAGGUAUUUUUGCAUUAAAUUCUUAAAGAAAUAAAAAAAAUUAAAAAGAAAGCAAGCUCGCGCGUGCGUGAACUUCACGCAGACAAACAUUUCAAAUGCUUUCGUAUCAGAAGCGUGAAAUACGCGAAGUACAGAAGCAAAUGGAGCUCGGUUCCAUUUCCUUUUUCCACCAUUUUUUCCAUUGUUUUUUCCUCACCAUUGGAUCCUGUUAAUCCCUAACCACCUGGCUUGCAUCUAAGAACUAAGAAGAAUCUAGAUGGAAGAACUAAUCCAAGGGUCCGAGUGAUAAGUGGCAAGAGGGAGUUUCUAUCGGAGCCAUUGAAUUGAGGGUUUUGGGAAUUUUGGUUUGCUCUAAAAGGCUAGCAAAGGGGAACUGAGUGAGAGGAGAAGAGGACAGGGAGUGUGACGGCUAAGAAAGGUUUGAAGAGAAGGGAGUGACGGCUGAAGGAAAAGAGGGAGGUAGAGAGAGAUAGAAAGAACCGAGAGAGCUCUCGGUUGAGGAGAAAAGAAAGAAAAGCAAAAGUGAGAGGGGCUACGGGAACAACGUGAAGAGAAAACCAGGAGAAAGAAAAGAAAUCUGGGAUCCAAGAGAAAGAGAGGAGCUACUGGAGUCUUUCUUUUUUUUCCAUCGCUACUAAAUUCCAUCGAAAUAGCAUUGUAAGGUUUCUUUUUUUAGCUUUUCCUAUAGAUACUUUCUACGAGAAUCAUGUGUUUGUUUGAUGUUUUGAUGGUUAUGUUUUUGAGUUGUCAUUUGGUUUAAGUCGGUGAAUAUGCAAAAGACUUGCGAUGGCUGUUUCCUCGUGUUUGUUUAUGGCUUAAAGUUGUUGUCUUUUGUUGUUAUUUUGCAUGUUAGGUAUGGUAGGGUUUGAAAUCUAUUCGGUGCUGUUUAUAUUUGUUAUUAGGUAGUGGUUUAGUAGCAAAAUGUUAGCUUUGAAAAGAAAGGACAUCUAUAUGGCCAAUUCCUCUGAAAAUGUAUCUGAGUUCGUGUGCUGGAUGAGUUGCAAGAAGUUCCCAGCUAGUGUUUUUAUUCUGAUUUUGUUAUGCUGAAAUCUACGUUUGCAAAGCAGGGAGAAUGUUUGAGUAUUUUGUUGCCUAGGAUCAGGUGGCUUUAGUUGAAGUUUGUACAUAAGAAUUUGCUGCAACAAGUUCGAAAAAUUUCGACUUGUUACAGCGACGUUGGUAAACUGAUUUUUUGGGAUGGCUGAGGCUUUGGUUUGGCAUGAUUUUGUUGUUUGGGUUUGUUUGUUGUUGGGUAGUUCAGCUAUUGAAUGUGGUUGCUACACUUUAGGAUGGCAGCAUGUGGCGUAGCAACUAGCUGCAACAAGCUUGAAGUUCUGGCUUGUUGCAGUAGAGGUAGAGAUUAUUUUGUGAAUGAUUGAAACUUCCGUUGCUCCAAGUUCAGUUUCUUUGCUGUUUGUUAUGUUUAACUCCCUUAUUGGAUCUCUGUGGCGUAGACAAUUGCAUUUGAUAACAUGGGUGGAAGUCAUAGCAUUGGGCUUGGGUAGGCUUUAUUUCGCAUAAGCAAGCUGCGGUUGUAUAAAAAAGUUGCAACAAAAUGUUCUGUUUUCCAGUUUCGCAUGAAUCUUUUUGAAUUUUUGAAUAUUGAAAUUUGGUAUCGAAAUGAAAAGAAAGCUUUGCUUUGUUUCUAGUUGUUUGGUCAAAAUGUUAGAAGUGUUUGAAUAAAAGGAAGAUUACAUUAGAUGAAACAAAGUUAGCUCUCAAUGAUCCUGGUUUCAUGUUUUCUUUUGUUAUUGCAUGUUUUUCUCCUUCUGGCAUAUUAAGAACCUUGUCCAGAUUUUGCUAACCAAAUGGUUUGAGACUUUUACUGAUUUUUUGAUUAACAAACUCGUGAGUUUUGCUUGAUUGUGUCGAACCAGCGAAAUCUCAUAAUUUUUCCAGAUUUGGGCCUGUUCUUUUUCUCUGAACUGUUGUGUUUACAUAUAAGGAUUUUGUGGUCGAAAGGUGGAAAAUGUUUGGAAAAUUUGCUACUAUAGUCUAAGUCUUUGUUGUUUAAGUCAUUAGCUGUAUUCGGAUGAAAAGAAACUACAUCAGAAACCAUGAAAGUUGUGCCGCAAGCUGGCUGCCGAACCAUUUUGCAUGAAGUUCUCCAGUAUUUGCAUGAUUUCCUUCUAUGUUUUUGCUUGUUUGGAUGUCAAAGUUAUGUUUUGUGUUGUUUAGUUUAAAGUUUGGAUGUUGGAUCGAGAAAGCUUUGAUUAGAGCAUGCGAUUGAAUCUAAAAUUGGUGUUUGAAAGCGAAACAAAAGUGCAGCAGUUUUUUUGUUGCAGAAGCACAAGCUUCCUCGUAAGUUUGCAUGCACAACUUUCAGAAAUUGCAUUCUAACCCCUUUUUUUGUUAAAUUCUACUAUGGCCCAAAUAAUUGAAAAAAUCAAUCAAAUUGACCCCUCAAACUUUUUUAAUCCUUUCAAUUGGGUCCUUAUUUAUUUCAAUUUGGUGAAUAUGGGUUGUUUAGUUUAUUUGAAUGCUUUGAGUGAUUCAAUUUCGUGUUUUUUUUUCCUUUCAUGUGAUUAUUUAUUAAUUAAAGUGAUAUCUUGACCUUUUCUUUGUUUUUUUGGAGGGUAAAUAAGUAAAUUCAUUUCAUUAGGGCACCAAUUCAAGGGAAGUACACUCUACUCUUUAUUUUGAUUUUUUACUUGACCAUAUAUACCCCUAUGUGACUUUAUGUGCUUAAUUACAUGCCUUUUAAAUGUUUUCAUUUCAUCUAUUUAUUUAUUUAGGUUUUAGUUGCUUUAAUUUUGUAUAUUUAUUUUAGUUCAAUUUUGGUCAUUUGAAAGGCAUUUAAAUGCCAAAAUUGUCAUAGUUAGAUAUUUAUUUUAUUUAUUUCGUUUUUUGCUUAGAUUGUAGUAGGGCCCCCCUAAUGUAAUAGUUAGGGCUUGUUUGCUUUAUUUUCUUGGUAUGUUUUGCAUGCUUAUGCGUUAUGUGUUAUCCGCUUUCUUAGGAAAUUGCAUCUAGAUAUCGUGAUUAUGUGUUAUGUGUUUAUGUGAUAUUAUGUGUUUACUUGCUUUAUUAUGUUUUAUAUUAUUGGUUUAGUUAUAAUCAAUGUGUGACGUCACCACAAUAGUCCAAUGCUAGUUGUGGCCCCUUGUUCCGACUUUUCUCACUAGUCCAAUGCUAGUGAGAAUUCAUGGACAUGGGCUAGUCCAACGCUAGACUCUUAGGAGCUCUUCGAGCAUUAGAUCAUGAUUGUGUGAUAAAAUCACUUCAUCUCAUGCAUAUUUUACUUUCUAGGGUCUUUUAUCAUUUUUUGCAUGUUCCCCUUAUACAUAUAACCCUUAUCCCAUACUCCCCCUUAUAUAUAUGUAUUUUUUCCCCUCAUAUUCCCCUUAUACACACAUCCCUUAUCUCAUACUCCCCCUUAUAUAUAUGUAUUUUUUUUCCAUAUUCCCCUUAUACAUGUAUCCCCUAUCCCAUAUUCCCUCUAUAUCUAUAUCCUCUAUUUUUAUAUUUUCCUUUAUAUAAUUCUAUGUAUGAAACAUGACAUUAAACUUGCAUUUCAUAUAAGAAAAAUUAGAGAUAGGUUAGUACAUUUGCUUGAUUAGAUUAGGAAAACAACCCCUUGAGUAUGGGAUAUGGACGAGUUUGGCUUUCUAACCUUAGCAUGCUCGUAUUCCCUCUACGAAAAGGAAAAUUGAGUUACAAACAUUAGUUCCCCGUACCCGUUAUGAUGCAUCUUUUUAGGACAUAUAUAUUUGUAUAUUAUUUUCCUUUUCUUUUUUUAGAAUCUCAUAUUUUUGCAUUAUUGGUGACCUCUUCAAAGAGUCCCUAUUGGGCAUCACAAUUAAUGUGAUUUGCACCAAUUGAGUUUUGAAGAAAAAUUCCGACCCCCCGACACUCCCUGGGUCUAGAGUUUACAUUCAUAUAGUACAUCCAAAUGUGAUAAAUUUUUAGGUUAAAAUAAGAAAAUCGUUGACUAAAUCACGCAACUAGCCUUGGUUAGGUUGAAAGGGUGUCUUGGAUUUUUAUCAUUGCCUUUCCUUUCUUCAAAUGUGACUCCCGAACACUUUCUCUGAUUUUCGUAGACUUAGGAGUCGUUUAAAAAGGGUUUUCCAUGAUUUUAUCAAAAAAAAAAUCAUUUUAGGUGACUUGGUACACCUUAACUCUAUACCAAGUGGCGACUCCGAUUUUUUAUUCAAAACCUUCUUAAACUAUUAUUUGGGCUAAAAUCAUUGCACUUUAAACCCCAUUUUAGGCCCUUUCAUUUUCUUUAUUUAUUUGUCACUAAUCAUUUAACUCACAUUUUCACUCAAAUAACUCAAACAUCCAUUUUUCUAACUUGUAAUUUUUUAUUUUCAAAACUGGGGCGCGACACUUAUGUCAUUCAUUAAUGACAACUGUCUAAACAACUGCCUAAACCAACUCCGCAUCUUCUACUAUUUCUACAUUUUUAGGGCCAAACAAGCACUUUCUACUCAUUGUAAUAUAUUUCUUACAUCAUGUAAUUUACUUACAACACAAGGUACACCUAUUUAUUAUUUACAUAUAUGUCUUUUCCUCUGUUUCACCUCAUUCAACUCUACGCCUCCAUUUUAGACACACUGCAUGGUUAGGAGAGGGGCAAACUAAGAUUACGUGAUGAGCAUGGACCAACUACAUGUUACUUAUUUAACACACUGCAUUCAGUCACGUUACCUUGGUCUGCUAAUACGCGUUAUGUUUCACCGAACUCGGAAAACGCAGUUGCUUCUGCUAUUAAGUUGCACGACAAAAUCUAGCUUCAUGAGAUGAUGAAUUUCCUCUAUUUGCUUCUACCUUGCUGCCUGCCUUGCACCCAUUCAAAAUGGAUACAACACUCUCAUACCCAGUUUCAAAAUGCAUAUAACACUCUUACUGCACUGUUUGCUUUCUUCCUUAUUCACUCAACACCAUACCCCAGCUCUCUCCACCCACUUUUCUGUCAAUUGCUAUCUUCGACAGGACACCUCCUCUCUUCCCUCAGUUUUGUUUUGUGCGACUCUCCACUUUUCUGUUUGCUUUCUUCCUUAUUCACUCAACACCAUACCCCAGCUCUCUCCACCCACUUUUUUGUCAAUUGCAUCCUUCAGCAGGACGCCUCCUUUCUUCUCUGAGUUUUGUUCGACAUGGCUGAUUCAAAUUCUCAACUUGAUUUUCAAAAUUGAAACUCUUCCCUUUGGUCCGUCAUGUUCCCGUUUUGGCUAAACAUUUUUUUUUUUGGAACGGCGUCAUUUUUUGGGCUUGUUGAAGGCUUCCUGACGUGGAAUACCUCUCGCCUCACAUUUCGGUCUUGUGAGGAGACUGUUCAGGGGCGUUCGGUUUGAUGACCGCUCCUGCCCCUAAUCCGUGUUAUUUCAUUCAAGAUAUCAAACAUCUAUCCAACAUUUUAUUUGGGAAAAUGAAAAAUUAGGUAUCCAAACACUCUCACUGUAUUUUCUCUAAAAUGCUAAUCUCUUUCUUUUGUGAUAGGAACAGUUGGUUAGUGAAUUAAUUUGAAAACUGUUGGAUUACUGUACUUUAUUAGAAAAUUUUGAAUUCUGUGCAAUCAUUGAGCAAGUUUCCUUAUUUUGGCUAACAAAUGUCAAAUUAUUUUGAUCAGAAUCAUGGAUAUUAUCGUAAACAAUGGGCUAAUGUCAUUUGUACAUGUGUGCACGUGUGUAGUAGUACACGUUUAUGCUGAAGCUGCUGGUUGAGGAUUUACUUAUUUAUUCCAUUAGAUUUUAUUGAACUUUGCAAAUCAAAUGGCUUUUGAAACGUAUAGUUUGUGCCUCUGCACGUGUCCUUAUAUUCAACUCCCUCAUCUCCUUAUUCUGUCUUCUCAUUCUUCUUUUCCCUACUCUCUCUCCUUUUCUGUUGUGCUCAACUUCUUCCUUCUUUUAUGAUAUAAAAGCCCUGUCUAAAUCCAUUACUGUGCUCAAAAGUCAUCAUUAGCCAAUUCCAUGAGUUUCUGUCUUGUUGAAAUUUGAAAAUAGCUUUCAAACACUUUUGGAUGUUUCAUCUUCAUUGCACACUUUUUUGAGUUUCCUGGAGGUAGAGGUGGCAAAAUGAGUGGGAUGGGCAGAAUUUGCUUGGGUUUAAGAUGGAACCGAGUUAUAUGGGUUUGGGGUCAACCUUACCCAUAUAUGUUUUGGGACUAACUUGGGCGGGAGCACUUUGGGAUGGGUUUAGAUUAAUCCCGCCCAAUACCCAAAUCUAUUUUCUACAUAUUUUGUUCAUUUAAUUUAUUUUUUAUUUUUUAUAUAAUUUUAAUAUUUUUGAUUUAUUAAAUUUCUUUUAGUUUUAUUAAAUAAACAUGCAAGUGCUUUAUACUCAGGAUUAUCACCAAAAAUUGGAUUAACAAAUAAAGGAAAAGAUAGAUAUACAAUCAUGACUAUAAAAAUUGUUAAAGAUAAUUUUUGAAUCUAAGACUCCGUUUGGAUUGGCUAUUUUUUCAAAAAAUAAGUUUUUCAAAUACAAUGUUACAGUAAUAUACAAUAACUCAAAAAACAUCCCAUCCAUAUUAGUAUAUCAAAUAUUUAAAAAAAAAAUUUAUAGUAAAAAUUUUUCAUAUACACUACUACAAUAAAAUAUUUCAAAAACACCCCCCAAAAAUAGUUAAUCCAAACGGAGCCCUUGCUAUUUGAGCCCAAUGGGUGCCCAAGCAUUUUCCAAAAUUUCCCAUCAAUUAAUGGGUACAAUUGGGAUUUGUCCCAUUUUAAACCCAAUAUCAAAUUCCAAUACCCAUCCCGCCCAAAGUCUCAAUAGCAUGGGUAAUCUAUUGGGACUUGGGACAAAUUGCCACCUCUACCUGGAGGAAUGCUUAUGUUAAUAAUUGAAGUAUAAAUUCAUCUUUGGACUUACAUUGAGAUCAAAGCUGAACUAUACUUUUAAAGAAAUGAAAAGAUGAUUUUGGUUGAACACGGCAAACUGAGCUACUGAAAUUUGGUUGCAAAAUUUGAAAAAAGAAAUGUCCGAAUACUCUAUCCUUAGCUCUCAUAUUCAAGUUCUUUUUGCCUGUAUGCAGUGACAGAGCUAGAAUUUUUUUUUUUGGGGCCAAAAUUUUUUCCUAAUAAAAUUAUCUUAAUAUAUUAUGUUCAAAAUAAUUUUCUUCUAUUUAAAUAUAUGACAUCUAAAAAUAUCAAAUAUGAAAUUUAAUUAUAAAGGUAUGUCUAUUCAUAAAUAUGCGGUAAACUAACAAAAAAAAUAACUUUUGAUUAAAUAUCUUAUAACAUCACAAACCAUCCAAUUUGCACAUUAUGAGAAGAUACUCUCCAAUAUGUCACAUGUGCAAUAUAUAUAUAUGUAUAUAUAUAUAUAUAUAUAUAACCAUGUAAUAUAAAUGUAACUAUUUUCAAUUGAAAAAAGAUAAAAGUUAUGUUACUUUGAAAUUUCAACAUCUUUUCUUAGAAGUAAAUUGCGUUCUACGCUCUUUCAUAGAACUAAAUCCAUCUAUGAUUGAAUCACUGCUAAAUUUUUCAGCAACUUCCUUUUCUAUAUACACAGUUAGACAAUCAUUCAAGAAAUUAUCUUCCAUCUUGUUUCGGAGCUUUGUCUUGAUUAUUUUCAUAAUUGAAAAUGCCCGCUCUGUAGUUGCAAUUGAUAUAGGAAGAGUAAGAACAAGUCUAAUCAAUCUGUCAAUAAGAGGACAUAUCACUGAUUUUCUUAUCUUCAUCAAACCUUGACAUAACUCAUGAAUACCAGAUAAUUCUUGCAAUUCAUGAAAAUUUGGAAUGCCAAGCUCAAAAUGUUGAAGUUCUAUUCUUAGACGUACUAGUUCUUGCUCCAUAAAAUCAUUCGGAUAGAACUUCUCUGCAAGUUUACAAAUAUAAUCAAUCUUGAUCAGCAUAAAUCCAUUUCUAGGGUCUAAAGCAGUGCUCAAAACAAGCAAUUCCACGGUAUGAUCAUUAAACCUGCUAUAUAACUCUUGCAAUUGAUAAUCAAUUGUUGCAAGAAAUAUAUCCACUCGAUGACUAAUUCAUAUAUAUAUAUAUAUUAACUCUUAUAAUAUAAACUAAAAAUUGUAAAAAUUUAGAGGGGUUCAAUUUUAUUUUACACACAUAUUUACAUAUUGUGAAUUAAAAUUUUCAAAACUUAGGGGGGGCCAUGGCCCCCCUCUGCCCCCUUUGGCUCCAUCAUUGCCUGUAUGACUUUAUAGCACAUAUGAUGCAUUCCAAACCAUCUACGUACGAAAUUAGCAACUCCGCCUCUAGUCAAUCAUCUUAGGAGCUGACUUAUAGAAACCAAUGUGAUGAUGGCCAUGUUUUUGCUACCCAUAUACAGUUUAAACCUUGUCAAACUCCUUGGGCCUAUGAAUUAUGUUCAUUCCGUAAGCCUCUUGAUGAUCGUCCCCACCUUGGAGCAUGGUAGAAAAUAAAAACUUGAAACAUGGAAGUGCUGUUUUUCAUGUUUCACAAAGCAUUAAGAUGUUUUUGCUACUAAAUUAAGUUUUAGUAGCUCUGUAGCUGAAUUUAUCGAUGUUCGCGAUCUCAACUCCCACAAAAAUAGGAUGAUGUUUUGGCCUUCGUUUCCCUACUUAAACACAUUGACCUCUGUUGUCCCCUUUGAGCCUUUAAACUUGAUAAUUCAUUUCACGUUAAAAUUCCUGCUGAUCACACCUCACACUGGAGUUAAUUUUUUUAGGGUGAUUUCAUGGAAGUUAGAGUACUUAAAUUGUGAUUUUUUAUGAAAUCAAGGAUUGCAAGAAUGUUGAGUUCCAAUGCUCGAGUUUGAGAUGUUUACUUCUCAAAAAAGAAAAACAAAAGAAAGAAGGAAAACAAAAGGAAAGAAAGAAGGAAAGCAAGGAGAAUUGAGAGAAGCUCAAAUAUCAAUAGUUUAGUUCCCAAAAAAGGACAAAAGAACUGAGAGAUAUUGAGAAGAGGCUCACAUCCCAGAAUCAAGAAGCCUCAUGGUGUAAAGAGAGCAAGUCAAAUUUUUGAAGAAACAGCUGGACAGCCCAAAAGUUUCACUUGGGCGGCAACUUAUGCAGAAGUGGUCACAGGUUCUAAUCCUUAAAAAAAAAAAUUUAUCUUUUGGCCUUUACUAUCUUAUUCUUUGCUUAAACCCACUCCAGGCAUACAUUACGAUCUAAUAAAGGUCCAAAUGCUGACUAAUUUUGGAUGACGAGGAACAAUAGUCUUUCACCACUGACGCAGCUAAGAGAAUUUGGUCACAGCUGUUUUAAGGUGAUCUCAAGAUGAUUUAACCUGAAAAAUCAAAACUUUGAGCUUUAGUAUCCCUUCUUUUUCAGCCCUUUACCUUACAACCAGAACAAAAAUCAAUCUGAUUGGUUUCUUUAAUGUGCUCAUAAGAUGAUUGUGAGCUGAAAAUGGAAAGUUGGAGCAUUGAUAUCCCAUCCUUUUCAGCACUAUAGCCAAGACCCUCUUACAAUCAGAGUGAAAUUCCAUGUGAUUGGUUUCUUUAUGGCCAGUCAAUUUGAGAAGGUGUUCCUUUUCUAAACACCAUCCUAAAGCCUCGAGAGAGUAGAGAGCCUCAUAACAGUUUGUCAUAUUCCAUUAAGAUCAUCUUUAUCUUAUUUACGUGGAUAACAUACUUUUAAUUAUUAAUCAAAGCAUUCAUCCUAGAAUUUCUAAGCACAUAGGAAGUGAUAUUGUGUUCUCCAAGUCAUCUACCAAAGAAUUAUUGCGCAGGCCCUCACCUAUUUUUUAUUUUUUCCUUUUACAACAACAUUGUGUAUCAGGAGAAAUAAACUUGAGAACCUAGAUGCAAAUGGUGUUUGUUACCUAUUUGGAAAGGACUGAGUAAUGGAUUAGGACUGUUCACAACUUCUUUCACUGAUAGUUCUUUGUUCUUCAAUUUUUUACAUGGGAAAUACCAAAUAAAAUAAAAUAAAAUUUGGGGUGCUUAAAAAUGGUUUCAUGGUUUUGGAAUAUUCUUGUUACUUCUUUGGUACAAGGGAGGGAAAGGAGUUUAGCAUAAGUGGAAGGAGCUGGCCAUAUGUUUUAUGGUCAAAAAGGCAAGAGAAUGGCUGUGGGGCUGUGAUCAAUUUGGUUGCAUGUAUAAAUCUACAUUCAGUUUUUCUUUUAUUUUUGGUAGAUGAUCUACUUAUUUGGUCAAGUCCUUUUUAGUUUGGAAUUUUGCUAUACCCUAAUUUAUGUUUUCUUUGUUUUUUCUUGUUUCCAUUAUGUUGGUUUGAUUGAGAACAUACAAAGUGCAACCUAAUGCUUUGGCUUGUAAUAUUAUUUAAUUAAGCCAUACUCUUCAACCUAUAUAGUAAAAGCACGAAAGGAUUCAGGGGUUGUGCUGAUGUGGCUGCAUUUCAUUCGCUGGGGGGUCGUCGUCCAUCACGUGGGGCUCGCGUGCUUUCGCUGGGAGGAGAAUUCAGAUUCUUGCUUUUGUCCGCUGGGAGGAGAAGUGCAAUUCCUGUUUUUUGUCCGAGAGACGAAAAUGAAGACCAGCUGACUUGCUGAGCUCAAUGUGGCUCAAUGUGCUGACCUGCUGAGACAAAAGUGAUGGGCUCAAUGUGGAUUUCCAUGGUUUUACGAUUUUGCCCUUCUUUUUAAAAAACAGAUGCACCGUUGUUUGUUGCUGAGCUCAACCUAUUAUCCACUGGAUCCAAUCUAAGACGUGCAGUAGCAGAGAAAAUCACAUCAAUUGAAGGUUGGUUAGUGGCUCGAGGAUUACUACCAUCAAAUUCUUAUCUUCUUCCUCCUCUGAUUUCUAUAUGAUUGCGAAUAGGGCUUGGUAAACACUCUCCAUACCUGUCACUUGCUUUCUUCUCUUAUCAAACUCAACGGCGGACCAACAAUUCUUCCAUGCCUCUCCGAUUUUUUCUGUAUUGUUUUCUCUAAAAAUUAAGGUCAACAACAGCCACAGAUGACCUUCAAUUUUCUAGCUUUUGUUUCUGAUCUUUUUAGAUGAGAUGAGCUACAAAUAACUUGUAGAUUUACUCAACUUUUCUCUGUUCUUCCAAUAGUCUUUAUUUGCUUAAAAAUUAAUAAAGCUUGGUUUAAUAUCUCUGUUAGUCAAUUAUUUUCUUAGCGAUAAGAACUUUGAUCUUCUAAUCUUUAUAUCUUAAGAUUUUUUAUUUUAUUUUAUGUCUCUUAUGUUUUAUUUAUCCGAUUUCCUAAUUUUUAUAGUAUUAUCUUUGCAGGAAAAAGAUGAAAACUUUUAUGGGAUGCAAAUGCAAGUACUUGUGGAUAUAUUCCAUCCUUUUCUGUCCUCCAAAGGUCUAUUCUGCUUUAUUUAUCUAUUGAUUUAUUUGUUUAUUUAUUUUUUGCCGAUAAAAACUUUGUCCUUUUAAUUUCGGUCUCUACUCUCAAAUCACUUGAAGUUUUUAUUUUGUCUUUUAUUUUAUUGGAUUAUACUAUUAUUUUUAUAGAAAGGAAGAUGAAUUUAUUAGGUUUUAGCUAAAAAAUAGGCAUGAACAUCAAUGUUUUCCUCUGUAAACAUUUUUUCUGGUGCUGUUUGACAGAAAGUAUGAGUUAUAGUGGUUUCUUAAAGCAUUCUAGAAGCAUUUAAUCCCUAAAACACCUAUGCAUUCUAGAGCCCCUGUUGUAGAAACACUGAUUGCUUCUUUUCUUGGCGCACAUUCAUCUGUGAUUUUUCCCGUCUUUUUACUUCGUUUAUACUUUCAUAUUACAAUUUGCAUUUUUACAGAGUGAGGAAGAAAAGGAAGAACAACCUCUGUGGUAGGAAACUUUUUAGCCCACAAGUUUUUUGCUCUGGUUUGUUUCCCUUUUCAAUUUGUGACCUUCCCUCUUUCCCUCUAUGACAGAAAUUUGUGGAGGAUGGCAAAAAAUUGUGGUAAAACUCCUGCUCCUAUUUUUUUCACUGUACUUUGGGCCUUUUGUUUUUAGAUUUUAAUAUUCUUCUCUUAAAUACUAGCUUUGAGUGAAUCCUUUUACCUGUCAAAAUGAAAUCUACCAAAAUUAUAUCAAGUGCAUCUGUUAAAUCAGAAGCUAAAUGAUAAAUAACAUUAACUAAUAUGGAACAAAAGGGUUGAGGUUAAGACUUUUCACUUUCACUUUUACAGAGAAGUUUAAAGAUUUUCUAAAGAAACCUCUAAGAUGGUUCAGGAAUCAUUUUUUGCUCAGUUAAAAGUUGAAUCCUUUUGUUCUUUUCUUGUUUUUUCACUGAAUAUGGGACCUGGUCUUCAUGCAAUUUCUGUCUCUGCAUCUUUUAGGACAAGUCAAUAUUUCUAAAGUAGUAUAUGUUUGAGAGUAAGACUAGAGAGAUGAUUGUCUACACAACCGAGGGUACUUUGCCAUUGCAAUUUCUCAGGGAUAAAUUUUUCCCCAUCAGAUUUUUAUCUCUGACCUUUUCUUUCUUCUUUUUCUGGUAUCCACUACAGGAAGAAGCAAUCUUUAUUUGUGGUCCAAGAAUAAACAAAUGGUGAAGAUAGCCUUUAAGUAGGUGUUUGUUCACCUUUUAUUGUUUUUUUUUUCCACAAACGUUAACCGUUAUAUAUAUAUGAUAAACCCUUGAUAGUACAAGAAUUAAUUACAAAAAGGGGCUACUACCCUCAUUUGCUUCCUCACUAAAUCCAUCAGCCAAACUGGGAAGUCUUGUUCCCAUUCAAUAUCAUCCACUAGCUGUACAGCAAACUUAGCUAGAGCAUGGCUGAUUUCAUUCUCUGUUCUAGGUAUAAACACAAAACUACACCUUUCAAAAUGUGUUGUCAAAUCCUGCACAUCUUCCAGAAUAGUUGCAAUGUUAACAACAUACUCAUUGCCUCUAUGUAUCUGGUCUAAAACUGAUUUGCUAUCAGAAUGGAUUUUAAUUUUAGUCCAUCCUUGCUGCUUAGCCAUCAGCAUUGCAUUUCUAAUUGCCAAAGCUUCUUCCUUCAUUGGUUCCCCCUUAUAUUGAUUGACUAUUGCCUUUGCUUUCAUGAUCAUUCCGUUCCACUUUCUUGCAACAAUUCCUUGUCCCGUCCUUAUCAUCCUUGCUGAUAUCGCAACAUCCGUGAACAGGCAAACGUCAUCAUCCCUUGCUGCUUGUCUUCUCGUUUGAUGCUCCCUGAUGUUGUUCGUAGCACUCUGCUCUAUUUCUUCCAUCUUUGUUUGCUCAUAUUCCAACCGUUCCACUUGUGCCUUUGAGACAAUAUUCGGUGGGUUCUGGAAAUCAUUGUCAAAAACUCUUCUGUUGCGAGUUUUCCAGAUUUGCCAAAACAGGUUGAUGGUGAGACUCACUCGCUCAGGUCCACAGUCCUCUGACGCAGAUUGAAUGGCUUCCUCCCACCAUAACCACAGAUUGUGUUGUUUAUCCACUAAUCCAUCCCACCUUACCGGUGCCAAUUUCCAAACAUCCAUCACAUUCACACAAAAAAAGAGUAAAUGUUCUAUGGUUUCCAUGCCUUCACCACAAUAGCUACAUCUCCCCUCUCCUAGUCCAAUCCUUUUGAAAAUUACUUCAUUUGUUGGUAAACAAUUUUGCAAGCAUUUCCACAUGAAAUGUUUCAGCUUGGCCUUUACCUUUUGAUGCCACAGAUUCUUCCACACCGUGCGUUUUCUAACUUCCCAACUUGUCUCAGCAUUGUGUGUUCGAUUUCUACUGAUCUGAUUUUCCUCCUGCCUUGCCAUUGCAUAUCCUGUUUUCACCGUAUAUGCUCCAAUCUUUGAAAAUUUCCAGAUCAGUUUGUCCUUUCUCCUUCCUAUGCUAGUGGGAAUACGUUCAAUGAGCUCUACCUCUUUGUUUCCAAACCAUGUCUGCAAAAUUUCUGUUUUCCAUCUCCCAUCUUCAAUCAACUCACUCACCCAAGUGAGGUUGCACCCCUCAGGUUUUGCAGUUUCCACCUUGCCAUCUUCGGACCCUAUUAACCAUUUAUCAUUCCAGAUACUUACUGUUCUUCCAUCACCUAUCCUUUUCCAUAAUCCAUCAAACAACAAUUUUUUUGCACUAUGUAUACUUUUCCAGCUCCAUGAAGCAGAGCCAGGAGGACUUUUGUUCAUCCAAUUGGGAUCCUUCAUGUAUUUCGCCUUCAUCACCUUGCUUACUAACAAAUUUGGAGCAGUUAGAAAUCUCCAAAUUUGUUUUGCAAGCAAGGCAGUGUUAAAGGCUUCUAGGUCCCUGAAUCCAAUACCUCCUCUUCCCUUUACUUCUGAAAGUUUCUUCCAGCUUGCCCAAUGAAUACUUGCCUCUCUUUCUCCUUUACUCCACCAAAACUUUGCAAUUUUCCUAGUAAUAUCUCUACAUAAUCCCUUUGGGAGCCUGAAGCAUGCCAUUACAUAUGUUGGCAUGGCCAUUGUCACCGCCUUUAUCAGCACUUCCUUUCCCCCUUCACUUAAAAGCCUUUGUUUCCAUCCUUGUAACUUGCUACUGAUUUUGUUCUUAACAAAGCCAAACACUUGUGCCUUUGAUCUUCCAAUGGCCAUUGGUAAACCCAAAUAUGUCCCAUUUACUGCUUCCUUCAUAUUAUCCAGGCCUUCGCUAAUUGCUUGCUUCAUCCUUUCUUUGGUGUUUUUACUGAAGAACAAGGCUGAUUUUUCGAAAUUCACAACCUGACCAGAUGCAUUGCCAUACUUUGUCAAAAUGCUUUUCACCUUUAGAGCUUCUCGUUUGGUUGCUUUACAGCACAAAAGAGAGUCAUCUGCAAAAAAUAAGUGAGAAAUAACCGGACUGUCCCUACAAAUUUUCACACCCGUUAGCUCCUUUUCUUGCACAGCUUUAUGAAUAAUACUAGAAAGACCUUCAGCACAUAUGAUGAAAAUAUAGGGUGAUAAAGGGUCCCCUUGCCUAAUGCCUCUAGUAGGUUUGACAUAUCCAACCUUCUGGCCAUUUAAAUUGAAGGAAUAAAUCACAGUGGAAAGACAAGCCAUAAUCCAUUUGACAAAAAUUGGACAAAAACCCAUUUUCAAGAUCAUUCUCCCCACAAAAAUCCAUUCUACCCUAUCAUACGCUUUUGACAUGUCUAACUUAAUAGCCAUGUAGCCAGUAGCUCCUUUUCUCUUAUUCUUCAGGAAAUGCAUAACUUCAUGAGCUACUACUACAUUAUCCAAAAUUUGUCUCCCUGGUAUAAAUGCAGAUUGAGAAUUGCUAAUGCAGAGUUGGAGAACAAGCUUCAAACGGUUUGCAAUAAUUUUAGAGAUAAUCUUAUAAAGCACAUUACACAAACUGAUUGGCCUAUAAUGUAAAACAGAAGUUGGAGAUUCUAUCUUUGGGAUUAAGGAAAUGAUGGUUUCAUUCACAGUCUUAAGCAAGCAACCAGAAUGGAAAAAACUAUUUAUGGCUGACACCAAAUCCCCUUUUAUAAUAUGCCAAUAUUGUUGGAAAAAAAGUGGGGAAAUACCAUCCUGACCUGGUGCUUUGUUUGGAUGCAUAGAAAACAAGGCUUGUCUGAUGUCCUUUUCCUCCACAGGUUUAAUCAGUUUCUCAUUCAUCUGUCGAGAAAUAGUGCAUGGGAUUUCAUUAAGGAUCUCUUCAAAAUCAGCUGGGUUGGUUGUAGUAAAAAGAUCCUUGUAAUAUUGACUAAGCUCCACUUCAAUUUCCUCCUCAGUUUUGCACCAGGUCCCAUCUUGUUUUUCCAACGUACUGAUAGUGUUUCUUCUCCUCUUUGCCUUUACAGUUGUAUGGAAAUAAGCUGUGUUUCUAUCUCCUUCCUUGAGCCAUUUGCUCCGUGAUUUUUGGCUCCAAUACAGCUCUUCCUCCUCAUAUGCUUUGCUUAGCUGGUUUUUAAUCUCAGUCACCCGACUUUUAAUCCCAGAUUCAUGUCCCUCCUUCACUUGCUUGAGUUUCUCCUUUAAUUCCUUAAUCUUUACUUUUGAGUUUCCUUGAACCUUUCUCCUCCAUUCCAGGAUUGCUACCCUAACUGCCUUUAUCUUCCUCACCAUUUUGUACAUUCUAGAUCCAGAUUGUACUGUCCUCCAUGCCCCUUGUAUCACCUCCUUCAUUUCUGGAUUUGUAGUCCAUCUUUGAUCGAAAUAGAAUCUUCUCUUCUUCCUGGUUGGCUCAGGAUUUGUAUCUACCGGCAAGAUGGCAUGAUCCGAAGCAUCAUUUUCAAUAUGAGUACACACCACCCUAUCAAACCAUUGCAACCAUUCAACACUACAUAAACCCUAUCCAAUCUCUCUUUUAUUACUCCCUCCCCCUCCCAAUAAUUACUCCAGGUCCAAGGUAAACCUUUAUAGCCUAUAUCUAAUAAUCCAUUGUCUCCUAUGAAACUAUUGAAAUCCUUGAAACUACUCUCAGCUCUCACCCUCCCACCCCACUUCUCCCCAUUUGACUGUAAAUCAUUAAAAUCACCAACCAGUAACCAUGCUUCACCCCAAUCCUUCUUCCUUUCAGCUGUGUGUUUCCAUUGCUCUUUUCGAAUAUUGCUAUCCGUACUAGCAUGUACACACAUCAACCACCACUGGCUAUUUACUUCCUUGUCCUUGAUGCAUGCUAAGAUGUACCAGUCCGUGUGGCUUAAUUCAUCAAUUGUCACCCCAUUGUUCCAAUAUAAAGCCAUACCUCCUGCCUUCCCAAUUGAGUUAACAACAUACCCCUUCUCAAAACUUAUUUUCCUUUGCACAGAUCUCAUAAAUUUUUCUUGGUUUUUUGUCUCACUUAAAAACACCACAUUAGGAGAGUGGAAGUUUAAAACUUCCUUUAGUUGGGGAAUUGUCAAGGGGCCUCCUGCACCUCGACAAUUCCACACCGCAACUUUCAUUGACACCUUGGAGGCAUAAGGGGUUAGCCUCCAAUUCCCCAGUUUCUUUGCAGAUGUUGCUCUCCAGUUUUUGAAACUUAGGUUUUGGUGUUUCCACUACGUCCUCUUCCAUUUGUUGAGACUCUUGUUGAAAUGCUGCUGCUUUCCUUUUCCCUCGUAGGUCCUUGCCUACAUCCUGAACUUUACUCUCCGGUAGAGUAAUCCUUCCUCUUCUGACUUUCCUAGUGCCAUGUUUUUUUCCUUCCUGCUUAAUACUGGUAUCCCCCUUGGUACCUCCUGAAUUCCUAGCAAAAUCUCUAACUCGUCCCCUGUCUCUUCCCUGUCCAGACUACUACCCCCUAGAUCACCCUUAUUGUCCACUUCCAUUUCCACAUGCACCAACUCUAAUCUUUCACUACACCCUACCCCAGGUUCCUCACCCUUACCAAAGCUUCCCUUGGCGUUAUCAUUUGCUACCCUUUUAUUCAGUAACACCACCUUGUUUUCCUUUUCUGACAGUGCUUGCUGAUCCUUUAAAAAUGCAUCCCACUCUGCCUCCUGCAUUUUCCUCCUCAUUUGGAUCUGAGAAUUUCCUCCUUUUUCCACACCCUCAGUGUUAUUUUCCUUGUUCAAACUCACAUUUUCCCCCUCCCUUCUUUCACUUACCUCUAAAAGUUCAGUACUUUCUUCCCUUUCCCUUUGUGCUUUUCCUUUCUCAGAUACAACCUCCUUAACUCCUCGUAAAGGUGAGGCCAUAAUAUUUCCUGCCCUCAUCCAAGCUCCAUAUUGUACCUCUCGCUGACCACACCCGUCCCCUCCUGACACAGAACAAGCUCUGUCAUUGUGACCUAUAACUCCACAGUUGUAGCAAAAAUCCGGUCAACGUUCAUACCUAAAUUCCACCCAUUCAGCUUGUUCUUUGCAUUUUAUUUUUGUGCCUCUGAUCAGUGGUUGUGUUACAUCUACUUCUGCCAUAAUUUUCAUGUGCCUUCCACCUUUCCCCCAACCUCUGGAAUUAUCACCUCUCUUAUAGACUUAAAAAUCUGACCUAGUUUAAAGCCCACCGCUCUACUCAACCAGUGAACAGGUAGAUUCCAUAGCUGCACCCAAAGGAAUACAUACCGGAAAAAAUUACUAUCCCUUUCCCAACCAACCUCCCAUUCUCUAAGCACAAAUACCUGGUUAUCCAUUAUCCAAGGGCCCCCUGUCAGCGCCUUUUUCUUUUCGACCUCAUCUUCAAAGUGGAACUGGAAACAGUUUGGACCCAGCUCUGUUAUCUUCAACCUCCUUGGAUUGCCCCACGCAUGAUUUAUGUAGUUCUUGACUCCAGUGAAAUUGGCCACUUUAUCACCCACAAGCUUUCCAAGUAGACUUCCUUUGCAGCCCAACAUUCCUUCUUCAAUGUCAUCUCCGCUGAGAUCUAUCUCCUCUGUUUCCUUGGCCGACAGUUCAAACCUUUGGAAGGCCUUUGCAAGGGAUUCUGCCAUCUUCCCGUACAGAUCCAAGUAGAAACCAGCACUAUUUCUAGGAGACGAAGGAGCUCAGUUGGUAAACCUGACUAUUCGGGUCAGGACCCGAGGACUAGCCGGGUCAAACUCGGCUGCAACGAAGUGGAAGAAAAUGUGCUCCGGACAAGACGCGUGGCGAAGAACCGGAUGAACAGCGGCCAUGGAGCCCCGAAGGUACUCCAAGUCCAGAGUCAUCGCUACAUGAACUAAAGACGGAUUGCAAAACGUCAGCGUUUCGUCACUAGUCACAGGACACUCCACGCCGUUCCGGUACUCCGGUGCUUCAGUGAACCCAAACUCCGUUUCAGUAGGCCAACCGCCAUUAUUGGGAAAAGAACGAAUAGCAGAAGACAUCUUUAACGGCGUGUGAAAAAUCAUCAAGAAAACAAGCAAAACUGAAACUGAACGAACCCAUGAGUUGAAGUGAAAAGGCAAAAGAACCAUAUUUUCUUGGUGGGUUUUUUCUGGAUUCUUCUUAGUUUUCGGAGACAUCAACAGAAAAGAGUGAACGAGAUUUGCUAUUAAUGCAAAGGCAUUGUACUACAAGCCGAGGAGAAAAGGAAACUGUGGUUCUUUUCUUUCCUUGUCUUCUCUAGAAGUUUUAGAGAGGAAACAAAACGUUUGUUCACCUUUUAUUGUUGUUUUUCCUUUUUUGGAUUUUAAUGAUAGUAUAAGUUCUAAUUAAUUGAGGUUCUGUUUAAUUGAUAGGUGAGAAUACCUUAAACUAGGUGACUUGGUUGAGCAGAUAUUGUGCACAUCCAUAUUUGGAACUCCAUAGCAUGUCAGCUUCCUUAUUUGGCUAUCUAGAUAGACUAUUUUGUAGUGUGAAAAUGUCAUCUUCUUUUGAUGGGCUUUUGAAUAACGAAUCAUUAGUUUCUUUUCAUUGAUUAAUUUUACAGAUUGAUUACACUUUUGUUGUUAGAGUAAGUUUUACUUGGUAAUAAAUUUGUAUAUUAGUUUUACUUGGUAAUAAAUUUGUAUAUUUCAUCUUUAACCUUUUGGGUUCAUUUCUUGAACUUCAAUAUUUAUAGGUAUAAACUUGUUGAAAAAAGGAUGAGAAGCAUUGGCAGUGUGAGGAGGGACGUAAAAGAAAAGAAGAAAGGUGUGCGAAAAAGUGCAAGUUGAAAUACUGAUACUGAAAUCAUUAUGGUCAUUACUGUAAUGAUUAAAAUGUUAAGAAAAAGCUAGAGAUUGAGUUUCAAGAAAAGACCCUUGGGUUACUUGGCGCUAAGAUAGGCAUUGGUCAUUUAAGUUUCCUAUUCUUUGGGAAAUUCACUAUUAUUUGACCAUUUCAAUAUUCUUUUACCAUACUAGAGCUACUGUGUUUGGUUGACUGUAUCAUUGAUAGCUAUUUAAUGUAACUUGUCUUUACUCCUCGCAGCUAAAAUGGAUUGAUGAGGAUUUCCUGAGCUAUGACUUUGAGUUCAACAUUUUGCUGACUUGCAAAAUUUGUUAAGAGAAUUUUCUUCAUUUUCCUUGGAAUAUGUUUCUGCUGUUCUAUGUGCAGGUUAUUAGUCAAGAUAUGGAGGUUAAAGGACCUUAUUUAAAACAUCUGACACUUCUUUAGGCUUUGUUGUUCUAGGCCCAAUCAGAUAUCUUUAUACUUACUGUUAUUUGAUUGUGUGGCUUGAGUUCAAAUUAAGUAAAUUAUUUGAGAGAAUGCUUAAUGAUUUGUUUGGCUUGUUUUGCUUAGCAAUGAGUCAAAGCCCGAAGAGUGGAAGAACUCUUACCGUUUCCCUUGCAUUAUCAUGAUUGAUAGAAUCAAGAUUGGAAUUAUUUCUAUGUCUGUCCUGCAUGGAUCUACAGUGAUUAUUUAUUAGCCUCAUUUUUGGAUACAUAUUAUUGUAGACAUUAUGUACCUUUUACAUUUUAAAUAUGAGGUUUUGUUUGUAAAGAUAGUGACCAACUUUUGUUUCAUUGCAUCAUAUUGUGUAUAUUGGACCUAUUAUGUACUUCCUAAUUUUGUCCAGUUACGAUGGGUUGUAUUCUUAAUGACACUGAAUUGCAAUUUUUACUUACCUCUUUAAUUCAAUAAUUCUUUUUACUAAUUAUAUGCCUCCUAAUUGUAUGGCCUCAAAUAAUUCAACAACAUUUGUCAUCCCAACAAUUUGCAAGUUAGAUGGCCAGGAUUGGGUAAUUUGCAUGCUUUCACCGUUUUCCUGCUACCUUUUUCCGCAUAAUCAGUAAUUAAUUUCAUAUAAAUGGCCUGUUAUGGCAUGAAACUCAAGUGCGCCAAGAAUUCCACCUUUCUAUUUGUCAACUGGUUAUUUCAUUCUCCCAACAAUAAACUUCGGUUAGGAAACGUUUCCUUUGACUGUGAAGAUAGAUUGUUGCACGGAGGAUCCUUUUUCAGAAAUAUGAACCCCCUUCAUUCUCAGUGUACACCUACUUUGUACCAUGUAUUGCACUUCCAUUCUCCUGACCAGAGUUGUUGCGUUAGUUGUUCCGAUUUUCAUGUUACAUGCAAAGAAUUGGAUAAACAACAUAGAAACGAUUGAACAACAUCAAAAUUAAUGCUCGUUGUAAAUUUAAAAACACCACCGAUAAUCAAUCCUCCACAGAAUAAUAGAAAAAAUUAAUAGUGUUUACUCAUUGUUUAAUAUUUUUGAAUCUCCCAUUUACUUUUCCCAACACUUCAUCCCAUCUCUACAUGAAGCAAAAUCAUACUGAUGAGUUUCAAUUUUAUUCGCUUCAAUUAUUUUCUUUUCGAUCUUUUUCUCGACACCAUGUUAGAUGCAAACCUUUAUUUACUCGCAUUUUCUUACAACAUUGCUUAUUUAAAAGCUUAAUCAUUUUAUAACCAAAUAACUUAAUUGCAAUGCAUGCGAUUUAUGAUAUCUCCACUUGAAAAUCUGGACAUUUUCUGGGCAACAUGAAAUUAACACCGCGCAACGCGCGGUGAUCCCCUCCUAGUCUGUUUAUUAUGUGCAUAUGAGUUGGUGGUGCUAAAAAAAAAAAGACCUUUAUUGACAUACCUAUAAUGACACUUGCUUACAUAUAUGUCCUUAAAACAUCUCAAUCAUGACACUUAGUAUCAACUCAACAAUAUAUACUCUAAUUAUUUUUUAUUUUAUUUUAUUUAAAAAUAGUGUGUCCUUUAGAAUAGGUAUGGCCACGGUUCCAGAACCGACGAUUCUGGUUCUUCAAAGAGGUAGAACCAGAACUGCACCAUAUAAGAUGGUUCUGGUUCUGAUUCCAGAACCGUCGGUUCUGGUUCUUUAAAGAGGUAGAAUCAGAACCGCAUAGUUCUGAUUUCGGUUCCUUAUGGUUCUGGUUCUGGUUCCGGUUCCGUAUGGUACCCUAUAAUUUUAUUUAAUUCUUUAUCCUUACCAAUAUUAAUACGAAUAUAACAAUAUAUUUAAAAUUUCAAAUAGAAUGUACAAAAAUAAAUACAAAAUAAAGAUCAUAUUUCAAUUUUAUUAUUAUUCUACAAAGUAAGAAGUAAUAAAUAGACAAUACAAAUUUUAUGAAAAGUACAUUACAUUGUCAAAUUAAAAAAUAUAUUACACUAUCAAAUGAUUGUCAUGUGUUGACUUUCUUGAGUUGGACAAUCAUCAAUGUUGAAGAUUUUAUUUGAAGAAAUAUUGCAAAAAAUAUUUUUUUGCUUGCUUGAUUUUGAAGAUGAGCUACUACCAUCAAAACUUGCCAUUUUUUGAUAGCAAAUAAGCAAAAAAAAAAAUUUGUAAGUAAUAAUUUAACACUUACAAAUUAUAAUGAUAGAUAUUAGACGAAUAAAAAUAAUUAAAUAAUUAGUAAAAUAUAUAGAAAGUCUAUAAAAUUUAAACUUUCUUAAAAGCUAUUAAACACAACUAAUUUUUUUGAAUUAUCUCACUACUUAUAUUAAUUAUUUUUAAUGGUUCUCGAACCGGCAGUUCUGAUUCUGGUUCUAUUUUUAAGAGAACCAGAACCGAAACCUUUAUCCAAGGUUUUGCCACAGUUUUGAUUCCGAUUCUAGUCCGAUUUCAAACAAUCCGGUUCCGAUCCGAUUCCCGAUUUCAAAUGGAACCAUGGCCAUGCCUACUUUAGAAUACCUAUUUUGACAAUGGACUCUAUGUGAGGCAUACUGGAGGACGAAACAAAAACAAAAAACGACGUCGUUUCCAAUUGGCCCAAGUUUCAGGUGCCUAAAACUUUGCCAAUUUCUUUGGCUGCUCUACUAUCUCAGUCUCUCGCCUGAAACUUUGCCAAUUUCUUUGGCUGCUCCACUAUCUCAGUCUCUCCCUUUUCUCUCUUCUCUCUACUCUCAUGAGAAUUUCACCAAUCCCUCUCUUGACAUCUCUAUCACCACACUCUCUAACUCUCUCUAUCUCUCAAUCGAACCUCUUUUUUGAGUUUUUUGGUUGAAUCACACAGCAGCAAUCGGUCUCUUUGCUUGCCCAUUUAAGGUUUGUAAUUGCAUAAUUUUUUUGAGUAAUUUCAUGUUAGAGUUAUAUAAAUUAUUCACUACUUACCCACUGAAUACACCCACCACUCUUGAUUUUUUUUCCAUUUUUUUGUGAUUAUAUUGGAUAAUUUUAGCGAUCUUUGAAGCCAUUUAUGAGUUGUGUCAAUAAUGGUUCCUAUUUUUGGAUUUUUAGUUGCUCUAUUAUGUUGAAUAAAGACGGUUAAACUUCAAAAUUAGCCCUCAAAUUGAAAGAAAAAUUAUUUGCGCAGCGGAAUGAGCAAACAGUUUUGUUUUGUUCUUCUUGCUUUAAGUUGCAAUUUGAUUCAGGCCUUGAUAUUUCAAAACAAAUAAGUACUUACUUGUUCAGACAAAUAUGCGAUGCCUGAUGUAGAUGGUUGAAUUCCAGCAAUAAGCCUUCCACACGUCAGGCCUCUAGUUCGUCCACACAGACUCAAACUAAUAGGUAACAGAGUUUUGGAGUUUUGUUUCGGUAGUGAAGAAACAACGAUAUUGCUUUCUUCCCUUUCCAAAACAAUCGUGAUUGUUUUUCACCCUAGUAGACCCCCUUAACAACUCUUUGUCAAUAAGGCUUAUUUAUACAGUUGUUUUGAUUAGAUCAAUAUCUUAUAUCAUCUUGAUCAAAUCAUAACAACCGAUUUAUAUUUUAUUCUUAUCUUGAUCAAAUCAAAAAUAGAAUACAAUUAAUACAAUUAUUUAAUUCAUGUUUUAGUUUUGAUCACAUCAAAAUAUAAACACAAUUAAUAUAAUUAUAUUAACUAUUAUUUUCAUCUUUAUAAUAUUUGAGUCAUACUCAAAUACCAACUCCAAAUUCCGUCUAGCUUGGGUUUCAAGAUGUGCUAGCAUCCUUAUCAAAGUCUAAACCCAUUCUAAUCAACUUCCCUAUUAGUUCAAAUCCUUUUGUGUGUGACUAUCUAGGUCCAUUACCCAGUUGGCAAUGUAAUAAACGUUAGCCUAUUAACGUUAGUUAGAACAUUUCUAACACUUGAGAAGUUCUCCAAAUAUACCUCAAGUUAACAUAGUUCAUGAGUGAUGCCUAGCAGCAUAUCAUGACACCCAACCGGUGAUGAAAGAUUGGAAUCCUUUUAUGUGAACCAUGACUGCAAUUGUUUUGCAUAAAAAUCCUUCUAUUACUAUAUCCCUAUUGAGUUCAGUUUAGUAAUAAUGUCAAACUCUAAAACUCAAUCGUAUGACUUAAUCUAUCAAAUUACUUGACUAUUAAAUUGAUUAUCUACAUGAAUCAAUUUGUCUUGGCCAAGAACUCCUUUAGUCAAGAUUGAUGGAUUUCAUAAGAUAUCAAACCAUUCAUGAUGAAAUAAUAGAUCCCAUUUUGCAUAAACACUUGGCUCCAUGCAUAACUAAUUAGAGGUACCAUAUGCCAAUACUCAUCCGUGAUUAGAACAAGUAUUUUCUGCAUUGAUAGACUUUAACCACCCAUGAAUGAGCCAACCGUGUCAUCUCAGGUCUGAGGAUCACAUGCACCAUUGCAAUCAAUAAUGAAUCAUUGACAUUAAUAAGCUAAUGAUUCAUUAUUUAAAUUAGACAGUGUUCAAGCCAACUUGUCACACAAGUGCCUCUCAUAUUUGUUCUAGUAGCACAUACUUAAUGGUAUGAGACUCGCCAUUCUAUUAUCAUUAAUAUCUCAUAUUAAUCAUAGAAAAUAAAUAUGAGACUAAUCUUCCGGAUUAAACUUGCCCAAUUAAUAAUCCUAUGAUUAGGAACAAUUUAAUAUUAUUUGUACCAAGCUUUUCCGUCACUCAUAUUCUCAUCACAUGAGAAUGGAACCUUAACAAGUAAUAAUGGACAACAUUCAAUCAAAUCUAAACCAAGAAUAAUUGAAUCAAGAAGUGCCAUUUUAUUUUAAUCAAGACAAUAAUUAUUAAUGCUCUAGGGCAUACUGCUAACACAAAUAAGACAGAAUGUGGUUAAUCUAUUUUAACCCUUCAGCAAUUGAGUGCCACUUAUUCACUUUCAUGUUUGCAAUACCUGUUCAAUUAUUGGACUUUAUAUGAAAUUUUGGUUGGCUUUCAUUCUUUUUAUUGAUUGGUAUGUUUUUUCGUAUUAAUCUAGACAUGUAAAGAGUAAGCAAUUUGGGCUAGUGUUCUUAUGGUGGAAGUAGUAAGCGAAGUAGUCACUAUUUUUUGGACAAAACUUUGAGGGAGAUUUGAAGAAUCAGAUACAAAUCACUUGCAAAUUGAAAGGUAUGACUUUCCUCUGUCACUUUGUUUUUCCUUUUGAUUGAUAAGUCUUGCCAAUUUUAAAAAGAGCAGAAAAUCUGAUUCUGUUGUUGUUCGCUAGUAAGGCAGUUUAUGUGAUGAUGGGAUAGGGAAGAAUGAACACAAAUUAAUUGCAAAAGUUUGUUUGCAUUAUGGUUUUUCAUUCUUUGUUUGUUGAUGUUGUUAUCUAGUUGGUAAAACUUGCAAUACCAGAUAGGCAUAAACUAAUUGGGAGCUUCCUGUGAAAACUUGGAACCGAACUAACCUUGUAGCUAACAGUCAGCUAUGCAAGCCAUUAUAAUUCUGGUCAUAAAUUGGUGUAGAAAUGUCCAAAUUGGAUGCCACUUAUUGCACAUGAAACCAGAUUCAAUGACCAUUCAAAUGGUAUAAGAGUCACACUUUGAUUCUUUUUCUAUUAAUACCGGUAAAUCUGCAAAUUGGACUAAAAAUUUGAACUCUGCACAUCUGAGAACCAUAGAUGUCCUGAAUUGCAUGCGAAUUUAAGAUGGAUUAUAGUUAAAAUCAUAAAAUGAUGCACUUUAAGAAAAUGCAGUACCCUGAAUGUAGUUUAGGAGGGUACAAAUUUUAUAGUUUUUUGACAAAUGCAUAGCGAGUAACAUCAAUUUCACUAGGCACUAACAAGAGCUAAAGUAAUCUGUUAGCUAACAAUCAGUUAUGCAUGCCUUUAUAUUUCUGCUCAUAAAUUGUUGUAAAAAUGUUCAAAUUGGAUGCCGUUUGUUGCACAUGAAACCAGAUGCAAUGGCCGUUCAAAAUAAGAUCAUGCUUUGAUUCUUUUUCUAUUAAUACCAGUAAAUCUGUAAAAUGGACUGAAAAUUGAACUCUGAACGUCUAAGAAAUGUAGAUGUCCUGAAUUGCAUGAGAAUUUAAGGUGGAUUAUAGUUAAAAUCACAGAAUGAUACACUUUAAGAAAAAGCAGUACACUGAGUGCAGUUUCAGAUGCUACAAAUUUUAAAUGUUUUCAACGAAUGCAUAGUGAGUAACAUCAAUUUCAUUAGGCUUAAGAAAGUGCUAAAGUAAUCUGUAAGCUAACAGUCUGCUAUGCAUUCCUUUAUAAUUCUGGUCAUAAAUUGGUGUAGAAAUGCUCAAAUUGGAUGCUGUUUCUUGCACACGAAAUCAGAUUCAAUAACCUUUCAAAUGGUGUAAGAAUCAUGCUGUGAUUCUUUUUCUAUUAAUGCCAGUAAAUCUGCAAAUUGGACUGAGAAUUGAACUCUGUAGAUCUGAGAACUGUAGAUGUCCUGACUUGCAUGCAAAUUUAGGGUGGAUUUUAGUUAAAAUCACAAAAUGAUGCACUUUAAAAAAUAGUAGUACCCUGAGUAUAGUUUAGGAUGGUACAAAUUUUAUAGUAUUGACAAAUGUAUAAAGAAUAACAUCAAUUUCACUAGGCACUUGCAAAAGCUAAAGGCACUUGCAAAAGCUAAACUAAUCUGCUAACUAACAGUCAGGUUUGCAUGCUUUUGUAAUUCUGGUCAUAAAUUGGUGUGAAAAUGUAUGGAUGCCAUUUGUAGUGUAAGCUAGAUUCAGUGUAUAAAGUUAUAUGAUACGACAUUUUAAAGUGCCUUUGCAGAAAUCAAAUUUUUAACAUUUUAGAGCUAUCCUGACAUUAGAGAUUCGCAAGAAUGGUGCUUUUUGUUGGCAACUGUACUGCCUUAAUAAAUGAGUUUUCCUGAUACCUUUAAAUGCCAUUGAGCUAUCCCCACAUUAGAAGGGAUGACACUCAUCCGAGCUGUGACGAAAGGUAAAGUGUCAGCUUAUAUCAUCUAUCCUGACACUUUCAAAUGACCUUAAAGGCAUUUUUUGUUGCAGUGUGGCUUGGAGUGUCCACCUGACCAGAAGGAAAGGCAAAUAUAGUGAUUGCAAGGCUGAACUUGUGAAGAUAGCCAGUCCAUAUAUACAUGCAAAAUGAUGAAACGGUUGCUAAACCCGUGAAAGGAUUGAUUCUUGGUCCACUUGCAAGCUUUAUAUUUUGGUUGCUGAACCAUGAACAGAAAGGAUUGCAGGAGGCCCUUAUAGUAGUUUUGCUGCUGUGGCAUGUGCAGGACUACUAUGAGAUGCUGCUUUUAGUGUUGAUGGAUGAGGUAAGCUACUUGAUCCUUUUCUUCUUCUUGUUCUUCUCUUCCCUUGUUAAAAACCAUAAUGAGGGAUUUUGGAAACCAUAACGAGAUCUAGCUAUACCUAAUCAACUUUAAGUAGCAGUUAUUUUUCUUAUCGUAGUCAUUUUUUAAUGCUAAGCUGUUCUGCAUCAAGCUUUGCGCAUUUGUCAAAGAUAAAAAAUUCGUACAAAAUGAAAGAUCAUUUCCAAUGGAAACUAAACAAAGGCAUUUUGAGCUGAAUUGUAUAAUAAAUAGGAUGUUGGUUUUCAGCUUUGGUAAAUUUUGUAUAAUUGGACCUUUUUAAGCAUGAAAUUUGCACAAGCAUCUAAUCUAAGCUAUGCACGAUUUGUAUAUUGACUACAUUAUGAGGUUUAAAUCAUAUCUAGUAGAAUUGUUUGUCAUUUGUCUCAAAAUGUUCUUCUAAUGGAAAUUAACUUGAAUGUUGGUUUCACUUGCUCUGCUUGAUUAAUGAUUGGGAUCUGAACGAAUGCCUGCUCCUCUUCAUGCUGUUGUUGUUCUCAGCAAACUCUUGGACGUGUGCCACACUGUAUUUUGCGUCCAUUGAUGUUUGUUGACCUAAUCACUUUCUAGACAAAAUUGGUGUAUUGAGAUUGGGAUAUAUCUUUCUCUGAUUGACCAAAAUCCUGAAAUCUUGUCAAAAUAUUUUGUUCUUUCUUCUCUGUUCUAGUGGAUUAUUGCAAUUUUUUGAACGAUUGCUUUCAUCCUCUCUUUUCUUCCUCAAAAUGAGCAUUUUGAUUCUUGAACAUUUGUAAUUUAUAUAUACUUAGACAAAUUUUCUUGGAUGUCAAUUGCCUCAAAAGGUCAAUGUGAACAAAUCUGUUUCUUCAUUAGCUACAAAGUAGUGAUUUGGGUGUGUAAAUAUUGAUCUUGGCUAACUAAUGCCACCUAGUAUACUAAAGGAUUAAAGAUACCUGUUAUUUCAGUUGUUUUGCUUGAUCAAGUUUUGGAUAUUAAUGUGAUCAAUUAGUUAUGUGCAAGUGUACCUGCAAAGCUGUGUCUCGUGGUCAUGGUUUCUGAGUGACUAUUACAAAAUGAUUGGAAUAAAAGUUGGGAUUUUUCUUAAGCCACUGUUGCAGUCACAAUUCAUGAAAGAUGCGGAUUACUACAGAUUGCUUGCUUAAUCUGGUUACAGUUUGAGAGUGACUCCUGUUGUAUAUUAACGGUUUUCUUACAUUGUUUUCUUUAUGUCACAUGGACUAUGGACAUCCUUUUUGACAUGAUUUUAGAGCAAGUAGUAGCUCCAAAGGAUGCAAAUAUGUUUCCUGCAUAACCUGUAAAGUUGCUUUGUAGUCAUGUUUCUUGAGUGGCUCUAUUUUAAGUUUGCUGUUUAAUGAUUGGGAUAAAUGUUGAAUUCAUGCUUUUGUGGGUAAUUGUUCUUGGCGUUAUGUGUUUAUGUCAUGCUUUCUUUUCUGUUUCUUGUUCGCUUGAUAACUUUUUGACUUGAGGUAUCAAUGAGAUCUUAAAUCUUUCAUGUUAAGUGUUCAAUGACUAUAUACAUUGACAGCAGGAAAUUCAGUUGAAUUAAUCGAUUUGGCCCACUUAAAUUAAAAACUCAUAUGCUACGCCUUACGAGUGAAAUUAUGCUUGGAGAAAAUCUAAUUAACUUGUUCUCCAAGAGCUUUUUGUUUAAAUAAUUAUCGUCAUGUCUUACAUAGGUUUACAUACAUAUUACUUGAACAUACAUAUCAUUUUUUAUUCAAUGUAGUGUGCCUUGUGCAUUCCUUGAGUUAGAUCAUGCAACUUGCCCCAAGAUGCUUAACUUCUUCACUGGCUGGAAUUUAGUCUAGACUUGACAAUAGGUGUUAAUUUUAAUCUAUGAAAAGUUGCUUUUUGGCCUGCUUUGAGAAACUGUGUACAAAAUCUGAAUUUUCUUGUUUUCUAAUUACUCUUGCUCUAUUCAACAUAUCCCACUGAAAUUGCCCAUCAUAUUCAGCUAAAACAACUAAUGCAUGAAGUACUACAUAAGAAAUGAAGUACUAACUAAUCCAUUCCUGAACAGCAGUAAGUAAGAUUUGUUACGUUGUUUUCUUUGGUUACUUUGUAUCGCUGUUCAGCAACCAGGAUCUUUCUUUUCCUUUUCUUUAUUUUGUGAGUUCACGCAUCCGAAAGACUAUCAGCAGUAAUGCUGGGUUUCUGGUGUACAUUGUUUUCUUUUGAUAUCUGCUUGAUGUUGAUGAGGAGUGUGAUUUAAGUGCUUAUGAUAUAAACUAACACACGUGUCAAACAAAACUAAUUGUGAACUCCAGAAUUACAAAUUCGAGGAAUGCCAACCAUCUAAAUGUAAACUGGAGUGUGCAAGCCAAAUUUGUAGUUAUGUAUCUAAAUGUAAAUCAUUAAUAGCACAAAAUAUCACAAAACUUGGCUCAGAGCACCGUCAAAUGGUGUAUCUCUAAAAUUGAUGUGGGAUGAGAUGGGUGAGAUCUAGCCUACUUGUGCGAGCAGAAGAACAAGGGCCUUGAGAUUGUUUUGGUGCUGUGAACAUUAUUCUGGACAGUGAUGUGGUAAGAAAUGAGGGAAAGAAGUAGAGAAGCUAAGAGAAAGAAGAACAACACAACUAAUAAACCAAAACUAAAUCUUCAUUCAUCAAAUUCUCUGCAAAGAAUGACAUAGAAACACAAGUAUUCAUAAAGUAAGAAGGUACCUAAAACUCCUAUUUCCAUAUUCUAAAUAGGAAAAGUAACUAGUUGUAGAACUUUAGAACUUAUAGGAACUUUCCCUUUCCCCAUAAGAAUGCUUGAACAACUUACCUGAUAUUGUAGAUAAUGAAAAGAGGCCCAAAAUGAUGACUGACAUUCUGGAAAUUUUAAGUGACAAAGGAAAGACCAAAAUGUUUAAGGCCUAAUAAGAGAAACCACUGAACAUGCAGAGAACUUUGACCAUUGUUAGACUCUAGGAAUCACCGCGGAUAGACUCUUUUAGACCAAAAUUAUUCUUUUUUGUCAAAUGAUCCUUUAGUUUUAUUCUUAGCUUCCAAGGAUGAAAAUAUCCUUUCAACCAGCUUAUGGUUGGAAAAUUAGUGGAGAAAUUGGUAGAGAAAAGGGUAGGGAAGGGAAACCAGUUAUUAUCACUUUUAGCUGAUUAGAACUUGAAGCUUCCAAAAUUUUGUUGUUAGCUGUGUCAAUUUGCUGCUAAACCAGAAAUAAAGCUUCAAUCCAACUGAAUCUAUUGGCCAUGCCAUCUAAUGUAGAGAGAAAAGAUUGCAAUGCUUCUAAUUUUUUUUUCCAAUUUCAUGCACUUUUAUCUUUUAGCAAAGCAACUUCUUUUGGACAUACUCUCAAAAUCCUUCGAGAAAGUCUCAAAGUUUGAAAAGAGUUCUGCGUUUGUAACCAUAUUAGUCAAAGAAGAAGAAAAUAUGGCUGACAAAGAGAAAAAAAGUUUGAUUCUUAACUUACAUAAGUCCUCCUCUUAAAUUUUAUUCAAGGAACUUAAAGUGGUCUUUUUGGAGUGCUUGUGGGUCAGUCCCAUAGGCUUGUGGCGGUUGCUGGACGGCAUACUCAAUUUCUAGUAUAGUGAACAUAUCGCAAAUACUUUUCUCCAUUCACAAUCUAGCAAUGUCAUACUCAAUUUGUAGUACAGUAGUGAACAUAUCGGAAAUACUUUGCUCCAUUCAUAGUCCAGCGAUGUCAUACUUAAUGGCUAGUAAAGUAGUGAACAUAUCUCCAUUCACAGUCUAGCAAAGUCUUUCAAGUCAUUACAGAAACACCAUAUAAUGGCCUCAUACUAAAAUAGACUGCUGGUAUAAGGGAUUUCAAAGAUAUGGCCUAUAGGCUCAUGCUAAUAUAAACCGCUGGUGUAAAGGAUUCCAGACUCUGGAAUCCAAGAAUCCGCCUGAAUAAACUUAGAAACUGUGAAAGCAAUGACUUCCUUGGACCGAUUUAAUGCUUUAUAUCCCACCCAUGAAAUUCGUCUCCCUGUAUCUGCACCAGCACCCCAAUUACCGUAUUCUCUGUAGGUUAGCUCAUCUGUGCGAUGGCCUGGCCACUCAUACCACCUAGCUGGAUCUAUGAUGCUUUCCAAGAAAGAUUGCAUCACAAUCACGGUUGACCAUGCAAACCAUGGUCUUCCAAGAAAAGCAUGAACCUGAGAUUUGUUGGACUGCAAAUCUGGGGCUGCUGUCAAAGUGGAAUUUUGAAUGACAAAUCCACUAAUCUCAUCGCGUGACCUUUUUCCCUAUGCAGUGAAAGUAAUAACACGGUUAGGCAACCGUGCAAAUAGGUUGCCGCUUUGAAAGACUGCCGCAGCAUUGCCAAACACAAAAUCAACAGUGCCGUAGAUGUCACACUCCUUAUAGAAUUGCCUGCCAAAGUGUGCACAGAGUGUGUCAUGGAACCCUAAAAAUGUACAUCUGUAAAAUGAUGAUCUGUCAGACUGGGACAUUAGGGCAACAGCUUGAGUGGCUUCUCCUGCUGAGUUUUCCAAAGUUAUGUACUUGGCCAUGAAACGAUUACCUUUAACAGCUGCAAACAAUGAAAUGUAAUGGCAUUUUAAUAAGCUUCAUAUGCUAUGAAAUAGAUAAAGAAAAAGUUUAUGAAAAAGAAAAAGAAAGGAAAAGAGAUAGUAAAUAAAGCUUGCUGAAAAUUUAAAUCCUGUAUGCAAUAUUUGUGCCACUGCAGAACCAAAAUGAACUUCUAAAUCUUCAUCUGCCAUACAUUUCCAGCUGCAAGGACACAAGAAAUUGAGCAACGUUCAUGGAAACGGUAUUAUGUUUAAUGCAAUCGUGUCCAAGAUAAGACCUGGAGCAUAUAGAAGGAUAAUGGAUGUCAUUGCAUCAGCACCCAUUCAGAGUCAAUCCAGGUACUUCAUUCAUGUGGAGGCAGGUAUAUAUGUGGAGAUUGUGAAAGUGUGGGUAAAUAAGACAAAUAUAGCUUUGAUUGGAGAUAGUGAAAAUGUAACCAAAAUCACAAUGAACAGGAGAUUCCCAGAAUUUCAAACAAACAAAACUGCCACUGUUUGUAAGGACUUCUGACUGCAAUUUAUAAUUAACGUAUAUGCUUUAGUAGGAUCACAACAUUUUAGUUUUAAUGAAAAGGUGUGUAGUAAAAGGCAGGGUAUGAAAAACAGGAGACAUCAAGUUCUCCUUUCUUCACUACCUUAUAGCACUUUGCCGUAUGUUGCAGUUCAUUGAAGCUUUCCUUUUAAUGCAGCAAAGAAGCCUUCUAGUACAUUGCAACAAGUCUAUUCCAAUUAUUUAGUUGAUCAGGCUUUGUGUUUACGGAAAAUUUCUAUUAUCUAUGUUAUUGAAUUUGUGUGCAAUAUGGUACUAAAGUCAGAUAUGGAACGGCUUUAUCUUAGUUUUACAUAAAGGCCUAGUUGCUUAUAUUCAUUUGAAGCACAAGAUUUCAACAAUAUCAAACAUGCACACUUUGUAUCUCUACUAUGUCUAGCUCUACAAAGUUACAGUGGCUUUUGAAUUUCAAUACCUCAAUUCUUCAAGCUCAUUUGCUUCGUGCAGCAAUCUAUACUCCUUGGAGUACUACUACAAUUUAACACAUCAUCCUGCAUUAUUAAGAUUAUUUAAUUCAUACAUUCUACUCAGUACAAUAUCUAAAUUUAACAACAUACUGGAUGAUUGAAUUACUCUCCCAUCAUAAAAAGUGCUAACAUCUUUGCAGAAAGCUUAUUUCUUUGGCAAUAAUACUAUUAACUCUAUCAGUAGAAAGAAUAUUCAAAGAUUGUAUAUCCGUACAGAGAUUCUCAAAUUGACUCUGUUUGGAUCCACUAGUUUUUCAAAAUCUAAUUUUUCAAAUACUAAAAAUUUUUAAAAAGCUUCAAUGAACUGCAACAUAUGGCAAAGUGCUAUAGUGUAGUGAAGAAAGGAAAACUUGAUGUCCCCUGUUUUUCAUACCUUGUCUUUUACUACAAACCAUUCAUUAAAACUGAAAUGUUGUGAUCCUACUAAAGCAUAUACAUUAAUUAUAAAUUGCAGUCAGAAGUCCUUACAAACAGUGGCAGUUUCGUUUGUUUGGAGCUUUGGAAAUUCAUUGUGAUUUUGGUUACAUUUUUACCAUACUCAGUCAAAACUAUAUUCGUUUUAUGUACCCACACUUCCACAAUCUCUACAUAUAUACCUACCUCCACAUGAAUGAAGUACCUGGAUUGACUCUGAAUGGGUACUGAUGCAAUGACAUCUAUUAUCCUUUUAUAUGCUCCAGGUCUUGUCUUGGACAUGGUUGCAAUAAACAUAAUACCCGUUUCCAUGAACGUUGCUCAAUUUCUUGUGUCCUUGCAGCUGGAGAUGUAAACAGAUACAACCAUAACCAAUACAAUCACGAUGACUGGUGAAGCGCCCUUUAGCCAUACCUCCCUACCUGCACGUGGAGAUUAGUUGGUCAAUGCUAAUAGCAGCCUGAGUGUUCUUUUUGUUUGUUAGUUGGUUGCAGGGAUAACAUAUAUUGCAUGUUUUGAGUAUUUAAAAGAAAAUUGAGAUGCAGAAGUUUACUGAUAUUGGUGGGGAACGAAAUCAUGAUUGCAAAUUGUUACCUUAGUCCUAAAAACAGAAAUAAAAGGCUAAUCUGUUUUUGUGUUUGUAUUUUAUUCUAUCUUAGUUUUCAGACAUAAUGUUUCAUUAUUUCUGGCGGUAACGUACUAUAGCCAACUGAAACUUUAAUCCUUGCCCAAAAAGGAUGAUUUGUUUGUUGAAUUGCUUUGAGUGUAUAAUGCAAAUGGAUAAAAACUAUUUCAGGCCAAUGGACAUCUUUGGGGGUAAUGAAGAACUGCGAAUGGAUAAAACCAGUUCGGGCUAAUGGACAUCUUUGAGGAUAAUGACCUGAAACUGCCCGCUACAUAAAAAUAUGCUUGAUAUUCAGAACAUGAUUUACUUCCUGUAGCCAACUUAAACUUUAAUCCUUACCCAAAAAAGGAUGAUUUGGUUGUUGAAUUGCUUUGAGUGUAUAAUGCAAAUGGUUAAAAACCAUUUUAGGCCAAUGGACAUCUUUGGGGGUAAUGAAGAACCAUUAAAUGUUCAUUUUAAAAUAGAAACUACUUUUGAUCUAAAAAACAUAAAAUGAAAUUCCAAAGAAGCCAAUCACUAAGACAAUCAGUUAGUCAAUGUUAAAGAGUACUAUCCGAUUAACAGGCAUUUAGUCAUACAAUGUAAAACUACCACAGCUUAGCUAAGUGUGUCCUCUUGCAAUAAUUUGGACCAACACUGUCCCAUCCUUUAUUGGCAUCAAGCACUUAAUACUUUAUGUCGUGACAUUUUACCUAGAAUUUGAUAAAGAAAAUUGCCUUAUUAGAUUAAUGUAUCCUAUGUCACAAUCUAUCAUAACUGAAGUAAGUUCUUGGAAAAUUAUUUUAUCUGAUUGAAUGGAAUAUCCAUUAUUGACUCAUUCUGUUAGAAUCGAAAGCCAAUGACUAUUCUCCAAAGACCAUAUGAAUAUUUUCAGCCUCUUUCAUGAUACCACCAUACUACUAAUAGGAUCACUCUUAUUGGGUUCAAUAAUUAUAGCAAAAUGUUAAAUUUGAUUUUCACCUAUGUAACUAUUCAUUAAAUUCAGACAAUUAUCGUGAAUUCUGAAGCCUGAGAUUAGCUGGCCUCAUGUUAAAUAUAUGAAGUUCACUUUAAUUUGUCUGAAUUGUCAAUGCAGUAUGUAAAAGCUCUAGCAUCCAAAACAUCAUCAAGUAGUUGAUCAUACACAUUGGAAUUUAGUGUAAAUCCCUCUUUUUCUUUUUUCUUUCUUUUUCUCAUUUUCAAGUUUUUAAAACAAAAGCUACUCUUUGAUCUCAAAAACAUAAAAUGAAAUUCGAAAGAAGCAAAUCACUAAGACAAUCGUAAAGCCAGUAUUCAGGAAGCUCAGCAAAUGAAACAGAUGUUUGCUAUCUAUGACAAGGCUUCAAGGCAAGUAAUAAACUAUGAGAAAUCUGCUGUUUUCUUUAGUGCAAACACGUGCAGGAAUCUGAUAAAGGAAAUACGUUCUUAGUUGGGGAAUAUGAAGGAAGCUACAAGCGGGAAGUACCUGGGACUACCUAAGUACCUAUGCUGAUAGGGAGAUCCAAGCAACAAGUUUUUGGAUACAUCAAAGCAAAGGUACAAGACAAGCUGCAAGGAUGGAAGAGGCAUUUGCUGAGCCCACCAAGAAAAGCGGUACUUAUAAAAUCUGUGGCAAUGGCACUUCCUACCUAUACCAUGUCUUGUUUCAAACUCCCAAAAGUGCUUUGCAAAGAUAUAGGUAAAAUGGUAGCAAAGUUCUGGUGGGGCAAUGGAGAAAGCAAAAGGAGGAUGCACUGGACUAGCUGGGAAAAGAUGUCUCAUGUGAAAGGAAGAGGGGGGCUCGGAGUUAGAGAUAUAGAGAAAUUCAAUGAUGCCCUCUUAGCCAAGCAGCUUUGGAGGAUGCUCACACAACCAAACCUACUUGUAAGUAGGGUGAUGAGGUCAAAGUAUCUAGGAAGAGCACAAGAUUGGGAUAAAGACCCUCCAAAAGCAUCUUCUUGGAUAUGGAAGAGUCUAAUGGGAACCAGGAAGCUGUUGAACAAAUGACUAUGGAAAAAAGUGGGAGAUCGAGAAACCAUUGACAUCUGGCAUGACAAGUGGAUUCCAGGUAGUGCAGAUGGUAGGAUCAAAACUAGAAGGAAUUCAGAAUGCACAAUCAGGACAACAGCAGAGCUGAUGAGAGAAAGAGAAUGGAACCAGGAGAUACUCAAAAGUGGUUCAUAGCAGAAGAUAUCCAGAAAAUCAUGGCUAUCCCUAUAAGUAUAACAGGCUGCAAAGACAGAAGGUAUUGGAGAUGCACAAAGUCUGGGCUCUUUACUGUAAAGUCAGCCUAUGCUGUAGCAAUGGAAGAACAUCUACAACAGCAGAUGACAAGGAGGGAAGAGAAUAAAGAAAGCACUAGAUAUGCUCAAAAGAUAUCGAACAUCUGGAAAGGAGUGUGAUCCCAGCAGAUGAAACACAACUCAAACAUUUCAUCUAGAGAUGCCUGCACCAUAGGAUACCAGUGAAUGAGCAAAUAAACAAGAGGAUAGGAAGAAGAAGUCCAAUGUGUGAAUGUUGUGGGGAAGUAGUGGAAACAGUCAAACACGUGCUGUUUUUCUGCAAAAAUGCUGAAACCACUUCGAAAUUAGCACCUCUGCAAUGGGACGGGUUGAAUGACACGAGAAGCAACUUUGUAAGAUGGUGGAAAGGGAUAUUUAGGAGCUAGGAUGAGAGACAAAAGGACAGGAUCACGUAACACUGUGUAAAUAUUUUGUGGCAAAUCUGGAAAGCAAGGAACAGGAAAGUUUUUGCUGAAGAAAAUGCAGAUCCAGGGAAAACAGUGCAAAAGCUCAAGUAGAGUGGAAUGAGUAUAUAGAAGCUCAGAACAGCACAGGGCCAGAGUUCAUUGAACAAACAACCAACUCAAGCAGACUGGAAAACUGGAAACCACCAAUAGGAGAGAUGAUAAAGAUCAACUCUGAUGCUGCCUUCUCAAAGAAUAUGAACAAAAGUGGAAUAGGAGCCAUUGCUAGAAAUGGAGAAGGACAGCUGAUGAAAGCUUGGGCCAGAGCUGAGAUAAAAACAAGUGAGCCACCGGUGGAGGAAGUGGCAGCAAUUAGAAUGGGAAUGGUGGUGGCUCGAGAAGCUCAAUGGAAGGAACUGGAAUUCCAGUCUGAUUGAAAGGAGGUGCUGGACCUGAUCAACAAGGAAAAUGGGAAGGAAUCUAGAGUUGAUAUCAUUCUAGAGGGCAACGCCAACAUGAGAUGCUUGUUUGACAAAUGUACUUUCUCUGUUGUCCAUAUAGUAGGGAACAAGUGUGCAUAUGCUAGCAAAGUUUGCUGUCAAGUUAGUUAGGAAUAUUGAAUGGGAAGGAAAUUGUGAUGUAGCUCCAUGAGAGUGCACAAAAUGAUUACAAAGGAAGUAAUUGUGAUGUAUCAAAUCUUGUGAUAUCAAGUUAAUGAAAACCAAUAUGAUUUUGACAAAAAAAAAAAAAAAA
rnacentral:lncRNA from 1 species